GAGAAAAUAAAAUAAAAUAAUGGGUCAAAGAUUGAAUUGAAACUAAAACAAAAUUAAAGGGGCAACAAACAUAAUUAAAAAUAAAAGAAGGGCUAAAGUGCAGCGCGCGGAUAACAUGAGGGACCGAAAGGGAAAUAUUCCCAAUACCGAAAACGCAGCGCUUUAAUAUGGAUUAAAAUGAAACAAAAAUAAAUGAGGGAUUAUAUUUAAAAAGAAAUAAAAGGACUGGAUUGAAUUGCACUAGAAAUUCGGAAGGACCAAUUUCGAAAAUAACCCAUCUUCACGAAACACGCGGAUCCCCCGGGUCGGCUCAACAAGCGGAUCGACGGCUACUAAACGGCGUUUUUGGUACUAUCAAACCUCCCAAAACGGCGCCGUAUUAUGUUAUUACUUAAACAAGAUUUUUAACAAAAAAAAAGAACAUUUGCAGCAUAAGUUUUUUUGAAAAAAAGGUUGCAGCUCUUCUUCUCUGCUAGGGUUUCAACCCUAGUCCUAGCCGCCGCCAUUUCCGCCGCAUCAAACCCGAGCCCCAUCUAACUCCGAUUUGGACGGAGUAAACGGAGCCCUGACGGCGCUUUUAUGAAGGUACGAAACUGCCUUCUUCCUUCUCCUUUACCUUUUUCGCAUAUAUAUAUAUAAAAAGAAUAGCAAAUCAAAGAGAAAAGAAAUCAUAAAAAAAACUCAGAAUAUCACCUUUUAAAAAAAACUAAUGUAGUUUUUUAUUGCCCAUUUUUUGUAUUCAGUAUCCAACCCCCUACAUUGAAGCAAUCUGCUCUUUUUAUAGCCAGAUCUAAUGAAAUUACAAAGGUUUUUUAUUUUAUUUUAUUGCUAUUCCUCGUUUUCUUUGCCGUUAUUCCCUUAUGCUUCUAGUGUAUUCCUUUCUGUUUGUUGCUGUUGCAGGUACAGCUGGAGUGCACGUGGAAAACCUAAGAAGAUUACAAAAAUUCCAAAAUAAUAUAAAAAAGCUAAGGAAAACCUAGAAAUUCAAAAAAAACAAACGUCGACAUUCAAUUUGCUGUUUCACAUUCAAUUUUUGGAGAAGUAGAAUUAUUUAACUUAUUUUCCAUCAACUUCACUUCAAUUUUCAAUCACAAUCAAUUGCAUUCAAGAGCACCACAUCUUUUUGGAUGAAACAAAGCUCUCAAUUUUAAGAUAAACGGGUCUUUAGGGUUAUUAAUUGAGGGCCUUUUCCAUAAUUGCCAUCGCUAUUUACGGGUGAUUCGGGGAUAAUAACUUCAACAUUUGUGUAUCACAUUUAAUUCGAUUCCACAUUCAAUUUUUAGUUUUUAGAGAGAUGAUUGGAUUACAACAAUGGUUUGAAGUGAAGAUAUUUCAAAUGAAGAUGAAUAAUUUAAAAUUCAGGUUAUGUUUCAUUUUAACUAAGUUAAAUGUUAAGAUUGAGAUUAAACCUUUUAGAGGUUGCUCACAAAAGGAUAAGCCUUUAUAAAAGUGCUUAAAUGAAGGCCAAAUUUUUUAAAAUAGGCAAAUAAGGUCCUAACCUUUUAAAAGGUGUUUAAAUAAAGGCUUCUCAAAUGUUGUAUAUCAGGUUAUGUAUUUUACUCUAAACACAUCGACAUUUACCUAUUUUUUUCUAUAAACUGAGUUGAAGUGUGUGAAAAAUCCUUAUUUGAACACUUCUGUAAGGGUUAAACUCUUACUGAACCAUUUUGAAAGGUUUAGUCCUUAUGUAAGCAACCUCUAAAAGAAAUACCUAAAUAUGUUUUCAUGAAUCAAGAAAUUAAAAAAGAAAUGUUGAGAAAUAUUUUAGAGAUUCUUAGCUUUGACAAGUUCCCUCCACCAUCUCCCUGCCUCCAGUCCCACUCUUCUCUUAUGCUCCUCCCAGGUUCUUGCUUUUUGUGUGUUGAAAAUUCAAAUGAACUAAAUAUCAACCUACAUCAUAAGGCACGAAAAUAUCAACCUACAUCAUAAGGCACGAAGGCCAGAAAUUACUUGAGAUCUGACAACUUUAUUUCAUUUUCAUUUUCUGUUAUUUUCUAUGUUUCUUGUCAAAUACAAUGAAAGAAGAACAUAGAAAAAUGUUGCCUAUUUAUUUCCCAAUCAUCAUGAAAUUACUUGCCAUAGACUUAGAAUUUUCUCACCAAUUUUCAAGCAAUCUGACAUGAUUUCUCAAUCACAAUUAAUUGAAUUCAAGAUCUUUUUGGAUGACACAAACAUUUCAAUUUUAACACAAACCAAUAUUUAGGUUAUACUUCAGUGCUUGACAAGCACUGUCACAUUUAUGGGAUAAUAACUCUAACAUUUUAGGAUCACAGUUAUAUUUGACUUUAGCAUUGACAUGCUUUUUUAAUAAUUAAUCUUUUAUAACAAGGUAAAUAUAGCAUCGACAUGUUUUUGGUAGGGUCGAGCAAAACCCAAUUAAAACCGAUGAUAUUGUUAAAAUCAAUUUUAAAAUCAGUUAUAAUGGAUUAAGGUAAUUAAUUAUCGAGUAAUGAAAUGCAUAAUCAAAUCAACUGAUUUUGUUAGAAACUAAAAGAAAAAGGGUUCAGCUGAAAAAUUGAUUGCCCUAUAUUAAAAUUAACGAAUCCGAUUUUUACAUAUUAGAUAAUAUCAACAUCGCAUAUAUAAUAAGAAAAAUUACGUACAAUUAUUUAUUAUCAUAAAUGGUUAGUUUAAAUUUAAAGUAAUUUAAUAUGUUUAUUGAACAUCAACGUAUAAGCUAAAUAUGUGAAAAUAUUCUAGAAACCAUUUCUAAUUGAUGAUAGGCUAAUUCAGAAUUAAGAUUAAUAUAUAAAAACUAAAUAGUAGGGUUAUAAUCCUCAAAUUACACCUAAUUUAAUUUUUCCGACAUUCUAUUUUGGAAUAAUAGAAUCGCCUUCUUUAAAAAGAAUAUGUAUUUGUAAUAGGCCAAUUUUGGCCUGACUAAAAAUCAAAUAAAAUUAACAACCCAAUUGACCCAAUGCAACACCCAAUAACCAAGUUAGCCCAAAAUUAAAAAAACAAAAAACCCUAGAACCUUCAACCGCUGCUCUCCCACAUGCGCGCCUCCAGCCCCUUCCAUGUCACCCCACGAACGGCUUCUUCGGUAUGACGGUUUUACCUGCAAAAUAGGACCAUAAACAGCAAGAAAGAAGCACACUAUAGGCACGAUAGAAUAACAGAAAAGAAAUUGAAUAACGAGGGGGCAGAGAAAAAAAAGAUUUUUUUGAUUUGUUUAUUUUUUUUUCUUUUGGGUCGAUUCGGCGAUAUAUAAGGCCGAUCCCGAAUCUGUAAGGGGGAAUCUUGUGUUGAAAAGUAUUGAAGAAAACAGAAAACAGAGAAUAAAAAAAACAAUUUUGAAGGUAUUGAGUGGGUUUCGUUUUUCCUUUCUCUUUACCGUUUUGGUUCCUUUUUUAUUUUCUUCCUAAUUUCUUAAAACAAAUAAACGAAGUAACGAGGGAAAAAGAGAAGUUUCUUACCAGCAGAGGCGCGCCGUCGGCAUUCUUGCUGGUUUUCGGCGUGAGGAGCAAAGGAGAAGAUGAAGCAGCCCUUGCGGCUGCUGUUGCUGAAAAUGAAAUGGGGUUUUGAUUAGGGUCUGAAAUGGGUUUUAUCGGCAGCAAAUGAAAUGGGGUUUUAUUUAUGGGUUAUUUAUGUUUUUAAUCUUUUUUAUUUUUCUAUCAUUUCAAAACCAUUGUUCUUAAAUUUUUAUUUUUUUUCUUUCCUUUAAUGAAAUAUUUUACCUUUUCAUUUUACUCUAGUGCUGUGCAGAAUUUUGAAAGUGGGAUUAUUUUCCCUUUUGACCCUUCAUGCUUAUGAGCAAUUUACAAAUUAGCCCUUCUGUUUUUUUUACACUACUAUUAUUAUUAUUAUUAUUAUUAUUAUUAUUAUUAUUAUUAUUAUUAUUAUUAUUAUAGCCAUAUAUUUAUACGCAUAUACACUAUAUCAUAUAAAUGCAUAUAUAUUUUAUGAUACGUAUUCAUUUUCUAUAUAUUAUAUAUAUACAUACGUAUUUUUACACAUAUAUAUACAUGUUUUUGUAGUUUAUUUAUAUAUUGUACUUAUACAUUUUUAUAUAUUUUGUAAAUAUAUAUAUAUAUGUACAUAUCUUAAAGUACACAUACUUUUAUAUACUCCUAAAUAUCAUAAUUCUUGUAACCGUAUUUAUAAAUAUACUUCCUUACAUAUAUUUUUAUUUCAUAAUUUUAAAAUAUAUAUACAUACAUAUAUUCCUUAUAUUUUAUGUACAUACACAUACAUAUGUAUAUUAAAUUUUUCAUAUAUUUCAUGGUUUUGUUGUUUCACAACAUGUCUAUCUUCUUAUACCCAUUUAAUUACGAAAGUUUUAAUUCAACUCGUUUUUUUACUGUUUUUUUUUUUACAUUAGUUGACUCGUUUUUAUUUUAUGUUGCUUUAUUUUAUUUUAUUUUAUUUUAUCUUCUAUUGGUUUGUGCUCAUGCUUUUCUCUUUAGCAUUUUAAAAUAUGUUUGUAUUUGUUUUUUAAAAAAAUGUUUCAUUUUUUAUUGAAGCAUGAAAAUUAUUUUAUUUCUUAAAUUUUUAAAAUAUUUGGCAUUCACGUUUUUCGAGAAAGAUCGUGUCCUAACUUACUGGGCUUCAAUUCUUUCGAUGGAUUUAGAGAGCCAAGUAUUUAUUUUGCAAUAAAAUCACACAAAUAUCAAAUAAAAGCUUAUUCUCAGGAAUCCAAAAAUGUCGGGUCCUAACUUACUGGUCAUGACAUUUUAUUAUCUCGAAAUAAGAUUUUCUAAGACAAAAGGUCAUAUUCGGUAUUUGGAAUUUUGAGAAAUUGUGUCCUAACUUACUGGGUUUUGAUUUUCUUAAUUUGACCUAAAUAACCGAAUAUUCUUAGAUUUAACUGUAUGAGUUUUAAAAUCAAUAGACAAACUUAAUUUUGAAGAUUUAAAAAUAUGGUGCCCUAACUCACUGGGUGUGAUGUUUUAUUUCUCUGAAAUAAGAAUGUUUUAUUAUUUUAAUCCAUUCACGAGUUAAAAGUUUUCUCUUAAAAUCUUUUCAAAUUUUCGACACCAAGACAUUAAACAAUCAAUUCGGUAAUUUGGGCAUUACGAAGGUGCUAACCCUUCCUUGUGCGUAACUGACUCCCGAACCUGUUUCCUAAAAUUUCGUAGACCAAAUUUAUUUUUUUUAGGCGAGCUGAUCACACCUCAGUAAAGGACCGGUGGCGACUCCAAUUUUCGUUUUAAAAGUCGAUAACUAAUUUUAUUUUUCAAAAAAUGGUUUCGACAACUUGGCGACUCCACUGGGGACAUGUUAGAGAGUCGAGCCAUGAAUUGAUUAUUUUUGUCUUUUUUGUCGAAAAUCAAAAUGUUGUUUUAAAUCGUGAUUCCCCUUUGUAUUCAUUAGUUUUCAUCAUGAUAUGCUUGCUUAAUUGGUCUAAGUCUGUUAGUUUAUUUGCAUUAUGCAUUUCAUGGUCAAUUUUACCCCUCUAAGUGGGAGUGAGAAACUAGUCCUUCGUGAGGUUUUCACCUCCGUGCAGGAUAGUGGAUUGCUUUCGGGAUACAUCCGUACUUAUGUCUUUGUGAGAUUUUUAUCUUCGUGUAGCCAUAGGAAAAUGUAUCCCCCUGAACCGAACUCGAUCUAUAUGAGCCUAUAAUGGGUGAAGAUUGAUGAAUCUGCUGGUUCGGGUACCCUUGCUCUAGAAGCCAAACUUCAUAUAGUGAACCUUAGGAACUCACCCUAGGUAGAAUUACUUUGAACCUUAGUAGAUACCCGACUAGGAGUUUUUAUUAUUUUUUAAUUGUAUUGGAUUUGAUGUUUAUACCUGAUACUAACUUGUUGUGUUUUGUUUUGAAUGCAUGACAUUUUGAAUGCAUGGCAUUUCAUUAUAGAAAAAAGGUGUUGGUUCACGUUCAGUUGCUAAAUAGAGAGCUUGUUAUGGAAAACGAAUUUCUUGAUAAAGUGGAAAACAAUACGGCUACAUGAAUAUAUUCCGAGAAACACAAGAAAGGUGAUGGAGGAAUACAUGUUACUUUGUGGCUCGAGGAUUCAAGCUGAUUAUUUAAGAGUUUUUGACAUUCUAACUUCCUUAAAGAAGAUGAGGAGUAUUACGGGGAUGGGCAGACGAUGGAUCAUAACCAGGAUCAAGCAAAAGAAGAUAGAGGAGGCACCCUUUUGAAGAAUUCGCAAGGUUUAUCUUAGCAUUCGGAUGAAGAAAGAGAAGAUGUCCCUGCUUGGAGUAUGAGGGCAAAGCCGUAUAUAUACCGCUUUAUGUAAAGAAAUUUGUCUUUUAGUAAAGUUUUCUAAAUGCAAUUGAAUCAGAAUCAACGUCUCUUUAUGCAUUCAUUUCAUGCAUUUGCAUUACAUGACAUCAUAUGCAUUAAAAUCUAUUAAAAGGGCUUAAUUGAGUAAAAUUAUUUCAGUUAAUUUAGAAAACCGACACCCUUAUGGCACCCAAGCAAAGACUAGAGAAAUGGACCAAAGGUUGGAAAAAUUAGAGCGAAUGCAAAUAUAGAUGCAGGAGCAACUAACCAAAUUUCAACAGGAAAUGAGAGAUAUGAUGAUAAGAUUACAGAGAGCUAUGACGAAUCAGUUAACUCGGUUGCUAGCUGGAGAGUUAGAAAAAGGGAAAGACUCGAUGGUUUAUUGUGGGGUUGAUAAUGAGGAUCUUGCCUAUUCCCUAGGUAGUACUCCAAUAAGUGUCCAGGUCUAGCCAGAUGGGCGUCCGCAUGGGGCACUCUUUACUAUCAAAUCCUAAUAGUAUCAAACUGGUACAUCGACACCAGUGAGUUGCUUGACAGGCUCAGGAUCCAAUCUAAGGAACAAUUUAGCUAAUCCUGUUGCUCUUGAAAAUCCAGCCGAAAUAAAGCAGGCAAGGGUAGAGUACUCAGAUACUAUAAGAGCCCUAAGGAAGAAGGGGAAUAAUGGGGAUAAUGAAGGCAGAUAUAACAAGGGCCACUCAAAACCAAUCACUAUGGGCUGGACAAAGAUAGAAAUCACCAGCCAUCAGAGCCCUUUAAAGCGAGAAUCUUACACGAAGACAAAUAUAGAAAGGCUUCAGUUCACGCCUAUACCGAUGUCAUAUAGUGAGCUAUAUCAAAUCUUAUUUAAUGCACAUGUGGUGUCCCCCUUCUACUUGAAACCCAUGCAGCCCCCAUUUCCUAAAGGAUACGAUGCAAACAUCCAGUGCGAAUAUCAUGCAGGAAUCACGGGGCAUUCGAUAAAAAACUGCACCGCAUUCAAGAAGCUAGUUGAAAGGUUCAUCAAUAGGGGUAUUGUAAAGUUUGAUGACUCAUCUAAUCUGCUAUCCAAUCACAUUGAUAGUGGGGUAAGAGUGAGAGCAAGAAAGGGAUUAGCUAUUUCUGAAUUAAGAGGAAAUCAUAGAAAGACAAUGAACUAUCGUGAGUUCCAUCACGAGGAGGGAUACGAGACCCAAGAGAGUGUGGAACUCAAGGCCUUGGUUCCGGGCAUGAUAGAUGACAAAGAGAUGGAGUUUUCUAAGGAAAUUAAAGAAGUGAGAAAUAUACACACAAUGUUGGGAAGUGUUCACAUCAAUGCCAUAUAUGAAGACACACUUGAAAAUGGACCUUGUUAGAUAUCUACUCUUAUAAACUUAGGAGUGUUCUAAAUAAUCAGAUUGUAGAAGAAAUUUUUGUAGCAUCUAGAGUUUACUUAGAGUAAUGUUCAGAAAACACUUGUUACUUUUAGCCUAGAGGCAAUAAGAAUUCUUUUAUGAAAUAGGCUCAUGUUUGAACGUCGUUAUUCUAAUAAAAUACAUCUUUGCAUUUAUUUUUGAGCCAAUAUCCUUUCAUUCUUUUUGAAUAAUUUUUCUUUCAUUCUUUUGGAUUUUCUUCCAAAUCAUUCAUUCAUUCAUUCAUAAUCACUGUACAAAUAACUAUUCAUACUUCAUACAUUCUUUGUAUAUUCUUUUAUACUUAUAAUAGGUCCCUAGAUAUCAAUGUCAUGAGUGACACUGCUACAAUUUAGAAUCUCCUUUUGAGCAAGACAUGUGUUUAGAGGGAUCUCAUAACUUUGAAGAUGACAUAGACCGUGGCCUAUCUCCGGACUUGUUGAGGAUGGUAAAGCAGGAAAAGAAACAAAUUUACCUCAUGAGGAGACAAUGGAGAUUGCGACCUUGAGGGAACAUGCAUAACCAAAGAAAUAAAUGAGGACCUUAUUGAGUUACCUCAAGAGUUCAAAGAUAUCUUCACAUGGUCAUACCAGGAUAUGCCCGAGUUAAGCAUUGAUAUUGUAAUCUGAGCAACAGCAUGACGUCAAAAUUUGCAGUAUGUUUAAGAUUAACAUCAUGAACGAUGCAGUUAGAAUUCUUUACCAGGGCAAUGUCUUAUUUUUUAGCUCAUCAUAGUUUUGCCCGUUGAAGUUAAGUUUCCAUUUCUCUGUAUUUUUUGGAUUUCAUCCUAAUUGAAGAGGAAGAUCAAAAGUUUUUUCGUCAUAGUUAAAUUUCGCCCUAAAAGGCUCUAUGAGAGCAACCUGAUACCAAUGAAGAUCUUUCGCAUACAAAAUAAAAGUAGAAGAUUUUAUGUGAAAGACCUUAUCUAGAAUAACAUUGAUUCUGAUCGAAAGGGAUGACUAGGACUUGUCUAAUCUUAUGAGUGCAGUUCUUUCAAAAAAAUAAAAAAAAUAAAAAAAUAAAUAAAAAGAAAGGAAAGGAAAAAAGAAUAAAAAACAAAAACAAAAGAAACAAAAUCUCUAUCAGGGCAAUACUUUUCUCUUUAGCUUAUCGCGAUUUUUCCAUUGAAGUUGAAAUUCUUUCUCACCGGGUAUAGGCUGUGCUGAAGUAGAAUGGAGAUCCAAUCUCGAUGAUCAGUCGAACCUGAUAAAAAGAAAAGGGCUAAAAGCUGUUCAUCACGGUCAGAUGUACUAGAAACGGACGAUGCGAGCCAUUAACAAAAAGGUUCGUCCUAGAAAAUUUUGCGAGGGGGACCUAGUGUUGAAAAGAUUCUUCCUCUACAGAAGGAUUUUAGAGAAAAAUGACUGCCAAAUUGGGAAGGUCCUUAUGUUGUAAAGAAGACCUUUUCUAGAGGAGCACUGAUCUUGAGUGAGAUGGAUAGUACAAAACUUAUCGAAUCCUGCAAACUUAGAUUCAGUCAAGAAAUACUUCACUUAAAGAAGGAGAAAUGACCAAGGUGAAAACCCACAAAGGGCACUUUGAGUCUUAAAAAAAUGAAAAAAUGAAAAUGAAAUGGAGAGGUUAAGGUGAAAACCCGCAAAGGGUGCCUUAGACCAAAGGGGAUUUGAGUUGAAAACCCAAAAAGGGCAGCUCAAAUUUUGAUCAGAAUAAGCCAUGAGGUGAUCAGGGUUACUCGAGUGUUGAUCAAAGUGGGGCAUGCGGUGAUCUUGCUUUGCCUGAAUCAGCAGAAAAGGGUAUGCGACAUCUUGGAGCAUCGGAAAAGUAUUGUAGAUCUCCUAAGUACAUGUCAAACUUGGAAUGGUCUUCAGAAAGUUUGUACAGAGAGUUCAAGCUAUGAUAUCUGAGGCACCUAGCCUUCAUACUAUUUAUAUUGAAUUGUUUAUUCUUGGAAUACUUCAUUCUUUUUCAAGAGACAAGUCAAUUCCUCUUUUACUCGCAAUAUUAUUGAUAAUUUAUUCAUUUCAAGCUAUGCUCUCAAAUCAAUUCUAUUUUUUUCAUUGUUUUGUUCUUUUUUGCAAGUAUGUUGCAUUAGAAUAAUGAUUAAUGGACUAAUAAAACUUUCACAAGGGAAGUUUUACAUAUUACUCUAGCAGUCUAAAUAAUACAAGAUUUUAAAAAAAGGACUAUUGUUUAGAACGCACUAAGUUUAACGGUUGAAAUAUCUAGGAAGGAAUAGUCUAAAUUGAGACUAUCCCUUCAUAUUUUGUUGUCAAAGCAUUGAUUAAACAAAAUGACAAGAUGUCGUGUCGGUGAUAAGGCUUCAAUGAACAAGCAAGCAAUGAUCACCAAGCAAUAGGAUGAGGUUUCCUCGGAGAAGAAAGCCUUUAUUUGUGCAUGGGCAUUUGGUAUGACACCCUGGGAAUGGUGGAAAGGACCAAAGAGCUUCACAUUCUGUAUCCCUGAACUAUGAUAGGAGAGGAUUGAGAAAGGACCAGAUUUUUUUACCCUUGGGUUACAGCGGGAGAAUGAUGGUACAAAUGUUGCAUCCCAGUGGAUUGAAUUUUGAAGUUCACAGUGGGAAGCAAUUUGAUUAAGUGUUUUUUAGAGAUGCCAGCCGAGCAAGAAGGUGUUUUAGCACGUUAGUGAUAAAGCCUUAAUAAACUUCGAGUAAUGACAACCUAAGCGGGAUCAUUCUCAAAAGAAUAAUAUUCUAUAUUCAUGCAAAUGUCAUUCAUACACGUUUAGUUAGGAGCAUUUGAUUCAUUCUGAUCAUGACAUCCUAAUCACUAGGCAUAAUUAGGUUCAUAAUUGAAUUAUACAGGUCAUGCUCCCCAGAGAAUAAACCGAAGAUACCAGCCUUGUCUCCCUGGGCAGUAGUGGAGUAGGUUGAAAAUAGCAGAUAUUGUCUUCCUGUAUUGGCAGCGAAGUAGAUCGAAGAUACCAGCCUUGUCUCCUUGGGCAGUAGUGGAGUAGGCUGAAAAUAGAGAUCUUGUUUUCCUGUAUUGGCAGCGAAGUAGAUCGAAUAUCCCAACCUUGUCUCCCUGGGCAGUAGUGGAGUAGGUUGAAAAUAGCAUAUCUUGUCUUCCUGUAUUGGCAUCGAAGUAGAUCGAAGACUUCAGCCUUGUCUCUAUGGGCAGUAGUGGAGUAGGUUGAAAAUAGCAGAUCUUGUCUUCCUAUAUUAGCAUCGAAGUAGAUCGAAGACUUCAGCCUUGUCUCUAUGGGCAGUAGUGGAGUAGGUUGAAAAUAGCAGAUCUUGUCUUCUUGUAUUAGCAGUGAAGUAGAUUGAAGACCUCAGCCUUGUCUCCCUGAGCAGUAGUGGAGUAGGUUGAAAAUAGUAGAUAUUGUCUUCCUGUAUUAGCAGCGAAGUAGAUCGAAGACCUCAGCCUUGUCUCCCUGAGCAGCAAUGGAGUAGGUUGAAAAUAGCAGAUCUUGGCUUCCUGUAUUGGCAGCGAAGUAGAUCAAAGACCUCAGCCUUGUCUCCCUAAGCAGUAGUGGAGUAGGUUAAAAAUAGCAUAUCUUGUCUUCCUGUAUUGGCAGUGAAGUAGAUCGAAGAUACCAGCCUUAUCUCCCUAAGAAGCAUUGGAGUAGGUUGAAGACGGCAAAUCUUGUCUUCCUGUACUGGCAGAGAAGUAGAUCGAAGGUACCGGCCUUAUCUCCUUGAGAAGCAGUGGAGUAGGUUGAAGAUAGCAGAUUUUGUCUUCCUGUACUGGCAGAGAAGUAGAUCGAAGACGCCAGCCUUAUCUCCCUGAGAAGCAGUAGAGUAGGUUGAAGAUAGCAGAUCUUAUCUUCUUGCACUGGCAGUGAAGCAGAUCGAAGACACCGACUUUGCCUCCCUGGGUUUACAGCAGAGUAGGUUGAAAAUAGCAGAUCUUGCCUUCCUGUACUGGCAGCGAAGCAGAUCGAAGACACCAGUCUUAUCGCCUUGACGUUGCAAUGGAAUAGAUUGAAGCCACGACAACCAACAUUACUUCUCUAGCGUUGCAGCGGAGCAGAUUGAAGCCACGACGGCGAAUCUUAUCUCCCUGGCGUUAAGACUUGGAUUUGUUGAAGUGGAGUGGAUUAAACCUGUGGGCAGCGAAUCCUAUUUCUUUGGCAUUACAGUGGAAUAGAUUGAAGCCACAACGGUGGAUCUUAUUUCUCUGGUGGUGUAAUGGAAUAGGUUGAAGUCGAGACGGCGAAUCUUGUUUCCCCAACAUUGUAGUUAAACAAAUUGAAGUAAAUAAUCCUAUCUCAUUGAAGUUACAGUGGAGUGGAUUAACAUUAGAUCUUAUCUCUCUGAAGUUGUAGAAGAGCAGAUCGCAUCAAAUCUUAUCUCCCUGAAGUUGCAGUGGAACAGAUUGAAGAAAUCAAUCCUAUCUGCCUGAAGUUACAGUGGAGUGGAUUAAAAUCAGGUCUUAUCUCUCUGAAGUUACAGAAGAGCAGAUCGCAUCCAGUCUUAUCCCCCUAAAGUUGCAGUGGAGCAGACAGAAGAAAGUAAUCUUAUUUCCCUGAGGUUGCAGUGGAGUGGAUUAAAAUCACAGAUCUCACCUCUCUAGAGUUGCCGUAGAGUGGAUCGCAUCAGACUUAUCUCUAAAGUUGUAGUAAAACAAGUUGAAGCUAUGAGUCUUAUCUCUCUGAAGUUGUAGUGGAGCAGACUAGAGAUAGCAAAAUUUUCUCUUUUGAGAAACUACAAGGUACAAGUCCUAUCUCCUUGAUGUUGCAGUGGAGUGGAUUAAAGCACCGAUUCCUAUACCUCUGAAGACGCAGUAGGUUGGAAUGAAGCUACUUGAAGAGCACCAAAGUCCAGCACGACUAGGCAAAAUUGGUCAUUUCUAAAGUCUUUGCUCUGUUCUCGUUACACGAUAACGAGCAAAGAGGGGCAGCUGUAAUAGGCCAAUUUUGGCCUGGCUAAAAAUCAAAUAAAAUUAACAACCCAAUUGACCCAAUGCAACACCCAAUAACCAAGUUAGCCCAAAAUUAAAAAAACAAAAAACCCUAGAACCUUCAACAGCUGCUCUCCCACAUGUGUGCCUCCAGCCCCUUCCAUGUCACCCCACGAACGGCUUCUUCAGUAUGACGAUUUUACCUGCAAAAUAAGACCAUAAACAGCAAGAAAAAAGCACACUAUAGGCAUGAUAGAAUAACAUAAAAGAAAUUGAAUAACGAGGGGGCAGAGAAAAAAAGAUUUUUUUAUUUGUUUAUUUUUUUCUUUUGGGUCGAUUCGACGAUAUAUAAGGCCGAUUCCGAAUCUGUAAGGGGGAAUCUUGUGUUGAAAAGUAUUGAAGAAAACAAAAAACUGAGAAUAAAAAAAACAAUUUUGAAGGUAUUGAGUGGGUUCCAUUUUUCCUUUCUCUUUACCGUUUUGGUUCCUUUUUUAUUUUCUUCCUUCUUUUUUAAAACAAAUAAACAAAGUAACGAGGGAAAAAGAGAAGUUUCUUACUAGCAGAGGCGCGCCGUCGGCAUUCUAGCUGGUUUUCGGUGUAAGGAGCAAAGGAGAAGAUGAAGCAACCCUUGUGGCUGCUGUUGCUGAAAAUGAAAUGGGGUUUUGAUUAGGGUCUGAAAUGGGUUUUAUUUGCUGCAAAUGAAAUGGGGUUUUAUUUAUGGGUUAUUUAUGUUUUUAAUCCUUUUUAUUUUUCUAUCAUUUUAAAACCAUUGCUCUUAAAUUUUUAUUUUUUUUCUUUCCUUUAAUGAAAUAUUGAAACCGUUUCUACUCUAGUGCUGUGCACAAUUUUGAAAGUGGGAUUAUUUUCCCUUUUGACCCUUCAUGCUUAUGAGCAUUUUACAAAUUAGUCCUUCUGUUUUUUUUACACUACUAUUAUUAUUAUUUUUAUUAUUUUAAAUUAUUAUUAUUAUUAUUAUUAUUAUUAUUAUGGUAUUAUUAUAGCCAUAUAUUAUACGUAUAUAUUUAUACACUAUAUCAUAUAAAUGCAUAUAUAUUUUAUGAUACGUAUUCAUUUUCUAUAUAUUAUAUAUAUACCUACAUAUUUUUACACAUAUAUACAUGUUUUCGUAGUUUAUUUAUAUAUUAUACUUAUACAUUUUUAUAUAUUUUGUAAAUAUAUAUAUGUACAUAUCUUAAAGUACACAUACUUUUAUAUACUUCUAAAUAUCAUAAUUUUUGUAACCGUAUUUAUAAAUAUACUUCCUUACAUAUAUUUUUGUUUCAUAAUUUUAAAAUAUAUAUACAUACAUAUAUUCCUAAUAUUUUAUGUACAUACACAUACAUAUGUAUAUUAAAUUUUUCAUAUAUUUCAUGGUUUUGUUGUUUCACAAAAUGUCUAUCUUCUUAUACCCAUUUAAUUACAAAAGUUUUAAUUCAACUCGUUUUUUUACUGUAUUUUUUUUACAUUAGUUGACUCGUUUUUAUUUUAUGUUGCUUUAUUUUAUUUUAUUUUAUCUUCUAUUGGUUUGUGCUCAUGCUAUUCUCUUUAGCAUUUUAAAAUAUGUUUGUAUUUGUUUUUUAAAAAAAUGUUUCAUUUUUUAUUGAAGCAUGAAAAUUAUUUUAUUUCUUAAAAUUUUAAAAUAUUUGGUAUUCAUGUUUUUCGAGAAGGAUCGUGUCCUAACUUACUGGGCUUCGAUUCUUUCGAUGGAUUUAGAGAGCCAAGUAUUUAUUUUGCAAAAAAAUCACAAAAAUUUCAAAUAAAAGCUUAUUCUCGGGAAUCCAAAAAUGUCGGGUCCUAACUUACUGGUCAUGACAUUUUAUUAUCUCGAAAUAAGAUUUUCUAAAACAAAAGGUCAUAUUCGGUAUUUGGAAUUUUGAGAAAUUGUGUCCUAACUUACUGGGUUUUGAUUUUCUUCAUUUGACCUAAAUAACUGAAUAUUCUUAGAUUUAUCUGUGUGAGUUUUAAAAUCAAUAGACAAACUUAAUUUUGAAGAUUUAAAAAUAUGGUGCCUAACUCACUGGGUGCGAUGUUUUAUUUCUCUGAAAUAAGAAUGUUUUAUUAUUUUAAUUCAUUCACGAGUUAAAAGUUUUCUCUUAAAAUCUUUUCAAAAUUUCGACACCAAGACAUUAAACAAUCAAUUCGGUACCGAUUUUGGGCGUUACGAGGGUGCUAACCCUUCCUCGCGUGUAACUGACUCCCGAACCUGUUUUUUAAAAUUUCGUAGACCAAAUUUUUUUUUUAGGUGAGCCGAUCACACCUCAGUAAAGGACCGGUGGCGACUCCAAUUUUCGUUUUUAAAGUUGAUAACUAAUUUUUGUUUUUAAAAAAUGGUUUCGACAGUAUUAAUUUAAAAAUUUAAUACUAUCAAUAAAUUUAGAUGCAUUAUUAAGUACCAACUAAACAAUACUUAAAUAUAGAUGUGUUUUAUAGAAAAAAGUUAUCAACUUAAAGAAGUUGCAACAAAAAUUUAAAAAAUUCAUUUAUCAAACGAAUAUUUAAAACAUAUAAUCUAAACUGUGACAUAAUAAAACACAUGAGCAUAACUUGGAUUUACCAAAAAUCUAUGUAUUUUUCUAAAUUUUAAAUUUUAGUCCCUAUAUUUUAAUUUAGAGACAUUGAGUCACUAUACUUUUUUAUUUAAAAAUCUUGGUCCCUUCAUCAAUUUUAUAAUUAUAAUGGUUGAUUUAGUUGUUGUAAAAAAAGGUAGAAUAACUUUUUUAGCCUUAAACAUUUGCAGUUUUUGUUAAUUUGGUCCUUACUCUUUAAAAUUACAUAAAAAUUGAAAAAAUAUUUUAAAAAUUAAUUUAUUUCGUAUUUUUAAAAACAUUUAUAGUUUUUUUUUGUGGUUUGGUAACUUAUCAACUCGACUCUUAAUUGUAACCAACUCUUUUGACCUUUUUCGUACCCUUAACCUAAGCCCCGUUACAACUUUCUAAAGACCUCUUGACUGGUGUAUCAUCUCGAUUUGUUUUUAUAGUGGUGGAAAUUUGGUUUUCAAGCAAGCCUAUAAUAAUCACAUUUUUCGUUCGACUGUUGACCACACAGUACUUGAACCUUAAACACUUUGAGUGUUUUGAGUGAAUCUUAGUUAGGGUAUUGAUUAUUGUUGAGUUUGAAUUUCAGUUAAUUCUUGAGAUAGAGGAGACACCUGUGUUUUUUGUGCUUUACAAAUUUCUGCUUAGAUUGCUUUUAUUCUUUAGUCUCAUUCUAGUUUCAAUUUCUAGUGCAUGAUUAUCUGUAGAUUAUUCCUAAGGCAUUGUCAGUGAAAAUAAUAAAUUGAGGGAGAUUAACUUGAAUAAGGGUUGAGAAUUUUGCUUAAGGACAAAUGAAUGCUUAAAUGUAGGGAUAUUUGAUAAGUGCUAAAAUUAAUAUGUUUUAACAUCAUUCUUAAUGUGGUUUUGGUUGAUUAUUCGAUGUUAAUUUUGAAAUUUAUGCUCCUAGUCCUUUCAAUUCGUGUUUUUAUGUUAAUAGAACAUUUGGGAGGAAAAUGAGCAAAAAUCAGAAAAUGGGGACAAACUAUAGGACCCACACGAGCUGACCUAUUCCACAUGUGGCAGGCCGUGUCGAUUUCGUAGAUUUGCACUCUGAACUGCGAAAAAUGUGAAUUUUAAGUUCUUCGAGCAUUUUAAGACAUAUAUAUGAAAAAAAAUAAGAAGAUAGGAGAGAACCUUCCUAGAAUAUUUAAGAAAACAACUCCAAAGACACCAUUGAAGCCCACUCUGAAGUAAAUUUUCAUCAAGAUUAACGAUUUCCAGUUGAUUUCUUAUGAGAUUAUCAUGAGUUUCUUUAUUUCUUUCGGUUAUAUUGCCCUUUAGAUGUUUUAUUUUUAAGCAUGAACUAAUUUUCUAAAUACCUAAGAGAGAUGAACCCUAUGAUAGAUUGUGACUCCCCAAAUCUGACCGGGAUAGACCGGCCCAAAUUCGAAAUAUUACAUUAGCCACCUAAGUGACUCUCCAGCUAAUGACCACCCAAGACACACCCCGACCUUAUAAAACCUCAAUAUUAUCUAAUUAUUAGUUAUUUAUUAAUGCAAAAGUAAAUUAUGUGUCAAUUUUAAACUUUUCCUAGGUAAUUUAACCUAAGGGCAAUUUCAUCAUUUUACCACCUAAAACUAACCUGAUUUUAGAUCUAAGUGUUUACCAACCUUCUUUUAGUCAAAUCACGCAAGCCUAAAAUUUUCAACUUAAUUUGAUUUCGUUUACUAUGUCUAAUUCAAGUUUUAUUAUUAGGGACUAAAUUGUAACUUAAACAAAUUAGAAUACCAAUUUAAAGAGACAAAAUUUCAAAAUUCCAAAACCCACACGGGUAUGUGGGUAAGUGACAUGGGCGUCUGGAGACUAGAGCAAUCACACACGAGCAUGUGGGAUUGAAAAAAAUGAAAUAAAUUAUUCCACUCAAUUUUCCGACAACCAUGCUAUACUACCAAACCAAAUAAUGCUUCAAGCUUUGAAUAUGGUCGAAUCUAAAAUUUCUUUUAGAGGAAUCAGAAUUAAAUUAUAAAAUUUUGAGAAGUUAAAAUAUAAUUUUAUCAUGUAUUAAUUUAUUAUUUUUUAAAGGGACUUAAUAGAAUUUUUUUUCCCCAUUUUGGUUGGGCCAAUACCCCUGCCUACCUCUUUAAAUUUGCUCCAACCCUAAACCUAAUAUUCGAGUUCGAUUAACAACAAUAUAUAGUUUAGUAUUUGUGGAAGUUUGACGAAGAAAAUUUUUUUUAGAGGUUUAAAUUAUAAAUUUUUGAAACAUUAAAAUAAAUUUGUAUUUUUAAUUACCUUUGGGAUCAUACGGGUGAUUUUGAUGAUGUUAAUGGUUAUUUGGUGGAGAAGGUGAAAAAGAAACAAAUGAUUCAUUAUAUAUAAUAUAAUUAUGAAAUUCAAGCCAUAUAUUGUAUGUUUCAUACAUAAAAAUUUCAUGGGACGUCCAAAGGUAAUUAAAUGACUUGUAGGCUUGCUGAAUUUCUUUGAAAGGCCCAAAGGCUAUUUAACAUUCACAAAAUAAUCUCUAAAUACUGUAAAGACAAAUCAAAUUCACAAUUGCAUUAGAGUCGAUUAAGCUAAGCAUUGGCAAAUAUUACUUUGAUUUUGCAUGCAAUAUUGGCAAAACCCCCUCUUACAUUUGAAAAACAACAUAAUCCAUGAAACAUUGAUAGCCCAAUACAAAUUUCAUCGGGAAAAAGGUCUCUUUGUUUUGUAGAACAUGUUAGUAAAGAUGUGGAGUUUCGUUCUUCUUAUUGGCCUCCUUUAGCUUUCCUUGUUCAACAACCACUAGCCAAAAACACAGUUAGAUUAGAUUAUGAAUGAUACUUUUAACUAUGACAAUAUUAAAUACAAAACACUCUAAAUAACUCUAAAUAAAUGGAAAGCAGCAAAUUACUUGACGAGGCAAGCUAGCUCAAUUAAGACCAUUGUGUUAUUCUUGUCUCUGAAUUGAAAAAUUUAGAAGGAAAUAAAGAGAAAGACUUAGAAAAUACUUGAAAACAGAUAAAACUUAUAUGUCAUUUAAAAUAAAAAAAUUUCUAUUUAAGCCGUUUAAAAUUUUUAAGAUUUUUAAAAUUUUAAAAUGAUAAAGGUAAAAUUAUACUUUGGCAUCCCAAAAAUGAUAAAACUUUGAUUUAAUCCUUUAGAAAUUAUAAAAAUAUAGGCUAUUAAAAUGAUAAAAUUACAUUUUUACUAUAGUAAAAAUUACAAUUUAAUUUCACCCCUAAAAGGAUUUUCUGGGUUCGCCCCUAACAAAGAUUAAAAUAAAAUUAUACCGUAAAUGGAAAAAGAAACUAAGAAAAUCCAAUCUAACAAAGAAAAUAACUUGAUGUCCAAAAGCUACCAUAAACCGUAAUUCAUGGGAAGGCUUGUUGCUUAUUUUAUUGGUUUCCAUUUUGAUUUGCAAAAGAAGUUUGAAUUUUGAAGAGAGCCUACUACGUGAGAGCAAAAGCAAAAAAAAUAGUUUAUAUGAUUAAAAUUCCAGAAUAGAUUAAAAAUGUUGAAUUAAAGAUAAAAUUAAGUGUGAAUUAAUAACCACAAGUUUACUCAUUACUCACCAUCUCUGUUAAAAAUGUUGGAUGCUGUUUAGCAACCUUUGUUUGAUUUUCUUCAGCUCAACCACAACAUCUUUCAUAUCUUUUCUUUCUUCUGGCAACUCAGCUGAACAAUUCAAAGCCAACUCCAUGAUAGAUGAAAUACAAUUUGCUUUAACAGCAAUGUACUCAUCCUCUCUUCUUAAUAAAUCAACAUCUGCAAUUUCUAUGGCUCCUUUAGGCAAUGAACUUUCCAUCCAAUGCCUCAUAGUCUCUUCUUCAACAAAAACAUUAUCAGUGGGCUUUUUCUUUGUGAAAGUUUCUAUAAGGACGAUCCCAUAACUAUAGACGUCAGAUUUUAUAGAAACAAGUCCUGCUGAUCCAAAUUCUGCAUUUCAAGUAUAAUUAGAACAUCAUCAAUCCUCAAUUAUUUCUAAGAUGCUUAUUCAAAUAUAUAUCCACAUACACAAGAAACAAAAAUAUAAAAUGCAAAUUAGGAAAAUAAUCGUACAAAAAUAAAAAAGAAUUCACCUGGUGCCAUAUACCCGAUAGUUGCAAGAGUCAUGGUUUGCUUCAUUACUUCACCUUCUCCCAACAAUUUGGCAACGCCAAAAUCUCCAACAUGUGCAACCAUGUCUUCAUCUAGUAAAAUAUUGCUUGGUUUUAUGUCACAAUGAAUUAUAGGUGUUGGAUGUCCAUUGUGGAGGUGUUCUAUAGCUACCGCAACAUCUAUCAUUAUGUCGACCCUUUGUAUGAUAUCAAGGAAACAAUUUUCAGAAUGUAACCAUUUCUCAAGGUUUCCAUUAGACAUGUAAUCAAGCACCAAGGCUUUGAAGUCAACACUUGAGCAGCAAGUAAUGACCUUCACAAUAUUACGAUGAACUAUAUUAAGCAUAGCAUCACAUUCAAUGUCAAAACUCCUAAAUGCUCCCUCUGUUUGCAAAUUGAAAACUUUUAUUGCAACUUCCAUUCCAUCUGAAAGCCUCCCUUUAUAUACAUAUCUAAAACUCCCUGAACCAAGCAUAUUGCUUUCCCCAAAUCCAUUAGUUGCUCGGGAAAGCUCAGCAUGUGAAAUUCUUCUCCGUGUUUUCAAAGACAACAAAUCAUCUUUAAUUGGUAGAGUUGUACUCCUUUGGCAUCUUGUAUACAUAAUAGUUAAGACUAUUAGUACUACGACAAUACCAAUUGUUGGUAAACCAUACCUAAAAGCAUGCAAUAGAAUCAUUUGGGAGUUUUUGUGGAUGUCGUUUUUGCAAGGUGGGACUAGCAACCUAGGUGGACCACAAAGUGCAUAAUUCUUCAUAAAUGAUGUGCUAGAAAAGCUUGAAAAACAUCCUUUGCUUGGAAUUUCCCCUUCAAGUCUAUUGAAAGACACAUUAAAAUACUUAAGAUAUAAAAGCUUUUCCAAAGAUUUGGGAAUGACUCCAGAGAGAUUGUUAUUGCAUAAAUCCAAGAAUUUCAAACUAAUCAACCCAUCAAAUGAUUCAGGGAUAUGACCAUGUAGUAUAUUAUUUGAUAAAUCUAAUGAAACCAAAGUUUGAAGACCCCCAAAUGUGGAUAAGACAUCGCCCGUGAGAAGAUUCUUUGAUAAAUUUAGUUUCAGUAGACUCCUCAAAUUUCCAACAUCAAUAGCAUGAGAAUUGUGAAGAUGGUUUGAUGAUAAAUCUAUUUCUAAGAUAUCUUUAAGAUUCCACAAAGUUGAGGGUAUUGUGGAACUCAAUUUGUUGGAAUCUAAGUAAAGAUAUCUCAAAGAAGUAAUAUUACCCAAACAAGAGGGUAUGGAUCCAUGCAGCUUAUUCAACCCUAAAAACAAGUUGUAUAAUCUCUCCAAAUCACAAAGGCUUUCUGCGAUGGGCCCUCCUAAUUUAUUAGAGGAAAUACCUAGACCUUGGAGAUUUCGCAGUCCUCCUAUUGAUGUUGGAAUGAAUCCACUUAAUUUAUUAUAGCCAAGUUGUAAAAGCAAUAGGUUGGUUAAGUUACCUAUUUCCAUAGGAAUAAUGCCUUGAAGCUCACACUCAUCGGCAUAAAAGUAUUGAAGGGAUUUUGAAAGGUUCCCAAUAUAAGUAGGAAGAACGCCACUCAAUGGAUUUCCUGAAACAUCUAUUGUGCUCAAAUUCCUACAAUUCGUCAAAGAAGAAAGAAAGCUCCACUCAUGAUAAGUAGCAGAUCCUGUGAUCAAAUUAUUGUCAGAGAUUUGGAGCCAUUCAAGUUGUCUUAAGCUGCCAAGCGUUUUAGGGAUUGGGCCAGAGAAUAAGUUAUGUGCCAAGUCUAGUUCCUUAAGCAUGGAAGCAUUGGAGAUAGAGUAAGGAAUGUUUCCGCUAAGUUUAUUUCCCCACAAUAAAAGAAUCUCAAGCUUUGGAGCAUUGGUGAUGGGUGGUAAAUUACCUGUAAAAUAGCAUCUUUUAGAAUACAUAUUCAUUGAAUACAAAAUUCACAAAAUAUAUAAUACAUUAAAAUAAAUUAAGAAACUAGGAAAAUUCAAUACCUUCUAGGUUAUUCAACCCCAAAUAUAAUUCUUUGAGUUGUGUCAGAUUUCCAAUACUUUUUGGAAUGAUUCCCAUCAAUUGAUUAUAGGACAACGACAAAAUUUUAAGGUUGCUGCAUUUUCCCAUGCCAAAUGUAAUGUUACCAGAUAAUUCAUUCCAACUCAAGUAAAGCCCUUCAAGCUUGGGAAGAUGUUGACACAUAUCAUUAGGCAAACUACCUGGUAGGCUAUUGCUGGAGAGAUUAAUAAUCUUCAGAGAAGAAAUAUUGAAGAUGGAAGAUGGAACCUGACCAGAUAAUUGAUUGAAUCCCAAGUUCAAGAUCUCUAGAUUAGACAUGUUAAAAAGUGUUUCAGGGAUUGUGCCUGUAAAGUUAUUAUUUUUCAUUGCCAGCCUUCGAACUCUCUGUAAGUUCCCAAGCCAUGAUGGAAUUUCCCCAUUAAGACGGUUGUAGCUUAAUCGAAGGAUCCUCAAACGAUGCAAUUGGCCCAAUUCUUUAGGGAGAUGGCCAUAGAAAUGGUUGCUACUCAAGUCGAGAGAGAGUAGAAAUGAAAGAUUUCCAAGGUGUGGAGGGAUAGUACCCCUAAGAUUCAUGCUUGUAAGAUUCAAAGCUAUAACUCUUUUAUGGAGGAUGCCACAAGAAACACCAAUCCAAUUGCAAACAGAGGUUGAGGCCGUCCAAUUAUUUGCCAAGACAUUUUGAGGACCGGCAAUGCGAUCCUUAAACUCGAGAAGUGCAAACUGAUCGGAGUUGAGAUUCUUGACUGUCAUAGCCAAGCAAAGUACGAAACACGGUAUGAAUAAAGCUAAAAGAAGAUGAAAGCAAGUGUUGUAGUUCAUGAUUGCAAGACGGAUUAAGGCAAGAAAAUAAAAAAAGUAGGAAAAGGGAGGUUGAGUUGAUAAAAUAGUUUGGAUGAUGAAGAAAAGCCCGGAUAGCAUGCUUUAAUAUGUUUCAACCCUCGUACACUUGAUAAAUUUAAGACUACCCUAAAAAUUAAAAAGGAAAACAAAGUUUUGAAGAGAUUUCAAAAUAAAGGUCAAGUCUUCUUCUUUAAAAAAUACGUCCAAAGAAGUGAAUUUUCAAAAUUUCUCCUAAAUUUUCUUCACAUUACUCCACAUAAUCAAUUAAGAAAACUUAAAAAAUAUAUUUUAUUAAUUGCUAUAUAUUCUUUUAUUUUUAGAAAGCGAAUUUUCAAAAUUUCUCCUAAAUUUUCUGCACAUUACUCCACAUAAUCCAUUAAAAAAACUUAAAAAUAUAUAUUUUAUAAUUACUAUAUAUUCUUUUAUUUUUAGAAUAAUAGUUUAAAAUAUGCUAUUAGUCCCUAUAAUUCAAAAGUUUUUAAAAAAUCCAAUCCUCCUAUUUUUCCAAUUUAAAAAUUCUAGUCCAAUCAUUUUUAAUUCCAUUAAAAAAUUCAACUUAAUAGGUUUUUUAUUAUCAAUCAUAUAUGCAACAUUAUAUGAAGGCAGUCUACUCAGCAUAUAUCCAAGUUUACAGAUUUUAAUAGAAAAUAUACUUACAAUCCUAAUGGUAGGACUAAGUUUUUUAAACUAGAAAAGUAAGAAGAUUUAAUUUUUAACUUUUUAAGUACAAUGAUUAGCUUUUAAAUAAAAAAUGUUAUGUAAAAAUAUUAAAUCUGUUAAAAAAAAUUACUUUUUUAAAUAGUAAAUGUUAAUUUUAUUAAUACAAAUGGGUCUUUAGGGCUAAACUUCAGUAAUUGACGAGCUCUCCCACAAACUACGGAUGAUUUGGGGAUAAAAACUUCAAUAAUUAUACAGUUAUAGUGUAAAUUUGCCACUAUAUUAUAAGUGUAUUGAAAUUUAUCACUAUAUUUUAUUUGAUAUUUAUCAUUACACUUUGAAAAUAUAAGUAAAUUUACCAUUUAACUCAGAUUUAACUUUGCAAGUAAACUUAAAAUUUUAUUUAAUUUUGUCACUAUAUUUGAUUUGUUCAAUAUAGAUUUUGGUGACUUAAAACAAAAUUAUUUCACUAAAAAAUUUUAAUUCACUCGAAAAGUUAGUGCUUUAUUUCAAGGGGUCAUAAUUAAUCAUUGAUUUCGCAAUUUUAAAUUUUGAAUUUGUUGACAAUUGCGUAAUUAAUAAGUACCAAUUUUGAGUGUUGUAGGGCUAGUACAAUUUUCCUUGCACAUAAGCGACUCAUGAACCUACUCUUUUCUCUAGAAUUCAAUGCAGACCUCAAAUUUAUCUUUUGAAAAGAAUUUUAAAAUCUCUGUAUAAAAGGUGAGUUUUUUUUUUGGUGACCGAUCACACUUAACCAAAUUUAAAAAUUAUUAAAAAAUAAUUUCUUUUUGAAAUUUAAAGUGAUCUAAAAACAUAUUUUUAAGUGCUUUGGACCGUCUAUUGUUGAUUUCCUUAUUAUAUUAAGUGUUUGUAAAUCACUCCUAAUAUAUUGUGUUUGAGUUGUGACAAAGCCGAUCAUCAAUGUGCCAUAAUGAUCUAUUGAUACUGAAACUGAAGUUUUUGUUAUAUUGAUAGAGCUUAUUCUUCAACGCGUACAACGUGUUUGUGAUUUUUCUCCCUUCAAAUUGUAUGAUCUUAUUCAUUAAGUGAAUUAAUAAAUUUUCCCUUUAAAAAGAUAUAUUUUUAAAAAUUAAAUACUUUAUAAAAUAUUUAAAAAUUUGUAAGCUUUAAAACAAUCAACACAAUAUAUUUUUCUCUAAAAAAUCAAUAAAAAUAUGUUUGAAAUUUUAUAUGAAAUUUAAAUUUUUUUAACAAUAAUAUAUUUUAAAAUUAUAGUAAUGCAGUAACUCUACAAAAUAUAUAUAUUUACUAAUUAUAUACACCUUUUUUAUAUUUUUUUUCUUAACAUAUCAUUAUUUUCAACACUAUCGUAAUCCUGUUUUGAUAAUUCCCUUUCCAUACAUCCUUUUUCUACAUAGAAUUUCAAAAGAAAAUGUGAAUUAAUGUAGACCUGAGAAGACUUAAUUACAUUUAUUAGUUUAUCAAUCAAAACUUAAUUAGAAUCCAUCAGUAUUUCAUACAUCAAAAACCCAAGCAUAAAAUUCACUUUUAAAUUAUUUGAAGAUAUAUUUGUAUUAUAAGAAAUGGAUUAAAUUAGUCUUUUUAUUAGUAAAUGUAUUAUUUUAACCUUUGUAUUAGUUAUGAAUGAUAUCUCCUAGAUUGAAGCCAGAGCUAUUCUUAAAAGACUAAAGUUAGGAUUCAAAUGUGUUGAGAUGGAAAGUGACAACACAAUGUUGAUUGAAACUAUUUGUAUCGGGUUGGCCAUAAUAAGUAGUGCUACCGAAGUAAGACAGAUUCACAAUUGGUGUUCCAAAAAUUGGAAAGUCAAAUUUCGACAUAUUAAGCGGAAUGCCAAUAAAGUUGUUGAUUGCAUAUCUAAGCCAAAUGGAGGCGUAAUUGAGCAGUUGGUUAUCUUGGAAGAUCCUCCACAUUAUGUGAGAUGCUAGCUUGAAGAAGAUAUUAGACAGUCACUGGUGACUGAUUAUAAUUUUCAUUUGGACUGAUGAGCGCUUAAUUUUUUAAGCUUAUAUUCAACAAAAAAAUUUAAAUACGUCUCAAUUGUAAUAGAGUUAACAUUUAGUGUUUAAAAAAUAUCUUAAAAAUUAUUUUUUCCAAUUGCAGUUCAAUUCCACAAAUAUCAACGAUGAACCCGGACAUAAAAAUUACAAAAAAAAAAAAACACAUCUAUUAUCAAACCAGCAAUCCAUGUCUAAACUUAAAUUAACAAAAUUUGCCACGCAACCUGGUACACUAUUUUAUAUAUAUACUAGAUUAUUCUAGAUGCACAUGUUUUAUUAUAUUUAAAAAUUAAAAUAUAUGGUUGACUAAGUUUUAGUUGAGUUAGUAUUGGUAUUAUUGUCAGUGUAGGAAAAUGUGAGUUUAAUUGUGCUCAAAUGUGUUUUAUACUCCAAUUCAAGGGUUAGGAAAAGGUUAUUGAUAAUUAAAUUAUUCCAACUUUUAUGAUAUUUGUUAAGUAUGACUCCUAUUUUUAGUCAAAUUUGAGAAAUAAUCUUCAAGUUAAACUCUGUUUAUUUGUUUCAGUCAAACACUGAUUAGUUUAGAUAAUUUUAUUAUUAUUUGACAUAUGAAUUUAGCCUAUAAAUAGGCUCUUUUACAACAAUUAGAAAAUACACCCAUUGGAGAUUAGAACUCAUAACACAUUUAGAGAAUUUUGUGUUUACGUUUUGAGGGUUCUUUGUUUUCGGGUUUUCGGGGUUUAGUUUUUAUCUCCAUCUUUUGUACUCUUCGUUCUUUUGCCAUUAUAGUAAAAUUAUCUUUGCCCGUGGUUUUUUAUCCUCUUUGGAGGGGUUUUUCCACGUUAAAUUUGUGUGUUCAAUUUCUCAAUUUAUUCCGCUAUUUUUGUUACUUGUUGCUUAAAUUGAGUCGAUCCUAACAAGUGGUAUCAAGAGCUAGUUCAAUUCAGAUAUGGCAACAACAAGGUUUGAAAUUGAGAAGUUCAAUGGUGAGACAAAUUUCAAUCUAUGGCAAGUUCGGAUGAUGGCAAUUCUAGUUCAAUCUGGUUUGAAAAAGGUUGUUACGGAGAAAAAGCCUGAUAAUCUAAAUAAAAUAGAAUGGGAAGAGCUUGAUGAAAAUGCCCUCUCUGCAAUCCAGUUAUGCCUCGCGAAUACGGUAUUGCAGGAGGUAUUGAUGGAGAAGACCUCAUCCGCCUUGUGGAAAAGGUUAGAAACUCUUUAUGCGACUAAGUCUCUGGCUAACCGUUUAGUGUUGAAACAACGUCUAUUUACGUUUCGCAUGAACGAAGGUGAGCUUCUUAGGGAUCACAUCAGUCAAUUCAUUACUCUUUUAAAUGAUUUAAAGAACGUUGAGGUUCAUAUUGAUGAUGAAGAUCAAGUUAUGCUAUUAUUGUGCUCUUUACCCCCUUCAUACAAGUCUUUCAAGAAGACCCUGAUUUAUGGUAGAGACAAACUCUUGUUCGAAGAUGUGAAGGGUCAUUUGUUGAGUAGAGACAAACUCGACAAUGAGCUUCAUUUGGAUAGCAAGGCAGAUAGGCAAGCUUCCGUUUUGAUAGCAUCAAAGAAACGAGACAAAAGGUGUCGCUAUUGUAAAAAGUUAGGUCACGUCAAAGUAGAUUGUUAUAAACUACAAAAUAAAAAAGCUGCUGAGAGUAAUGAGGAAGAUGUAGCUGGUGCUAAUUAAGCCGAUGAGAGCGGUGAUGAUUUCUUGUUAAUGUCAACGAGUGAUAACUCCAAGCUCACGUCUGAGUGGAUCUUAGAUUUGGGAUGUUCUUUCCACAUGUGUCCCAAUAAAGAAUGGUUCUCCACAUACAGUUCGGUUGAAGGUGGAGUUGUGCGCAUGGGAAACGAUUCAUCUAGUAAGGUAAUUGGUAUUGCAACUGUUAAAAUUAGGAUACACGAUGGGACGAUUAGGACACUCUCAGAUGUCAGGUAUGUACCUGAUUUACGAAAGAAUCUCAUCUCCUUGAGUAUUUUAGACUUGAAAGGAUGCAGAAUCAACAUUGAGUCAAGCGGCAUUAAAGUAUCCCGUGGAGCUCUCGUUUUGUUAAAAGGUAAAAGAACUGGCAGUCUUUAUAUUCUGGAAGGUUCUACAGUGACCGGUGAAAUCGGACGUCCCUCAUCCGUUACAGAGUCGAAGUCAACUCGUUUGGAGCAGAGGCAACAUGGUUAUAGGAGGGAAAAAUAUAUGACCGUUUCGUUGAAAAGAGGUUCUCUUUUGGAUGCAGAUUUUGAAAAGUUAGGGCACUGUGUUCGUGAAAAUCAGACCCGGGUUAGUUUUGAUUUGGCAGUGUAUAAGUCGAAGGCUAGAAGUCUUCCAGUUUCUAAGCACAGAUUCGACUCAGUUAAUUCCCUGCAUAGCUCAAAAUAGGCUCGUGGCGGGCUUUGGCAAAAAUGGCAUUGUAGAAAUAUGAGUCAAGGUGGAGAUUUGUUAAGUAUGACUCCUAUUUUUAGUCAAAUUUCAGAAAUAAUCUUCUAGUUAAACUCUGUUUAUUUGUUUCAGUCAAACAUUGAUUAGUUUAGUUAAUUUUAUUAUUAUUUGACAUAUGAAUUUAGCCUAUAAAUAGGCUCUUUUACAACAUUAGAAAAUACACCCAUUGGAGAUUAGCACUCAUAACACAUUUAGAGAAUUUUGUGUUUACGUUUUGAGGGUUCUUUGUUUUCGGGUUUUUGGGGUUUAGUUUUUAUCUCCAUCUUUUGUACUCUUCGUUCUUUUGCCAUUAUAGUAAAAUUAUCUUUGCCUGUGGUUUUUUAUCCUCUUUAGAGGGGUUUUUCCACGUUAAAUUUGUGUGUUCAAUUUCUCAAUUUAUUCCGCUAUUUUUGUUACUUGUUGCUUAAAUUGAGUCUAUCCUAACAAUAUUAAAAAAAGGAUUUAUAAAGAAUAUAAGGAAAAGAAAAAAAGAGAGAAACAUAUUCAUAUUGAUGGGCUCUUUCAAUAUUAGACUUUUUUUUUCUAUCACAAGUAAAAAUAUCAAAGGUGAUAAUAAUUAAAUUAUAAAAUUUAAAGUGAGAAAAUAGGGGAUUGAAUUUAUAACUUUUAAAGUAUAAAGAAUGAAUUUAUAACUAACAACAUAUUUUAACCACAUAAUAAAAGUAGUUAUGGAGAGGAUCAUGUAAAAUAAUGACCUGAAUAAUUUUAAACGUUUCAUCCUUGCAAAAAUGAAAUAAUAGAAAAGAAAUAAGUGUUAGGUGUAGUGGCAAUGUACAUUAUACUUCUAAGGGGAGAUCAGGGUUUUAGACAAGGAAAGAAUUUUAAACCUGCUUUUUUCUCUAGAACUCAACGCAAACCUCAAAUUUACCUUUUUAAAAGAAUUUUAAUAUAACUAUAUAAAAGGUGAUUUUUUUUACUGAUCACACUUAACAAAAUUUAAAAAAAAAAAUUAAAUUUAAAGUGAUCUAAAAACAUAUUUUUAAGUGCUUUAGACCAUUCUAUGUUGAUUUCUUUAGUAAUUUGAUUUGUUCAAUAUAGAUUUUGGUGACUUAAAACAAAAUUAAUAAAAAAUUAUUCUUUCAGAUAUCUUUUUAAUGUUAAAUAAUAAGUUAAUUUAUAAAAUAUACUUUCAUUGGACACAGGCCUCCAAGGCGGUGAACCACUGAUCAAAUUAAUUUGGAGAUACCUAAAUUUGUUUUCAUCAAUUAAGAAAUUAAAAGAAAUUGUUGAGAUGAUGGAUCAAGUGUAUCUCGCCAGUGAUCAUUAAGGAGAAAAAAGAGUCAAUUAAGUGAAAAUUAUAUUCCAACAUCUCCCCAGAACCAAAUUUCAGAGUGAUGAAUGUCAUGAUCAAAUUGAACAUCUUAGUGGAAGUAACCAAACCUUUUCCAGCGAAACUCAACAUCCUCUUCACAAAGUUGUUGGAAUCAAAAUUGUUGAAGGACUUUAAAGUGUUUCUUUAGAUCAACUCAAGGAGCUUAUUAAAAAAACCAUCAAAGAUCAAGUCAAAAGUGUUACUUCGCCUUCAUAUACAUACUCAAAGUCAUACAUCUGGAGGAUUUAUCAUUUGAAUAUGCCUGAACAUUAUCCACCUUUAAAAUUGCAAUGGUUUGAUGGUAAAGGAAAUCCAUGUAAACAUGUCACUCACUUCGUGGAAACUUGUGAUCGCGUCGAUGUAACACUCCACUCACGACCCAAUCGCUGGAUUUAAGAAGAGAGAUACGAAAAUCAUGUUGGAAAAAAUCUUCGAUAAGUGUAGCAUGAGUGCUCACACUCUCCAAACACUCCAUACUAUCUUUGGUAUCGGAGUUAAGCUUGACACUCCCUUAUCUCUCCAAUGUUAUCUUCAGGCCAUAAUGCCCUAUCACAUAGUAAAAAAGGUGAGCACUCACAAUCCUAUGGCAUGCCAAUGAUAUCUAAUGGUUUCAAGUGUUCACAAUGCCAACAUAUGAUUUUUAUCACAUUCACUUUACACAAUUUAAAACGGCUUAUAAUACAGCAGAUCUCACAUAUCAUAGUUUUUAAUAACAUAAUUCACAUUUCUGUAGGGCUUGUAUUAUACAUAAGUUAGUAAUAACAUGGAUUCCCAUAAUAGUUAUGGCUUGCAUAUAUUUAAGGCUCGUAUGCAACAUUUGGGAUCCCAUAUAUUUAAACUCGCAUAAUACAGGGGCUCGCACGACAUAUUUUGGCUUGCAUGCAAUAUAGGGCUUGAUCACAUAUAUAGGUUUACAUGAUCUUAGGGCUCACAUCACAUAUAUAAGCACGCAUGAUACAUAGGUCCACUCAACAUGUAUAUAUAAACUCGCACAUCAAAGUAUAGGCUCGCAUGCAUUAAGGUGAUAGAGUUUGCAAACAAUUUAGAGCUCGCACACACCAUAGGCUUGCAUACAUACAUGUUAGCAAGGUCUGCAGGUCACAACUCGAGGCUCACAUAACUACAGAGGCUUGCAUGGAAAUAUAAUAGUGUUCAGAUAUCAUUUUAAUCGGCUUCACACAUUAAAUCAAACGGUUUGCAUGCCUUCCUUGGCUUUCAUUAGCAUGUGAACUCGUGUUUUUGACACAGUGUGCAAGGACACUCAUUAGUUGUUUGUUGAUACUGUCGAACCUAUACCACAUUUUGCUUGAAUUUUUCCUUGCUCAUGGAUGCAUCUUCACAUUAAGAAGCUUUGCAUAAAACAAGAAAAUAUACAGAUUACUACUUUCACAGACAUAAUAACCUUCUUAACAAACAUAGUAGCAAAUCUUCCAAUCUUCCUUAAUAAUUCCUUAAAUGAACCUAAACCAAAAUGUAGUAUAAAUUCAAUAAAUUUAUCAUCAAACCAUCCCGCAAACACCCACUUAUAAGUUCAAACUGAUCAUUGAAAUUAUAACUAUUUUAUGAAUCCAAACUAGUUAGAUUCCUUAAACUGUAUUGAUGUGAAUUGUACGUACAACCGUUCUUCACCUUUACGGGUGAUUUGGGGUGUUUAGGUCAGCACCUAAUUCAAUAAUAUACUAAAAAAUAAGUAGUUAAUCAAUGAUUAAAUUCCUUCAUUUUAAUCAAUGAUUAAAAUCAGUAGUCUGAUGUUAAACGUGUGUUGUCAAAAUUUUCAAAAUAUUUUGUUCAAAUUAAUUUUUAAUCGUGAUCCUUGAAUUUUAUUUUUUAAAAGUCAUGCAUUUGCAUUCAGUUUUUAAAUUAAUAUUUUUCAAACUUGUUUUACUUUUCUUUUUUUUUUGAGCUCUAAGUUUUACCCUUUUUUUAGUUUUUUUUUAGUAAACAAAUAAAAAACAAAAAGGUUUGUGAGUUUCUCCCCACACACUGUGCACUUGCAUUCUUGCAUAACAUGAGCUCUCUACUCGGGCUCUGUCUGUUUAAGUGGAAGUAAACGCUACGCCUUCGUGAGUUAACUCAUUCCUCCGUACAGGCUAGUGAAAUACUUCCGGAUUACAUAUGACUUAUGCUUUCGUGAGUUAACUUGUCCCUCCACAUAAGCAUAAGUAAAUGUAGUCCCUCGAAUUGAGCUCGCGAGCCCAUGACAGGCGAUAACCGAGGCUCCGUACUAACCUUAGUAAGUGACAGUAUGGACAAUUUGAGUACCUUUCUAGAACCAAAACCACAUAUAGCGAACUGUACGAGCCACCCAAUUAGAGUCAUGUCGAACCUCUAUCCGUUGAAUAGUCACCAAAAAAAGUACAUGGGAGGAACACCUCUUACCUUGUAUUUCUUUUACAUUCACAUCUUUUGCAAGGGAAUCGAGUCUGUUUAAUAAAUUGGAUCGGUAGAUUAUUUGAUGAGCAUGUGGGGUAAGUUUAUUUUGUAAAGCAUGAGGGGGUAAGGAAAAAAACGUAGGUCAAUUUGUUAGAUUUUCCAUAGUUUUUCUUUGUUUAUAUUUGUCGUGAUUGCUAAUUAAGUUUAUUUGUCUUAAUUUUAUUUUUCAUCAUGCAUCAUAGGUAUCUCAUUAGGAAGGUGUUGAUUAGAGAUUGGUUGCCAAAAACGGGUUUCUGAUGGAGAAGUCAAUUACACAAGUAACUGAGAAAAAAAUGACAUAGUCAGAGACUGGUCUUUGAGGACCCAGAAAGCAAACGAUACAGUUUAAAGGAAAGAUAUAUCUCUGGUCUUUUCGGGAAGGCGACUUUGAAUGCUCGUCAGAAUAACCCGAAGAUUUGACUAGGAUUUGGAAACAAUGAGACUUAGGCACUAGGGGCAUCUUCAUUGGCAAAAUAUUUUGUAAUGGACUCUUUUCAUAAAUUAAACGCCAAAAUAUGGGGCUAUCUUAAAAUCAACACUAUUUUUUUACAUAUUUACGCGUGACUAGCAUCCAUUGAUCAUUCAUCAUUCAUUCAUUCAUUACAUGUACAUAUCACCCGUACCAUUCACUGAGGCUAAAACAGUAUAAUCCACAGUUGCGGCACAAGUCUAGAAUCACGUCAUCCUUACAGGACACGUCUAAGAACUAGAGCUAUGGAUGUUGAACUUAAUGAAAAAAUCAAAAGGAUGGAAAAGAUCUAAAAAAAGUUACAAGAGCAAUUGGUCAAGUCACAAAAAGAGACCAGAUAUAUGAUGGUGAGAUCUCGAGAGGAAUCACUCGAGCAAAGAGAUCAAAUGACCAAAAUAAUGGAGAUGAUUACAGUUUUGGUUAAAGGAAAAGGACCCGUGCAAAGCCCUGACAUCAUGGAACCUCAAUCAAGAGCUAAUAAUGAUUGAGAUCCGCUCUAUCCCCCAGGAUUCACUCCACCUCACGCUCAUGCAAUGCAACUCAAGGGGAACCUAUAGUCCUAGAAUGUCGUCCUGUACCACCUGCUCAUCUAAGGCAAGGUAUAUUCAUAUUGAAUCCCGGAGCUAAUCCUACCGAUCUAAUUGUUCCAGAUCUGGAUGAUCCGGUGAAAUAUCAAAGUUGAAAACUGAUGAUUAUGGCACUCAAAAUAGGUAUAAGAUCCUAGAAGAAAGGCUUAAAGCAAUAAAAGGUACUGAAGUCUUCUCUGCAUUGAGUGCCAAAGAGCUCAGUUUGGUGCCCGAUUUGGUUCUACCCCCUAAAUUCAAGGCACCAGAGUUUGAAAAGUAUGAUGGGAUGAGAUGUCCAAAGGCACAUCUUAUCAUGUUUUUUCAGAAGAUGAUUGGUUACGUGAAUGAUGAUAAAUUGUUGAUACACUGCUUCCAAGUUAGCUUGGUCGGAUCAGCUCUUCGAUGGUACAAUCAGCUCAGUAAAAAAAAGAUCCGAUCAUAAAAAGACUUAGCAUCAGCAUUUUACGAGCAAUAUAAGCAUGUAUCAGAUAUGGUACCUGAUCGACUAACUCUGCAGAUGAUGGAAAAGAAGCUAACGGAGACUUUCAAAUAAUAUGCAGAAAGAUGGAGGGAUAUCUGAGCUCAAGUAGAACCCUCGUUAACUAAAACGGAGAUAACAGUCCUCUUCAUCAACACUCUGAAAGCGCCACAAAGGACUUUGCCGACAUUGUAAUAUCUGGGGAGCUUAUAGAAAAUGCCAUCAAAAGUGGAAGGAUGGAAGGUCCUGAGAGUUCGAAAAGGUAGUACCUAUAAGGAAAAAAGAGACAGAAACCCAUAUGGUCAGAAAUGAGAGCCACCAUACCUCCAGCCCUUACCCAGCCCAACAACGACCUCGUUAUCGCCCACCUUCAAACUUCUAUUUUCCUCCCCAAGGUCCUUACUGUCAAGCACCUCCUCCUUAUCUCGUCUAUGCCAUGAAUAACCAAAGAACGUUCACCAUGUUUCCACCACACACUAUGCCCAUACAAAUUUAACCCAAAAAUGAACAAAAACUAGCGAAACCCAAUCCUAGAAAACCUUAGUUCACCCGAAUUCCCGUGUCAUAUGGAGAAUUGUACCCGAAACUGUUGGAGAAGCAAUUAAUAUCCCUGUAUUACAUGGUACCCCCGAAGCCCCCAUACCUAAAAUGGUAUGAUCCUAAUGCUAGUUGCAUGUAUCACGUUGGAAAUCAGGGGCAUUCUACAGAAAACUGCCUUGCCUUUAAAAGGAGGGUUCAAGAUUUCAUCGAUGUUGGCAUUCUGUGAUUUGAUGGUAUUAGUAAUCCUCUUCCUACCUAUGCUGAUGGGAAUGUGAAUGCGGUAACAAAUGAUGACGAGGGGUAAAACAAUCCAAGAAGCGCUUUGAUUGAAAAGGGUCUUCAGAACAUCAGCAUAAAUGUUGUUGACAAUGAGAAUGAUGCAAUCGAGAUGAUACGCCCUUGUCCUCCAGGAUAUGUUUUGAACAACUGGACUGCUGUGGACCUCCUUGUAGUUUCUAAGUCCUCUCCAGAGUAAUGCCCAAUGAUAAUUCUCUAUUAUUUUGUGUGUCCCUAAGUAAUGGGAUUCCUUUUGUAAGAGCUUAUGUUUGCUCUUUAUCAUUUCAAUGAACAUCAAUGAAGAUGACCCAGAGCCUAGGUAUCGUAUACGCCCCCAAAAUAAAGAGCCUUGAAUACUAGAAGAAAAGCACCUAUACCUAGCAAAAUUAAGUGAAUACCCAAAAUUGUGGUCAUUUUAUUUCUAUCUUUCCAUACAUAACCGAAAAAUGGAAAAGAUUCUUCAUGAGUUUCAAGUGUCAUGGUAUUUUUUAUUUCCAUUAGCUUCAUAAUUAUCCCUUCUCUUCAUAUCAUUUCCCUACAUGUAUUUCAUAUCAUUCCAUAACAUUGUGUGUGUUGAUUCUUAUAUUUUUUAUGCUCCUCUAUAGAUUUCUUUCCCAUUCACUUUUCAGGUGCUCAGAUAUCCAUGGCAUGAACAAUCUCAUUACAAGUCUUGAAAUCGAUUUCGAGAAGGCUGUUUGUUUAAGAGAAUUUGAAGCUGAGGAGGAUGCUAAAGAUUUUGUCUCGUCUCCUGACUUACUGAGAAUGGUAGAACAAGAAGAGAAACAGAUUCUACCCCAUCAAGAAUCUGUUGAGACAGUAAACUUGGGAAGUGAGGAAAAGAAACAAGAAGUAAAGAUUGGGAUUUCCAUUUCAGAUAACACCAAACAGAAUUUGAUCGCCUUGCUCCGUGAAUACAAAGAUGUAUUUGUCUGGUCUUAUCAGGACAUGCCAGGGUUGAAUGAGGAUGUAGUGGUUCAUAGACUCCCAUUGAAACCAGAAUGUAAACCCAUUCAACAGAAGCUAAGACGGAUGAGACCUGAAAUGCUGUUAAAGAUAAAAGAAGAAGUCAAGAAACAAUAUGAUGAGGUUUCUUACAAGUCUCUAAAUAUCCAGAAUGGGUAGCUAACAUAGUCCCAGUAUCGAAGAAAGAUGGCAAGGUACGAAUAUGUGUGGAUUAUCGUGAUCUGAAUCGAACAAGCCCUAAGGAUAAUUUUCCUUUGCCACACAUCGAUACGUUGGUAGAUAACACAUCAAAACAUUCAUUAUUUUCUUUCAUAGAUGGUUUCUUGGGUUAUAAUCAGAUAAAGAUGGCUAUCAAAGAUAUGGAGAAAACUGCAUUCGUGACAAUGUGGGGAAUGUUCUGCUACAAAGUGAUGCCGUUCGGAUUAAAAAAUACUAGGGUAAUGUAUCAGAGAGCCAUGGUGAUGCUGUUCCAUGACAUGAUGUAUAAAGAAAUAGAAGUCUAUGUCGAUGAUAUGAUUGCUAAAUCCCAGGGAGAAGAAGAGCAUAUUGGGAACCUCAAGAAGCUAUUCGAAAGAUUAAGAAAGUUCCAGUUGAAGCUUAACCCAGCCAAGUGUACAUUUAGGGCUACCUCGGGAAAAUUUCUAGGUUUCAUUGUCAGCGAGAGAGGUAUUGAGGUUGAUCCAGACAAGAUAAAGGCUUCUUCCGUGUACAAAAAAAGAAGUCAGAGGAUUUCUAGGAGGGUUGAAUUACAUUGCUCAAUUCAUUUCUCAACUUACCAACCAGUGUGAUCCAAUUUUUUGACUCAUUCGAAAACAUAAUCCAGGAGAGUAGAAUGAGGCAUUAUGGGACGAAGGAAUUUGUGGAACGCAUGCCAAUGGGUUUACUAUAGCUAGGUAGAUUAUGAGACUUGGUUAUUUUUGGCUGACGAUGGAAAGAGAUUGCAUUAGCUACACACGAAAAUGCCACAAGUGUCAAAUUUACGGCGAUAAAAUUCAUGUAGCUCAUUCGCCCCUUCAUGUCAUAACUUCUCCGUGGCCUAAUCUAUGUGGGCCAUUGAUGUUAUAGGGUCAAUUUCCCUGAAGGCUUCCAAUAGACAUCGAUUCAUCUUUGUGGCUAUAGAUUACUUCACAAAAUGGGUAGAAGUCGCUUCUUUUGCUAAUGUGACAAAGACUGCCGUCUGCAGGUUCCUAAAAAAGGAAAUUAUAUGUCGAUAUGGUUUGCCUGAGAGAAUCAUUUCAGAUAAUGCUUUGAACCUGAACAACAAGAUGAUGAAGGAAGUAUGUGAGAAAUUUCAAAUAAAGCAUCAUAAUUCCUCACCUUAUCGCUCAAAAAUGAACAGAGCUGUUGAAGCAGCCAACAUUGGGAAGAUGACUGAGACAUAUAAAGAUUGGCACGAGAAGCUACCAUUUUCUUUGUACGCAUACUGCACCUCUGUACGGACAUCUACUAGAGCAACUCCUUUCUCUCUGGUGUACGGAAUGGAAGCUGUUUUGCCAAUCAAAGUAGAAAUCUCAUCCCUACGUGAAUUGAUGGAGAUGAAGUUAGAAGAAUCAGAGUAGGUUCGAACUCGAUAUGACCAGCUAAACCUUAUUGAAGGGAAACGCUUGAAGGCAAUUUGUCAUGGACAGAUGUACCAAAAGAGAAUGAUCACAGCCCAUGAUAAAAAGGUGCGGCCAAGAGAAUUUCACGAAGGGGAACUCGUACUAAGAAAGAUCCUCCCGAUACAAAAAGACUUUCGAGGAAAAUGGUCACCAAAUUGGGAAAGGCCAUACGUUGUAAAAAAGGCAUUCUCGGGAGGGGCUCUGAUUCUCACUGAGAUGGAUGGGAAAGAAUUACCUAAUCCAAUGAACUUAGAUGCUGUGAAGAAAUAUUAUACCUUAAAAAACAAAAAAAAAAAACAAAAAAUAUAAAAACAAAAAAAAUGAAAAAUCAAGAUGAAAACCCGAAAAGGGCGUCUUGAUAAAUAAAAAUGAUUAGGAUGAAAACCCGAAAGGGCGUCCUAAUGAAGUAGACUCAGACUUAAUGACCAAGAUGACUUGAACGGGGAGUCGAAUGGCGAGGUUACAAUAUUUGAAGCAUUCUCAGAAGCUUGAAAUCUUCUACACAGGAAGCCAUGCUAAAAAAGAUCUUUGACAAAGAAACGUGGAGAAGUUCAUACGUUGGAUAUCUAGAGCGUUCGUGGCCAUUGAAUUCACUUUCCUUUCUUUAUGAUGCUUUCUUUUUUUGAACUAUUCCUUGUCAAUUUUCUUUGCUUGUUUCUUUUAAAAAAAUAUGAAUGUGAGGUAUUUCUUUCAUGCCUACUUUGCCAUUAUUUUUUUAAUGCAUCUCAUGUUUGAUUCAUUUAAAUGAUAAAUGGUAAGAUGACAUACUCUAAACAAAAGGAAUGUUGAACAUUACCUGGAUGAGAAUUUGACAAGCACAAGGGUCCCAAAGCAAGAACAAAGUUCAACAAGGGGACAGGAAGGUGAUAUACGGAAAUGUGGGUUACUCACCAAAUUUGAGGAUGAGUACAAAACUUGGGAGAAAAGUCAAGAAUUGAGAAAAUGAAUACGGACCCUCACGAAAAUAAAAGAGGGGCACGUGACAAACAGCCCAUGGUGCAUGACACGAUCAUAUAAGCAUUUAGGACAAACACGUGUAUAUCAUGAUAACAUAAUACAUGACAUAUACAGGUAUCCCAGCGGAGCAAGGAAUUUUGGAAGAAAACUGCACAGAAUCAAUGAAAAAGACGGCUUUUAAUUUCACCUGGUGAUUUUUUUUCGAAACCCUGAUUCUUUCAAGAAUUAUUUUUCAAUUUCAUUUUUUUUUUCAAAAAUUAACUCAUAAUGCAAGAGGUGAGUUGAGCCUCAGGUAGCACGCCGAGAUAUUUUCAAUUUUUGUUUUUUCAAAAAAAUCAACUCAUAUUGCUAGAUGUAAGUUGAGCCUUGGGCCGCACGCCGAUGUAUUUUAAUUUUUAUUUUUUCAAAAAAUCAACUCAUAUUGCUAGAGGUGAGUUAAGCCUCGGGCCACACGCCGAGGUAUUUUCAAUUUUUGUUUUUUUUUUUAAAUCAACUCAUAACGCAAGAGGUGAGUUGAGCCUCGAGCCGUACGCCGAGAUAUUUUCAAUUUUCGUUUUUUUAAAAAAUCAACUCAUAUUGCUAGAUGUGAGUUGAACCUCGGGCCACACGUCGAGGUAUUUUCAAUUUUUGUUUUUUCAAAAAAUCAACUCAUAUUGCAAGAGGUGAGUUGAGCCUCGGGCCGCACGCCGAGGUAUUUUUAAUUUUUUUAAAAAAAAUCAGCUUAUAUUGCUAGAGGUGAGUUGAGCCUCGGGCCGCACACCGAGGUAUUUCCAAUUUUUUUUUUCAAAAAAUCAACUCAUAUUGCUAGAGGUGAGUUGAGCCUCGGGCCGCAUGCCUAGGUGUUUUCAAUUUUCUUUUUUUCAAAAAAUCAACUCAUAUUGCGAGAGGUGAGCUGAGCUUCGGGUCACACGCCGAGGUAUUUUUCAAUUUAUGUUUUUCAAAAAAUCAACUCAUAUUGUAGAGGUGAGUUGAGCAUCGGGUCACAUGUCGAGGUACAUUUAAGUUUUGUUUUUUUCCAAAAAUCAACUCAUAAUGCGAGAGGUGAGUUGAGCCUCGGGCUACACGGCGAGGCAUUUUCAAUUUCUAUUUUUUCAAAAAAUCAACACAUAAUACGGGAGGUGAGUUGAGCCUCGGGUCAUAUGCCGAGGUACUUUUAAUUUCUAUUUUUUUUCAAAAAUUAACUCAUAAUGCGAGAGGUGAGUUGAGCCUCAGGCUGCACGCCGAGGUAUUUUCAAUUUCUGUUUUUUCAAAAAAUCAACACAUAAUGUGAGAGGUGAGUUGAGCCUCAGGUCACAAGCCGAGGUACUUUUAAUUUCUAUUUUUUCAAAAAUCAACUCAUAAUGUGAGAAGUGAGUUGAGCCUCGGGUCACAUGCCGAGCGAUUUUUUAUUUCUAUUUUUCAACAAAAAAUAUAGAGAAUAAAAUUGGACAAUCGAACAAAAUUCAGUGCUUUUAAAGUUUUAGCUCUAUCCCUGUUUCACAGCGAUGAGCAAAGAAGGGCAGCUAUAAGCACUAAAUUUGUUCGGGUCAGUGUCGUGUUUAAUUUUAAAAAUUUUGGAAAAAUAAAAAAAUUUAAAAUUACAUUUCAACCCCUAAACCUUUUAAAAUUACAUUUUGACCCCUAAACUUUUCAAAAUUACAUUUUGACCCCUAACUUUCCUAAAAUUAUAUUUUGAUCCCUAAACUUUUCUAAAAUUACAUUUUGACCCCAGAAGUUUUACAUUUUUACAAUUUGAUCCUUCUAUCAGAAAAUCCCCAUUAAUCCAGUAGAUUUCGUCCACUUGCCCCACGAUUUUUGGCCGCUGACCUAAGGCAUGGCUUCCCCACCUGGUACCUGCAAAAAAGAAGAAAAAAAUCAAAUAUUUAUAAAUAAAAUAAGAAAAAAGAAAAAAAAUACAUAUACAUAUUGAUGGGUUUUUUCAUGAUUAGACUUUAUUUUUUCCCAGGUAAAAGUAUUUAUGGAGAGGAUCAUGUAAAAUUAUGACCAGAAUCAUUUUAAACGUUUCAUCAUUGCAAAAAUGAAAUAAUAGAAAAGAAUGACUAUAUGAAUUUGCAUUUGUGUUCUUUUUCUCAAUAUUUGCUUUCAAAAAUGUGGGAAAUUUUUAAAUUUUAUGAAAUUUUAAAAUUGCACUUCAGUAAAAAUAAAUUUUAUGAAUAUGGACAAGCCAUUUUAUUUAUAAUUUUCUGUGUUUUUCUUCUUUGCUGACUUUCUUAAUGUCAUUUUCUAUCAUGAAAGAAAAUUAAAGAUUCACUAUGUAUUUCUCAACCACUAUGAAAUUACUUGACAAUGGGUGUAGAAUUUUCUCACCAAUUUUCUAACAUGAGAUUUUUUGAAUGGGACAAAUAUUUCAAUUUUAACACAAACAUAUCUUUAGUUAUUGAGAGCGUUUCCCAUAAUUAGUCACCCCUAUUUGUGAGUGAUCUGGGGAUAAAAGCUUAAACAUUUCUGGAUCACAUUGCAUUUAAGACGGGUGUUUGGAGUUACAUGAUAUUUUAACAUAGACCGAAUUUUCUAUGAAGAGUCAUUGCUUUACUUUGGGUGGAUUCUUCCAAUUAGCGUGGUCGUUGGUACUACUCUCCAACAAUUGUUGUACUGUCAUCCUUAUUCCUACCCCACCUAGCAGAGAAGUUAAUGAUCAAAUUCAUUCGAAGAUGUCCUUUUUUUUUAAAUAUUUUUUAUAUUUUCAUGGAUGUGAGGAGAUACUGAAAAUUAUUAUACUAUGAAAUUUUAAUUCAUUCGAAAAAUAAGUGUUUUAUUUCAAGGGAUUAAUAUUAGCUCUCUCUUUUUCAAAUUUUGAAAUUCUUUUAACAACUACGUAAAUAAUCACUCAACUAUAAGUAAAUUUAUAUUUUAAUCAUUUAAAUUUAAAAUUUUAAUUACAAUAUACAAAUAAUUAUCUAACCAUUCGAUUUAUUCUAUUUUAAUCUAACUUUUCCACAAUUGUACAUCUCUGGGUGGGCACAAAAACUUGUACAUUUCCUGAUGACAUUUAAUUCAAUUACAUUAAUUAGGAUCACAUAAUUUUCUUUCGUGCUUUUCAUUAAUAAACUGUUUCAAAAACAAUACCACGUGGACAAUAAAUUUGCUAUUACACAUUCAAUUUUUAGACGGGUCGUUGAAAUAUUAAUUUCACUUAAGCUAUUAUUGACAGACUUUUCAGUUUUUAGUCUUUUUCCGUAAAUAAAUGUAUUUAUGAGCCGGGUUAAGUAAGAUUAUGACAUGAACAGAUUUGAAAAUUGUACUCAAAUUUAAUUUAAUUUAAUUCAAAAAUAAUAAAUAAUAAAUAUAUUUAUAUUGAAGUUUCUAUAUAUAUUUAUAAUAAAAUAUAUUAAUUUUGGGGUUACACUUCAGUCCUUCACUGACUUUUUCACAAUUGGUUUAAAAGUGUAUCCCACCAAUGCCAAAUUGGUACUUUAUCUCUUUUCUUAUUCAAUUUCUUUUAUAAUCAUAUUUAUUUUAGUAUAUUAACUAAUAAUAAAUCAAUUCAAUUAGUAUUUAAUCAUUUGUAUUACAUAUUUUUAAUAAAAAAGAAUUUUUUUUAUAUUUCUAUUUUCAAGUUUAAACACAUCAUUGUUAGGCUUCCUAAAUCCUUUGAGGAUGAUUUUAAAGUUUCUAAAGAUGAUUUUAAGUAGUCCCAAAAACCACUGGAUUUUUUAGUGACAUCCAAUUUUUCUUUUCCUGCAGUAUUGUUGAAAGUUAAUUUUCAGAACAAAAGUUUGCCUUACCAAAGAUGAUUUACCCUGACAUGUAGCAUGCAAAUAUGAAACAAUAAGAAAUAACUAAAAAAAAUGAUCCUUCAAAAUUAAAAAAGAAAGAAAGAAAGAAAGAGAGUGAGAUAAAUCUAAAAUUGCUUAAUAAGUCAUUUGAUAUUUGAAUUUGAUAUUUUUUAAAUAUUAUUUUCUUGUUUAGUGAGUUAUUUAUAUUUGAUAAAAGUUAUACAUCUUGGUAUCUAAAGUUAACAAUGUUAACAUUUUAGUGUUUAAUGUAGGUUUUAUGGUAGCGAUUUGAUGAAAAUUUCACUGUAAACUAAUAUUAUUAGCAAUUAACUUUCAACAAAUCUAUAACAAUCCCAAAUCCAGCCUAGACGCUAUGGUCAAACCUGGAAGGUUACAUCAGUACGUAGAAAAUUUUGUUCUUCCAAAUGUGUUUUGUUACUAAAUUAAGUCAUCCCAGGUUGCCCAAAAACGAUGACUCGCCACCAUGAGAUGCCCGACAACGAUGGCUUAUCAAUACGCAAUUAAACUGUUAGAUCAGAUAUUUGUGGUCAUGCCAUUGAAUUGCAACUCAGCUACCGAAACAAAAAUAUGUGGUGAAACCACUAUAUUGUAUCCAAGCUGCCAAAUAAAAAUAUGUGGAUAAACCAACAGAUAGUGCAGACCAUUAAACUGCCAAAAAUUCCUCCCUUUCAUAUUAUCCCAACCCCAUGCAAUGUGACAUGGCAUGCAUUUACAUAAUCAAAACGACAAGCAUGUAAGACAUGUAGUCGUACCAUAACAGAACUUAGAAAGCAUGGCAUUCUCACAAAUUCAACAAAAGCAAGUUGGUAUGCUAUAAAGUCACAUGCAUGAUCACAUAGCAGAAUCAGAAACAUAAAAAUAACGUAACCAAACCUCAUACCCAUAUACAAACAUAACAAUACAAAUCACGCUACCAGAUUCAUUAGAAAACAGUUCAUGCACACGAAUUUCACAUACCUUAUUCAUAUCACCUACAAUGUCAAAUUAUCAGACGUUACAUUUUCAAAGUCAGUUUUACACAGUACGAACCCUACAAAAUGGCUAAACAUGACUCACGAAUCAAAACGGGCCUAAACGAAAAUUUUUAGAAAAUGGGCCAACAUGGCCCAAUUAACCUAGGCCGUAUGGCGUCGACAGUCCAAUUUUCGACUUUCAGCAGUUCAUUAUUUUUUGAGUUUUUCGAUAUACAGCUUACUAUUUUCCGAAGCAAAAUCAUGGCAAGAAUUCCAAAACCUAAAAUCCAUAUUCAACCCACUCAAAUUAGUAAUGAAACCCAAAACUAAAUCGUUAAACAACCAAAACUGCUACCAAUAAACCUUAUCAAACCAGGAAUCAACCUUUUGGCAUCUGACUACUAACCCAGAAUAGUAGCAGCAGUACUAAAAAUCUCUCAAUUCACCGGAAGACUAUUUGUUACAGAAACGUCACCUAAACCAAAGAUUUCAGAGUAAUCAAAAUCGCGUCACACAAAGAAGGAAACAAAUUAACCCCAAAAUCGUGAAACUCAACAAAGUACGAAUCUUUUCACAUAUUCCUUACCACCAACCGUCAAGAUUGCUCAAAAACCACUAAUGACACCGACCUUCGCAAGGUUAAAUUGAAACCAAAAGGCAACUAAAGAUGGAACAAAGGUUGUUAUAAAAAAAAUAUUAACAAAGACUUAUUGGAGCAAAAAUGGCGAAAAAUCAAGAAUAGGGAGAUUGGAAAAAAAAACAAUGAAACGGCAAAGAGAAGGAGUGGGAAAGUGACGACAGUUUGUGGAGGGAUUUUGGGUAAAUAAAAAGUAACUCACCACUCAACCCAUUAAAUCUGAUUACCCUCUAAACAGAUUCCCUUAGAGUUUAAAUUCAACUCAAAUACCACUACAUGGGCGGCAUAGUGUAAGGAAAUAAAAAUACUUCUACUUUGCACACACGGGGUCUUGAACACGAAACCUUAGGGUAAUUUGAAGCCUUACAACUAAAUUAGUAGGCUCAUCUUUGAAAUUAAUUGAAUGAAAAUAUUAUUUAUGUCAGAUGAUCAGGGAUAGAGGUUAAGACCAAAGAUGACAAAAAUUCAAAGGAAAGAUUUAAACCUAGAACCUCACACACACAAGCAUAACACCUAUCCACUGAACCAGAUUUACUCCAUUGACAUAAUUUUCACAAUGUUAGGUACUACACUAUUACAAGAAUAGAUUUUAGAGAGAAAGAAUUUUUUCUGAGAAAUUGCUUAGUAUUAUUAUCUACUUUAAUCAAUACACUAUCAAUGUUUAUAUACUUCAAUAUGAGUAACUUCUCCUAACCAACUAUACCAGACUAAUCAACUGAAUGAUAACAAACUAACAAAUCUUAUGUUAACAAUCUCUAUUCUUCUAACAUUGUCUAUUUAUGCUUUUGAAAUGCUGACUUGUACUACUAUUUCCAACCCUCUUUUCCUUUAUUUUUUUCAAGCCUUAUACUACCCCUAAUCAGCCCUUAAAUUUCCCUCCUUGUGCCGCCCAAAGCAGCCCUCGUGUGUGCCAUUUUAAACACUACAUUGGGGUUACUGUUUUUCUCUCUUUAGCCGUAUCUUUCUAGAAAAAAAAAAUUGUUGUUCCACUCCUCUAAUCAAUAUUUAAUUGUGUCGUUUUCAGGUGUAUUCGAUUCCCUUCGUUCAAUGAUUUCGAAAUAGUUAACGGGUAGUGUAAGUGUGGAAGCUAGUGAGAUUUAGUGUCAUAUUAAUUUCGUUUAAAUAUGCUGAUUUGGCAGAUUAUUCUAAGGAGUUAUUGAUUGUUUUAGCUACUAAUUUUUUAUAUAAAAUUAUCGUAGGGGCUGAUUGUAACAUCCUGAUUCAACAGUAAGCCGAAACUUAUUCGCACUCUCGCUUGGCAUUAUUUCAGUAUCAACGUGAUUAAUUGUCCUUAAUUGCUCAUUUUUUAAAUUAUCAGAGAUAAUUUACUCCAUUUUUUUUAGAGGAACCAAUUUACCUAUAUCAAGAUUGAGAGGCACGUAGAAGUGUUUUUACUAAUAAAAUCGAAAUAUAAAAGUAUACAUUUCGAUAACACAAACACUUGCAUACUUAACCCUAUUUUCAUAAAACAUGGACAAAAAUCAUAUACCCAUAAAUAAUUUAAAGCAUUCAAGGUUGAUCUUUUAGGAAUUAAGACUAAAUUAACAAUAUAUAUAUUAAUUAUCUCUACAUUAUAUAUAUUUUAAAUAAUAUGUUAAAAUUUAUCAAUUUCAGUAAAUUUUAUAAUUUUUUUGAAUGUUUUAUAAUAUUUUUGAAAAUUUGAUAAAUUUUUAUUUAUAUAUUUUAAAAUUUUUAUUUAUUAUUUUUCUUUUAGAAUUAAAGUCAAAUUUACACCAUGUAUAAAUGUUGAAGGUUGAAUUUAAAAAAACAAAUAGAACUAAAUAAACAAAAUGGGUGAAUGUUGAAGACCAAAUUUGUUAUUAUUCCAAUAUUUCAUUUGGUGAUCAAAGGUAUUUUAAUAGUAGGAUGACUAUAAACUGCAAUUGAUCUAAUGGGAGUGACUAAUAUAAUAAUAAUUUUUUUUGUGACCAAUACAAAAAUACCUUAAAAUUUGGGUGACUAUAAGGAAAGUUUACCCAAAAUAAAACAUUGUAAGCUUUUACAAAUUCGGACGUCUUCUACAGGCGUGAUUGUUCCCUGACUUACAGGUCGGGAGUUGUCGAGCGAUUGAAGUUUUUCAACUACGAGACCACCUUAAGCAAAUAUGUCAAUAAAUAAAUAAUCUAACCCCAUCCAAUCAGAGACUUCAAACUCUUACUCCCCAUCUCUUAUUACAUCUCUUGCGUUCCUCCUGUAUAUGUUUUUUUUUUCUUUUUUAUUGCAGAAAUCUAGUUGAAUUCAGGAAUUGUUACUUUGUUUUGGCCCUUCAAAUCAAGGUUCUACAUCUGGGUAAACAUGGAGGGUUGUUCAUCAAAUGGAUCUACUUCAUUUUUUGGCUCAAACAUACCCAACGAGCUUCAACUUCCACACCAAACUGAUUCUUCGGCCGGAGUAGAUGAAAUGCUUCGCAGACAAGAUUCUGUGUUAGUACAGGACGAUCUCUACUUCUCUGCUGGAGACGAUGGACCAACGGAUCAGUCUCUGCCAGACCAAGACCAUCAAUUCAAUCAAGAAGAAACACCCGAAGCUUCAUAUCAAACGGUAUCAGAAGGUGGGACUCGAUCUAAACUCACUCCAGCUCAAAGAAAAGAAAACAAAAGACAAAGUGAUUACAAGUAUAGGCAAAAGCGCAAGGUAUAAGAUAAUCCAAUUAUUUUUCUCUCUCUAGAAUAUUGCCUCUAAUGGAAUUAGUUAUAAUCAAAAUGUUUACUUUAAAUGCCCUUUUUAACCCAUCAUAUUGAUAUGAUUGUAUUUUACCUAGAAUGGUCAAGUGGUGACCAAAUUAUGUAAAUUGAUUUCUUAGAUUUGUCUUGUUUGAUAUUAACAUUCUGCGGUGUAGGUAAAAGCAGAUGAACAGAAUGGGGAGAUUAAACGCUUGAAAGAGGAAAUUCAACGGCUCAACGUUGAGAAUGGACAGUUGACAGCACAACUUGGAUUGCCACUCUCUAUUGCGCAAUUCCAAGCAGCAGCUCAACAGAGACAGGAUGGUUACAUUACCCAGUCAACCGGCAAGCAGCUUCACCCUCAAACUCUUACUGUCCAUGGAACAAACUCUGAAGCUGUUGACAAGGUAUGGCAUAUUAAUUGUUCUUCAUGUUUGAAAAAUCUAAUGCUUGAACUGGAAUUUAUGUUUGGAUUUCGAUACCUUGGGUUAAACCAUAUUAAGUUUCUCAUAAAGAUUCAAAUUCUGGAAUCCUGAUUUGUUUUCCCUCACAAUUCAUUGUCUCGGCUCUGCAAUUUGGAGAUGAAUGAGAUACAAAAUAUACAGGGAACAGUUUCUGUAAUUGUAGUUGAUGGUAAUGACGGUAUAGCAAAAAAUCAGACGAGUUCUGAAGUUGAAACAUGCAUUAAUAAUGAAGCAGCCAUAACUGACAUUCUUAUGAAACUUGAAGCUGAUGACGAGAGCAGAGUGAAGUUCUCUGACUUCACUGGCUUACAUGGUGAGUGCAUACCAGUAGGAAAAUAUAGUUUCCCACCAGCCCUACAUCCGAUUGUGAACAGCAUUAUCGAAGUCUACGGUGAUGUUUCAGCAACAAGUAAGAUGAGCCCAAGUAUUGCCGAGACCGUUUAUAUCGUGUUCUGUGCUUCUGUCAAAGAGAUGAGCAAUCUACGGCUGGAGCACGUCACAGAGGAUCUGAUAUUGAAGUGGAGGGAUGCAAUCAAAGAUGCUUUACGCAUCAAUUUCAAGGUGGAUUUCGCCAUGGAACAUUUGAAGAAAAUUGCUUGUGCAUACAUCGGUUUAAUGGAACGUCAAAAGCUGGAUAGUGCGGGUUUGAGGAUAUCCAAGUUAGAGGCUGAGUUGAGUACUGCGAAAGAGGAGCAUGCAAAGAUAUGCGAGCAGUCCAAGGUGUUUAUAGAUGCUGCAGAAGAGUUCAACGAUAAGCCUGUCAGCUCUGGUAUGUUCAAAAGACCUGGCCAGAUCAACGUUGAGCUAGAGCUAACAAAUGAACCGGAUUCGAGUACCCUAAUACUUUGAUUUGAGUAGCUAUCAAGUCCAAUCGAGUUUUUCUUGUUAAUAUAUAUUUUUUUCAUUUUUGUUUGAAACUAAAAUUUGAGUUUAAAUAAUUGAAUGAGAAUUAUGCUCAUUUUAAUAAGGUAAAUUGACCUCAAACAUUUAAAGUGAAAGUUGAUAGAGCUAGACCGAGCUUGACCAAGCUUCUAAACUCUUCUACAGCAUCCAUAAACACCUUCGACAGUUCACACAUAUUUAGUAUGCUCUUCUUUCCCAGGAUUCCACUCAGACUCAAUUGGAUAUCCUCAAAGCCAUAUUAUCCAGCUUUCGACAAUCCAUUAAACCGAUGUAAGCGCAAGCAAUUUUCUUCAAAUGUUGUAUGGUGAAAUCCACCUUGAAAUUGAUGCCUACAUCAUCCUUUGUUGCAUCCCUCCACUUCAAUAUCCGACACUCAGUGAAGCAUAGAACGUGAUAUAGAUCGCCUCGAAAAUGCUUGGGCUCAUCUUACUUGUUGCUGAAACACCUCCAUAGAAAUCAAUGAUGUCGUUUACAUUGGAUGUAGAGACGGUGGGAAACUACCGUCAACUACCACAUCGGCCUUUUAUAGUAGAAAAUUUGUGAAUAAAAACAGAGGAAGAAAUUCAUAUGUUACGAAGAAUCAGAUUUUGGUUUUGCGAUAAUCGUUCGAAAACUUGCGAUAACACCCAAGUUGUACGUUUUGUAUCUUUUGGUUGUUUUGUGUUUUUCUUGUUCACAUUGUAAAAGUCAACAAUCCCGUGAGAAGAAGUUGCACGGAAAAGUGCAACCGCUUCUUUAGUUACAAUAACCAUAAAUAUAAAUAAAUGGGUAAAUUUUAUUAUGCUUCUUUAGUAUCUUAUAGAGGUGGUAAGGGGCUGGCUAGGUUCGGGUCAGGUCAAGUAAAAAUUUAUAUUCGUUUGUUAGGUCUAGGUCUGACAUGAAAAUGAGUUUAAAAAUUUGUCCAAAUUCAGCUCGGAUAAAAAUGUUAAAACUUGAACCCAAUCUUGCCCACCCAUAUUAAUUUUUUAUAUUAUUUUAUUUUUACAUAAAUUUUAAAUAUAUAUAAUAUAUCAAAAAUAUUAAAAAUAUUAAAAUAAAUAUUUCCAAACAAAUUGAAAAUAAAUUUUAAAAAAUAUAUAUACUUAAAUAAUACUAAGAUAGAUGCAACUUAACAAGAAAAUUCUUUAAAAUAAUAACAAAAUUAAUAAUAAAACAAGUGUUAUAAAUAUCCAAACAAUAACAACAAAAUAGUAGUAAUAUAAUAGUGAAAUGGUAACAAAAUAUGGAGAAAACAAAAAAAUAUCAUUAAAAUAACAAAAAGAAAAGAUUUUUUUGGCAUUUAGUGAAUUCGGGCCAGGCUCGGGCAAAAAAUGUCUUUACCCAAGGCCUGGCCCAUUUUUAAAAUGGACCUUAUUUUUUUUGUCCAAGCCCAUUUUUCGAGCCUAUAUUUUUGUCCAAACCCUUUCAUUUUUCAGGCAGGCCUUCGGGCUGGGAGACCCAGCCCAUGAGCAAGUCUAAUAUCUUAGGGCUUUUUUUUGUCAGUUUCAAAAUAGUCACCCAACUGGUUUGUUUUCUUUUAUCUAUUUCUGUUACAUAUUUAACAGAAAGGUGAGAUGACGGUUCAAAUAUUAAUAUAAUAACAAAUUUAGUGUACAAUAUUACAUAUUAUGUCAAUUUAGUCAUAAAUUAAAAUAAUUAACUCUUAACGUUUACAUAUUAUGUUAAUUUGAUCCUAAUUCUAAAAAGUUAAAAAAGAAAUUAUAAAUAUACAUAAAUAUUUAAAAUAUAUAAUAAAUUUAAAAAUAUAUAAAUAAUAAAGUCAAGAUCAAGAAAAAAAAACUUGGAGAAGAAGUAUGAACAAAGUCGAAUUCCAAGUUUUUAUAGAUUUCUUCAUCAAGUUCUCUUUUGUAGAUUUUAAAAUAAAGAGCAAAUCUUAUAAAAAUAUGAUAUUUGACUUUAUUCAUACUUUCUCUCCAAGUUUGCUUUUUUAGAUCUUGAUUUUAUUUGAUAUAUAUUUUUAAAUUUAUUAUAAUUUUUGAAAAUACAUAUGUGUGAUUAGAGUUAUGAUCAAAUUGAAAUAAUUUAUAAUGUUGAGGGUUGUUUUUUAAAAGUUGUGAUCAAAUUGGCAUAAAAUGAAAAAAUUUCAAGGUUAAUUUUAUUAUUAUAUUACCUUUUGAACUGUCAUCUCACCCUUCUAUCAAACACUUAAAUAAAAAAAAUAAAAAACUUGAUUAGUUGGGUCACCCUCAUAUCACCCUUCUAUCAAUUUUGGAAAAUUAGAGUAAAUUAAUUUUAGGAAAAUGAUUUCAAUGAUUUUCUAAAAUAUUGGUAUUUUCCAAUAUUUGGAUUAUUCAACCUAAAAUAUAUUUAGCUGUUUGGUAAAUUUUGUCAGAAUAGUGAAACAAAUACAAUAAUAAUAAUGCAUUUAAUUAACAUAUUUUUAUUAAUUAUUUUAAUUAAUUUGGAUAUAUAUUUUAAUUAAUUUCACACUUAGUUAAUUAUUUUCUUUGUCGAUACAGUUAUUAUCUAAUGUGUCAAUAAACAAGUGGAUAUGUGAUUUGCACAAUAAAUUUGACACAAGAAUUCGAAUUGACGCGCGAAACAAAUACUUUAAAAUUAUUUUAUUAUUAUCUCUUUUUAUUUUAGGAUUUUAUAUAAUGUAUAAUUACCGGGCAGCACAUGACAACCAACCCUUAUACUUACUAGCAGGGUCGGAGUCAAACAGGUUGAUAAAGUUCCCAUCCUCCUAAAAUUAAUAUAUGAUAAAAUUAUAUUUUAACUCUUAAAAAAAACUUUUUAAAAAUUAUAAAAAUAUAAAAUAUCAAAAUAUAAAAUUUUUAUUUAUAUCAUUAUAAAACCAUAUAAUUUAAUUCCAAUCUCCUUUAAAAAAAUUUUGACUUCGCACCUUCUUGUUAAGUUUUAUCUUAUUAUGAGUAUUAAAUAUAUAGUUAUAGUAAGCAGGGGAGGCAGGAGCACAACAACCCUUCCUUUAUAUUCACAUUCACUUGCGCAUGAACUAGAAACCACUGUUGCGCUAUUUUUAUUUCAUUUAAUUUGAAUACAAUUCAUCCCUUUCUUUUAUUAUCGUUCUUCAAUUUUUUGAUUUAGUUUUUAUUAAAUCUAUUCUUGAGUUGGGUCAAAUCAUGUUUGAGUCGAGUCAGGAUAAGAUUUUAAAUUCGACUAAUAAGACUAACCCGACACAAUCCAAAAAAUAGAUUUAGAUUUUCUUUCUCAAACUUGGCCCAAAAUAAAGUUAUUAAGCUUAGGCCUAACCCAUAUUAUUUUUUAAAAAUAUUUUAUUAUAUGAAACAAAUUUUAAAAUAUAUAAUAUAUCAAAUUUGAAUUUUUUUUUUCACCGGGACAUUUUCAACAAAUAUUAAACAUCAUUCUAAUAAAAAUAAAGGAUAAGCAUUUAAAAAAAAAAAGAAGAAAAGAAGAAAAGUAAAAAAACAUAUUAAUAUAAGAGCACAAGACAAAGAAGCAAAAUUGUCAGGUAAAUUAGACCUUUCAUUUCAUCAUAUAAAUGCAGCCUGGCAUAGACAAAAAUUCAUACUCAGAAACCAGAACCAACUUGAAAUCGCACAUGCAUGUAAGCAUAUUGGAUAUAAAGUUUGGUGUAAUAUCCUAAUUUUCCUCGGCCCAACACAAAUAAAUAAACUUAAAUAAAUAAAAAAAUUCAAAACAAAAAUAAACAAAAAUUCUAUUAGCAGUCCAAGUUACAAUCCCAAUAAUAAAGUCAAUUUACAAAACCCUAACCUAAUACCCAAUAAUCCAAAGCCCACAACUUAAAUUUUUUCAAAAAAUAAAAAAAAACCCUAGAUUUGUUGAAAGGCCGCGUCGGAGGAAGACCAAAAAUCGAAAGGUCCCUUUGGUAUUUUCGAAUCUUGACCAGAUUUUUAGGGAUUUCAACCCUAGAUCUUGGUUCUCUGUGAGACGGAGAUGAAAAAGGUUUUUUUGACAACUUCGGCCAUCGGAGGCGAUGGUCACUGUCACCGUUGUCGAUGGCCAGUGGCCACAGCGGGGCGACGAUAGCCUUAUGGCCGGACCCAGGGAGUUGUUUCUGUAACAGCCCAUUUUCAGUUAAAUCGGAACAGUGGUAACGUGACCAAAAAUUUGAAUUCAAAAAAAUUUAUUAUUAUUAUAUGGUCUACAGUAUGAUAGAAAUACUGUGUAAAAAUUUCAUUAAGAAAUUUUACCAUUUACAUACCUAAUUUAAUGUAAAGGACUAAAUUGCAUUAAGGGCAAAAGCUGAGUUCUAAUAGCUAAAGGUAUUAAAUAGCUAUAGAAUUUGAAAUUAGAGGUCCUUAUAUAGUAAACAGACCAUUAAAGUGCUUAGUGGUUAAGCAUGAGUAGUCAUCACUGGAAAUUGAAUAAAUUAUUAAGGGUAAUUUUAGAAAUUAUCAAUUAAAGUUAUAAUAAAUAAAAUAAAAUAAUCUAUUAUUAUCAUCUACCACCAAAAAAAACAGAAGAAGAGAAAACCUAACCAUAGAAGCUUGAGAUAUUAGCAAGCUUAUUUUGCUCAAUUAGGUAUGUAUUGUUGUCUCGUUUUUAAUGAUUUAUAUGUUUUCGAUAUCGUAGUAGCUUAAUUUAGCUAGCUCAGGAUUAAUUUGCAAGAUUGUUAAAGUAUUAUGAUAGAAAAUGAAAGGUUGUUGUUAGAUAAAUAACUUUUGUAAAGAGAAUUUUGAUGAAAUUAUCAAUGAGGGAUUAAAUUGAAAAAGAUGAUAAAUUUAUGGUUAAAUUGUGAAAUUGUGAAUUAUGUGGGCUGUUAUUAAUAUGUAAAAAAAUUGACUAGGCUUGAGUAAGGAUUAAAUUGCAUAAAAGUCAAUUUUCGAGCCUAGGGACUAAUUUGCAAUAAAUUAAAAGUAUAGGGGCAAAAUAGUAAUUUCCCAAAAAUAUGUGUUGGACUAAAUUGAAUAUGAAUUAUAUUGAAUUGAGUUAAACUCAUUUGUAUAGAUCCGGUUAGACCUAGUACGGAGUUAGAUCGAGGCAAAGGAAAAAUAUCAGAUUAGUCACCUUCGUAUCUACUUACAUUUAUCGAGGUAAGUUCGUAUAAUUAAAUUGAGUAUGUAUAUGUAUUAAUUGAAUUAUAUGUAUGUGAAUUGUAUAAUUACCAUGUAUAAAUACCGAUCACAUAUCCGAUGAUUAUCGAGUCCCGUUUGAACCGUAUGAAAUUCGUAGGAUAGAAAUGACAUGUCAUUAGGGUUACCGAUUUGGUUGGGGUCCUGCAUGUGUUGCAGACACACCAAAGCUCUUAUGAGCUUUGUGAUACCCAGCAUGCAUGAGCUUCCCAUUAUUCAACUCCCAUGAGCUUCCUAUUAUUCAACUCGGAGGAGCUUCCCAUUUACUGCUCUUAUGAGCAUACAUGUACAUGAAUUGACAGAUUACAGUUUAGUACACUUUGUGUGUACUACUCGUGUAUCCAACGAUAUUUUAAAUGGUUCAAUGGGCAUAGUUCUGUUACGAGAUUUUAUGAGUUUGAUAUGAACUAUUAUUGGUAUUAAUAUAAAAAACAUGAAAUGUGAUUAUUUGAUGAAUUCAACCAUGUGUGUUGGACCUUAUAAGUGAUUUUCAUGGCUAAUAUGUUGGUGAUCAUGUAUUUAGGCUUUUGGCCAAAUUGAUUGAGAUAUGCUAUGUUUACUUACCAUAUUUUAUGGAAAUAUGGUAAGUUAAAUUUUGUAUUAUAUGAACUUACCAAGCUUAAAUGCUUACUCUGUGUUAUUUUUCAUGUUUUAUAGUAAUUCAGCGUACGAGUUAGAAGCUGGUCAGAGCUAUUUCACACUAUCCAUCAGUCCUUUUAGUAUUUUCAGUAAAUUAAUUUUGGUUAUAAUGACAUGUAUAGGUUAUUUUGACCAAUGUUGGCAUAUAAAUGUUUUAUGGAAACUAGUUACUUGAAUGACUUGUGUUUGGUAUAUUUUGAUGCAUAUAUAUAUAUAUAUAAGUGACUUUAUCAUGUUUGAUGUGUGAGUGAUAUGGUAGAAUGAAAGAAAGUAAAAUGUGGUUUGAAUAUGCAUACAUGAAUUUGGUCAUUUAGGUAAAUUGAGAUACUUGUUGAAAUGUCUUUAAGUUUUCAAUUGAGGUGCCUAAGGGCAUAUUAGUUGUAUGUGGUAAUAUUUCAUGUUUAAGAAUUGAUUUUGGAUUAUGUUGAAUGCCUUGUUAUGGCUUGUUGAUAUGUAAAGUGUUGUGUUUAGGUUGAUGUCAAUUUGGGUGAGAAAUGUGGCUUGGAAAAUGACCUAUUUUCGUCCACACGGGUAGAGACACGAGCAUGUGUCUCAACUGUUUGUCCCCUGUAUCUUUUAAUUGAGCAAGUUAGUAUUCUCACACGGCCUAGCACACGGGCGUGUGGCUUGGCUGUGUGACCCAAGUCAGACAGUUACACGGGUACGGACACGGGCUGGACACGGCCGUGUAUCCCUAUUUCGAAUGCCUACAUGGCUUGAGACACGGGCGUGUCUCCUGAUUGUGUGAGUCAUAAGGCCGUGUGUCCCCUACAACUUUAAAAAUUUUUAAUGUUUUCGAAAAAUUCUUUGAGUAUCUGAUCUAGUCCCGACUUGUUAUUAACGUGUAUUUUGGGCCCCAAGGGCUCGUAUAAGGGACAAUAUGUAUGAUUUCGAUUGAUUUUUGACAUGAAUGUUAUACGAUAUGAAAUAUCUACUUAUUUGAUCUGUAAACUUUGGUAAUGCUCGGUAACCCUGUUCUGACGAUGAAUACAUGUUAGGGGUGUUACAUUUAUAGAGAAAAAAAACCGAAAGAAGAGGUUUUUUUUAAAACACAGGAGAAGUGAUAUUUUUUCAACAAAUUUUGGCUUAUGGGGGCCUUGGUGUGACUUCGUUUUGGAUUGGCAUUAGAAGCUCCAAAACGGCAUCGUUUUGAAGCCUGACUGCUGACCCGAUCUAGAUCCCCUAGGAGCCGCAUGUUUUCGUGACAAAGUUCUAAUUGCUGACCUAGUCCUUCCGCUUUUUAAACGUUUUUCAACACAGUCCUAUUUCUGGUCUUUUUUCUUUUUCUUUUUAAAUUAUACCACUCAAUUUUGGAUUUUUUUUAUUUUGGUCCUUUGGACCUUGGUCUCUCCGGAAAAUGGUGUGUGUAAUGAGGUUGGGAAUAAUUUCCCAUUUGGUCACUGUUCCUUUUCGCGUUUUACAUUUAGUCCUUUAUUUUGCUUUAUUUAUUCAUUUGUUUAUUUGAUAUAAUUCAUUAUUUAAAUUUCAUCUAAAUUUCAAUUUAAUCAAUCAUUUAUUUAACUUCACACUUUUAAUUACUAUUUUUUUUAAAUUUUGGCACUUAAAAUUUAUGUUGUUUGGAUCUUUUUUUAAUUUUUUAUUUAUAUAUUUUUUGGUGGUUAUUACAUAUUUUUAUUUAUUUAUUUAUUUUGGUAUUAUGAUAAUGAUAUGACUAUUGCUAUUAGUAUUAUGAAUUAAUAUCUUAUUUAUUAUUAUGGUUGCAUUAUUAUUAUGGUAUUUAUUUAUUUAUUAUUUAUCCUUUUAAUAUAGAUGUUUUACCCACAUGAUUGUUUUAUGUUAUUUAGCUAUCACUAUAUCAUGUGUCAUGUUAAAUAUAUUUGUCCAUUUUCAUACUAUGCGCAAAUAAAUUAACUGCACAUCACUUUAAAUGUUAUUUUCGUUUUUACUCGAUGCAUAAAAAAGGAAACUUAAAAAAAAUGAGGCAAUGUUCAUUGUUUAGGGAUUCAAGAAAUAGUGCCCUAACUUACGGGGUACGACUUUCUCCUUGAACCAAGAUAAAUGAGCAUCCUUUUUAAAUUCAAGACAUAUAAGAUUUGAGUAAUGAUCAAAUGGUGAUUAUUCUUGUUUUCGAAGAUUUGAAGCAUCGUGUUCUAACUUACGGGGCAUGAUAUUUUCUUCUCGAUUAAUUUGAAAUAAGACCUUUUUUGUGAAAAUUAAUUUAGUUAAUCGAUAUUUUAAUUAAAAAAAACAUCAUGCAAAGAUAAAUUCUAUUUUAAAUUUUCUUUUAAAUUUUAAAUUUUCGACAUCAAAACAUCAAGUAACCAACUAGGUACCAAUUUUGAGGGUUAUGAGGGUGCUAAUCCUUCCUCAUACGUAAUCGACUCCCGAAACCAUAUUCUUGGAUUUUGUAGGCUAAAAAUUAUCGUUUUAGUAAAAUCUAAUCUUUUAUUAAGAUGAUUAAAUUUUGAGGUGACCCGAUUACAACUAAUAAAAAGGAUAGGUGGCAACUCCAUUUUCGUUUUUAAAAUAAAAAUUGAUUUAAAAAAGGUUUCAAGUAACGUUAAAUUAGCCGCUGCAAACUGCUACUAAAACUACAAAAAAGAAAAAUAAAAAGAACACUCAUAAUUUCUAAAAAACACUCAGCAAAUCUUUAAAUUAAUUAGCAACUACCAUUUAAACCAUCUACCACUUAAUCAAGCAGAUCAACCACUAACCAAACAAACUGUAAUUUAUAAAGUCCAAUCUAACAACCAAAACUUUAAAUCCGGUUUUCUUUUAUUAUAAUUUCUGACAAAUCACUCAACAAAUCCGUAAAUUAAUUACCGUUACUCAUCUGCUUAAAUGUCAAUCUAAAGCUACAAUUAGUAUCAAAGACGAAGAGAAAAAUCAAAGAAAAUACAAAAAAGAAGUAUAGAAUAAAAGAAAAUAUAACCUAAAAAUAGUCGCUGAUGAAAUGAAGAAGCACUUGGACUUCGAUCAGUCCAAUAAAAGAGUGGAGCCAGCGAAUGAUGCGAAGAUUAUGAAAACUUGAAGGGUGCCUAGCGUAUGAUGAAAGUGAAAGUGAAAGUGAAAGUGAAAGUGAGAAAUUAGGGAUUUAGUUUUAGAAAUUGUUUUUGUUUGAAAGAAGGAACAUUGUUUGGAGUAUUGGACAGAGGGAAAAACAAAGAGGAAGCCUUAUUUUCAAACAAGUAACAUGGUUUUCCAAUUUCAAAGCCCAAUCCAAUAAAUUCUUAAUUUGCUAAAAAUAUGAUUUAUUAGUACCGUUGGGGUUAGAUUGGGCCCAGGUUGAAAAAAACUUACUCGAGGCUUGACUCGUUUAGAAAACAGGCCUCAAUUUUUUAUCCAAUCCCAUUUUUCAGGCUUAUAUUUUUGUCCAAAUCCUCCCACAUUUCAAGCGAGUUUGGUCGAGCAGCCCGACCCUUGGACAAGUCUGUUUUUUAUCUGCGCUAAUUUUUUAUCUAGUCUUUGAAACUAUGAGACUCGAAACCAUAUCUAAAAUUUUUCAUUCUUAUAUUUAUUAUUUUUUUGGGUUAAAGAAAUAGACACUAUCGUCUCAUAAAAUCAUACUGGCAUAAAAUCAAAAAAGAUUCGUUGAUUGGGUGUUGUGUGGUGUCUAGUUGGCAGAACCAAUACGGUUGAUUGCUAUAUUCAGUUUACUAAGAAAUACAUUGACGUGUUCAAUUUAGUGGUUGGUUGGACCCGUCAAAGAAAAUAACAAUCGGGUUUAAAUGACUUGCGCGGUUGAGGCCAUUUAUCUGAGUUGGGCCCUUCUGGUUCGCGAGGCUAUUGAAAAGUUAAAUCAUGGAUAUGUGUUUCAUGGUUUGUUUGGUAAGGGUUAAUCAUCGGACGUUCUCAUAUUUAUUUUAUACACGGAAGGGUUGGUGGCCUAAGGCGUCCUCGAUCACUAUAAUUGACUUAUCGAUUGGAGGAGAAAAUUCUUUGCCAAGAACUAGUUUGAAGUCAAAGUUUGAAGCUAGAGCGUCGUCACAUCGGUUUAUUUAAUUUUAAUUUUGUUUUAGUUUAUUUUACUCUAAUUUCAAUUUCAAUUUGUUUCUAUUACUUUUAUUUUUAAUCGGAUUUAAUCUUCCCUUUUAUUUUAGUAUAGGUUGACACACGUUGUGGACACGACAAUUGCUUGACUGCGUAACAUGGUUAAACCAAAAGUCAAAUUUCGAUACCUCAACACUAUGGGAUCAACCCUGCCACUUAUACUAUUUAGGUGUAGGAAUAUUAUUUUUGGUAGAUUCGACAUCCAUCAAAUUUUGGCAUCGUUCCAAAGGAUUGCUACUAACUAAUUUUGUGUUUUCCUUUUUACGGGCCUAGACGUACAGAUUGCUCAAGCACAAUCUAGAUGUAGAGCGUAAGAGGUAAAUGUAUCUUCAUGGAAAGUACACUUACAACAUGUUUGGUUGGGGGGACUAGGAAUGGUUUACAUCUUAAUUUGGUAGGCCCAUCACCAAACUAAUGUUUGGUUGACUGUAAUGGCCUAUUACGACUUGUGCUGAAUAGGGCUCUAUUCUGGGAAAAGGCUACAUAGUCAUUCCUUUCCCUUACCGUUAAAUAGGUAUUCAACUCGGUGGAUUAGGAAGAUUUUUCCCAUUUUCAAUUUUUUCCUCACCUUUACCCGGAGGAUAAAAACCAUGUAAUUGGAACCAUCAUCGUUCUCCCUCGGUCUCAUUGGUAACUUCCUUUCAUUUCCAUUUCUACUAAGGAUAUUGGUACUCUUUUUUAAAUGCUUCCCUUUUUUUUCCUUUGGUUGUAGAGGAAACCUACGUCAGUCAAUUGAAGCUAUCAUCCUUCGCUCUUUUUUCUUUUUCUUUUCCUAAGUUUAUAUUAUCUUGAAGCUAUCAGGUCCUCCUAAUUUUGAAAAAAGGGUAAGUUUUUUAAUGAUAUGUUUUCUAAACCCAAAAAUUAGGGCCUCGAGUUGCAUAUUCAACUAUGUUUCUUAUGUUUAGUGCAGGCAGUGAAAGAUCCUAAUUCUUCAAUUCUUUUGUUAUAAGAUUUUUAUGCAGAAUUUUAUAUUAUGAUUUGUAGCAUGUAAACUAUUGUAAUAUAACCCCUAGGCUUGAGAGUUAACUACAUUGGAUUGAGGGAGCAUAAGUUUGCUUUCUUUGUAUCUUAAUUGUAUUUUAUUUGUUAUUAGUCAAUUUUCAAAUAGGAACCUAGUUUCAGUUAACUUAUGAUUGUCAAAACCAUUUUUUUAUUUGAAAACAGAAAUCGACUUUUAAGAAUAAAAAUGGGAGUCAUGACCGAUCUUUUAUUGGGGUGUGAUCGGAUCACCUUGAAAACGAUUUUAGGUCUACAAAUUUUGAGAAAAUAGGUUCGGGAGUCGGUUACGCACGAGGAAGGGUUAACACCCUCGCCACGCCCAAAAAUUGAUACCGAAUUGAUUGCUUAAUGUCUUAGUGUUGAAAAUUUGAAAAGAUUUUAAAAUACGAUCCUUUGAAAAGAAAACUUGAAUAAUCGAAUUGGAUGAUAAGACAUACCCAUUUCAAAGAAAUAAAUUGUCAAGUUAGGGUGCAACAGUCCAAUCUUCGAAAUUAAGUUUGUCUUUUUAAAAUUUAAAAUUCAUGCUUUUUAUGAAGGAUAUUUGGUUAUUUGGGUCAAAUAAGAAAUUAGAAUCCAGUAAGUUAGGGUUCAAUUUCUCGAAAUUCCUAAACAUCGAAUAUUGCCUUUAUUUUAAAAUCCUUAACUCGAGAUAACAAAAUGUCAUAUCCAGUGAGUUAGGAUUCAACAUUUUGAAAUCCCAAAAAACUUUAUUUAGAAAUUUGUAUGGUUUUAUUGCAAAAGAAAUACUUGGCUAUCUAAAUUCAUCGAAAAAAAUUGAAGCUCGGUAAGUUAGGGCACAAUCCUCUCGAGAAUCGCAAAUACCGAGUAUUUUGACAAUUAACAAAAUAAGAUGAUUUUAAUGUUUUUAAUGAAACACGGUUUCUUUUAAAAAUGUAGUGUGAUUAAGCGGCAACAUACCACACAAAAUUUGAAUAUAAGAUGUACAUCAAUGAGUAAUGAACAAUAAAUAAAUAUAAACAAAUAGAAUAACAAUAAUUUCAAUCAUACAUUAUGCAAAUAUCAACAUCAACAUUAACCUAGAAGAAAAAUAAAAUGUAACUUAUAAAAACAAAAAAAAUGAGAGAAAGGAAAUUUGGAAUUAAUAAAGUAUGUACACAAAAUUAUACAUAAAAAAAUUAAAAAAAUAAGUAAUUAAUGUGAAGAUUUGAAACAAUUUAAUAAUAGAACUAAAAAUGAAAAAAAAAUGUUUAAAUGAAUUUUUAAGAAAGAAUUAUAAAACGAAAAUAAAAAUGAAUAAAUCUUAAAAUUAAUAUACAUAUUUUAAUCUAAAUGAGUAAAAACUUAAUGUAAACAAUAAUAUACAUUUAAUAAUAAUAUGUGUAAAAAUCGAAAUAAGUAAAACAUAAUAGAAAAUUUAAAAGAAAUAAAGUAUUUAUGUAUAGAAAAUAGGUAAAAAUUUAUAAUUUGAAAUUAAUAAUAUAUUUUUUAUAUAUACAUAUGUAUAUUAAUCACCGUGCUUAAGGGCUAAGAUAACCCUAAAAACCAAAAACCUUUCACUAAAAACCUAAACUAAACACUAUUUGCGCCGCUCUGUGAAUUAUCCAAUCAAGGAUUCUCCGAACCUCGCCCAAACUCCGAUGACGAAGGAGAGAGCAAGGAUUCGGCCACAAGGUCACUUCUCUGCUUUCUAAUAUUUAUUUUUAUAUUCUUUUAUUCAAAAAUGAAUCAAACAAACAUAGAAAAGAUAACCGAAAGAAAAAACAAAAAACAAAAAGAAAAAAGAAGAAGCAAAGGAAAGAUUUAAAAUCACCUUUAGAACUCUCUUUCUCUGAAUCUUUUGUUUUGAUUUCUUAAAUUGUGUAUGCAUAAAAAUUUACAGUAUUCCAGUGGCUCUUUUAUAGUCAGAUUUACAGAAAAAAUAAAACAAAAUAAAUAAAAUGAAAUUCCCUCAAAUUACAUCUGUUAUUCUGUUACUGCUGGCUUUCGUGUGUAUUUGCAGGUAUUCGGCCAGCCUCAAACAACAGACGGAGACACACCCAUGUGAGGAAGAUGCACGCGCCUGAUGGUGAUACACGCGCGAAGUCUGGGUCCAACCGCUGUGGCGCCGGUGAAACCCUAGAAGCUUCUGGGGUACUCCCCUGGUUCAGACUGAGUUCUGGGCCUGGGAGAUUCGGGUUUAGAAAAUUGGGUUUGGGGUCUAUUAGUAAUUUGGGCUAUUUUUAUAUUGGACUUUUAAUUUUAUUUUUCUGGUAUUUACUGGGCCAGUAAUGUAAUUGGACCUUAUUAUUAUUUUUUAUUUGGCUUGGUUUUUUUUGAAAUGUAUGUGGGCCGGGCAAAUUUGGGUUAUUACAAUGAUCAUCAUAACAAACCUUGUAUUUGACUUUUUGUUGAGGGAUAUCAACUCAUUUGGGAGAAGUCUUUUGAGUGUUGUCUACCAGACAACCGAUGUUGCCCUCAACAACUAAAGGUAUUGUCCCCAUGUCAAGAUUUUAACCCAGCCUCUGUAGAAUAAUUAUGGAGAAUAUGUGCAUAGGGAUUCAAACCACCAACCAAUGCAUAUGUAUCCUUUACUUGUAGAAUCAAGAUGUAAUAGCCCAUUUUUAGUAGUUUUAGAACUCCUUUUUUCGAUAAUCAAUUCAGUAAAUAAUAUUUAUUAAUAUUUACGAGUCUAUUAUAGUGUUAUAUUAAUUUUUGGUCUGGUAAUUUUGAUGAACGAUUAGUAAUUAAGGUACAAGGACUAAACCGUAAAAAACAUAAAAGUUGAUAGCUAUUGAAUUUUAUUAGUUAAAAGAAUUAAAUAGAAAUUGUUCAAGGGUUUAAGUGGUAAUUAGGCCAUUUUUUUAUAGUGGUGGACAAUUGAUGUUUUGUUUUAAGUAAUUAAUGUUAAAAAUUAUAAUGAAAUUGUGUUAUAUGUUAUAAGAAAAAUAAAACAACAGUGAUCAUCCGCUUUAGUUUCUUCCUUCUUCAACCAUGAGCACCAAAGAGAACUUCAGAAACCAUUUUUUUUACAUCAAUCUUGUUCGAUCCUCUUGCAUCAUAUGUUAACUAAGUCAUUUUCUUAUAAUUUUUAUGUUUUGAGAUCCCGGGGAGCUUGAUUUAAUUAACUCAAGUACUAAUUCACAAAGUUGUAAAGUUUUGAAAUGUUGUCAUUGAUGAUUAUUAAGCUUUUGGUAUUAAUUGGUUGAAUGUUAAGCUUAGAUGUUAAAUAUGACUAUUUUGUAAUGAGAAAAUUACUAGUUUUGAGUAUACGGACUAAAGUGUAAAUAUUUUGAAAUUGACAUGAAAUUUAUAUAAUUAUUGAUUCUAGAGGGUUAUAGAAUGAUGAAAUUGAAAUCCGAUUGAAAAAUGAAGCUUGAAUAUGAAAGUUAUGGUUAUUUUGGUUUUAGGGACUAAAAUGAAUAAAAUGUAAAAAAAUUAGUGAAUUUGUGAAAAUUAAAAUUUAAGUGUCAUAUGUAUAGAAUACGGUGUUGUAAGGUAAUUGGAACUGAUAAAUUGAAAUGAAUUACAAUAUAGUUUAAGAUUUGAAUUGACCAGAAGUUAGUCGAGGAAAAAGGAAAAUUGUAGAUUAGGCCCUGACACUUCGCUUACUAUCGUUUUUUCCAGGUAAGUUUAUAUGGUAUACUUAUAUUUAAUUGUUAUAGAUAAUUGAAUUAUAAAUUGUGUAUGUGUGUAUGUAAUUUGAGUUGCUUUUAUGUUGAUGUAUGAUUGCACUCUAAUGCCCCUGAUUGCACUCUGGUGCCCUUGAUUGCAUUUUUGUGCCUCUAUAUGCACUUUGGUGUCCCUGUUUGUAUUACAAUGAUCGUCAAGAAAUGAACAGAGUUUGAGCGAUGAGUUCAAAUGGGAUAAUAUGAACAUGUCCAUGGUUGAAUGUGGAAUUGAUUUUGGUGUGGUACUAAAGCGUUAAAUUAUAAUAGAGUUUCUUGUACACUGAAUUAGCAUAUGGAAGGAUUGUGUGAACUCAUCUUGAGGAAAUUGUACUACCAUGGUUAGGUUUAAUUGGCAACUUGGUUAAGUAAUUACUUAUAGGUUUUAAAUGAGGCAAGCUAAUCAUUCUAUGCUUAUGAACUUGCUAAGUAUUUUAAAAUGCUUACUUUGUCUUGUUUUCCUAUCUUUUAGUUGCCUUUUGCGGAACGCAACAAUGGAUAAACUUGGAGCUCACACAAUCUAGUCUUUAAUUUGUGGAAUAUUACAUAACCCAAAUGGCAUUACUCUCCAUUGAUAAUGUCCAUUAGGAGCACUAAAGGCUAUUAAGGGUUUAGAUUUAUUGGUUAGCAUGAUUUGCCAAAAACUCUAUUUACAAUCAAACUUACUAAAGUAUUUAGCUUAUUUAGCCUGAUUAAUCAAAACAUCUUUUCUUGGAAUAAAAUAUCCAUCAAAAAAUAAUAUUUUGAUUUAACCUUUUAUAAUUAAUUACCAUCCUAACUUUUCCUCUUUUUAUUUCGGCAUGGUUUCUUACCAUAAAAGCGGGACUAGAAUGUGGACUAUUAGUUUUUUCUAUUAAUCCCUUUUCUAAUAGUUCAUUUAUUUGAACUUCAAAUUCAUCUAUAUCUUGUUUAGUAUGGAUCAUAGGUUUAACUCUGAUAAUUUUAUUGGGAUUUUCUAAUUUAAUAUCACAGUGUCUAAGACUAUUAUUCCAUAAUUUUAAUGGUUCUUCACUAAAAUUAUCUUCAAGAAUUUUAAACAACCAAUGAUUUGUUUCUAGUUGUUUAAUUUGUUCCUUUCUAGUUGGUGUAAAGUUUUUAUCACACACAAACUUAUGAUUUUCUACAACUGGUAUUUCCACUGAAGACUUUUCUACAGAUAAAAUAAUUAAAUUUCUAUCUAUAGAAAAUGGUAGAUGCUGAUAUAUAAAAUUAUUUCCUAAUAAUAUAUCUCCAUGCAUCACAGGAAAACAUAAUAUUUUUGGAAUCACAAAUCUUACAUUGUUCAUGUAGAUUGAUAUAUUUCUAGCCUUAUAUUGAAUUAUGGUUUCGUUACCAUCUAUUCCUAUUGCAUUUAUAAGAUUUUUCAUUAAUUCACAUUUUUCUACAGGAAUGACAUUUUUUUGACAACUACUGGUUGUAGCUCCUAUAUCUAAUAAAGCAUGUAAAGAAUAUUUUUUAUAUUCUUUAAACUGAAAUGUAAUUUUAAUAUAUGUAUAAUAUUUCCUUGAUUGAAAAUUUGAAAAGGUAAUUACAUCAUCUUUUCUAACUUUAUUUGUUGAAUAAUUGUUUGUAGUUUUUUCAUUCUAGUGUUUCUAGAAUUUUCCAACACAAAUAUAUAAUCUUUAUUAUUAUCAAAAUUUUUUUCUGAUAGUAUUUUACUAGGAUUUGUUUCCUUUUUAUAACAUAUUUUUAAAUCUUGUUUUUCAAGACUUUUGAUCCUUUUUCUAGCUUCUUUUCUUUUGUUAGAAAAGUUUUUGACUAUAUGAUCUUUCUUAACACCUAAAAAGCAUUUAUAACUUAGUUUUUUAAGUUUUCUAGAAGUUUUUCCUCUAAAAAGACUUUUUGCUACCAGAAAACUUAUUAUUUCUUAAUUUCCCUUUAACUAAUUUAUAAUGUUUUUUCUUUUUAUGCCUAUGAUGUUCAAAGGCGUCCAGAGGCAGACAAAAAAGUUUUGCAAUGUGGAAGCAACCAUCAAAUCCAUGAUGGGAAAAGACGGUGAAACGUGGAAGCAACCAUGAUCACACAAGAAACAUGACAAAUGCGACGUGGAAGCAACCACAUCCAUUCAAGAAGGGAUCCUUAUCAGAAUCACUGUUCAAGAUUCAAAAUACAAUUGUAUAGAAUUUUUGAAAUUGGACUAUAAAUAAAGAUAGGCUAUCAAUUGUAGAGGCAUCUUGAAAAUAUCGUAUAGUUUUCCCUUUUAUAUUUUCUCUUCUGUAAACACUUUCCUUUUGUAAAUUAAAAGAGUAUAUAACCUUCCACACAUAGCAUGCACUCUACCACCCUUCCCCCUAUUGGUAUCAGAGGUGCCGGUGUAAAUAUUUUUUGGAGAAAUAAUAUCGUAGUAUUCAUUGUAAGUCUUUAUCUUUGAUUUACAGUUCUGUUUGUUUCAUGUUUAUUUGACUCAAAACCCAUAUAUCUAUUAUUCUGUCUUUCUAUUGCCGUUGAGUCUAGGGAGGACGUUUAGGCCUUUGAGAGAAGACGUUUAAGAUAAUAGACGGUUUUAGGUACCAGGGACAAAUAAAAUGGAGCCGAUAGAGUGUUUAUAUAAAGAUAAAACUUGUAAUCAUACUAUGAUCUGUUGAAAGGCAAAUCAUGAUCAUGUGUGCAAUUUGAAUUAUGGUAUCUUGGUUCAUGAAUGUGACUUGGAUUUUUAAUGUAUAUAUGUCAUAUACCUAUAUGUAUUUACUGGUUAGUAAUGCUUGAUGAAAGACACAUUUGUUUAACUAGAUUGGCAUUGUUAUGCUUGUAUACUUGGUGAAUGUAUUUAGGCCUUAUUAGAUACAUGAGAUUACUUGAAUAUGCGAACCUCAUUGCAUUGAAUAUGCCAGCUGUCAUUGUAUUGAAUGUGUGAAUUUUCAAUGUAUUACAUAUGUGAACUAUCACUGUAUUUUUCUGCGUGAACUGCAUUUGUAACGCGUGAGUUAAUUAUCCACUCAAAGUAUGAGUAACCAACCCAUAAUAUAGUUAUAAGCGAACUCUAUAUAAAUGGUUUUGAGGUGAACUGUGACAAUGUGUGAAUUGUGUUUAUAUGCGAACUGAGUUAUAUGUGAACUGUGUGUAUAUGCGAACUGGGUUACAUGCAAAUUGUGUUUAUAUGUGAAUUGUGUUUAUAUGCAAACUAUGUUUAUAUGUAAGUUGUGUUUUAUGCGAACUAAGUUAUAUGCGAACUGUGUUUAUAUGUGAAUUGAGUUAUAUGCAAAUAGUGUUUAUAUGCAAAUUGUGUUUAUAUGUUAUCUGUGUCAACGUGUGGACCGUGUAAAUGUGAGAUCUGUAAUUGUAACUUAAUAUGUGAACUGGUUCAUUAAAAUUAUGUGUGAACUGACUUUGUAUGGCUUGUAUCAUAUACAUGCUCUUUGUAAAGUAAUUACGUGCGAGCUCUUUGUAAAGUGACUAAGUGCGAGCUAGUCUAUAAAGUAGUAAAAUGUGUGUUAUGUAAUCUAUGACUUGUAUUGACAUGCGAACUAUGUUAAUACAUGAGCUGCGUCAACUUGUGUGCAGUAGCAAAAGUACAAGCUAUACUGUGAUAGUAGUUAUAGCUCAGGUUCAGUGAUUGGACCAGGCGAGGGGUGUUAAACAAUAGACAAAAUCUCAACACGAAAAUAAUACCAUUUUUUGAGAGUCCGUCAACACAAUAAAUGAAAUUUAAAUGCAUACUUUUUUCAAUGAAAGUAAAUAUCAUAUUAAUUAAAGAAAAGCAACUAAAAAUCCAAUAAUAAAAUCCUUAGCAAAAGAUUGAAACACAAUUAUAUUGUAAAUGAAGUAAGAAACUAAGAAAAUCCAAUCUAAUAAAGAAAAUAACUUGAUGCCCCAAAGCUACCAUAAAACUAAAUCAUGGUAAGGCCUGCUGCUCGUUUUAUUGGUUUCCAUCUUUAUUUUGCAAAGGAAGUUUGAAUUUCGAAUAGAGCCUAGUACAUGGGAGCAAAAGAAAGAAAAUUAGUAUAUUAAUUUCCACGAUUUUUAAAACAAACUUCAUGGAAACGAAUAUUGACAUAUUAGAUAUCUAUGAUUAUAAUGCUAAAAUAGAUUAAAAUUAUUAAAUUAAUGGUAAAAUUUAGAGUGAAUUAAUAACCACAAGCGUACUCGUUACUCACCAUAUUUGUUAAACAUGUUUGAUGUUGUUUAGCAACCUUUGUUUGAUUUUCUUUAGUUCAACCACAACAUCUUUCAUGUCUUUUCUUUCUUCUGGUAACUCAGCUGAACAAUUCAGAGCCAACUCCAUGAUGGCUGAAAUACAAUUUGUUUUAACAACGAAGUACUCAUCCUCUUUUCUUAAUAAAUCAGCAUCUGCAAUUUCUAUUGCUCCUUUAGGCAAUGAAUAUUCCAUCCAAUGCCUUAUAGUCACUUCUUCAGCAAAAAGAUUAUCAGUUGGCUUUUUCUUUGUGAAAGUUUCUAUAAGGAUGAUCCCGUAACUAUAUACAUCACAUUUUAUAGAAACAAUUCCAGUUGAUCCAAAUUCUGCAUUUCAAGUAUAAUUAGAGCAUCAUUAAUCCUUAAUUAUUUCUAAAAUGCUUAUUUGCAUGAAGCAAAAAUAUAAAUUGCAAAUCAAGAAAAUAAUCAUACAAAAAUAAAAAAAUUCACCUGGUGCCAUAUACCCGAUAGUUGCAAGAGUCAUGGUUUGCUUCAUUACAUCACCUUCUCCCAACAAUUUGGCCACAUGUUUAGACAAGCCAAGAGACCUUUGGGAUCAUACGGGUGAUUUUGAUGCUGUUAAUGGUUAUUUUGGUGGAGAGGGUGAAAAAGAAACAAAUGGUCCAUUAUAUAUAAUAUAAUUAUGAAAUUCAAGCCAUAUAUUGUAUGUUUCAUACAUAAAAAUUUCAUGGGAGGUCCAAAAGUAAUUAAAUGACUUGUAGGCUUGCUGAAUUUCAUCUUUUGAAUAGGUGGUAUUAGGUCCAAAAGUAAUUUAACAUUCACAUAAUAAUCUCUAAAUACUGUAAAGACAAAUCAAAUCCACAGCAACAUUAGAGUUGAUCAAGCUAAGCAUUGGCAAAUAUUACUUUGAUUUUGCAUGCAAUAUUGGCAAAAUCCCCUCUUACAUUAGAAAAACAACAUAAUCCAUGAAACAUUGAUAGCCCAAUACAAAUUUCAUCAAGAAAAAAGUUUCUUUGUUUUGUAGAACAUGAUGGUAAAGAUGUGGAGUUUCCUUUAGUUUUCCUUGAUCAACAACCACUUGCCAAAAACACAAUUAGAUUAGAUUAUGAAUGAUACUUUCAACUAUGACAAUAUUAAAUACUAAACACUCCAAAUAGCUCUAAAUAACUGGAAAGCAACAAAUUACCUGACGAGGCAAGCUAGCUCAAUUAAGACCAUUGUGUUAUACUUGUCUCUGAAUUGAAAAAUCUAGAAGACAAUAAAGAGAAAGAGUUAGCAAAUACUUGAAAACCGAUAAAACUUAUAUGUCAUUGAUUGGAUAAACUACGAUCACCCAUAAUAGCCUUUAUCUUGCAACCAUCUACAUGAACCUAUAGGGCUCUUAGCAGAAUCAAGAGACAAAACCUUAACAUGAGAAAAAUACCAUUUGUUGAGGGCUUUGUUAAUAGGGUCGUACCUAGGAGAGUUGGUAGGGGUCCCAACCCCCCUUAAAAUUAAAAAGUUUCCAUUUAGGCCCUUUAAAAUUUUUAAAAUUUUUAAUUAAUAAACGUAAAAUUGUACUUUGGCCCCCCCAAAAUGAUAAAACUUUGAUUUAAUCCUUUAAAAAAUAUAAAAAUAUAGGCUAUUAAAACGGUGAAAUUACGUUUUUACCAUCGUAAAAAUUACAAUUUAAUUUCAACUCCUAAAAAGAUUUUCUGGCUUCGCCCCUAAUAAAACCUUUGGCAAAAGAUGAAAAUAAAUUUAUAUCGUAAAUAAAAAAAGAAACUAUGAAAAUCCAAUCCAACAAAGAAAAUAACUUGAUGUCGAAAUUUAAUGCAUUUUAUUGGUUUCCAUUUUGAUUUUGAAGAGAGCCUAGUACGUGAGAGCAAAAGAAAAAAAAUGGUUUAUUAAUUUUUACGAAUACCGACAUAUUAUAUAUAUGAUUAAAAUUCCAGAAUAACCACAAGUGUGAAUUAAAGAUAAAAUUAAGUGUGAAUUAAUAAUUAGAAGUGUACUCAUUACUCACCAUCUCUGUUAAAAAUGUUGGAUGUUGUUGAGCAACCUUUGUUUGAUUUUCUUCAGCUCAACCACAACAUCUUUCAUAUCUUUUCUUUCUUCUGGUAACUCAGCUGAACAAUUCAAAGCCAACUCCAUGAUAGAUGAAAUACAAUUUGCUUUAACAACAAUGUACUCAUCCUCUCUUCUUAAUAAAUCAACAUCUGCAAUUUCUAUCGCUCCUUUAGGCAAUGAUCUUUCCAUCCAAUGCCUUAUAGUCUCUUCUUCAACAAAAACAUUAUCAGUUGGCUUUUUCUUUGUGAAAGUUUCUAUAAGUACGAUCCCAUAACUAUAGACGUCAGAUUUUAUAGAAACAAUUCCUACUGUUCCAAAUUCUGUAUUUCAAGUAUAAUUAGAACAUCAUUCAUCCUCAAUUAUUUCUAAAAUGCUUAUUCAAAUAUAAAUCCACAUACACAUGAAACAAAAAUAUAAAAUGCAAAUUAGGAAAAUAAUCAUACAAAAAUAAAAAAAGAAUUCACCUGGUGCCAUAUACCCGGUUGUUGCAAGAGUCAUGGUUUGUUUCAUUACUUCACCCUCUCCCAACAAUUUGGCAAUGCCAAAAUCUCCAACAUGUGCAACCAUGUCUUCAUCUAGUAAAAUAUUGCUUGGUUUUAUGUCACAAUGAAUUAUAGGUGUUGGAUGUCCAUUGUGGAGGUGUUCUAUAGCUACCGCAACAUCUAUCAUUAUGUCGACCCUUUGUAUGAUAUCAAGGAAACAAUUUUCAGAAUGUAACCAUUUCUCAAGGUUUCCAUUAGACAUGUAAUCAAGCACCAAGGCUUUGAAGUCAACACUUGAACAGCAAGUAAUGACCUUCACAAUAUUACGAUGAACUAUAUUACGCAUAGCAUCACAUUCAAUGUCAAAACUCCUAAAUGCUCCCUCUGUUUGCAAAUUGAAAACUUUUAUUGCAACUUCCAUUCCAUCUGAAAGCCUCCCUUUAUAUACACAUCCAAAACUCCCUGAACCAAGCAUAUUGCUUUCCUCAAAUCCAUUAGUUGCUCUUGAAAGUACAGCAUAUGAAAUUCUUCUCGGUGUUUUCAAAGACAGCAAAUCAUCUUUAAUUGGUAGAGUUGUACUCCUUCGCCGGCAUCUUCUAUACAUAAUAGUUAAGACUAAUAGUACUAUGACAAUACCAAUUGUUGGUAAACCAUACCUAAAAGCAUGCAAUAUAAUCAUUUGGGAGUUUUUGUGGAUGUCGUUUUUGCAAGGUGGGACUAGCAAUCUAGGUGGACCACAAAGUGCAUAAUUCCUCAUGAAUGAUGUGCUAGAAAAGUUUGAAAAACAUCCUUUGCUGGGAAUUUCCCCUUCAAGUCUAUUGAAUGACACAUUAAAAUACUUUAGAUAUAAAAGCUUUUCCAAAGAUUUGGGAAUGACUCCAGAGAGAUUGUUAUUGGAUAAAUCCAAGAAUUCCAAACUAAUCAACCCAUCAAAUGAUUCAGGGAUAUGACCAUGUAGUAUAUUAUUUGAUAAAUCUAAUGAAACCAAAGUUUGAAGACCCCCAAAUGUGGAUAAGACAUCGCCCGUGAGAAGAUUCCUUGAUAAAUUUAGUUUCAGUAGACUCCUCAAAUUUCCAACAUCAAUAGCAUGUGAAUUGUGAAGAUGGUUUGAUGAUAAAUCUAUUUCUAAGAUAUCUUUAAGAUUCCACAAAUUUGAGGGUAUUGCGGAACUCAAUCUGUUGGAAUUUAAGUAAAGAUAUCCCAAAGAAGUAAUAUUACCCAAACAAGAGGGUAUGGGUCCAUGCAGCUUAUUCAACCCUAAAUACAUCUUGUAUAGUCUCUCCAAACCACAGAGGCUUUCGGAGAUAGGCCCUCCUAAUUUAUUAGAGGAAAGAAAUAGACCUUGGAGAUUUCUCAUUCCUCCUAUUGAUGCUCGAAUCAAUCCACUUAAUUUAUUAUAGCCAAGUUGUAAAAGCAAUAGGUUGGUUAAGUUACCUAUUUCCAUAGGAAUAAUGCCUUGAAGCUCACAAUUAUGGGCAUAAAAGUAUUGAAAGGAUUUUGAAAGGUUCCCGAUAUAAGUAGGAAGAACGCCACUCAAUGGAUUUCCUGAAACCGCUAUUUUUCUCAAAUGCCUGCAAUUCGAUAAAGAAGAAAGAAAGCUCCACUCAUGAUCAGUAGCAGAUCCUGUGAUGAAAUUAUUGUUUACGAUUCGGAACCGUUCAAGGUGUCUUAAGUUGCCAAGUGUUUUAGGGAUUGGACCAGAGAAUAAGUUAUGUGACAACUCUAGUUUCUUAAGCAUGGAAGCAUUGGAGAUAGAGUUGGGAAUGUUUCCGCUAAGUUUAUUUCCCCACAAAAAAAGAAACUCAAGCUUUGGAGCAUUGGUGAUGGGUGGUAAAUUACCUGUAAAAUAGAAUCUUUUAGUAUACAAAUUCACAAAAUAUAUAAUACAUUAAAGUAAAAACUGUAAAACUUUAAAUCAAUUAAGAAUAAAAUUUUGGCAUGGAAAAAUGUGAUGAAAUCAAUUAGAAAGUUGAGACAUAAUAAGAAGUUUUGAGUAGUAAUUAGUCCUUGUGAUUUGUAUAGACAAAACAUAUAAUACACUAAUAAUUUUUUAAAAUAUUGUAAAACUUGAAAUAAAAUAAAAAUAAAAGUUUGGCAUGAGAACGUGGCAUCUAAUCAAUCUUAAAAAUGAGACUGAUACUGAAUAAUAAUUAGUUAUGAUUUGGGAAACAAAAAUGUUAAAGUCAUUGUUUUUAAUGUAAACUGGUAUGAUUUUGACCUAUUAGGUUAAUUAUUUAUUUUUAUUAAAUUAUAGUGUAAAAUUUAAAGAUUAUUAUUUGCUCAAAAUUUUUGUGUUUUUCGUAUAUUUGAAAUUUAAUCUUUAUAUUUUUUAUUUUCUGUGAUUUAGUCUCUCUACUUUUUGAAUUAAAAAUUUUAGGUUCAUUUAUUAACACUGUUAAAAAAGUUUUUCUGUUAGUAUGGCAUUUUGAAAAAUAAAAUAAACUUGAUAUCUAUGUUUUUAAUUAUUCCAAAUAUUGUUUCACUAUUUCAAGAUAAAUUAUUUGUGUUUAGACCAAUAUCUUAAGAACUAUUGUUGCAUGUUUAAUUAUUCUAAAGAAUUGUUGAUUGAGUCUUAGCUGAAGUGCACUAUUCUCCUAUUUAUGAAUUGGGGAGUUGGUAAAGUAUUAAAUUUUGAUAUAUUUUAAAAUAUUAAAAAUUUAUUAAAAUAUUUUUUAUAAAAAUUGAUUAUACCACAAUAUACAAUUUUAAUAUCAAAUUUUUAUUUUUUUUUAAAAUAUUAGCGAAUAUAUACUUUAUUUCAAGUUACACAAUUUUUACUAGUUUUUAAAUUUUUUUAAAAAUUUUUAUCGUCUUUUAUAAUUUCUAAUAAUUUUUUAUAAUUUUUUACAAUAUUUACAAUUUCUAACAAUUUUUAAUAAUUUUAUUAUUUAUUACAAAUUUAAAAAUUAACAAAUUUUUAUUUUUUAAAACAAUUAUAUAUUUAUAAUGUAGUUGUUUUUUUUAUAAUUUUAUUUGAAAUUUUAAAGAUUUUUUUUGGUUUUUUUUAGAUGAUGAUGCCAUCAUGAUGUCAUCAUAUGUCACAUGGCAAUUUAUAAUUAGUUGAAUAUCUCAAUCUAUUUUAUUAACGUCCAAUAGACUAAAACAAGAACACCUGAUAAUGUUAGAGACUACACUAGGAAUGUUUGAUAAUAUUAGGUACUAAAGUGGGCAAAAAAAAUUAAGGACUAUAUUAAAAAUAUAUCUAUAAUAUAUAUAAAUGCAUGGAUUUUGAGAAACUUUUGAAAUGAUAAUUAUAUAGUCUUUGUUUUUUUUUUCUAUAUUAUUGAAUUUUUUAUUUUAAAUAUUUUUUUAUUACUUUUAAGAUUUAUCAUAUGCAUGGAUAAGAAUUUUGGUUUUACUAAAAUAUUUGGUUAAAUAAAUUCACUUCAUAAGAAAAUUUAGGAUCCUUAUAAAUAACAAUUUUGAUUCUAUUAAAAAUAUUAUUUUAAAAAAUAUAUAAUAAAAAUUUAAAAUUUAUAUUGAAUUACUUUAUACUUAAAUUAUUAUUAGAAACUUUAUCAUACACAUACAUAUAUGAGAAGCACGUAUUUAGAACAUAAAUUUGUGUUUUAAAAUAACUUAUGAUAAAUAAUGAAAUGUAUAAUUUGAAACUAUUUAAUAAUAACACAUGGCAUAUCUACCAUAUUAAAAUAAAAAUAGAUUAAAUUGUAGGUAAAACAUAAUUUAAACAUAUGAAUACAUCAAAUUAAGAAUACUAAAUGAAUACAGUUAUUUAUGAUGAUGUUGUUGCCAAUUCUUAACUUGGUGUCGAGUUAAUUUGUGACAUCAUAAAUUUAAGUGGUAAAUUUAAGGUUUUAUGUAUUGAUGUGGAUUCAAAUAUCACCAUAAUUUUUUUUAAAAAUAAAAAACUAAAGUACCCUCAAACAAUAUAACUUAUAUUAAAUAUGAAAGGGUAUUUUUAUAAUUUCUUUAACCGAGUUGAUGCCCGGUUGACUCAUGACACCAACUCAAUCAAAAGCUUCAAUAAUAAUAUAGAUAUUCACGUUAAAAAAACCAAAAAAAGUACUUUAGUUCCAAAUAAUUAUAUAAUAAGUAAAUUUAUAAUUGAUGAAUAAAUUUAUAAAUAAUAUAUUUAUAUGAUCUAAUAUAUUAUAUAUAUUAAUUAUAUAUCAUCUACAAACUUUGAAGAUCAAUUUAUUAAGUAUCAAGAAAAGAAAAAAUGAAAUUGAAUUAACACUAAAUCGAUUUUUAGAUUUUGUCCAGAUGAUUUAAUGAUGAUAAAAAAAUUAUUAGCACUAUUUUUGAAUUAACAAAAAAUUAGUGAUAUAUUUUAAUUAUAUUUAUUAUUUAUUAGUUUUAAUAAUGUUUUUUUAAUUAUAUGAAGUAAAAUUAUAUCGUAUACUAAAUAUGGUACAUAUACUUUAAUUAUAACUUGAAAAAUUAUUAUAUAAAUUAAUAUAUUUUAAUUAUAUUCAACCAUUUGAAUAACAAAAUUAAAAAAAAACUAAUUAGAAUUAUUUACUUUUUAAAGUUUAAUGGAAAUUAAAAAAUUAAAAAUAAAUCAAUUCAUAUAAAUCUUAUUGUUUAUUAUCAGAUUAAUAUGAUAAAAGUAUAUGACAUAAAUAGAAGAAACAAAUUCAACACAAUGUUUUUGGAGUUUGGAAAAAAUUAAAGUGAAAAACAUACCUUCUAAUUUGUUGUUAAAUAGCUCUAUACCUUCGAGCGUAGUUGAAUUAAAAAUACUUGAUGGAAUCUGGCCUGCACACAUAGUCGAAAAUUGAAGUGAAAAAUAUACCUUCUAAACUGUUCAACUAAAAAUACUUUAAGCAUCUUUUUUUCCAUCAAAUUAGUUAUCUAUUACAAAUCAAACUCUUUUAUGAAAUGUUGAAGAUGGAAGAUGGAACCUGACCAGAUAAUUGAUUGAAUCCCAAGUUCAAGAUCUCUAGAUUAGACAUGUUAACAAGUGUUUCAGGGAUUGUGCCUGUAAAGUUAUUAUUCUUCAUUUCCAGCCUUCGAACUCUUUGUAAGUUCCCAAGCCAUGAUGGAAUUUCCCCAUUCAGACGGUUGUAGCUUAAUUGAAGGAUCCUCAAACGAUGCAAGUGGCCCAAUUCUUUAGGGAGAUGGCCAUAGAAAUGGUUGCUACUCAAGUCUAGAGAGAGUAGAAAUGAAAGAUUUCCAAGGUGUGGAGGGAUAGUACCCCUAAGAUUCAUGCUUGUAAGAUUCAAAGCUAUAACUCUUUUAUGGAGGAUGCCACAAGAAACACCAAUCCAAUUGCAAACAGAGGUUGAGGCCGUCCAAUUGUUUGCCAUGACAUUUUGAGGACCGGCAAUGCGAUCCUUGAACUCGAGAAGUGCAAAUUGAUCAGAGUUGAGAUUCCUGACUGUUAUAGCCAAGCAAAGUACGGAACAUGGUAUGAAUAAAGCUAAAAGAAGAUGAAAGCAAGUGUUGUAGUCCAUGAUUGCAAGACGGAAUAAGGCAAGAAAAUAAAAAAAAAAGUAGGAAAAGGGAAGUUGAGUUGAUAAAAUAGUUUGGAUGAUGAAGAAAAGCCCAGAGAGCAUGCUUUAAUAUGUUUCAACCCUCGCACACUUGAUAAACUUGAUAAAUUUAAGACUACUCUAAAAAUUAAAAAGGAAAACAAAGUUUUGAUGAAAUUUCAAAAUAAAUGUCAAGUAUUCUUCUUUUAGAAAUACGUAUAAAGAAGUGAAUUUUCAAAAUUUCUCCUAAAUUUUCUUCACAUUACUCCACAUAAUCCAUUAAAAAAAACUUAAAAAAUAUAUUUUAUUAAUUACUAUAUAUUCUUUUAUUUUCAGAAUAAUAAAUUGUUUAAAAUAUGCUACUAGUCCCUGUAAUUUAAAAGUUAAAAAAAAUCCAAUCCUCCUAUUUUUUUAAUUUAAAAAUUCUAGUCCAAUCAUUUUUAAUUCCAUUAAAAAAUUUCAACUUAAUAGAUUUUUUAUUAUCAAUCAUAUGCAACAUUAUAUGAAGGCAGUCUACUCAGUAUAUAUCCAAGUUUACAUAUUUUAAUAGAAAAUACUUACAAUCCUAAUGAUAGGACUAAGUUUUUUAAACUAGAAAAGUACAAAAACUUAAAUUUUAACUUUUUUAAGUACAAGGAUUAAAUUUUAAAUGUUGUCAAAGUACAAGCACUAACAAAAUAUUGUGAUCUAAUAAAUGUAAAAAGCAUUUUAAACAAAAGAUGGUUGAAAUAAUCUAUUUGUCCUUAUACUUUGAUAAAAUUUGAGAUACCAUAAAAUUUGUAUCUUUUUUCGAAUUAUUUAAUGCCAUUUCAACAUUUUCAUUAAAAAAAAAACAUAUCAUUUUGAAUUUGAUCUUUUUCAAGAUGAAAAUAUUGAAAUGAUGUUAAAUUAUCGGAAAGAGAUACAAGUUUCAUGGUAUCUCUCUAAGAAAGCUGAUGUAAGAUAUUAAUGACAUCAUUUGAACAAAGUUUUAGGUCAAAUUAUUCAUCUAGUCCUUGUAAUUAUUCUUUAAGGUGAAUUUCAUUAUUAUUCUUUUAUUUUCUUUGGCUUAAAUAAACAUUUACCCCUAAUUUUAUCACAUUCUCCUUAAUUGGUAUUUAUAGUUUAGAAAAUUUUACAAAUAUAUUAUUUUUUAAGAAAUUAUAAGAAGAUUACAAAAAUUCCAAAAUAAUAUAAAAAAGCUAAGAAAAACCUAGAAAUUCAAAAAACAAAAAAAUAAUGUUUUUACAAAUUGGGGUAUGCAAUCAAUUUUAAGAUGGUUUUUGGAGUUCAUCUCACUUUAGCAUUGACUUACUUUUCUACAGUUAGUCUUCUCCAACAAGUUAAAUAUUUCAAUUUUAACAACAUUGACAGGUCUUAGGGGUAGGGUCGAGCAAAACUCAAUAGAAAUAGAUGAUAUAGGUUGAGUUGGCUCGGCCAAGUCGAGUCGACUUGUUCAAAUUUGUUAAAUUAGUAAAUUUUGGGGUGCAGUUAGAAUUUUUUUGUUUUGAGAUGCUAAGAUUAAAAAAAUUUGAGUUUUGAAAACUUUGACUCCUUUUUGCUUUGAGAGUUGAUUUGAAGAGAAAAGAGCUUGAAGGUGCUUUUGUAGAAAUAGGACAAAUUUUAAAAUAAGGAGUAAAUUGGAAAAAAAAAUUUGGGUUGGGCUAAUUUGAAAAUUUGACACUUUUGUGGGAUAAAAAUAGAAAAAUAUUUUGGUUGAAUACACAUAAGGAGUUACGAACUUGAGACUUAUAGGUAGGCUAAGGCCUUACCACUUAACCAACAAGCUCAUUAUUAUUAUCUUUUAACACAAAUAAAUUUUAAGGCAUACUAAGGGCUUGUUUAGCAUUGCAGUGAAGAAGCAUUUUGGCUUAAAAAACACUUUUGAGAGAAAAGUGGUUCUAAGCUAGUAACUUUUGGCUAAGAUUUUGGCUUUUCAAAAGCAAUUUUGGCCAAAUGGAGAAGUUAAAAUUAUUAGCUUUUCUUACCCAAAAGCAGUUUUGAGUGCUUAAUUACUAAUUCAUCCCCCCAAAAACACAAUUUAAAAUAAAAUAAUACAAAUAUGUUAAUAUUUAAUUACAAAUAUUUAAUGGGUAUAUUUAAAUAUUUAAAAUAUAAUUUAUAUAUUCUAAUUAAAUUUUAUAAAUAAUUAAUAUUUGUUGCUUAAAAAUAUUUAAAAUUUAUAUUUUAUAUAUUAAAAUAUUAACAACAAAUUAUAAUAAAUUAUUUUUUAUAUUCUUACUAAAAUAUCAUAAUAUAAAUUAAUUUUAAUAUUAUUUAAAUACAUAUUUGUUACUUUAUAAUAUCAUGUCUAAGAUUGACGUUUUAUUUCUCAAAAGCACUUUUUGAAAUUAAUACUAAACACUUAAAUUUUAAACUAAACUUCUCAAAGAUACUUUUCUACAACACUUUUAAAAGCACUUUCCAAAAUCAAUGCUCAACUACCUCAAACUCUCUUACCUUAUACUUUAAAAGAGAAAAAAAAAAGAUUUUAAAUUUUAUCCCUAUUUCUUUUAACCCAAUUUUUAGGAUGUCAAACAUUUAUAAAUAAAAUAAGUAAAAGGAAAAAAAAGCAUAUACUUUAUUUUUAUCGCAGGUAAAAGUUUUAAUGGAGAGGAUCAUGUAAAAUUAUGAUCUGAAUAAUUUUAAACAUUUCAUCAUUGCAAAAAUGAAAUAAUAGAAAAGAAUGACUAUUCGAAUUUGCAUUUGUGUUCUUUCUUUCAAUAUUUGCUUUCAAAACUGUGGGAAAAUUUUAAAUUUGAUGAAAUUUUAAAAUUGCAGUUCAGUAAAAUAUAAAUUUUAUGAAUUUGGAGUAGCCAUUUUAUUUAUAAUUUUCUGUGUUUUCUUCUUUGCUGACUUUUUUAAUGUCAUUUUCUAUCAUGAAAGAAACUUAAAGAUUCACUAUGUAUUUCUCAACCACUAUGAAAUUACUUGACUACGGGGGUAGAAUUUUCUCACCAAUUUUCUAACAUUAGAUUUUUUGAAUGAGACAAAUAUUCAAUUUUAACACAUUUCCCAUAAUUAGUCACCCCUAUUUGUGAGUGAUUUGGGGAUAAAAGCUUAAACAUUUAUGGAUCACAUUGCAUUUAAGACGGGUGUUUGGAGUUAUAUGAAAUUUUAACAUAGACUGGCUUUUCUAUAAAGAGUACUCCUUGCUUUACUAUUGUCAUGAUACGAGGAGAUACUGAAAAUUAUUGUACUAUGAAAUUUUAAUUCACUCGAAAAAUAAGUGUUUUAUUUCAAGGGAUUAAUAUUAGCUUUCUCUUUUUUAAAUUUUGAAUUUUUUUUGACAACUGCGUAAUUAAGAAUAUAUCAAUUUUAGGUGUUAUAGGGGUGUUUUAACCUUCCCUAUGUGUAAUCGACUACUGAAACUUUUUUAUUCUUUAGAAUUCAACACAUACCUCAAAAUUUUCUUUUUAAAAGAUUUUUAAAAUCUCUUUAUAAAAGAUUAUCACACUUAACAAAGAUGAUCAGUGACUACUUUUCUUUAAUAAAAUAUUAUGUUUUUGCAGAGACCAAAAUUUUCAUAUUUUUCAAGAAUUCCUCAAUCUAAUUUUCUUUUUGAAUUUUUAUUUUCAAGAGGAAAAUGAUCCCUACAAUUAAUAUUUAUUUUCCUUAUUUUUAAUUUCUUUUUAAGGGAGAUGAAUAGUGGAAUGAUAAUUUUUAGUUAUGGUAAAGUAAAUUUAAUUAUCCACAACCUUCAACUAUUAAUUUUUUCGAUUUAAUUACACAAUUUUUUGAAAUUAACACUCUUUUAUUAGUUGUCGCUAGGUGAUGGACGAAAAGUUGAUUUGGACUUUUUGUUGACCUAAUAACAAAUUUAGAUAUUCAAAGUUUACUUAUUCUAUCAAUUUAAUGCUAAAUUUAAAAAAUUCAACAAAUCCUAUCAAAAAACAAUUGGACCUUGAGUACACAGGCUGUGAGAUUUUCACAUGGCUGUGUCUACACUGCACUCUAUUUUAUCAAAUUCGGACAAAGAGUUACACAGGCUGUUCACACGGGCAUGUGCCUCCUUCACAUGGGGCGUGUAGACCUCCACACAACUUAGGAACUUCCACAUGGCUGGGGCACACGGUCAUGUGGCCUUGUUUUGUAGAUUUUUGUUCUGUGUUAGAUUUUGACUCGUUUUGUGCCUGUGUGUAUUCUGACCUCAGUUAAGACUUAGUAAGAAUGUUUAGGACUCUGAUUAGUUCGAAUUUGUGCAUUUGUUUGUAACUAAUGUGUUAAUUUAUUAGUUUGAUUAAAUGUUAUGUGAUGUUAUUAGUAAAUAGUUACAAACCUAAUUGAUUCUAAAUCUGAUUGAUUGAACUUGUGUGUUUCGUUUUCUGUAUGGAUGUUUGUAUGUUGUGUGCAUUUUGCAAUAGCAUAAAAAUUUUACUAUUGAUUGACUGAAUAUGAACUUCUAUAUCUGUGACACUAUUAGUGUUUGAUGUGCAUUCAUACAUAUGCAUAAAAUUAGGGUUUUGGUUAUGAAGAGAAGGGAGCCUGUUUCGGUAGUUCAACUGUAAUAUUUCUGAACAGCAGUUUACCGCAUGAUUCUAUAUAUAUGUCAGCUUAGCUGCAUAUUAUGAUUUCGAGUGGCUUAUUUUCCUUAUUGUAGUGUGUAGGGUGGAUGAACCUUUUAUAGUUCUUGUAAUAGGCCCAAUUUGUAUGGGCCCAAAAAAAUAAGUUACAAACCCAAAAUAAACAUUACAAGCCCAAAAAUUAAAAAAAAAACUAACGGCCCAAGUGGCCCAAAACCUAACCCUCUUUAGUCGCCACUUCUCUCACGCGAGCCAACCUCCUCACGCGUGCCACCACGUCAGCACCUCCGUACCCUCCACGCUCUCUCUCUCUGCCACCAUAGCAUGCGUCCUUGCCCGGUACUUGCAGACCAAGCAAAAGAGAGCACAACAGUAAAGAGAAAAACAUUGUAUUUUUCGGCUAUAAAAGCCAUGAACAAAUCAAUGUAAAUUUUUUACGACAAAAAUAAAUACAAAAAAGGCAAUUGGAAACAAAAAAAAGGUGGUUCUUUUUUUGUUUUUAUUUCUUUUCUACUUAUAUUUCUACUAGUUUUUAAGAAAAAUAAAAAAGAAUGGAGUCGAAUCUUACCCUUUUCUCGCAUGUGCGCCGUCGUGGGGGGUCGAGGUUCGUCUUUUCCAAUGAAAAAUGACAUUUUUUGAGUUGAGGAAGUCGAAAAGUCAAAAAAUGGCCUUUUUUCGAUUUUUUGGCCACCGUGGAUGGCGGCGCCGUCACCGACGACCGACGGCCGCCACGACGGUCCGUCGGUUGGAGCCAUGGCCGGAGAGGGGAGUUGGGAGAAAGGGGGAGAGUGAUUUGAGUGUUUUUUUUUCAGAGAAUGGGGAGAAAUGAAAAAUUAAAAAAAAAGGUUUUUAUAGAGGAUUGAAAUGGCAUCGUUUUGGGCCUUAACCCCAGUGGCCAAAACGACGUCGUUUCACCCCUUUAAUCUGCGCGUGGACCCGACCCGCAAGAGGAUCCGUGUGUUUUUGUGGAAGGGUCUAUUUGCGUGUUAGACCCUUCCACAUUUUUCAAUUGUCUUAAUCCAGUCCUUUUUUAUUUUCUAAUUUGUACUUCAAAUUUUAUUUUAUUUUUGAUUUGGUCCUAGCAAAACGGCGCGUUUCAGAGGGCGGGGAUAUUUCCCCAAUUGGUCCCUCUUAGUUAUUCGCGCCUUUCAAAUGGGUCCUCUACCUUAUUUUCAUUCUCGAUUUUUACCCAGUUUUCUGAUUAAACUUCAAUUUAGUCCUUCUGCAUCUAUUUUAUUAUAAUUUUAGCCCCUCUUAUAUUCAUAAACUUAUUUUAUUAGGAUUUGGACUCUUAAUUUUAUUUCAAUGUCAAUUUAAUCCCCUUUUAUCUCAGUCUAGGUUUUAUUUUCUUUUUUUUUGUUGUGCUUUAUUUAUUUUAUUUAUUUGCUUACCAUUUCUUUUUUUAUUUUGAUUUUCGUAUUUAAUGAUGCUUUUACUUUAUUUAUUUUAUUCUUGACUUUCAUUGUUAUUGUUGUUGUUGUUGUUGUUAUUUUUAUGGUUUUUUAUUAUUUCAUUUAUUUACAUAUUUUAUUCCAAAUUGUUGCUUUAAAUUUUGUUUACAUUUUAAUUCGGUUCUUUACUUUCAAUAUUUUUUUAUAAACUAUUUUCCCUUACAUUAUUUAUGUAUUUAUUUUAUUUGUUUUUUUUAAAGUUGGUAUUGUCCUUUUAUGUGCAUACUUUGACAUUAUUACCAUUGUUAUUAUUUAUUUUAUUUAUCUUUUGAUUAUUCAUAUUAAUGUUAAAGUAGUGUAUAUUAUAUGAUUCUCGUAAAUUGUCUUUAUUAUAUUCAUUAUUGUUAUUUAUUAAUGCAACAUUUCAUUCAUGUAUUAUUUUAAAUAUUACACAUUUUUACCCAAAUUUGUAAAAAAAUAUAAAAAUUAGAAAAUAAGCAAUAUUUCGUAUUUUGGAAUUUGAAAAGUCGUUCCCUAACUUACGGGGUUUCAAUUUUUUUGAUAAAUCCAAAUAUACGAGCUAUUUUUCAAAAACACAUUUUUAAAAUUAUCUCGAGAAUUAAAAAGAUCGUUUUUCAACUUUUGGAAUAUGAUUUCUUUUCUAAAACUGAGAUAAUAAAAAUUUUCUAAAAAUAAAUAAAAUUUUUGGUGUUUAUUCUCGUUUUGAGAUUUAAGGUUAUGUCCUAACUCACAGGGUAUAAUUCUUUUUCUCGGUUGACAUAAAAUAUGCCCUUUUUAAAAUUCUUUUAGGUAAUUUUAAUAAAAGGAUCGUAUUUUAAGUCUCUUCAAAAUUUUCAACUUUCGACAUUAAGACAUUAAUUAAUCAAUUAGGUAUCAAUUUUGGGCGUGACGAGGGUGCUAAUCCUUCAUCGCACGUAACCGACUCCCGAUCCAUUUUUCUCGAAUUUCGUAGAUCAAAAUCAUUGUUUUAGUAAAAUCGAAACGUUUUGUUAAAAAGAUUGAAUUGCAAGGUGAUCCGAUCACACCAAAAAAAAAUAUCGGUGGCAACUACAGUUUUUUUCGUUUUUAUUUUUAUAAUAAAAGUCGACCCCUUUUUUAUUAAAAAAUGGCUUCGAUAGUUCUAUGUGGUGUGAGGGUAGACGGGCCUUCUAUAGCCCUAAUGUGGUGUGCAGGGUGGUCGAAGUGGUGUUCAAAUGGUUGGGUGGGUUUUUAACUUAUUGCAUACGGUUUGCAUUAGGCAUAUGUGUCUGAUUAUGAUUCUUUUUAAAAUUAUUUGCAAAUGUUUGUACUAAUUUGAUUAUUACAUGUGUUAGAGACAUUGCUUAUGCAGUUUGAUACUAUAUAUUGACUUAUUGAUGUAAGAUUUUCGUAAGUGACCAUCAUAUAGUGCUUGUCUGAAAUAUUUAUGGAGUUAUCCCCUCUUUUACCGACUGUUGUGUUUUGGACUCACACUGAGCUCGCGUAGCUUACCACCUUAGUUUUCUCCCUUUUAGAUACUCUCGUGUUCUGUAGCUAGACUCGACAUAUUAGAAGGCUCAGACGGAAGAGGUGAGAUUUGAUUUAAUAAAGUGUUUCAAUUCAAUUUUAGUUUUUCUAACUUCUUGGGACUAUAAGUGUUAAUAGGGACUGUAGUAUAAGUUUUACUUCUGGAUUUUCGUAAAUUUUUAUUUUGGGACUGAACUUUUGAAAUUGUGGAAUUAUACUUUCUAUUGUUUUUAACGUAAUUUAAAAUCUUUGUUUGAAUCCUGAAUGGUUAAACGACUUAGUUUGAUUUUAGCAAAAAUGAGUUAUAAAUGAGAUGUUAACAAUUCAUUUUGUAAAAUUAUUUUUAGAUCACUUCGGUGUUCAAAGUAACCUCUGAGAUUCGAUCCAUACUUCUAGGCCGAGUUUUGGGGUGUUACAUUAGUUUUCAAGAGGAGAUUGGUGAUCUACUUGAAGAUAGAUUGAUUUUGAAAACUUUGACUCCUUUUUGCUUUGAGAGUUGAUUUGAAGAGAAAAGAGCUUGAAGGUGCUUUUGUAGAAUCAGGACAAAUUUUAAAAUAAGGAGUAAAUUGGAAAAAAAGGGUUUUGGGUUGGGCUAAUUUUAAAAUUUGACACUUUCGUGGGAUAAAAAUAGAAAAAUAUUUUGGUUGAAUACACACAAGGAGUUACGAACUUGAGACCUAUCGAUAGACUAAGGCCUUAGUACUGAACCAACAAGCUCAUUCUUAUUAUCAUUUAACACAAAUAAAUUUUAAGGCAUACUAAGGGCUUGUUUAGCAUUGCUGUGAAGAAGCACUUUUGGCCUAAAAAACACUUUUGAGAGAAAAGUUGUUCUAAGCUAGUAACCUUUGGCUAAGAUUUUGGCUUUUCAAAAGCACUUUUCGCCUAAUGGAGAAGCUAAAAUUUUUAGCUUUUCUUACCCAAAAGCACUUUUGAGUGCUUAAUUACUAAUACAUCCCUCCAAGAACACAUUUUAAAAUAAAAUAAUACAAAUAUUUUAAUAUUUAAUUACAAAUAUUUAAUGGUUAUAUUUAAAUAUUUAAAAUAUAAUUUAUAUAUUCUAAUUAAAUUUUAUAAAUUAUUAAUAUUUGUUGCUUAAAAAUAUUUAAAAUUUAUAUUUUAUAUAUUAAAAUAUUAACAACAAAUUAUAAUAAAUUAUUUUUAUAUUCUUACUAAAAUAUCAUAAUAUUAAUUAAUUUUAAUAUUAUUUAAAUGCAUAUUUGUUACUUUAUAAUAUCAUGUCUAAAAUUGACGUUUUAUUUCUUAAAAGCACUUUUUGACAUUAAUACUAAACACUUAAAUCUUAAACUAAACUUCUCAAAGAUACUUUUCUACAACACUUUUUAAAAACACUUUCCAAAAUCAAUGCUCAACUAUCUCAAACUCUCUUACCUUAUACUUUAAAAGAGAAAAAAAAGAUUUUAAAUUUUAUCCCUAUUUCUUUUAAUCCAAUUUUUAUCCCAGGUAAAAGUUUUUAUGGAGAGGAUCAUGUAAAAUUAUGAUUUGAAUAAUUUUAAACAUUUCAUCAUUGCAAAAAUGAAAUAAUAGAAAAGAAUGACUAUUCGAAUUUGCAUUUGUGUUCUUUCUUUCAAUAUUUGCUUUCAAAACUGUGGGAAAAUAUUAAAUUUGAUGAAAUUUUAAAAUUGCACUUCAGUAAAAUAUAAAUUUUAUGAAUUUGGACUAGCCAUUUUAUUUAUAAUUUUCUGUGUUUUUCUUCUUUGCUGACUUUUUUAAUGUCAUUUUCUAUCAUGAAAGAAAGUUAAAGAUUCACUAUUUAUUUCUCAACCACUAUGAAAUUACUUGACUAUGGGGGUAGAAUUUUCUCACCAAUUUUCUAACAUGAGAUUUUUUGAAUGAGACAAAUAUUCAAUUUUAACACAAACAUAUCUUUAGUUAUUGAGUCACCCCUAUUUGUGAGUGAUUUGGGGAUAAAAGCUUAAACAUUUCUGGAUCACAUUGCAUUUAAGAUGGGUGUUAGGAGUCAUAUGAUAUUUUUUCAUAGACCGACAUUUCUAUAAAGAAUCCUUGCUUUACUUUGGGUAGAUUCUUCCAAUUAGCGUGGUCGUUGGUAUUACUCUCCAACAAUUAUUGUACUGUCAUCCUUAUUCCUACUCCUCCUAGCAGAGAAGUUUCAUAAGUGUUUUAUUUCAAGGGAGUCAGCACUUAGCAACCCCUUGGGGGAUUCAGCACUUAGCAACCCCUUUUAUAUUCAAUGUACUCCGGCUUAUUCCGAGUGUUCAACCGGAAAUCUUGUUUGCAAUAUUUUACCAUUUUUUCCAACUUAACCACAUUUUUAGGAUCUAUGGCAAGUAUUUAUUCUACGUUCAAUUAAAUCUCCUCAUAUAAUGAAUAAUAUCAAAAUAAUGCAUUAAUUCACAUGUUUACUUACCUUGGUGCAAAAUAUUGUAAUUUUGCAAUUUACUCCACAAUUUUCUCUUUUCCCCGAUUGAGGUUGUCUCCUCGUCUUUCUUGAUCUAUAAUAGCAAUUUUAGCUUAUUUAAUAUUCACAUUUAUUAAAACAAUCCUCGACUCACAUUUAUUAAACUUGCUAUUUAAUAUUCACAUUUAUUAAAACAAUCCUCGACUCAACUUUUUACAAAAUUAUGAUUUUGCCCCCAAACUUUUGCAUAUUUACACUUUUGUCCCCAAGCUCGAAAAUUAAAUUCCACUCCUUAUUCUUAUGUUUUACAACAUGCUGAAUACUUUUCCCUUCUAUGGCAACAUCAAAUUCUCACUCUAACAUACACUCAUGAACAUUAAAUAUUUUUACCGAUUAUGUCAAUUUACCCGUUUCUACUUAAAAUUGCUUAGUAAAAGUUGUUUAACAUAAUUCUAGCUCCAUAUUCUACCAUAAAACAGUAAAAUAAACACAUUUCACCUAUGACUAUUUUUCCAAAUAUGAACCCUAGGUUAAAUUAUGUGUUUUGUUCUUCCAAAUGUGUUUUGUUACGAAAUUGAAAACCAAAAUUUAUGUAAAUUUGUCAUGAUUCCUCAAUAGAAAAAUCUGUAAAUUAUCAAAACGUAAAUGUGAACAUAUUAAUUAUUAACUUAAAAAAAACCUAGUCUUGUACAAUCAAAAUUCAAAAAUCAUUUGCCUUGUAAAACUUGUAAUUUUCAUUAAAAUUUUUGCAGCGAAAACUUUUUAUUUAGCCUAUUGAGCAUAUUUUUAAAUUUACGUUUUUAACUUUCGUAAAAUCCCAAUUUGUAUUUUUGUGGUGGAAAAUUUUAUAAUUUUGAAAACCUAGCCUUGAUUGUUGGUUAACACAAAUCAUGCAGAAAAAAAAAACCUUUAACUAAGCCAAAGAAAUCCAAAGCCAAAUUAAAUCGGAGAAAUUCAACCAAAAGCCAAAAGUCCAGUAAAUCAAUUUAUUAACCAGAGCAAACAUUUAAUGAAAGAAUCAAUCCGAGACCCCGCAAAUUCUAACUUUCCGAUUACCUGAAACAUCAUAAAUAAAAUAAAGGGGAGAGCUAUAAAGCUCAGUGCAUAACUAAAACAGAAGCUGAGAUCACAUACAAUACAAUAUACAAAUCAUAAAAUCAUAGAAAAUUUCAUAACAAACAGUCAAACAGAAUUGAGUAUACAUGAUUAUGCCAAUGCGGUAUUUUUCAGAAAAUCUUAAUGCAAAUUUUUCAGAAAACGUCCUACCCAAAUCCUCUACACACUUGAAUAGAGUUCUCCAGAACUUAUCCAUAAAAAAAACACACCAAUUAAGUCAUCCCAGGUUGCCCAAAAACGAUGACUCACCACCAUGGGAUGCCCGACAACGAUGGCUUAUCAAUAUGUAAUUAAACUGUUAGAUCAGAUAUUUGUGGUCAAGCCAUUGAAUUGCAUCUCAGCUACUUAAACAAAAAUAUGUAGUGAAGCCACUAUAUUGUAUCCAAGUUGCCAAAUAAAAAUAUGUGGAUAAACCACCAGAUAGUGCAGACCAUUAAACUACCAAAACUUCCUCCCUGCCAUAUUAUCCCAACCCCAUGCAAUGUGACAUGACAUGCAUUUACAUAAUCAAAACGACAAGCAUGUAAGACAUGUAGUCGUACCAUAACACAAUUUAGCAAGCAUGGCAUUCCACUCUUUUACAGAACAGAUGUAUCAGAAAUUCAACAUAAGCAAGUUGGUAUGCUAUAAAGUCACAUGCAUGAUCACAUAGCAGAAUCAGAAACAUAAAAAUAACGUAACCAAACCUCAUAUACACAAAUACAAACAUAACAAUACAAAUCAUGCUACCAGAUUCAUUAGAAAACAGUUCAUGCACACUAAUUUCACAUACCUUAUUCAUAUCACCUACAAUAUCAAAUUAUCAGAUAUUACAUUUUCAAAGUCAAUUUUACACAGUACGAACCCUACAAAGUGGCUAAACAUGAUUCACGAAUCAAAAGGGGCCUAAACGAAAAUUUUUAAAAGAUGGGCCAAUAUGGCCCAAUUAGCCUAGGCCGUAUGGCGUCGACAGUCCAAUUUUUGACUUUCAGCUGUUCAUUAUUUUUUGACUUUUUUGAUAUACACCUUACUAUUUUCCGAAGCAAAAUCAUGGCAAGAAUUCCAAAACUUAAAAUCCAUAUUCAACCCACUCAAAUUAGUAAUGAAACCCAAAACUAAAUCAUUAAACAACCAAAACUGCUACCAAUAAACCUUAUCAAACCAGGAAUCAACCUUUUGGCAUCUGACUACUAACCCAAAAUAGUAGCAGUAGUACUAAAAAUCUCUCAAUUCAUCGGAAGACUAUUUGUUACAGAAACGUCACCUAAACCAAAGAUUUCAGAGUAAUCAAAAUCGCGUCACACAAAGAAGGAAACAAAUUAACCCUAAAAUCGUGAAACUCAACAAAAUACGAAUCUUUUCACAUAUUCCUUACCACCAACCGUCAAGAUUGGUCAAAAACCACUAAUGACACCGACCAUCGCAAGGUUAAAUUGAAACCAAAAGGCAACUAAAGAUGGAACAAAGGUUGUUAUAAAAAAAAUUAACAAAGACUUAUUGCAGCAAAAAUGGCAAAAAAUCAAGAAUAGGGAGAUUGGAAAAAAAUAAUGAAACGGCAAAGAGAAGGAGUGGGAAAGUGACGGCAGUUUGUGGAGAGAUUUUGGGUAAAUAAAAAGUAACUCACCACUCAACCCAUUAAAUCUGAUUACCCUCUAGACAGAUUCCCUUAGAGUUUAAAUUCAACCCAAAUACCGCUACAUGGGCGGCAUAGUGUAAGGAAAUAAAAAUAUUUCUACUUUGCACACACGCGGUCUUGAACACGAAGCCUUAGGGUAAUUUGAAGCCUUACCACUAAAUUAGUAGGCUCAUCCUUGAAAUUAAUUGAACGAAAAUAUUAUUUAUGUCAGAUGAUCAGGGAUAGAGGUUAAGACCAAAGAUGACAAAAAUUCAAAGGAAAGAUUUAAACCUAGAACCUCACACACACAAGCAUAACACCUAUCCACUGAACCAUAUUUACUCCACUGACAUAAUUUUCACAAUAUUAACUAAAAAUUCAGAAUAUGGUCACUCUUGGUUUCACUUACCUAAUUUCUUCUAACCUGAUUUUUGUGAUGUGACAACUCUCCCAUCCUUAAAAGAAUUUCAUCCUCGAAAUUCCUAUUAUGACACCAUACACUUAACUACAAAAUCUAAAAUUCCCUAGUCCAAACCAACCACCAGGCUAUCAUUGUACAACUCUAAUCUCCAUUCAAGUCUGAUCCAGACAAUAUUUCAGAGGAAUUUCCUAUUCACUACCUCGAAUUACCUCAAUAAGCUUUCCACAGAAACAUCACUAAUGAUCCUUUACCCCAGACUCUAAAAAAAUCACUUACCACAAAAUACAGGUACAAACAAUUCUUAUCAAUGCAUAGUACAUUUGGAACAUAUCAUAAAAGUACCUGUAUCAUUGUCAAAUGCAUCACGGCUCGCUUGAUACCUAGUUGCAUAUCCCCAUCUCAAAUUUUGUUUUUAUGUCGAAGCUUGUACCCGUAAAAUAGUGUCAUGAGCAAUCCCAAACUCGAUGCUCAACUGACCUACAUCUAAAACACGCUCUCAUUUUCCUCCAACAAUCGUCCGAAUGGUGCCUAUCACAGUAAGUAUAAAUCAGAAGCUCAACCGCAUUCACAAUUGCCUCACCCCGCUGAAGCCUGUCUAUUUUAGCCCGUUUCCUUGGUCAUGGAUUCAAGUCAAUAGAACCAUCACUCAUCUUAUUUUGCACUUUAUUCAUUACUUAUUCUCUCCCUUGGAGCAAUUACUCUCUACCGCUAACUUGACUUGAUACGCUUGAGGUCACUCAAUCACAGACUCUUGUCUCAUACAUCCAAAUUGGGUUCCAUCGAUCCUUUGCAAAUCUCUAAACACCUCUUGGAACACUGAAACGUCCCCUACUUCUAAACUGCCCUCAGAUUUGGGCGUCAUAGCAAACUUAUUUAUUUUCAAAUUGGGCUUACUGCCCCGAGAAGAGAACUCAACUCGAGUCACCCAGCUACGUCCACCACGCCCUCGCACAUCAUGACCUCGAGUACUCAUUAUACUAAUCUACAGUUUGCGAAAUUUUAUGAAUUAGCUUAGGUUUAUUAAAAAUUAUAAGUCUAGAGUUUUAUCAAAGUUUCUUACAUAAUUACCAUAGUCUUUAGCUAGAGUAGAGUAAUCCUAGCACUUAAGUUUUGUUAGUUUGUCUAGUAUAGCUAAAGUAAAGAUACUUACAGGAUCGACGAUGUAGUUUUGGAUUCUUUUUGAUAGAAUCAAAUAUAAAAAUAAUCAAAAUCUAAAUACCCAUUUUAGAAACCCAAAGUAUAAUAAUUAAUCAAAAAUUCAAUUUAUUUAAAGCAUAUUUAAUGGAGAUUUUCAAACCCAGAAAUCAUAGCCUGAGUUUUGUUACCUUGCUCUGAUACCACUAAAUGUAACACCCAAAACUUGGCUUAGACAUUAUGGCCAAAUCUGGAAGGUUACAUUAGUACGAAAAAAAUGAUUUUUCCAAAGUGUGGUUUGUUACGAAAUUGAAAACCAAAGUUUAUGUAAGUUUGUCAUGAUUCCCCGAUAGGAAAAUUUGUAAAUUAUCAAAACGUAAAUGUGAACAUAUUAAUUAUUAACUUAAAAAAAACCUAGCCUUAUACAAUCAAAAUGCUAAAAUCAUUUGCUUUAUAAAACUUGUAAUUUUGACUAAAAUUUUUGCAACGAAAAUUCCAAACUAAUAUUCGUAAAUUGUAAUUUUGUCAAGUAAAAACGUUUUAUUUAGCCGAUUAGGCAUAUUUUAAAUUUACGUUAUUAAAUUUUGUAAAAUCUCAAUUCGUAUUUUUGUGGCAAAAAAAUCUUGGCUCGUAUAAUUUUGAAAACCCAACAUUGAUUGUUCAGUAACACAAAACAUACAGAACAAAAGACUUUAACUAAGCCAAAGAAACCCAAAGAAAAAUUAAAUUUGAGAAAUUAAACCAAAAUCCAAAAGUCCAAUAAAUCCAUUUAUUAACCAGAGUAAACCAUUUAAUUAGAGAAUCAAUUCGAGCUUCCACACACUGCCCGAUUCUAAGUUAUCGAUUAUUUGAAACAUCAAAAAUAAAACAAAUGGGUGAGCUAUAAAGCUUGGUGCAUAACUAAAACUCAAGCCGAGAUCACACACAAUACAAUAUACAAAUCAUAAAAUCAUAGGAAAUUUCAUAACAAUCAGUCAAACAAAAUUGAGCAUACAUGAUUAUGCCAAUGCGGUAGUUUUCAGAAAAUCAUAAUGCAAAUUUUUUCAGAAAACAUCCUACCCAACACCACCACACACCCAAAUAUAGUUUCCCAAAACUCGUCCAUCUAAAAACACACCAAUUAAGUCAUCUCAGGUCGCCCGAAAGCGAUAACCUACAACCUCGAGUUAGUCGGCAAUGAUGACUUAUCAAUUUGCAGUUAAACUACUAGAUCAGAUAUUUGUGGUCAAGCGAUUGUACUGCAACUCAGCUGCCAGAUUAAAUGUUCCUAGUGUAGUCCCUAACAUUAUCAGGUGUUCUCGGCUCAGUCCUUUGGACAUUAAAAAAAAUAGAUUUGGAUAUGCAAUUAAUCAUAAAUUGCCAGGUGGUAUAUGUUAAAGUUACGAUAACAUCAUCAUCAAGAAAAAAACCAAAAAAAUCUUUAAAAAAUUUCAUAAAAUUCAAAUAAACUUAUAUAAAAUUAACUACAUUAUAAAUAUAUAAUUGUUAAAAAAUAAAAAUUCUUAAUUAUUUUAAAAUUUGUAAAAAAUAAUAAAAUUAUUAGAAAUUGUUAAAUAUUGUAGAAACAUUAUAAAAAUUAUUAGAAUCAUAAAAGACGGUAAAAAAUAAAAAGUUAAAAUACUAGUAAAAAUUGUCUAACUUGAAAUAAAGUAUACAUUUGGUAAUCAAAUUUAAAAUAUUGAAAAUUUAAUAUUAAAGUUGUAUAAUUUUUAUAAAAAAUAUUUUAAAAUAUUUUAAUAAAAAUUGAAUAAAUUUUAUAUCUAUUUUUUAAUAUUUUAAAAUACAUCAAUUUUCAGUACUUUACCAACGUUACUGGCAACAAGUUUUUUCGACUUGACUCCCUAUUUAUUGUCUUAAGUAGCUUCCUGCAUCCACCAUUUUGCACAUGGUUUUUCUAUUUUAUACCAAAGCUCUUUAGAAUAGUUAAACAUUCGACAAUAGUUCUUAAGAUAUUAGUUUAGAGACAAAUAAUUAUCUUGAGAUAGUAAAAAAAAAAGAAAUAAUUAAAUAUAUUAUUUACUUGAAAUAAUAUUAUUUUUCAUUAUUUAAAUUAUUUGAGAAAAAAACUUAUUCAAGUUUAUCACGUAAAAAGAUCUACCAAUUAUAAAUUUUGAUUAGUUGAACCAUAAGACAAUUGUUAUAGGUAGUAUCAUUCCAAGAGACAAUUAUCACAUGUUCAAACUCUAGUUAAUGUGAUUUAUAAAAUUUUAAAAAUAUUAAAAUAUCUAAUAUAUUUUUGAAAUUUAUGUAAAUUUUUAUAUUUUACACAGUUUUUUUUUCUAUUUUUAAAUAAUUUUGAUAAUUUUUCUUUUAUAAUUUUUGUCAUUUUUGAAGAUUCUUUAAGGGUUUUUGUUGAUGAUUUCAUUAUGAUAUCAUCAUACGACAUGUGGUAGUAUAUGAUUUGUUGAAUAUUCCAAAGAAUUUUUUAUUGACCAAUGAACUAAACUAAAAAUUUUUAAUAACAUUAGGGACUGAAGUGGAUAAAAAUAUUUUAAAAACUAAAGUUAAAAAAGUGAUAUACUUGCAUUAACAUUUUCUAAAAGAUGGAAGUGUUUUUCUGUUUUAAGGGAAUAGAAUUUUUUUGAGUGAAUAUAGUUUUGUGAGGGAGUAGUGAUAUUAUUAUUAGAGACAAGGCAUUUGAUUUUUAUAUAACUUUUUAAUUAAGUCAAUAUCACUCAUCGAGUAAAACCCAACAUAUUAAGCACAUUAUUAUACUAAUUUAGAUUAAUAGGAAUCAUCAAAUUUACAAUUAAGGAUUAUAAAUUUAUUUAAUUCCAAUCUUCUACCUUUUCUAAAUUAUAAGAAUGGUUUUGCCUUAUAUUUUCUUCAAAUUGAGAUUUAAUUUAUAAUUUUAAUUUUGAUAUAAUUUAGUUUAUCAAUUUUUAUAAUGCAAUUAAUUAGUUAAUACUUUAUUUUAAUCAAAAUAAUUAUAUUAAUUUUAAAGAAUUAUUAUCACCGUUAAAAUUCUUUACUAACAAUGAUUUAAAAUUAAGUUCUAUUGCUUUUGUUUUAGAUUACACAUAAAUGUUUACAAUAUGAAAUUCUUUAUAAUUUUCAAUACAUAUUACUUAAAUAAAUAGAAAAUAGAGUUUUAAUAAUGCACAACCAAAUAAAUUUUAGGGUAAACGACCAAAAUAGUCACUUUUGUUUGCCUUAGGUUACAUUUUAGUCACUUAUGUUUGAAAUGUUACGUUUUAGUCACUUACGUUAUCGUGUUGUAACAUUUUAGUCACUGAGUCAUUAAUUGUCGACAAUGGUGUAAUGGUAAGUUGAUGUGGCACGUUAAAUCAUCAUUUCAAACGAAAUUUUUAGGUUAAAUUCUACAAUUGGUCCCUAUAUUUUUCAUUUUCAACAAUUUAAAAAAUUUCUUUUAUGUUCUUCUAACUUUUUUUUUUCCAUUCUCUUAUGCUUCUCCCUCUAUUUUCCUCCCUUCUUCAUUUCUUUUAACAUAGUUUUUCUAUGAUUUCCAUUUGUAACUAGUCCACAAGCUCGCCUCACUCGAAAAAAUUAAAUUGUUCAAAAAAUAAAACAUAGAAUAACUACGUUGAAAGAAAUGGAGAAGGGAGGAAAACAAAGGGAGAAACAUAAGAGAAUGGAAAAGAAAGAAAGUUAAAAAAACAUAAAAGAAAAAAUUAAAUUGCUCCAAACGAAAAAAUAUGGGGACCGAUUGUAUAAAUUAACCUAGAAUUUUUGUUUGAAAUGAUGAUUUAACGUGCCACAUCAGUUUACUGUUACACCGUUAAUAGAAACUAACGGCUCAGUGACUAAAAUGUUACAACGUGAUAACAUAAGUGACUAAAACGUAACAUUUCAAACAUAAGUGACUAAAAUGUAACCUGUGCCAAACAAAAGUGACUAUUUUGGUAGUUUACCCUAAAUUUUAUUGAUGUUCUAUUAUUUUGAUUUCUUAGACUUGUAUAUAGGGAAAAUAAAGGACUAUUGCCAUUUAAUUGCUUUAAAACAAUUUUAAUGAGCUCUAGUCAUGCAAGAUUACCAUUAAAUAGAAUACUCAUAUAGAAGGAUUUACUAUUUUUGUUUCUCAAAUCACAACUAAUAAUUGUUCAUAAUUUCUUAUUUAGUGUCAUUUUUAAGAUUUAUUAGAUGACAAUUUUUCAUGCCAAAGUUUUAUUUUUAUUUCAUUUAAAGUUUUACAAUAUUUAAAAAAUUAUAUAUUUUGUAAAUUUGACAUUUAAUCAAUUUUAGAUCUAAAAAGUAAUAAUGAUUUCAACCCAAGGCCUGAGCUAGGAAUAGUUUUAGUUUGGAGUACUAUAUAUAUAUAUAUAUACUAAAAGAUGCAAUUUUUAUAAAUAACUUACAAAUCUAUCAUUAAAUCAAAUACUGGUAUGAAAUGGUUUAAUUAUUUGAUCACAUUUUUCCAUGACAAAAUUUUAUUUUUAUAUGAUUUAAAAUUUUACAAUUUUUAUAUUGUGAAUUUGGUGUACUAAAAGAUGUAAUUUUACAGGUAAUUUUAAUACCCAUCACCAGUGCUGCAAAGCUUGAGAUUCUUUUAUUGUGGGGAAAUAAACUUAGUGGAAACAUUCCCAACUCUAUCUCCAAUGCUUCCAUGCUUAAGAAACUAGACUUGGCAGAUAACUUAUUCUCUGGCCCAAUCCCUAAAACUUUUGACAACUUAAGACACGUUGAAUGGUUCCAAAUUUCAAACAAUAAUUUGAUCAAAAGACCUGCUACUGAUCAUGAGUGGACCUUUCUUUCUUCUUUGGCAAAUUGCAAGCAUUUGAGAAUAAUAGAUGUUUCAAGAAAUCCAUUGAGUGACGUUCUUCCAACUUAUAUUGGGAACCUUUCAAAAUCCCUUCAAUACUUUUAUGCAUCUAAUUGUGAGAUUACAGACAAUAUUCCUAUGUAAAUAGGUAGCUUAAGCAACCUAUUACUUUUACAACUUGGCUAUAAUAAAUUAAGCUUUAUUCCAACACCGAUAGGAGGACUGCAAAAUUUGCAAGGUUUACAACUUUCCUCUAAUAAAUUAGAGGGGCCUAUAUCAGAAAGCCUUUGUGGUUUGGAGAGAUUAUACUACUUGUAUUUAAGGCUGAUUAGGUUGCAUGGAUCCAUACCCUCUUGUUUGGGUAAUAUUUCUUCUUUGAGAUAUCUUUACUUAGAUUCCAACACAUUGAGUUCUACAAUACCCUCAACUUUGUGGAAUCUUAAAGAUAUCUUAGAAAUAGAUUUAUCAUCAAACCAUCUUUACAAUUCACAUGCUAUAUUGAUGUUGGAGAUUUGAGGAGUCUACUAAAACUAAAUUUAUCAAGGAAUCUUCUCAUGGGCAAUAUCUUCUCCACAUUUAGGGGUCUUCAAAUUUUGAUUUCAUUAGAUUUAUUAAAUAAUAUACAACAUGGCCAUAUCCCUGGAUCAUUAGGUGGUUUGAUUAGUUUGGAAUUCUUGAAUUUAUGAAAUAACAAUCUCUCUCGAGCCAUUCCCAAAUCUUUGGAAAAGCUUUUAGAUCCAAAGUAUUUUAUUGCGUCUUUCAAUAGACUUGAAGGGGAAAUUCCCGCCAAAGGAUGUUUUUCAAACUUCUCUAGCACAUCAUUCAUGAAGAAUUUUGCACUUUGUGGUCCACCUAGAUUGCUAGUCCCACCUUGCAAAAACAAUAUCCAAGAAAACUCCCAAAUGAAUAUAUUGCAUGCUUUAAGGUAUGGUUUACCAACAGUUGGUAUUGUUGUAGUACUAAUAGUCUUAACUAUUGUAAUCACUGAAUUUUGUCCGGCUCGAUUUGGUUUUUUUUAAAAUUUUUUUUUAAAUACAAAAAAUAAAAAAUUGUAUUUUGACCCCUAAACUUUUUUUAAAAUUACAUUUUACCCCUAAACUUUCUCAAAAUUACAUUUUGACCUCUAAACUUUCUCAAAAUUAUGUUUCGACCCUAAUACUUUUCCUGCAUUUGCAGUUUAGUCCUUCUGGCAGCAACUUGCACACCUACCCCCGUGAUUUCCGGCCACUGGCCUAGGGCAUGGCCUCCCUCUCCCCUAGCCACCUAAUCCCUGCAAAAAGGAAGAAAAAACAGCUAUAAAAUGGGUUAAAAAACCCCAAAAAUCGGACCCCCCACGAAAAAAUAAAAAAAAAACUUGCAAAAAAGAGAAAAAGAAGAGGAAAAAGGAGAGAAAGAGAGGAGAAAGGAGAAGAAGAGGCCGGCCAUCGGCGAACCACUGGCAGCAGCACGAGCAGCGACGUCGACGGCGGCGAAGGAGACCGAACGGAGAAGAAGAAGGAGAAAAGAGAAGAAAAAGAGAAAGAAGAAAGGAAAAAGAAGAAGGAAGAAAAAGAAAAAAAGAAAAAAUAUUUUUUUUAACAGUCGGGUCAAACCGACCCGACCCAACUCUGACCCGAACACCGCGACCCGACCCGGCACCUGCAUACCCAGGCCAAGCCCAGCAGCCUAAAGAAAAAACAAAAAAAGAGGCAAAAGCAAAAAAAGAAAGAAAGAAAAGGAAACAGGCCAAAAACAGCCCAAGCGCAGGCCCAAACCAACGCCAGGCCCAACAGCAGGCCUAGCAGGCCAACCAACCCAACGCUAGGCCCAACAGCAGGCCUAGCAGGCCAGCCAGCCCAACGCCAGCAGCAGGCCCAAUAGCACAGGCCCAAAAGGCAGCAGGCCAAAAAAAAAGAAGAGAAAGAGAAAAAAAAAGAAAAAAGAAAAAAAGAGAAAUAAAAGAAAAAAAGAAAAAAAAAAGAAGAAAAAAGGGGUUUCAAUUUGAACAACCCGUUCGGCGAAGCUCGUGUUUUAGAUUUUUCGGUAAUUUUAUUUAUUUCUCUUUUAAUUUAAUGCUCGUAUUUUUAUGUUAUUUCAUUUUAAUAUUAUUAGCAUUUUAUGCAUUUUUUAUAUUUUUAUAUUUUUGUAUUUAUAUUUUCAAUUUAAUUCAAUUUUAAUUUUAUUUUAUUUUAAAUAAUUUUAAUAAAUAAGGCAACGGAUCGAUUUAUCAUAAAAUUGUUGAUUUCAUCGCUAUGUUGGGUGAAUAUCACCGGUUUGUGUUAAACUCGAUACGCUCUUUUAAAAAUAAAAAAUAUUCAAAAAAAUUGUAUUUUCAAAAAAAAAUCCUCGGGUUUCGAAAUUUGCGUGUCUUCAAAAUAAUUUCUCGUGUUUUCAAAAAUAAGGUAACGAAUCUAUUUGACACUAAUUCGUUGAUUUCAUUGCUAUGUUGAGUGAAUAUCACUGACUAGUGUUAAAUAUGAUACGUGCUUAAUAAAAAAAUCAGAAAAUUUUUCGUGUUUUCAAAAAUUUCCGUGUUUCAAAAAUUUUCAUGUUUUCAAAAAUUCUCGUGUUUUCAAAAAAAUUCCAAUUUUCAAAAUUUUUCGUGUUUUCUAAAAACUUCUGUGUUUCAAAAAUUUUCGUAUUUUAAAAAUUUUUGUGUUUCUAAAAUUUUCGUAUUUCAAAAAUUUUCUUGUUUUCAAAUUUUUCGUAUUUCAAAUAUCCUCGUGUUUUCAAAAAAUUUCGGUGUUUUGAAAAUUUUCUUGUUUUUCAAAAAAAUCUCGUGUUUCAUAAAUUUUUGUUUUUUUUUAAAUUGUGUUUCCAAAAUUCUCGUGUCUAAAAAAAAUUCUCGUGUUUUAAUCGGAUCAGGAUUAAAUAUUAAAUUGAACUCGUAUUUUUGAAAGUGAAGACAACUCGCAUUUAACGAGAUACCAAUUUCGGGCGUCGCGAGGGUGCUAAUACCUUCCUCGCGCGUAACCGACUCCCGAACUCUAAUUUUCUCUGGAUUUUCACGUAGACCAAAAAUUACCUCUUUUUUAGAAAAAUUUAAAAAAUAAAUUUUCCUUCUAAAAAGAGAAUUUAUUAGGUGUCCAAUCACACCUAGGAAAAAAAAGAUCGGUGGCGACUCCUUUUUCAAAUAAAAUCGAAACACCGUUUUCAAAUUUUCAACAAUCAUUUCGAUUAGCGCCCGUGCACGAAAUUUUUAGGUCGCUACAACUAUUAUGUAUAGAAGAUGCCAAAGUAGGAGUACAACUCUACCAAUUCAGGAUGAUUUGUUUUCUUUGAAAACGCUGAGUGGAAUUUCACAUGCUGAACUUUCACAAGCAACUAAUGGAUUUGAGGAAAACAAUAUGCUUGGUUCAAGGAGUUUUGGAUAUGUAUAUAAAGAAAGGCUUUCAGAUGGAAUGGAAGUUGCAAUAAAAGUUUUCAAUUUGCAAACAGAAGAAGCAUUUGGGAGCUUUGACAUUGAAUGUGAUGCUAUGCGAAAUAUAGAUCAUCAUAAUAUUGUGAAGGUCACUACUUACUGCUCAAGUGUUGACUUCAAAGCCUUGGUGCUUGAUACAUGUCUAAUGGAACUACAGAGAAAUGGUUAUAUUAUUAAAACUAUUUCCUUGAUAUCAUACAAAGGGUUGACAUAAUGAUAGAUGUUGCAUCAGCUAUAGAACAUCUCCACAACGGGCAUCCAACACCUAUAAUUCAUUGUGACUUAAAACCAAGCAAUAUUUUACUAGAUGAAGACAUAGUUGCACAUGUGGGAGAUUUUGGCGUUGCCAAAUUGUUGGGAGAAUGUGAUGUAAUGAAGCAGACCAUGACUCUUGCAACAAUCGGGUAUAUGGCACCAGGUGAAUUUUUUAUUUUUGUAUUAUUAUUUGUCUAAUAUGCAUUUUAUAUUUUGUUUCAUCUGUAUGUGGAUAUAUAUUUGAAUAAUCAUUUUAGAAAUAAUUAAAGAUUAAUGAUGCUCUAAUUUUACUUGAAAUGCAAAAUUUGGAUCAACGGGAAUUGUUUCUAUAAAAUGUGACAUCUAUAGUUAUGAGAUUGUCCUUAUACAAACUUUCACAAAGAAAAAGUCAACUGAUAAUUUUUUUGCUGAAUAAGUGACUAUAAAGCAUUGGAUGGGAAGUUCAUUGCCAAAGGAGCAUGAAAAUCCCCAAAACCUAAAUUCUUUCCUUCUAGCAAUGAAGAGAUGGUGAGGGGAAGGGGAAAAAAUCACGUUAAAUGAAAAGAAAAAGAAAAAGAACAAAAUUAAAUUUGACGUGAAAAUUAUUUUAAUACUUUUAAUUUGAGUUGGAAAGGUUGAUGAUGUAGCAUAAAAUAAUUGGAUAGGACCAUAUUUGAGGUAGUGGGUGUAACACCCCUUACCUGAGACCGUCGCCGGAAUCGAGUACGAGAUGUUAUCCAAUUUAACUUACCAAUUUGGAGCAUAAAAAUUUGCUUUGUAAAUUACUUUCACAAUUUACAGCAAAGCUGUCCACCUGCGCGACUGUCACUAAUUUAAUUAUAACUCGAGUUACGAAACUCGAAAUUUAAAUCCGUAAAUUUUCCAUGAAACUAGACUCAUAUUUCUACGUACCAUAAAAUUUUUAGAAUUUUUGACUUAUCCAAUUAGUACAGUUUAUUCAUUAAAGUAUCCCCUGUUUCACAACUUGACAGAUCUGACCUCUUGGCACUAAAAAUCAAUUAUCUCACUGUACAAAAUUCAUAUAAGGUUAUCAUUUAUUUCUCUUGAAAAUAGACUCACUAAGGAAUCUAGAAAUAUAAAUUAUGACCCAUAAUUCUUUCUGUACAAUUUAUAAUGAUUUUCUAAAGUCAGAACAGGGGACUUUAAAAACCAUUCUGACCCUGUCUCACUAAAAUUCAAAUAUCUCAAAAUAUACAAUUCCUUUGCCUACACCGUUUCUUUCAUAUAAAAAUAGACUUGAUAAGCUUUAAUUCCAUCUAUAAUUCACUCUCUAAUUCCAUUUAUACUAUUUAUGGUGAUUUUUCACAUUCACGUCACUGCUGCUGUCAAAAAAACUGCUUCUUUAUAUUAGUUCCAUUUACACAUACAUACCACCAAAACAUAAUCUCUACUAACCACUUCAAUAGCUAAUCUUAGCCAUAUCAUAUGAACAUACUCAAAAUGAUUAAGACUCUAUACAUGCCAUAGUUUAAACAUUUUGGAAAGCACACAAUACCGAGAUGAUUAUGAUAGUGUGAUACGAGCUCCGACGAUCCCCAAUUCGAUCAAGUUCAAAUCACUAUAAAACAAAGGAAAUAAGAAAAUGUGUAAGCUACAAUUAGCUUAGUAAGUUACAUGUAAAUAAUAGAUACUCAUUUAAUAAUUAACACUUUUAACUUAUAACUAAUCAAAACAUUUCUUGGCAAUUUCAAUCACUUACACAUGCACAAUCUUACCAUUUCACUUACAUAUACAUUUUCACACUUAACCUUUACCACUUUUGAUCAUUAUUUCAAUUGUACCUGCAUACACACUUCAUUUCAUAUUCACUUUAACACAUUAUUAAUCCCGUUGAACACUUGGAAUAUACACGGAUACAUAGAGAUUUAGCACAUAAGUGCCACACUGAUAUGUAGCCGAAGCUACCACUGAUAUGUAACCGAAGUUACCACUGAAUGUAGCCGAAGCUACCACUGGGAUGUAACCGAAGCUACCACUGAUCAAUAACACUGGAAAUGUCCACGGGCCUGCUCACACAAGCUGUCAGGUGUCUGCAACACAUGCUAGAUCACCCAGCACCCGGGACUCACUGUAACACUGUAACACUGGUCUCUAGUGACAUGUCACUUGUAUCCAUUUCUAUUCCUAAGUUCAACUGGGAAUUUACACUUAACACUUUAUUUUCAACACUUUAUCACUUGAAUAAUUCAUGAAUAUUUUUCCUUCCACAUUCAAUAUUGAUUCACAUAUCAAUAAAAUUCACAAUUUAUAAAAAUGUAUUACUAUUAUUUACACAUAACUUACCUCGGAUGCAAAACGACUAUUUCUGUAAUUUAGUCGAUAACUUUCUCUUUUCCCCGAUCACUUGCACUAUUUCUUCUUUCUUGAUCUAUAUUAACACAAUUUAAUACAUUUUAUCAACAUUUCAUUCAAAUACAAUUCAUACACAACAUUUUGGCAAAUUUACAUUUUUCCCCAAAACUUUUCAAAAAUUUCACUUUUGUCCCUAAGCUCGUAAAAAUAAAAUUCACUAAAUUCUUAAAUUUCAAACUUCACUAAAUCAUAUUUCAUGCUCAUAACAGCCCUCAAUUUCACAAAAUCACAACUUUAUGCACACUUUACCAUCUUUCACAAUUUAGCCCUUUUUCAACAUUUUCAUUGAAAUUCAUCUAGUAAAACUUGAAAUUAACACUUCAAACAUUCAUUAUCUAACAUCACUAAUCACUUUACAAUUAUAUCAUGAAUGGGUCAAUUUUUAAACUUUAAUUUCACUUAAAUUAAAUGGUAGAAACAUGAAAUUCAAGCAUCAAUAAGCAUAAAAAUACGAAAAUAAUUAAAAACGGGGCAAGAAAUCACUUACAAUUGAGCUUAGAAAAAUCAAAACCCUUAGCUAUGGUAACAUGAAACUUUCGGCAGCAAGCUUCUGAUUUUUGAAGAAGAUGACACUUAUUUUCUCUUAUUUUGUCUUUUUGGACAAAAAUGCCCUUGACCCAUUACUUAGAUAUUUUUCUAGAAUUACCCUUUUGUGUCCAUAUCACUAAUUUAUGGUCUAAUUGCCACAUAAACACUUCCAAUUUCAUGCAAUAAUUCAAUUAAGUCAUUUAAUCACUAAUUAGACACACUUUGCAAUUUUCUCGAUUUAGUCCUAAAAAUUCAAUUAGGCACUAAAUCAUUAAAAUUUCCUAUCCAUAUUUUCACACAAUAUUUCAAUCAAUCAAUAACUAAUAAAAAUUUAUAAAAUUAAAAUAUUUCACUUCGGAUUUGUGGUUACGAAACCACUAUUCCAAUUAGGCCCUAUUUCGGGCUAUCACAGUGGGAAAGGUCCAUGAAAUAAUUUUUCUAUGUUAUCAAAUAGAUGAAUGAUGGUUAUUGGGAUCAAACUAAUGAUUUUGAGGAUGUUAAUGGUUAAUUUGGUGGAGAGGGUGGAAAAGAAACAAAUAAUUCAUUAUAUGUCAUAUAAUUAUGCAAUUCAAGUUGUAAUACCCAAAUUUUACCCGGCCUACAAAAACAGUCCAAAUUACAAUGGGCUUAUGUGGCCCAAAACCUGAAAUGAACAGAGGCCCAAAACAAUGGCCCAAAACAAUGUCAGAAACUCCUAGGGUUUCUAAGGAAACUUUCCCGCCGCAGCCACCAAGCACCACGAGCCGAAAUCUUCACCUGCGCAGAAACAACGGAAAUGGCAAGAAAAUCAAAGAUUGCGAAUCAAAUAUGAGCAAGAUUUGAUUCUUUAUAUUAUUAUUUUCAUUAUGGCUAUAAAAUAGCCAUUGAUAUGCUGUAAAAAAGGAGGGGAAGACCAAAAGAAAUACAAAGACCAAUAGGAAAUUUUCUUUUUUUUGAAAUACAAAGGUUUUCUUUUCUGUUUUACCUCAUUGUCGAUUAUUGUUCUUUUAUUUUUUCAUUUAUACAUAUACAUAUUUGAUUUUUUAUAGUUUCUCUAUUUUUUUUAUUUAUUUUUGCUUAAAAUAUAAAGAAAAGAGGAGGGAUUUUACCUUUUUUUCGUCGAAGUUGUCGAACGGUGGCCAUCUCCGUCGCGAUCGGAGUGUUGGCACAGGCGAACAGCGGCGCAAAAGGGGUUAAGAAAAAACCCUAGCAGAGCAUUUGUGUUUUUUUUGUUUUUUUUUAUGUGGGUUAUUGAUUUUUAUUUUUUUAAAGAAUUUUCGUUUAAAUAACAUUAGCAAAACGACGCCGUUUUAGGGGAGCAGGAUCCGCGCGUUGACCCGACCUGCAGGCAGGGUGCACGUUCUGGCCUUGAAUGGGGUAUUUGUGCAUUUAGUCCCUCCUCUUUGCGACGCACUUCAAUAAAACCCAUUUUUCUUUUUCUUUUUUUAAAUUUAGCGGCAUAUUUCAUUUUUGUUUCAAUCGAGUCCGUCACUGCGCAGCGUUUUGGAAGUCGGAAUUAAUUUCCCUUUUGGUCCUCUAUUGUUGCUUGCGCAUUCAAGUUGGUCCCUUCUUUAUAUUUAUUGCUAAUUUGCCCCAUUUUUUCGCUUUUAGUUCAGUUUAGUCCAUUUUUUUAGCUAUUUCAUUAUUUAGUUAUUUUUUUAUUUAUUAUUAUUAUUAUUAUUAUUAUUAUUAUUAUUUCUAAAUUUAUACACGCAUUUUUUUAUGGUAUAUAUAUAUAUGCAUUUUUUUUGUAUAAUAUAUAUUUUUUAACUUUUAUAAAUACAUGCAUAUACUUCAUACAUAUUUGUUUAUUAUUAUUUUGAUUUCAAAACUUUUAUAUACUUUAAAUUUUAUAUACAUACAUAUACAUUUUAUAACACAUAUACAUUUUCCACGUUUUAUAAUUUAAAAUACACAUACAUUUUCUAUAAUAUAUUUAUGUAUACGUUUUUAUUCUUUAUAUUUUUUUUGGUUUAUUUCCUUCGUCUAUUCAUUGAUUUAGGUUUUCAUUUACAUUUUAAAAGAAUGUCCUUUUUUUAUAUUGCUUAUUCAUUUUAUAUUUUUGCAUUGUCAUUGUUUAUUUUUUUAUUUUAUAUUAAUUUCGUUUAUUUACUAUUUAUAUUAUUUCUAUACAAUUGUCGUAUUUAUUAUUGCAACAUUUAUACAUACAUUCCAUAUAACAUUACAUCAUCUUUUACUCGAAUUUAAAAAUAGAAAAUUUUCAAAAUAGAGAUAAUACUCGUAUUUAGGAUUUUCAAGAAAAUUGAGCCCUAACGUAUUGGGUUCCGAUUUUCUUCGUUAAAUCUAACAAUCGAGAAUUGCUCUUUGAUAAAAAAUAAAAUAAAAACUUGUCAUCGGGAAUUCAAUAUGUUGUGUCCUAACAUAUUGGAUGUGAUGCGUUGAUUUCUCGAGAUAAAGAUUUUCUAAACAAUAAAAGAAAUAUUCAAUGUUUGGGAUUUUAAGAAAUUGUGCCUUAACGUAUUGGGCUGUGAUUUCUUCAUAAAUUUUAAACAAUUAAAUAUUUUCUUAAAUUUUAUUACACGAGUUUUUUGGACCAGCUCAUCUUAAAAAGAAUAAAAUAUUGUGCCCUAACGCAUUGGGUGUGAUAUUUUCUUUUUUCAAAAUGAGAAAGUCUUAACAAAAAAUUUAAUUUAACUAAGGAUCGUAUUUAUUAACUCUCGACAUUAAGACACUGAUUAAUCAACUCGGUACCAAUUUUUGGGUGUUACGAGGGUGCUAAUCCUUCCUUGCACGUAAUUUACUCCUAAACCCGUUUUUUAAAACUCGUAGGCCAAAGUCGUUUUUUGGUGAUCCAAUCACACCUUAAUAAAAGAUUGGUGACGACUCCAAUUUUCAUCGACAACUAAUUUUUGUUUUUUUUCAAAAUAAAAAUGGUUUCGACAGCUUGGCGACUCCGCUGGGGACACAUACGAGAGUCGAGCCACAAAGUUGAUUAAUUUCUGUCUUAUUGGCGAGAAAAUAAAUUUUUUUAAAAAAAUCAUGAAAUCAUUGUGCAUUCAUUCAUUUUCUUGCUUAAUUGAUCUUUGCAUUAUACAUUACAUGAGUUGAAUGAUUUUACCCUUCUAAGUGGGAGUGAGAAACUAUUCCUUCGUGAGGUUUUCACCUCCGUAUAGGAUAGUGGAUCGCUUUCGGGAUACAUCUGUACCUAUGCCUUCUUGAGAUUUUCAUCUUCGUAUAGUCAUAGGGAAAAUGUAUUCCCCUGAACCGAACUUGAUCUAUAUGAGCCUAUAAUGGGUGAAGAUUGAGGAAUCUGCUGGUUUGGGUACCUUUGCCCUAGAAGUCAAACCACAUAUAGUGAACCUUAGGAACUUGCCCUAGGUAGGGAUAUGCCAAACCCCUAGUGGUCACCCGAAUAGGUUUUCUAUUUAUUCUUGCUUUAGCUUUGUACCAACCUGUUUUCUUUUUGGUUGUGAUUGCAUUGCAUUUUCAUCAUAAAAAAAGAGAGAGGUGUUGAUUCACAUUCAGUUGCUAAAUAGAUAGCUUGUCAUAAGAAAAUGAGUUUCUUGAUAAAAUGGAUGAUAAUAUGGUUGUCCGAAUAUGGUCCAAGAAAUGUGAUAAGAGAAGGAUGAUAGUUUAAUGGAGGACUACACGACUAUGGCUCCAUUGCCCAAGGAUUCAAGAUAACAAAGAUUAUUCGAGAGCCGCUAAACUUUCUUAAAGAGAAACCAACAAGCAUCACAAGGAUGAGUGAGCAACAAAUUGCGGCCUGGAUCAAGCAAAAAGGAGAUAGAAGAGACUUCCUUUUUGAAAAGUUCGUGAGAUUUAUCUUAACGCUUGAAUGAAGAAGAGGAUCGAAUGUCUUCGCCUAUGAGGGCAAGGCUGUAUAAAUAUUCAUUUUAUGUAAAGAGAUUUGUUUUCUAGUAAAGUUCUCUAAAUGGAAUUGAAUCAGAAUCAACGUCCCUUUAUGCAUUCAUUUCCUGCAUUCGCAUUACAUGAUAUCAUAGCAUUAAAAUCCACUAAAAGAUUCUAAUUAAUAUAAAUCAUUCCUCAGUUAAUCUGGAAACCAACCAACCCAUCACACACCACUACGGUACUCGAUCAAAAACUAAAGACAUGGACCAAAGGAUGGAAAGGUUAGAACAGUUCCAAAAAGAAAUGCAGUAUCAACUUCAAUAACAAAUGAAUGAACAACUUGAGAAAAUUCAGCAAAAAAUGAUGGACAAAAUGAUGGAAUCUCAAGAGAGUAUGAUGGCUCAAUUAACUCAGUUGUUGACCAGAGGAACUAAUAAAGGAAAAGGCUCUGUGCUCAAUAUGGAAGAAGGAGACAGUGAGGGACUUCUUUAUCCUCCAGGCUUGACCCCUCAGCAUGGGCAGACCCAAGUAGAGGUAUAUCCGCACAAAUCCUCUAUCACCAUCAAGCCUCAGCAGUUUCAGGCCGGUGCUGUAACACCAAUGAAUUUUCCAGCUAGAUCAGGCCCUAACCCCAGAGACGACCUUGUUAAUCCUGAUAUCCCUGACUUCGAUGAAACAGCUGAAAAAGAGAAAAUGAAUGGUGAAUUGCCAAAACAGCUCGAAGAAAAGUAUAAAUGGCUGGAGGAAAAACUUAGAGUGAUGGAAAGUACUAAGAGCUACCAUGGAAUUGACACUAAAGAAUUGAGCUUGGUUCCGGAUUUAGUACUCCCUUAUAAAUUCAAAAUUCCUGAGUUUGAGAAGUACAAUGGAACUAAUAGCCCCGAAGCUCAUAUUACCAUGUUUUGUAGGCGGAUGACUGGGUAUGUUAAUAAUGACCAACUGCAUAUACAUUGUUUCCAGGAUAGCCUUGCAGGGGCAGCAUCCAAGUGGUACAACCAACUGAGCCGUACCAAGAUUAAUUUAUGGAGAGAUUUAGCAUAGGCAUUCAUAAAGCAGUACAAUCAUGUAACUGACAUGGUACCUGAUAGAAUCACUCUACAGAACAUGAAAAAGAAGCCUGGUGAAAGUUUUAGGCAGUACACACAGAGGUGGAGGAGGUCGCAGUCCAAGUUCAGCCACCGCUUCUGGAAAAGGAAAUGACAAUGCUAUUCAUAAAUACAUUGAAAGCUCCGUUCAUCACACAUAUGUUAGGGAGUGCUACAAAAAGCUUUUAUGGCAUAAUCAUGAAUGGUGAAAUGAUUGAAAGCGCCAUAAGGAGCAGAAAAAUUGAUGCUGGAGGGAAUAACAGAAGGCAAGCCUCAAAAGAAAAAGAAAAUGAGGUGAACAGCGUGAAUACGUACAGAAAAUCGAUUGCUAAUCAGUAGGGUUCAUCAAGACAAGAAUCAUGUGUGAAGCAAGGUACUGAAAAACUCUAGUUCACUCCAAUUCCAAUGUCGUACAAGGAGCUGUAUCAAAGCUUAUUCGAUGCGCAUAUUGUUUCUCCUUUACAUGUGAAGCCUCCACAGCCUCCGUAUCCCAAAUGGUACGACGCAAGUGCACAAUGCGAUUAUCAUGUGGGAAUUACGGGACACUUAAUAGAGAGUUGCAUUACCUUCAAAAAGCUAGUUGAAAAAUUCAUCAACAUGGGUAUCGUCAAGUUGAAUGGCUCAUUUAAUGCAGAAAAUUUACUACCCAAUCAUGAUUGACAAUGGGGUGAAUGCAAUAUAUGAAGAGAUGUUAGGAAGUGUUCACAUCAAUGACAUAUAGGAAUACACAAAUGAAAGGGGGACCUUGUUAGAUAUCCGCCCUUAUAAAUCUGGGAGUGUUUAAAAUAAUUGGAUUGCGGAAGAAAUAUCUAUAGUCUUUAGAGCGUAUUUAGAGUAAUGUUCAGAACAUUCUUGUUGUUUUUAGCCUAAAAAUGAUAGGAAUUCCUUUGUGAAAUAGACUCAUGUCUGAUGAUCAUUAUUAUAAUAAAAUACAUCUUUGUAUUUAUUUUUGAGCCAACAUUCUUUCAUUCUUUGCGAGUAAUUAUUUUGUCAUUCUUUUGGAUUUUCUUCCACAUCAUUCUUUCAUUCAUAAUUAUAUUAAAAAAAUAAUUAUUCGUAAAUUCACACAUUCUUUUGCGCUUACUAUGGGACCCCAAAUAUCAAUGACAUGAGUGACGCUGUACUGACUCAAAAUCUCCUUCUGAGCGAGACAUGUGUUUAAAGGGAUCUCAUGACUUUGAAGAUGACAUAGAUCGUAGCCUAUUUCUGGACCUAUUAAGGAUGGUAGAACAAGUCGAGAAACGAAUCUUACCCUACAAAGAAUCAUUGGGAUAUAUGACUUCUCCUUAUGUGGGGCAUGAAGGUCAUUUGGUCGAUCUCGCCAAAAGAGUCUGACGGUCAUUGAUUCAUCUUUGUGAUCGUCAAUUACUUUACUAAAUGAGGGGAAGCUGCUUUAUAUGUCAAUGUCACAAAGUUGACAGUUAGCAAAUUCUUGAAGAAUCAUAUGGAACGUCAAAAGGAUCAUAUCUGACAAUGUACUAAAUUUGAGCAACAGCACAAUAUCAAAAGUUUGCAGUCUAUUCACGAUUAAUGCCAUAUCACCAAAAAAGAUGGCGCAAAAAAAAGAGAGAAAAGAAGAAAGAAAAUGGAGAGGCCAAAGUGAAAACCCGCAAAGGGCACCUUGAGACCAAAGGGGAUUUGAGUUGAAAACCCGAAACAGGCGGCUCAAAUAUUGAUCAGAAUAGGGCAUGAGGUGAUUAGAGCAACUCGAAUUUUAACCAGAUUGGGGCAUGUGGUGAUCUUGUUAUACCUGAAUUAUCAGGAAAGGGUAGGCAACAUCUUGGGGCAUUGGCAGAGUACUGUGGAUCUCCUAAACACAUGUCAAACUCAGAAGGAUCUUCAAAAAGUUUGUACGGAGAAAUUCAAGCUGCGAUAUCUGGGGCACCCAAUUUUCAUACUAUUGAAUUUGUUAUUCUUAGAAUACUUCAUUCUUUUCAAAGAUACACAUUCCCAAUCAAUUUCUUUGUUAUCCUUUUUACUAUUUUUGAUAAUUUAUUCCUUUCGAGCUAUGCUCAGAACUAAUUUUAUUCUUAUCCAUUGUUAUGACCUUUUUGCAUGCAUAUUGCAUUGGAAUAAUGAUCAAUGGACUAAUAAAACUUUCACAAGGGAAGUUUUGCAUAUUACUCUAGAAGUUUCUAAAUAAUAUAGGAGCCUGAAACAGGACUAUUAUUUAGAACGCACUAGGUUUAAAGGUUGGAAAUCUAAAAAGGAAGAGUCUAAACUAGGACUUUCUCUUUGGAUUUUGUUGUCAAAAAUCAUUAGUUGAACAAAAUAAUAAGAUGUCGUGUUGAUGACAAAGCUUAAAUCAACAAGCAAGUAAUGAUCACCAGGCAAUAGAAAGAGGUUACCUCGGGGAAGAGAGCCCUCAUUUGCUCAUGAGCCUUUGGUACGACACCCUAGGAAUGGUGUAAGAGACAAGAAAGAUUUAGAUCCUGUAUCCUUGAAUUGUGAUAGGAGAGGAUUGAAGAAAAGCCAUAUACCCUUGGGUUACAGUGGGAGAACGAUGGUAUGAAUUUUUGCGCCCCAAUGGAUUAAACUUUGAGGUUUACAGUGGGGGCAACCUGACUAAAUGUUUCUUCAGAAAAGCCAGCCAAGCAAGAAGGCAUUGUAGCACGUUAGUGUUAAAGCCUUAAUAAUCUUCGAACAAUGACAACCUAGGUGGGAUCAUUCUCGAAAAAAAAACUAUGCAUUCAUGCAAACACCAUUCACAGAUGUCUAGUUAGGAGCAUUUGAUUCAUUUUAUGCCAUCCUAAUCAUUAGGCAUAAAUAGGUUCAUUAUACAGGUCAUGUUCCCCAGAGAGCAGAUCAGUAAAAAUAGCAGAUCUUGCCUUCCUACACCGACAGUGAAACAGAUCAAAGACACCAGCCAUGCCUCCCUGGGUUGCAGUGGAGUAGGUUAAAAAUAGCAGAUCUUGCCUUCAUGCACCGACAGCGAAGCAGAUCGAAGAGACCAGCCUUGCCUCCCUGGGUUGCAGCGGAGCAGGUUAAAAUAGCAGAUCUUCCCUUCCUGCACUGACAGCGAAGUAGAUUGAAAACACCAGCCUUGCCUCCUUGGGUUGCAGUGGAGCAGGUUAAAAAUAGUAGAUCUUGCCUUCCUGCACCGACAGCGAAGCAGAUCGAAGACACCAACCUUGCCCCCUAGGUUGCAGUGGAGCAGGUUAAAAAUAGCAGAUCUUGCCUUCCUGCACCGACAGCGAAAUCGAAGACACCAGCCUUGCCUCCCUGGGUUGCAGCGUAGCAGGUUAAAAAUAGCAUAUCUUACCUUCUUGCACCGACAGCGAAGCAGAUCGAUGACCCCAGCCCUAUUUCCCUGGUCAGCAGGGGAAUAAGUUGAAGAUUGAGAAUCUUAUCUCCCUGAAGUUGCAGUGGAGUAGAUUAAAGCCAAUAAUCCUAUCUCCUUAAAUUUGUAGUGGAGCGGAUUAAAACCACAGAUCUUAUCUCUCUAAAGUUGCAGAGAGCAGAUCGCAUCUGGUCUUAUCUCCCAAAAGUUGCAGUAGAGCAGACUGAGUAAGAAAGUCUUAUCCCCCUGAAAUUGCAGUGGGGCAGACUAAAUGAACAAAUCUUAUCUCCCUAAAGUUGUAGUGGAGUGGAUUAGAAUGAUGGGUCUUAUCUCUCUGAAGUUGCAACAGAGCAGAUCACAUCAAAUUCAUCUUUAAGUGACAGCAGAUCAAGUUGAAGCUAUAAGUCUUAUCUCCCUGAAGUUGCAGUGGAGUAGAUUGAAGCACUAGUUCCUAUACCUUUGAAGAUGCAGUAUGAAGGAAUGAGGCUACUUGAAGAAGAAGACUACCUAGGUCCAGCACGAUCGGGUAAAAUUGGGCAUUUUUAAAGUCUUUACUCCAUUCCUGUUACACGAUAACGAGUAAAGAGGGGCAGCUGUAAUACCCAAAUUUUACCGAGCCUACAAAAACAGUCCAAAUUACAAUGGGCUUAUGUGGCCCAAAACCCGAAUGAACAGAGGCCCAAAACAAUGGCCCAAAAUAAUGUCAGAAACUCCUAGGGUUUCUGAGGAAACUUUUGCGCCCAGCCACCAAGCACCACGAGCUGAAAUCUUCACCUGCACAAAAACAACAGAAAUGGCAAGAAAAUCAAAGAUUGCGAAUCAAAUAUGAGCAAGAUUUGAUUCUUUUUAUUAUUAUUUUCAUUAUGGCUAUAAAAUAGCCAUUGAUAUGCUGUAAAAAAGAGGGGGAAGACCGAAAGAAAUACAAAGACCAAUAGGAAAUUUUCUUUUUUUGAAAUACAAAGGUUUUCUUUUCUGUUUUACCUCAUUGUCGAUUAUUGUUCUUUUAUUUUUUCAUUUAUACAUAUACAUAUUUGAUUUUUUUAUAGUUUCUUUAUUUUUUAUUUAUUUUUGCUUAAAAUAUAAAGAAAAGAGGAGAGAUUUUACCUUUUUUUCGUCGAAGUCGUCGAAUGGUGGCCAUCUCCGUCGCGAUCGGAGUGUUGGCACAGGCGAACGAUGGCGCAAAAGGGGUUAAGAAAAAACCCUAGCAGAGCAUUUGUGUUUUUUUGUUUUUUUUAAUCUGGCUUAUUGAUUUUUAUUUUUUAAAAAAAGAAUUUUCGUUUAAAUAACAUUAACAAAACGGCGCCGUUUUAGGGGAGCAGGAUCUGCGCGUUGACCCAACCCGCAGGCAGGGUCCACACGUUCUGGCCUUGAAUUGGGUAUUUGUGCAUUUAGUCCCUCCUCUUUGCGACGUGCUUCAAUCAAACCCAUUUUUCUUUUUUUUUUUUAAAUUUAGCCGCAUAUUUCAUUUUUGUUUCAAUCUGGUCCGUCACUGCGCAGCGUUUUAGAAGGCGGGAUUAAUUUCCCUUUUGGUCCUCUAUUGUUGCUUGCGCAUUCAAGUUGGUCCCUUCUUUAUAUUUAUUGCUAAUCUGCCCCAUUUUUUCGCUUUUAGUUCAGUUUAGUCCAUUUUUUUAGCUAUUUCAUUAUUUAGUUAUUUUUUUAUUUUUUUGUUAUUGUUAUUAUUAUUAUUUCUAUACUUAUUAUUUCUAUAUUUAUACACGCAUUUUUUUAUAGUAUAUAUAUAUAUAUGCAUUUUUUAUAUAUAAUAUAUAUUUUUUAACUUUUAUAAAUACAUGCAUAUACUUCAUACAUAUUUGUUUAUUAUUAUUUUGAUUUCAAAACUUUUAUAUACUUUAUAUUUUAUAUAUAUACAUAUACAUUUUAUAACACAUAUACAUUUUCCACGUUUUAUAAUUUAAAAUACACAUACAUUUUCUAUAAUAUAUUUAUGUAUACGUUUUUAUUCUUUAUAUUUUUUUUUUGGUUUAUUUCCUUCGUCUAUUCAUUGAUUUAGGUUUUCAUUUACAUUUUAAAAGAAUGUCCUUUUUUUUAUUUUGCUUAUUCAUUUUAUAUUUUUGCAUUGUCAUUGUUUAUUUUUUUACUUUAUAUUAAUUUCGUUUAUUUACUAUUAUAUUAUUUCUAUACAAUUGUCGUAUUUAUUAUUGCGACAUUUAUACAUACAUUCCAUAUAACAUUACAUCAUCUUUUACUCGAAUUUAAAAAUAGAAAAUUUUCAAAAUAGAGAUAAUACUCGUAUUUAGGAUUUUUAAGAAAAUUGAGCCCUAACGUAUUGGGUUCCGAUUUUCUUCGUUAAAUCUAACAAUCGAGAAUUGCUCUUUGAUCAAAAAUAAAAUAAAAACUUGUCAUCGGGAAUUCAAUAUGUUGUGUCCUAACGUAUUGGAUAUGACGCGUUGAUUUCUCGAGAUAAAGAUUUUCUAAAAAAUAAAGGAAAUAUUCAAUGUUUGGGAUUUUAAGAAAUCGUGCCCUAACGUAUUGGGCUGCGAUUUCUUCAUAAAUUUUAAACAAUUAAAUAUUUUCUUAAAUUUUAUUACACGAGUUUUUUGGACCAACUCAUCUUAAAAAGAACAAAAUAUUGUGCCCUAACUCAUUGGGUGUGAUAUUUUCUUUUUUCAAAAUGAGAAAGUCUUAAUAAAUAAUUUAAUUUAACUAAGGAUCGUAUUUAUUAACUCUCGACAUUAAGACACUGAUUAAUCAACUCAGUACCAAUUUUUGGGUGUUACGAGGGUGCUAAUCCUUCCUCGCACGUAACUGACUCCCGAACCUGUUUUUUAAAACUCGUAGGCCAAAGUCAUUUUUAGGUGAUCCAAUCACACCUUAAUAAAAGAUUGGUGGCGACUCCAAUUUUCAUCGACAACUAAUUUUUGUUUUUUUCAAAAUAAAAAUGGUUUCGACACAAGUAAUAGUAAGUUUCAUACAAGGUUCAAAGGCAAUUAAAUGACUUGUAAGUUUGUUGAACUUCUUUGAAAGGCCCAAAGGCAAUUGAACAUUUACAAAAUAGUCUCUAUAUACUGUAGAGACAAAUCAAAUCCAUGGGAGCAUUACAGUUAGUUAAAUUGAGCAUUGGCAGAAAUUCCAUCAUAGGAAAUAUUGGCAAAAUCGUCUAUUUAAUUAGAAAAACAACAUAAUUCAUGAAACAUAGAUAGCCCAAUAUAAAUGUCAUCGAGAAAAAAAGUCUGUUUGUUUUAUAGCACAUGAUAGUAAAGCAUGCGAAGUUUCAUUCUUCUUAUUGGCCUCCUUUAGUUUUCCUUGAUCAUCAACCACUAGCCAAAAACACAAUUAGAUUAGAUUAUAAAUGAAACAUUCAAUUAUGAUAAAAUUAAAUAGAAAACACCCUAAAUAACUCUAGAUAAAUGAAUAGUAGCAAAUUACCUGGUGAGGCAAGCUAGCUCAAUUAAGAUCAUUGUGUUAGACUUGUGUAUGCAUUAAACAAUCUAAAAGAAAAUGAAGGAAAAGACUUAGAAAACACUUGAAAAUUGACAAAAUUUAUAUGCCAUUGACUGGUUAAACUAUGAUCACCCAUAACAGACCUUGUAUUGGAGUUUUUGUUGAGGGAGAUCAAGUCCUUCAAGAAAAGUCUUUUAAGUGUUGUUUGUUACGUAAUCGCUGCUACCCUCAACAAAAGGUAUUGUCCUCAUGUCAAGAUUUUAUCCUCAGCCUUUAUGGAAUAAUCAUGGAGAUUACAUGUGCAAGGAUUCAAACCACCAACCAAUGCAUAUGUAGUAUUUACUUUGGAACCAUCUCCGUGAACCCACGAGGUUCUUUGCAGAAUCAAGAGACAAAACCCCAACACAAGAAUAAUACCAUCUAUUGAGGGUCCUUUAACACAACAAAUGAAAUUCAUACAUUUAUUUAAUAAAAGUAAAUAUCAUAUUUAAUUGGGGAAAAGCAACAAAAAAUCCAACAAUAAAAUCCUUAGCAAAAGAUUAAAACACAGUUAUAUCGUAAAUGACAUAAGAAACUAAGAAAAUCCAAUCUGACAAAGAAAAUAACUUGAUGCUCCAAAGCUACCAUAUACCGUAAUUCAUGGGAAGGUCUGAUGCUCAUUUUAUUGGUUUCCAUCUUGAUUUUGCAAAAGAAGUUUGAAUUUUGAAGAGAGCAAAAGAUUGAGCGAAAGAAAAAAAAUUAGUUUAUUAAUUUUCACAAUUUAUAAGACAAACCUUAUGGAGACAAAUAAUGACAUAUUAGAUAUUUGUGAUUAAAAUUCUAGAAUAGAUUUAAAAUGUUGAAUUAAUGAUGAAAUUAAUAGUGAAUUAAUAACAACAAGCGUACUGAUUACUUAGCUUCUUUGUUAAACAUGUUCGAUGUUGUUUAACAGCCUUUGUUUGAUUUUCUUUAGCUCAACCACAACAUCUUUCAUAUCUUUUCUUUCUUCUGGUAACUCAGCUGAACAAUUCAAAGCCAACUCCAUGAUGGAUGAAAUACAAUUUGCUUUAACAACAAAGUACUCAUCCUUUCUUCUUAGUAAAUCAACAUCUGCAAUUUCUAUCGCUCCUUUAGGCAACGAACUUUCCAUCCAAUGCGUUAUAGUCAUUUCUUCAGCAAAAAAUUUAUCAGUUGGCUUUUUCUUUGUAAAAGUUUCUAUAAGGAUGAUCCCAUAACUAUAGACGUCACAUUUUAUACAAACAAUUCCUGUUGAUCCAAAUUCUGCAUUUCAAGUAUAAUUAGAACAUCAUCAAUCCUUAAUUAGUUCUAAAAUGCUUAUUCAAAUAUAUAUCCAUAUAUGCAUGAAACAAAAGUAUAAAAUGCAAAUUAGGAAAAUAAUGAUACAAAAAAAAAAUUCACCUGGUGCCAUAUACCCGAUAGAUGCAAGAGUCAUGGUUUGCUUUAUUACAUCACCUUCUCCCAACAAUUUGGCACAACAAAAUCUCCCACAUGUGCAACCAUGUCUUUAUCUAGUUGUAAUAGCCCAUUUUGCCCGGGGCCCAAUAAAACCCAAAACAAACCAAAAUAAUAAAACAUUCACAGUCCAUUUACAAUAAAUAAACACACUACCCAUAUCAAGCCCAAUUAAACCCAAAUCUCAAAGCCCAAAACAAAACAACACAACCCGAGCCCAUAAACUAAAAAUUUUCAGCACAAAAAACCCUAGCCCUAAGCCUCCAGUGCCGCAUGUGCUCCACCGCCGCCGCUCGCCUAUCACCGGCCAUCCACGCGUCUGGCACCACCUGCAAGAGCAAACAACACGCAAAAGAAGAGGCCAACCAGUAACAGACAAGAACAAAGAAAUGAAACAAAUUUUGUAAUUUUGGCUAUAAAAGCCCGAAUAUAUCUUUGUAAUUUCUUCUUCCGUUUUACGAACAUCUAGUAAAAAAAAGAAGAAAAGCAGAGAACAGAUUUUCGAGAGGUGAAACCUUUUUUUCGGUUCUUUUUUUUCAUUAUAUUUUAUUUUUUUAUUUUCAUUUUUUAUAUCAAACAAUGAAAUAAAAAAAAGGAGAAAGAAAUGUAGCAGAAUCGACCCUUAGCCCCGCCGUCGGUGGUCUUUUCCCCGGCAUCGAAAUUGGCGAGAAAUGAGGCAAAGGUCGAAUCUUUUUCAUUUUUCUUUACUUUUCAGUCAUUUUCCUUGUAGAUCUAAAAUCUACGCUUAAAACGGGCUAAAAAUAAAAAGUUUUGGGUUCUCCGGUCACCGUGGGCUGCGACACCGUCGCCGACGAUCGGCGGCCGCCACGGGGGUCAACGGCCGGCCCUUUGCCCGGAAUCGAAGAGAAAUUUUAAGAGAAAAGGGAGCUUUGGAAAUUUUUUAAAGCAAAUGGCUGAAAUGGGGUUUCAAAAAAAUGUUGGCUUUUAUAAUACUAUUAAACGGCGUUGUUUUGCAACUGAAGGUCAGGUGCCAAAACGACGUCGUUUUGGCCCUUACCCGCUCGCGCUCCCGACCCGCUCCUGGGGGAUCCGCGUGUUUUUGGCGUUUGGGCUAUUUGCACUGCGGAUCCUUCUGCAUUUCGCCCAGUUUAUGAUUUAGUCCCUUUCGUUAGAUUUCUUUUAUUUUUAAUUUCGCCUUGAAAUUUUGUUCUGAUUUUAUCGGAGUCCCGCAAAGUGCUGCGUUUUGGAGGGCAGGGAUAUUUUCCCCUUUGGUCCCUCCUUGUUAUUCACGCACUCGAUUUGGUCCCUUUCUUUUAUUCAUUUGCGAAUUUGCCCCCAUAUUUCUGUGUUAAGUUCAAAUUAGUCUCUUUUUUAUUUAUUUUUGCUAUUAAAUUAAUUAAUUUUGAUAAUAUUAUCAUUAUUAUUAUUAUUAUUAUUAUUAUUAUUAUUGCUAUUAUUAUCUUCGUAUUAUUAUUAUUGUUUGCUUUAUUAUUAGUAUUAUUAUUAUUUUCAUUAUUACUAAUAUUAUUAUUUUUAUUUUACUACUCUUAUUAUUAUAUAUUGUUAUUAUUUUUAAAUUGUUUUACCUAAUAUUCCCUCGUUUAUUAUUUAUAUUCACUCGUUCAAAUUUUCAAUCAUUUUCAAUUAGUUACUUCUUUUUUUAAAUCAGUUUGUUUUAUUUUUUAUUUUCAUUUUAUUAUUUCAUUAUUUUAUUGUUUUUAUUAUUUAUAUUAUUUUUGUUUUUACUCUUAUUAUUCCUUUUUAUUUUGGUUUAUUUCAUUUCAACUUUUGCGCUCAAAUUUUUUUUGUUAUUUCGUCAUCUAUUUAUUUUCGUAUUUAUAUUUUGUUAUACAUACAUUCAAAUCUCAACUAUUCAUUAUCAUUAUUAAUUUUAUUAUUAUUGUUAUUUAUAUUUAUUAUUGACAUCCUCAUCAUGUUGUUGCACACAUUAGCAUUGUAAUCCAUUUUACAUUUUACUAUAAAAUCGCGUUAUGUUAACCUUCAUCCAAUACAUUUUAUAUUAAGCAAUUUUGUAACUCAAAAUUCCAGAAAUCGUACCCUAACUUACUGGGUUUCGAUUUUCCUCGACGAGUCUAAAGAACCAAUCCUUUUUUUAAAAAAUCAAAGCAUAAGUUAAAUAAAAACUUAUCCUCAGGAGUUCAAAAUGUUGUGUCCUAACUCACUGGAUGUGACAUUUUGUUAUCUCAAGGUAAAGAUUUCUAGAAACACAAAGGCAAUAUUUUGAAUUUGGAAAUUCGAGAAAGUGUGCCCUAACGUGCUGGGUUUCAAUUUCUCGUUUGACCAAAUAGCCAAAUAUCCUCUUAAAACUUCAAAGUAUGGGUUUUUCAAACCAUAAGGUGAUCUUUGUUUCGAUGGUUUAAAGUAUCGUGUCCUAACGUGCUGGAUGUGAUAUUCCUUCGGAAUAAGAGAAUCUUAAAUUUCAAUCCAUGUUAUUCAAAUUUUUUUUAAGGAUUGUAUAUUUUUUUAAACUCUUCAAAGUUUUCAAUCUUCGACAUUAAGACACUAAUUAAUCAACUAGGUACCAAUUUUUGGGCAUUACGAGGGUGCUAAUCCUUUCUCGUACGUAACCGACUCCCGAACCUGUUUCUUUGAAUUUCGCAGACCAAAAGAAUUGUUUUAAUAAAUCUAAAUUGUUUAUUAAAAACAAUCGUUUUACGAGGUGACCCGAUCACACCUCAUCAAAAAAGAUUGGUGGCGACUCCCGUGUUUAUUAUCAUUUUCAAAACCCAAGUCGACCCCGUUUUCACAAAAAAAAUGGUGCCAACACUAGUAAAAUAUUGCUUGGUUUUAAGUCACAAUGAAUUACAGAUGUUGGAUGUCCAUUGUGGAGAUGUUCUAUAGCUACCGCAACAUCUAUCAUUAUGUCGACCCUUUGUAUGAUAUCAAGGAAGCAAAUUUCGGAAUGUAACCAUUUCUCAAGGUUUCCAUUAGACAUGUUAUCAAGCACCAAGGCUUUAAAGUCAACACUUGAGCAGCAAGUAAUGACCUUCACAAUAUUACGAUGAACUAUAUUACGCAUAGCAUCACAUUCAAUGUCAACACUCCUAAAUGCUCCCUCUGUUUGCAAAUUAAAAACUUUUAUUGCAACUUCCAUUCCAUCUGAAAGCCUCUCUUUAUAUACAUAUCCAAAACUCCUUGAACCAAGCAUAUUGUUUUCCUCAAAUCCAUUAGUUACUUGUGAAAGUUCAGCAUGUGAAAUUCUUCUCAGCGUUUUCAAAGACAACAAAUCAUCCUUACUUGGUAGAGUUGUACUCCUACUUUGGCAUCUUCUAUACAUAAUAGUUAAGACUAUUAGUAAUACGACAAUACCAAUUGUUGGUAAACCAUACCUUAAAACAUGCAAUAUAUUCAUUUGGGAGUUUUCUUGGAUGUCGUUUUUGCAAGGGGGGACUAGCAAUCUAGGUGGACCACAAAGUGCAAAAUUCUUCAUGAAUGAUCUACUAGAAAAGUUUGGAAAACAUCCUUCGGUGGGAAUUUCCCCUUCAAGUCUAUUGAAAGACACAAUAAAAUACUUUAGAUCUAAAAGAUUUUUCGAAGAUUUGGGAAUGGCUCCAGAGAGAUUGUUAUUGCAUAAAUUCAAGAAUUCCAAACUAAUCAAACCAUCUAAUGAUCCAGGGAUAUGACCAUGUAGUAUAUUAUUUAAUAAAUCUAAUGAAAUCAAAGUUUGAAGACCCCCAAAUGUGAAUAAGAUAUCGCCUGUGAGAAUAUUCCUUGAUAUAUUUAGUUUCAAUAAACUCCUCAAAUUUCCAACAUCAAUAGCAUGUGAAUUGUGAAGAUGGUUUGAUGAUAAAUCUCUUUCUAAGAUAUCUUUAAGAUUCCACAAAGUUGAGGGUAUUGCAGAACUCAAUUUGUUGGAAUUUAAGUAAAGAUAUCUUAAAGAAGUACUAUAACCCAAACAAGAGGGUAUGGAUCCAUGCAAGUUAUUCAACCCUAAAUACAUCUCGUAUAGUCUCUCCAAACCACAAAGGCUUUUUGAGAUUGGUCCUAAUUUAUUCGAGUGAAAAGUUAGACUUUGGAGAUUUCUCAUUCCUCCUAUUGAUGCUGGAAUAGAUCCACUUAAUUUAUUAUACCCAAGUUGUAAAAGCAAUAGGUUGUUUAAGUUACCUAUUUCCAUAGGACUAUUGCCUUUAAGCUCACAAUUAUUGGCAAAAAAGUAUUGAAGGGAUUUUGAAAGGUUCCCGAUAUAAGUAGGAAGAACAUCACUCAAUGGAUUUCCUGAAACAACUAUUCUUCUCAAAUGCCUGCAAUUUGCCAAAGAAGAAAGAAAGGUCCACUCAUGAUCAAUAGCAGAUCCUGUGAUCAAAUUAUUAUUUAUGAUUCGGAGCACUUCAAGGUGUCUUAAGUUGCCAAGCGUUUUAGGAAUUGGGCCAGAGAAUAAGUUAUCUUCCAAGGCUAGAUUCUUAAGCAUGGAAGCAUUGGAGAUAGAGCCGGUAAUGUUUCCGCUAAAUUUAUUUCCCCACAAUACAAGAUUCUCAAGUUUUGGAGCAUUGGUAAGGGUGGUAGAGUACCUGUAAGAUAGCAUCUUUUAAUAUACAUAGCCAUUGGAUACCAAAUUCACAAAACAUAUAAUACAUUAAAAUACAUUUUUAAAAUAAAAAUUGUAAACCUUUAAAUCAAAUAAAAAUAUAAUUUUGGCCUGGAAAAAUGUGAUCAAAUCAAUUAGUCCCUUGUGAUUUGUAUAAACAAAAAAAUAAAAUAAAACCAUUCCAUACCAGUAUUGUAUUUGAUUUAAUGAUAGAGUUGUAAGUUACUUGUAAAAGUUACAUGCUCUAGCAUAUAAAUUUUGUCCAAGCCUUGGGUUGAAAUCAUCGUUACUUUUUUAGAUCUAAAAUUGAUUGAAUAUCAAAUUUGUAAAAUACUGUAAAAUUUUGAAUCAAAUAAAAACAAAACUUUGACAUGAAAAUGUGGCAUCUAAUCAAUUUUAAAAAUGACAUUGACACUGAAUACGAAAUUAUGAAUAAAAAUUAGUUAUGGUUUGGGAAACAAAAAUAUUAAAUUAUUCUGUAUGAUUUGGUAUUAGUUAUUAUUUUGAAUAAUAUUGUUAAUUUUUAAUUACAUAAAACUAUUGUAUGUUAAAUAUGGUUUUAAUUAUGCCUUGAAAUUUUAUUAUUAUAUUUCAACUACCAUAUAAUAUUUUAAUUAUGUUUAGCCAUUUGAAUAACAAACCAAAAAACUAAUUAAAAACUAAUUACUUCUUUAAGUAUAAUGGAAAUUAAAAGUUUUCAAUUCAUAUAAAUUUUAUUGUUUAUUAUCAAAUUAAUACAUUUUAAUAGAUGAUAAAAUAUAUGAGCAAAAAAGAAGAAACAAUUAAAGAGAAUGUUUUUGGAGUUUGGAAAAAAUUAAAGUGAAAAACAUACCUUCUAAUUUGUUGUCACAUAGAUCUAUUUCUUCGAGCGUAGUUGAAUAAAAAACACUUUCCGGAAUCAGCUCACUGAAUUGAUUUGCUGCUACGAAUUCUAAAGCUUGUAACAUUCACUUAUACUAGAUGGAAUGUUACAGAUAAUUCAUUUGUAUCCAAGUAAAGCCCCUCAAACUUGGGAAGAUGUUGACACAUAUCAUUAAGUAAACUACCUGAUAGGCUAUUGCAGGAGAGAUUAAUAGUCUUCAGAGAAGAAAUAUUGAAGAUAGAAGACGGAAUCUGACCUGUAAGGUAUUUAAUUACUGUAAUACUAAGCAUUUUCAAACAUUACUAAUAUAAAUAGUUCAUGGAAGUAAGAAAGUGUGCAUAAUAAAACCAAAUUGUAUAAAAAAUUUAAAAAAUUUUGAUUAAUCAAUAAAUUUAAGAUUUUAUAUAUUGAAGUGGGUUCAAAUCUCACUAUUAUUUUUUGUUUUGUUUUUUUUUUAAAAACCAAAGUACCUCAAAUAAUGUAACUAAUUUUAAAUACGAAAAGUUAUUUUUGAAAUUUCUCUAAUCGAGUUGGUGCUCAUUGACUCGUAACACAAUCCUAAUCAGAUACUUAAAUAACAAUAUAGAUAUUCACAUUCACCAAAAAAGUUCAAAAAAAUUGUUACUUUAGUUUCAAAUAACAAAUUUUAAUUAUUUAUAUAACAAGUAACUUUAUAAUUCAUGUAUAAAUUUGACUAUUAAGAAAAGAAAAAAUGAAAUUAAAUAAUGAAUAAUUUAAUUGAAAAUAUAUCAAUUUUUAUAUUUUCUACAUAUGCUUUAAUGAUGAUGGAUUUUUUUUAUUAUCACUAUUUUUGAAUUAAAAGAAUUUAUUAAUAUAAUUUAAUUAUAUUUUGAAUAAUGUUACUCUUUUUUAAUGACAUGAAGUAAAAUCAUAUUAUAUAUUAAAGAGGGUACAUAUGCUUUAAUUAUAGCUUGAAAUUUUAUUAUUACAUUUGAGUUAUUAAAUAAAUUAAUAUAUUUUAAUUAUAUUCAGCCAUUUGAAUAACUAAUUAGAAUAAUUUUAAAAAACAUUAUUUAAAAGCUAUGUAUAUAAAUGUAUAUGUAUAUAUAUGGUUGUUUCAUAUUUUUAAAAUAAAUAUAUUUUCAAUGUUGGUUUCUUUUCUUCCACACACAAAGUAUUUCUAAUGUUUUUUUUUUAUAACUUUUACUUAUAUAAAAUAGAUUAGUUAAUGCAAUAACAAAUUAAUUACUUUUUUUAAACUUAAUGGAAAUUAAAAUAAAUAAAUUCAUAUAAAUCUUAUUGUUUAUUAUCAAAUUAAUAGAUGAUAAAGUAUAUGACAAAAAGAAAAGGACAAAUUAAAUUCAAUAGAAUGUUUUUGGACUUGUGGAAAAUUUUAAAGUGAAAAACAUACCUUCUAAUUUGUUGUCAAAUAGAUAUAUUUCUUCGAGAAUAGUUGAAUUAAAAAUACUUUUUGGAAUCAGCCCACUGAAUUGAGUUGUUGCUAAAUUCAAAACCUGAAGCUUGUUACAUUCACCUAUACUUGAUGGAAUCUGACCUGCACACAUACUUGACAUAAGUCAAAGAGGUUUUCUUUUCUAUAAUUUGGAGAUGUUAUAUUUUAAUAUAUUUAAUCAUAUUUUUUCUUCAAAUUAACUAUUUUGAUUUUAAUGAAAUAAAAAGCUCUUACUUUUUCUUUUAUAAAAAAAAAAUACUUUAAACUAAAGAAACCAAAGAAAUUUAGUACCUUCUAGAUUAUUAAACACCAAAUAUAAAUGUCUAAGUCGUGUCAAGUUUCCAAUACUUCUUGGAAUGAUACCUGUGAAUUGAUUAAUGGACAGUGACAAAAUUUGAAGGUUGCAUUUGUCUAUACUUAAUGGAAUGUUACCAGAUAAUUCAUUCAAACUCAAGUGAAGCCCUUCAAGCUUAGGAAGAUGUUGACACAUAUUAUCAGGUAAUCUACCUGAUAGGAUCAAUAGCCUUCAGAGAAGAAAUGUUGAAGAUAGAAGAUGGAACCUAGACAGAUAAUUGAUUGAAUUCCAAGUUCAAGAUCUCUAGAUUGGACAUGUUAACAAGUGUUUGAUGGAUUGUGCCUGUAAAGUUAUUAUUUUUCAUUUCCAGCCUUUGGACUCUGUGUAAGUUCCCAAGCCAUGAUGGAAUUUCCCCAUUAAGACCAUUGUAGCUUAAUUGGAUGAUCCUCAAACGGUGCAACUGGCCCAAUUCUUUAGGCAGAUGGCCAUAGAAAUUGUUGCUACUCAAGUCGAGAGAGAGUAGGAAUGAAAGUUUUCCAAGUUGUGAAGGGAUAGUACCUCGAAGAUUCAUGUUUGUAAGAUUCAAAGCUACAACUCUUUCAUGGAUGAUGCCACAAGAAACACCAAUCCACCUGCAAACAGAGCUAGAGGCUAUCCAAUUGUUUUCCAAGACAUUGUGAGGAUCGACUCGAUCCUUAUACUCGAGGAGUGCAAACUAAUCGGUGGUGAGAUUCCUGGCUGUCAUAGCCAAACAAAGUACGGAACAUGGUACGAAUAGAGCUAAAAGAAGAUGAAAGCAAGUGGUGUAGUUUAUGAUUGCAAGACGGAAUAAGGCAAGAAAAUAAAAGAGUAGGAAAAGGGAAAUUGAAAUGAUAAAAUAGUUGGAUGAUGAAGAAAAGCCCAGAGAGCCUGCUUUAAUAUGUUUCAACCCUCCCACACUUCUCCUAAUUAAAUUCACUCGGCUGGGGUUACAACAUUAAUUUUCAAAAUAAAUGUCAAGUCUUCUUUUAAAACACAUCCAAAGAAGCGAAUUUUCUCCAAAAUUUCUUCACAUUACUCCACAUAAUCCAUAACAAAAUUAAUAAAAUAUAAUUUUUUAAUUACUAUAUAUUCUUUUAUUUUCUUCACAAUAAUAAGUUGGUUAAAUAUGCUAUUAAUCCCUGUACUUUUUAGAAUUUGAGAUUUAGUCCUUAUACUUUAAAAGUUAAAAAUUAAUUCAAAGAUAUUCUUUUUUCUAAACUGAGUGAAUUCACAAGCUUUGUUUUCCUUUAACAAAUAUUUUUGGUAUUUUCGUGGAUAUGAGGAGAUACUGAAAAUUAUUUUACUAUGAACUUUUAAUUCACUCAAAAAAAUAAGUGUUUUAUUUCAAGGGAACACAAUUAAACAUUAGAUUUCCCAUUUUUAUGUUUUGAAUAUUUUUGACAACUGCAUAAUCAACAAAGUAUCAAUUUUGGGCGUUGUGAGAGUUUUAUAACCUUCCAUAUGUGUAAUCGAUUUUUGAACCCACUUUUUAUUUUAGAAUUCAGGACAUACCUUAAAUUUUUCUUUUUAUAAGUUAUUUAAAAUCUAUUUGUAAAAAGCGAAUUUUUAAGUGACCGAUCACGCUUAACAAAAAUGAUUGGUGGCGACAAGUCCUUUUUGAUAAAAUCUUGUUCUUGGAAAGACCAAAGUUUUCAUUUUUUUAAGAAGUUUUCAAUUUAAUUUUCUUUUUGAAUUUUUAUUUUUAACCAGAAAAUGGUCCUUACAGUUAUUAUUUAUUUCCCAAUUUUUAAUGGUUUUUUUCAAGGAGAUGAAUAGUGGGAUGAAAAUUUUUGGUUAAGGUAAACUCAUUAUGUAUAGUUGAUUCUUUUUUGAUCCUUCAAUUAUUAAUUUUUUUGAUUUAAUUACAUAUUUUUUUAAAAAAAAAUUAACACUCUCUUAGUUGCCUCUUAAUUGAGGGACAAAAAACUUAGACAUUUUUUAAUCACAAUUAAUUUAAUUGCGUUUAGGAUCACAUAAUUUUCUUUUAUUCUUUUUAAAUUAUAAACUGUUUCAAAAAUUCCGUCAAUAGCUUAAGUGAAAUUAUCCUUUUUUGAAAUAUCAAUUUCACUUAAGCUAUUGACUUAAUUUUCAGCUAUUAGUCUUUUUUCCAAUCAAAUUGACUCUUAGCAGAAAUGCAAACUGCGCAAAAGAGUGUAAACAAAGAAGUUGAAUUUAAUUAUUUUCUGAGUCUAGUUUCAAAAGACAUAAUUAAUAAUAAACUUAUAACUAGCCUUAUUUAUUUAACAUGUUAAGAAACCUUUGCUUCAUUUUCUUGAACUCAACCACAACAUUCUUCCUAGCUUUUCUUUUUUGACGUAAUUCAGUUCAACAUUUCAAAAGAAAUUCCAUAAUCGAUGAAAUACAAUUUGCUUUAACAAUAAAUCUGCAUCCUCAAAGUCUAGUAGUCCUUCCAACAAUGAGCUUUGUAGGGCCCAACUUCUGCCCCGGGCCCAAAUAAUAAAAACCAAAAAUAAUCCAAAGUUAAACAGUCCAGUUACAUUAAACCCAAAUACAAGCCCAACUACCCAAACCCUAAGCCCAAACCUAAUAGCCCACAACAAACUUUCAAUAGCAGCAAAACGUGCAACACGCAACAAAAAGAAGCAACCAAAUCGCAAAACAACAAAAAACAGGCAUCAAAGAGUUGUUUAGAUCGGCUAUAAAGCCAAAAAUCAGAGACUUGUAGUUUUUCGGCUUCCUUUUUUAACACACAUCAGAAAUAAAAGAUCAUAUAAACUUCUAAAAGGUUGCUGUUCUUUCUUUGUUUUUCUUUUUAUUUCACUUAUUUUAUUUAUUUUUUUUACUGAUCCUUUUUUACAAAUAAAAAACGAUUAAUAAAAGAAAAACAAGAAAGGAAGAGAAGGGGAAUAGCUAGAAUCACCCGCAAGUCCCAUUGCCGGAGCCCUUUUGCGGCCACCGGAGUCGUGCUGGGAGGGUGCGGGGUCUCCUUUUCCUCUGGUCUUUGGGCCAAGAAAGGCACCGUCACCAAAAGGCCUUUUAAAUCGGUUUAAAAUAGACCUUCGGGUCGCAGGCCACCGCCCGCGGCGGAUCUAUGGCGGCGCGAGUGACGGCCAUGUUGGCCGAAUUUGGGGGGACCGAGAGAGAAACCUUACUCUCUCUGUUUUUUCUAGAAAAUUGAAGGAAAUGAUUUCUUUUUUAUUUUUUUUGUAUUUAUAUAUGCUAUAAUACGGCGUCGUUUUGGCCUUAGCAUCAGUGGCCAAAAACGGCGCCAUUUUGAUGUUUGACCCGCGACCCGACCCAGUAACGCUAAAGAUCCGCGCGUUUUCGUUUAAGGGUCUAUUUGUGCAAUAGGUCCCUCCACCUUUGUUGCGUGUUUCAAUGUGCUUUUUUUAUUUUUUUGAUUUUGGCCACCAGAUUUUUAUUCUGUUUUAAUUUGGUUCUGGGAUGCGCAGGCCCCAGUAUUGCGAACGGCCCCGUUCAGGUGGCAUGGGAUUAUUUCCCUUUCGACCCUACGUCUAUGUGCGCAUUUCGCUCAGGUCCUGAAUGUUCUUUUGUUUUUCAAAUUUUACCCUUUAAUUUUAUUUUAACUUCAAUUCGGUCCUUUAUCCUAUAUUUUAUUAUUUUGAAUGCUUACCUUGAAAUAUCAUUUAGUUUCCAAUUUAAUACAUAUAUCCCACAUGUUUUAUGAUCCAUAUAUAUUCAUACGUCUUUUAUAUUUUAUAAUUUUAAAAUUUGUACAUGCAUACGUAUAUUUUAUAAUUUCUAUAUGCGUAUAUAUAUAUCUACAUAUGUAUUUUUUAAAUUUUUUUUUACAAAUAUACACAUACUUAUACAUACUCUUUAUAUUUUAAAAUCUAUAUUUUUCUUAUGUAUUUUCCAUAGUUUAUAAUUCAUGUAUACAUAUUUUUAGAAAUUUUACAAUGCAUACAUGCACAUAAUAUAUAUAUAUGCGUUUUAUUUUUAUAAAUACAUAUACAUUACCUACCUUUAUAUUUUAUAUCUUCCAUGACUUUAUAUAUAUAUAUACAUGAAUGUACACAUACAUACUUACAUAUUUUUUACGUACAUAGAUUUUUCAUAUUUUCAUAAUUUUAUGCACACACAUAUAUAUCUUUUUACUUUUUCAUAAUUUUAUUUAUUAUUUAUUUAUUUCAUUUUUAUUAUUGAUUUGAGGAAAUGUUUUAAUUUUAUUUGCUUGUAUACAUUGUUAUUUCGGACGUUAUUGAUUUGUACUUUUUAUUUAUCUUAUAUUCGUUGCUAUUACUCGUAUUAUUUUUACAUCAUCGUAUUCAAUAUUGUUUUGUUACGAACAUUAACAUCGUGUUUUAUUUUUACUAUUUGGUGUUAGAUUAUUUUUAUUCAACACAUAAAUUAUGAUUUUUUGAAUAAGCAAAAUCUCGUGUUUAGAUUGGAGAAGGUUGUACCCUAACUUACUGGGUUUCGAUUUUCGCAAUGACUUUAAAUACGUGAAUCUUUUCAAACUCAAGUUUUAAAUGAUCUUGGGAUUUAAAAAAGAUCGUGUCCUAACUUACUGGGCAUGAAUCCUUUUUAAAAAAAAAUCUGAGAUAGCUAAAUAUCUUUUAAACAAGCAAAUUUUUAGCAUCCAUUCGCGUAUCGGGAAUUCGAGAUAUUGUGUCCUAACUUACUGGAUAUGAUUCUCUUUCUCGAUUAACGUGAAAUAUGCCCAUUUUCCCAAAAAUUUUCAACAUUUUAAUACAAGGAUCGUAUUUUUUAAAAUUCUUUAAAGUUUUCAAAUUUCGACCUCAAGACAUUAGCUAAUCAACUAGGUACCAAUUUUUGGGCGUUACGAGGGUGCUAAUCCUUCCUCGUACGUAACCGACUCCCGAACCCGUUUUUUGAAUUUUGUGGACCAAAAUUAUUGUUUUAAUAAAAUCUAAAUCGUUUAUUAAAAACAAUCAUUUUAUGAGGUGACCCGAUCACACCUCAUCAAAAAAAGGAUUGGUGGCGACUCCCAUUUUUGUUUUAUUUUUGAAAUUUAAGUCGACCCCGUUUUACCAAAAAAUGGUGUCAACAGCUUGGCGACUCCGCUGGGGAAGAGAUAUGUGAGUCAAGCCACGUGUUGAUUACUUUUUGUCUUUUUGUCGAAAAUCGAGAAUUUAAUUUAAAUUUACGAUCCGUUCAUUGCAUUUCAUUCGUCUUUAUUACGAUCUUCAUCAUUGUGGUUUUAUAGUUGUGUUGGUUUAAGUCUUGAUAUAUUUUUGCACAUUGCAUUGCAUGACCGUUGGUCACACCUUUUAAGUGGGAGUGAGAAGCUAUUUCCUUCGUGAGGUAUUCACCUCCGUGCAGGAUAGCUGAUCACUUUCGGGAUACAUCCGUACCUAUGUCUUUGUAAGAUUUUCAUCUCCGUGCAGCCAUAGGGAAAUGUAUUCCCCUGAACCGAACUCGGUCCGUAUGAGCCUAUAAUGGGUGAGGAUCGAGGAACCUACUGGUUUGGGUACCUUCGCUUUAGAGCCGAACCACAUGUAGUGAACCUAAGAGCCUACCUUAGGAAGAACCACUUCAAACCCCUAGUGGUCACCCGAGUAGGUGUUCUAUUUAUUCUUGCUUGCUUUUGCUUUGUACUAACCUGUUUUCUUUUGUUUUGAUUAUGAUUGCAUUGCAUUAUCAUCAUUAAAAAGAGGUGUUGAUUCACGUUCAGUUGCUAAAUAGAGAGCUUGUGAUAAAGUGGAUGACGAUACGAUUGUCCGAAUAUGGUCCAAGAAAACGUGAUAAGAAAAGGAUGAUAGUUUAAUGGAGGACUACAAGACUAUUGCUCCGUUGCCCAAGGAUUCAAGAUGACAAAGAUUAUUCGAGAGUCGCUGAACCUUCUUAAAAAGAAGCCAAUGAGCAUUACGAGGAUGAGUGAGCAACGAGUCGCGGCCUAGAUCAAGCAAAAAGGAGAUAGAAGAGACAUCUUUUUGAAGAGUUCGUGAAAUUUAUCUUAACGCUCAAAUGAAGAAAAGGAUCAAUUGUCUCCGCAUAUGAGGGCAAAGCCGUAUAUAUCCGUUACAGAGAUUUAUUUUCUAGUAAAGCUGUUCUAAUAGAGUUGAAUCAGAAUCAACAUCUCUUUUUGCAUUCAUUCCAUGCAUCUGUUUUACAUUUCAUUGCAUCAUUUGCAUUAAAUUUCACAAAAGAGCCCUACUUAAACGAGAUUAUUUCAGUUAAUCUGGAAACCAACAAGAAUCUACCAACCAAAUAUCACUAUGGUACCCGUCGCAAAACAAAAGUAAUGGAUUAGAGGUUAGAAAGAUUGGAACAAUUGCAAAAAAAGAUGCAAGAUCAGAUGCAGGAACGACUAGAUAAAAUCCAGCAAGACAUGCAAGAAUCCUAGAACACUAUGAUGAACAAAUUGGAGCAGUUAUUGGCUGGAAGGAAUGAUAAAGGAAAAAGCCCUUUAGUUGAUUCUGGAGUUGAUCAUGAGGACCCUAUUUAUCCUCCAGGUUUUACCCCAAUAGGCAUCCAGGCACAACCGGAUAUAUGCCCGCAAAGAGUACCUGUCAUUAUCAGACCUCAAUAUACGGUUGGUGCCUCAGUGCCAAUGCAUUUUCAAACGGGCUUGGGUUCUAAUCCCGGAGACAACCCUACCAAUCCUGUGGUCCCUAAUCUCGAUGACGUGGAAGAAAUAGAAAAAGCAAGAAUGGACCUGCCAAAACAACUUGACGACCGAUGUAGAUGGCUAGAGGAAAAAUUUAGAGCCAUGGAAAACACCGACUACCAUUGUGGAGUUGACGCCAAGGAUCUGAGUUUGGUCCCUGAUUUAGUGCUCCCGCCUAAGUUUAAGAUGCUGGAGUUCAAAAAAUACAACGGGACUAGUUGUCCUGAAGCUCAUAUCACUAUGUUCUGUUGAAGGAUAAUAGGAUACGUCAAUAAUGAUCAACUAUUAAUCCACUGUUUCCAGGAUAGUUUGAUCGUGUCUGCAGCCAAGUGGUACAACCAAUUGAGUCGUGCUAAAGUUAGUUCAUGAAGAGACUUGGCACAAGCUUUUAUGAAGCAAUACAGUCAUGUAACAGAUAUGACACCUGAUAGAAUUACGUUACAGAAUGUGGAAAAGAAGCAAAAUGAGAGCUUUAGGCAAUAUGCCCAAAGAUGGAGAGAGGUAGCGACACAAGUCCAGCCACCUCUUCUGGAGAAAGAAACCACAGUGCUUUUCAUUAACACUCUGAAAGCCCCAUUCAUUAACCACAUGUUGGGAAGCACUACUAUGAGCUUCUCAGAUAUGGUAAUGUCUGGCGAGAUGAUUGAAAACGCCAUAAGAAGUGGGAAGAUAGAUGCAAGGGAAGGUGCCAAAAGAUCAACCCCAAAGCACAAAGAAAAUGAAGUGAGCAACCUGAGCUUGUAUAAUAAAGGGUAUUCAAAAUUAGUCACUGUAGGCCAGCCAAGGACGGUAGCAGCUAGCUAUCAAGGCCCCUCAAAGUAAGAAUCCAACUCGAGGCCAAACACAGAAAGACUCGAGUUCACACCUAUCCCGGUGAUGUAUAAGGAGUUAUAUCAAAAUCUGUUUGAUGCGCAUGUAGUAGCUCCGUUCUACUCAAAACCCAUGCAACCUCCAUACCCCAAAUGGUACGACGUAAAUGCUCAAUACGAGUAUCACGUAUGAACUACGGGGCACUCGAUUAAAAACUACACUACAUUUAAAAAGUUAGUCGAAUGGUUCAUUAAUAUGGGCAUCGUGAAGUUUGACGAUCCAUCUGGACCUAAUGUGGCAGGAAGUCCGUUACCCAGUCAUCCAGACCCAGGAGUAAAUGCGAUAGCUGAGAAUGGAGGAAAAAAAACCAAAACAAAUGUUGCAGAAGUAAAACCCCCACUAAAAUGGGUUUUGAAACAAAUGAUGGACAUGGGAUUAAUCAUUCAGAAUUUGGAGAAGAGACCAAAAUGGAUGAGGAGCUACUGUGAGUUUCACGCUAAAGAAGGCCAUGAAAUCCAGGAGUGCACUGAAUUCAAAGCUUUGGUGCAAAGUAUAAUGGAUAAUAAAGAGUUGGAAUUCUUUGAAAAAGUCAAAGGCCUAGAAGAAAUGUUGGGAAAUUUAAAUGUUAACGAUGUAUCCGAAGAGGGAACUGAGGAAGAUAAUUUAUGAGGCAUCGGCCCUUAACGCAUUUGGGAGUGUUUUGAACAAUGAGAUUGUGGAAGAGAUCCCUAUAUUUUUUUAGAUCUAUUUCAAAGUAAUGUCCAAAACACGCUUAUUGCUCUAAGCCUAGGAGCAAUAAGAAUCCUUUUGUGAGAUAGACUUAUGUUCAAUAUCUUUAUUUUAAUAAAAUGCAUCUUUGUUUCUCACUUCGAGCAAAUAUUCCUUUAUUAUUUCCAUUUCAUUCAUAAUCAUACUGUACAGAUAAAUAUUCUUAGAUUCUUUUUAUUCUUUGGAUUUGCUUUCGUCCCUACAAUAGGUCUCCAGAUAUCAAAGAUAUGAGUGACACUACUACUGACUCAGAAUCUCCUUUGAGCAAGAUAUGUGUCCAGAUGAGCCUCAGGACUUUGAAGAUAACUGAGACUGUAACUUAUCCCCUGAUUUGUUAAUGAUGGUAGAACAAGAUCCUACCUUACAAAUAAUCAAUGGAAGUCUUGACCUUUCUCUAUGUGGGGUACGGAUGUCAUUGAACCAAUCUCGUCUAAGGUUUUGGCGAUCAUCAAUUCAUCUUUAUGGUCGUUAAUUACCUCACUAAGUGGGUAGAAGCUGCUUCAUAUGCCAAUGUCACAAAAAUGACGGUCAGUAAAUUCGUAAAAAAAGAAAUCAUAUGUUGGUAUGGGAUGCCGAAAAGGAUCAUAUCUGAUGAUGCACCAAAUUUGAAUGAUAGCACGAUAUCAGAAGUUUGCAGUCUGUUCAAGAUUAACACCAUGUCGCCCAAAAUGAAUGAUUCAGUGGAGGAAAAAAAAAGGAAACCAAACAAAAAACAAAACAAAAAAAACAAAAAACAAAAAUAAAAAAACAAAAAAUAAAAAACCUCUACCGGGGUAACUUAUUUCUCAUUGGUAUAUAGAAUAGAGGCAAUUUUACCCAUCGAAGUUGAUAUUCCUUCCCUUCAAGUCUUGUUAGAGCUGAAGUUGGAUGAAGCAGAAUAGAUCUAGGCCUGAUAUCAUCAGUUAGAUUUGAUUGAUAAGAAAAGGUUAAAAGUUAUCUGUCAUGGUCAAUUGUACCAAAAGCGAAUGAUGCGAGUUCACUAAAAGGUUCGCCCAGAGAAUUCCAUGAGGAGGACUUGAUAUCGAAGAAGAUCCUUCUCAAACAAAAGGACUUAAGAAGAAAGUGAAUGCCAAAAUGGAAAGGACCUUAUGUGGAAGGCCUUAUUUGAAAAAGCGUUGAUAUUGACCAAGAUAGAUGGUAAGAACCUGCCCAAUCUUGAGAAUUCUGAUUCCAGCAAUAAAUACUUCACUUGAAAAAAGAAACGAAAAGAAAAAAGAAAAGAAGAAGAAUGAAAAAAGAAAAAGGAAAGGCCAAGGUGAAAACCCGCAAAGGGCGCCUUGAGACCAAAGAGGUUUUGAAUUGAAAACCCAGGAAUGGGCAGUUCAAAUUUUGAUCAAAGGUGGGGCAUGCAGUAGUCUUGUCGUCUCUGAAUUAAUAAGAAGGAGAGAUGCUACAUCUUGGGGGCAUCAAUGAAGUCUUCUAGGACUUCUAAACACAUAUCAAGUUCAAAAGGGUCCUCAAGAAGUUUGGGGCAGAGAAGCUCAUGCCACGAUAUCUGGGGCACCUCUUUUCAUUUAUUCUUUUUGUAUUUGUGACAAAAUACGCCAUCUUGAUUAAUUUAUUCUCAUUUUGUAUUCUAGCAAAAUUUGCUAUCUUGAUUAAUUUAUUCAUUCAGAGCUUUGCUCUCAAUAAUUUUUCAUCUUAUCCAUUGUGAUAAUCCUUUCAUCUUAUUCAUCUCAUAUCUUAGCAAAAUUUGCUAUCUUGAUUGAUUCAUUCAUUUCAAGCUUUGCUCUCGACAAAAUUUUAUCUGGUCCAUUUUGAUAAUCUUUUUCAAGCAUUUUUCUUUGAAAUAACGAUUAUUGGACUGAUAAUGUUCAAGCAAAAGAAGUUUUGCAUAUUACUCUGAAAGCUUCUAAAUAGUACGAGGACCUAAAGCAGGGCUAUUGUUUAGAACUAACCAACUUAAGGGUUAGAAGCAUUGGAGAAAGAAUAAUCUAAAUUGCGACUAUUUCUUUGGUUUUUCUAUCAAAGAUACCACUGAAUAAGAAAGCAUCGGUGAUAAAACCUUGAUGAACAAUAAAGAAUGACAAUCUAAGCAUUAAAAAUGGAUCAUUCUCAUGACAUUCUACAAAUAUCAUACAUACACAUCUAGUUAGGAGCAUUUUAUUCAUUCUAAUCAUGACAUCCUAAAUGCUAGGCAUAAAUAGGUAUAUAAAAUGGAUUUUACAGGUCAUGUUCCCCAAGGAACAGAUCAAUGAAGUUACCCAUACCCCUGAAGUUGCAGUGGGAUGGAUUGAAGUCAUCAUAUCCAACAUUAUCUCCCUGAGCAACAGUGGAGAAGGUUGAAGAAAGCAAGUCUUGUCUUCCUGUAUUGGCAGCGAAGUAGACUGAAGAUAGCAGAUCUUGUCUUAUUGUAUUGGCAGCGAAGUAGACUGAAGAUAGCAGAUCUUAUCUUCCUGUAUUAGCAGCAAAAUGGAUCAAAGAUAGCAGAUCUUGUCUUUCUGUAUUGGCAGUAAAGUGGAUCAAAGAUAGUAGAUCUUGUCUUCCUGUAUUGGCAGCGAAGUAGAUCGAAGAUAGCAGAUAUUAUCUCCUUGAGCAGCAGUGGAGUAGAUCGAAGAUAGCAAGUCUUGUCUUCCUAUAUUGGCAGCGAAGUAGACUGAAGAUAGCAGAUCUUGUCUUCCUGUAUUGGCAGCGAAGUAGACUGAAGAUAGUAGAUCUUGUCUUCCUGUAUUGGUAGCGAAGUAGAUCGAAAAAAGUAGAUCUUGUCUCCCUGAGUAGCAGUGGAGUAGAUCGAGGAUAGCAAGUCUUGUCUUCCUGUAUUGGCAGCAAAGUAGAUUGAGGAUAGCAGAUCUUGUCUUCCUGUAUUGGCAGCAAAGUAGACUGAAGAUAGUAGAUCUUGUCUUCCUGUAUUGGCAGCGAAGUAGAUCAAAGAUAGCAGAUCUUGUCUCCCUAAGCAGCAGUGAAGUAGAUCGAAGAUAGCAAGUCUUGUCUUCCUAUAUUGACAACGAAGUAGACUGAAGAUAGCAAGUCUUGUCUUCCUGUAGUGGCAGUAAAGUAGACUGAAGAUAGGAAGUCUUGUCUUCCUGUAUUGGCAGCGAAGUAGACUAAGGAUAGCAGAUCUUAUCUUCCUGUAUUUGGCAGCAAAGUAGAUCGAAGAUAGCAAGUCUUAUCUUCCUGUAUUGACAGUGAAAUAGACUGAGGAUAGUAGAUCUUAUCUUCCUGUAUUGGCAGCGAAGUAGAUCGGAGAUAGCAAGUCUUAUCUCCCUAAGCAGUAGCAGAGCAGACAGAUGAAACCAAUCCUAUCUCUCUGAAGUUGCAGUGGAGCAGAUUAAAAUGAUGAAUCAUAUGCCUCUGAAAUUACAGUAGGUCGAAUUAGAUCAUAUCACAUCAAACCUUAUCUCCCUGAAGUUACAGUGGAGCAGACUAAAACCACGAAUCUCAUCCCCACGGAUUUACAACAGAGUAGAUUGAAGUCAUAUCUCUCUGAGGAUGCCGUGAAGAGGAUCAAAGUCAUAAGGCGCAGUGGGCUAGAAAGAGACUACUUGAAGAAGAGGAGUAUCAAGAGAUCAAGAUUCGUGCGACCAUUGAACGUAAAAUCAAAAUGCUUAAAGUGUAUGGAGAUUCCGCGUUGGUGAUAUACCAACUCAAAGGAGAGUGGGAAACCAAAGACCCUAAAUUGAUCAAUUAUAAAGAACUGGUUCUUGAAUUGAUUUACGAGUUUGAUGACAUCACCUUCAGUUAUCUCCCAUGAAAGGAAAACCAAAUGACUGAUGCAUUGGCUACUCUAGCUUCGAUGAUUCAGGUGAACAGGCUUGAAGUAAUGAAGCCUAUUCAGAUGAGUAUCUACAAAACCCCAGCUCAUUGCUACAAUAUUAAGGGGAAGGGAAAAGACAAUCACCCUUGGUAUCGGAGUAUCCUACAGUAUGUGAAGAAUCGGGAGUACCCUAGCCAGGCAACAGAGAACGACAAGAGAACUCUGAAAAGAAUAGCCAUCGAAUAUAUCUUAGAUGGGGAAGUGUUAUACAAAAGAAGGAAAGAUCAGGUAUUGUUAAGAUGUGUAGAUGCCGUAGAAGCUAAGAAAAUUUUGGAGGAAGUCCAUGAGGGUAUCUGUGAGACGCACGUCAAUGGCUUCACCAUGGCCAGAUAGAUCAUGAGAUUUGGGUACUAUUGGUCCACUAUGGAAGGGGAUUGCAUUAAUUACGCCAAGAAAUGCCAUAAAUGUCAAAUUUAUGGAGACAAGAUGCAUCCCCCCUUCGCUACUUCAUGUUAUGACCUCUCCAUGGCCAUUUUCCAUAUGGGGUAUGGAUGUCAUUGGGCCGAUAUCGCCAAAGGCUUCUAACGGGCAUCGUUUCAUCUUCAUAGUCAUUGAUUACUUCACUAAGUGGGUAGAAGUUGCUUCUUAUGCAAAUGUCACGAAGUCAGCAGUUAGUAAAUUCUUGAAAAAUGAGAUUAUUUGUCGAUAUGGAAUGCCUGAGAGAAUCAUAUCCAACAAUGCGCUGAAUUUGAACAAUAGCACAAUAGCAGAGGUUUGCAGCCAAUUUAAGAUCAAGCAUCAUAACUCAUCGCCGUAUCGUCCAAAAAUGAAUGGUGCAGUAGAGGCGACCAAUAAGAAUAUUAAAAGAAUUGUGGGGAAAAUGACUGAGACUUACAAAGAUUGGCAUGAGAAGUUAUCAUUUGCUCUCCUUGCCUAUCGAACAUCUGUUAGAACUUCUACUAGGGCAACACCUUUUUCUCUAGUUUACGGAAUGGAGGCAAUAUUACCCAUCGAAGUUGAAAUCCUCUCUCUACGGGUAUUAUCCGAACUCUAGUUGGACGAGGCUGAAUGGGUCCAAUCUCGUUAUGAUCAGUUGAACCUAAUAGAGGAGAAGAGAUUAAAAGCUAUUUAUCAUAGGCAAAUGUACCAGAAACGAAUGAUGUGAGCCUAUGAUAAAAAGGUUCACCCCAGAGAAUUUAGUGAAGGAGAUUUGGUGCUAAAAAAGAUUCUUCCUAUGCAAAAGGACUUUAGAGGAAAAUGGAUGCCAAAUUGGGAGGGUCUUUAUGUCGUAAAGAAGGCCUUUGAUGGUGGAGCUUUGAUUCUAAGUGAGAUAACUGGAAAAGACUUGCCCAAUCCCGUAAAUUCAGACUCAGUCAAGAAAUACUUCACUUGAAGAAAAGGGACCAAAGUGAAAACCCGCAAAGGGCGCUUUGAUCCCUAAAAAAAAAGAAAUGAUGAUGAUAAAAAUGGAGAGGCUAAGGGGAAAACCCGCAAAGGGCACCUUAGGCCAAAGGGGAUUUGAGUUGAAAACCCGAAAAGGGCGGCUCAAAUGUUUGAUCAGAAUGGGACAUGAAAUGCUUAGAGCAGCUGGUAUCUUGAUCAGAUCGGGAUGUGUGGCAAUCUUGCUAUGCCUGAAUUAACAAGAAGGGAUAGGCGAUAUCUUGGGGCAUUGACAAAGCAUUGAAGAUCUCCUAAACACAUGUCAAACUCAGGAUGGCCUUUAGAAAGUUUGUACAGAGAAAUUCAAGCUGCGAUAUCUGGGGGAUUUAAUUCCCCUAUUAUUUUGUAUAUAUUGAAUUUUGUUGAUUCUUGGAAUAUUUUCUUUCUCUUUUCCAAGAUAUAUAUUCCCAAUCAAUUUCUCUACUAUUUGUGAUGACUUAUUUAUUUUUAGCUAUGUUCAGAACCAAAUUUAUUCUUAUAUAUUGUUAUGACCUUUUCUGCAAACAUGUUACAUUAGAAUAAUGAUUAAUGGACUAAUAAAACUUUCACAAAAGAAGUUUUGCAUAUUACUCUGAAAAGUUCCUAAAUAAUACAGGAGCCUAAAACAAGACUAUUGUUUAGAACACACCCAAUUUUAAAGAUUGGAAAUUUGAGAAGGAGUUUAAAUUUGGACUUUCUCUUUGGAUUUUGUUGUCAAAUGCAUUGAUUGGCAAGAUGCCAUGUUGAUGACGAAGCUUAAGUAAACAAGCAAACAAUGAUCACCAGGCAAGAGGAAGAGGUUACUUUGAAAAAGCCUUCAUCUACACAUAAGUUUCUAGUAUGACACCUUCAAAAUUGUGUGAGAAACCAGAACGAUUCAGAUCCUAUAUCCUUGAAUUGUGGGGAUUGAGGAAAAGCCACAUAUUUCUACCCUUGGAUUACAAUGGGAAAGUGGUGGUACAAUUUUUUUGCGCCCCAAUGGUUUAAACUUUAAGGUUCACAGUGGGGGCAAUCUGACUAAGUGAUUCUUUGAAGAAGCCGGUCAAGCGAGGAGGCGUUACAGCACAUCAGUGUUAAAGCCUUAAUAAAUUUCGAGUAAUAAUAACCUAAGCGGGAUCAUUCUCAAAAAAUAAAAUUCUGCAUUCAUGCAAACACUAUCCACACAUGUCUAUUUAGGAGCAUUCGAUUCAUUUUGAUCAUGCCAUCCUAAUCAUUAGGCAUAAUUAGGUUCAUUAUACAGGUCAUGUUCCCCAGAGAAUAGAUCAAUAAAGAUCGAAAACAAAGCCUUGCCUCCAUCGGUUGCAGUGGAGCGGAUUAAAAUAAAGGAUCUUAUCUCUCUGAAGUUACAGUAGAGUAGAUCGCAUCAGAUUGAAGCCAAAAAUCUUAUCUCCCUAAGAUUACAGCGGAGCAGAUUGAAGCUAGAAAUUCUAUCUCCCUGAGAUUACAGUGGAGCGGAUUAAAAUAAAGGAUCUUAUCUCUCUGAAGUUAUAGUAGAGUAGAUCGCAUCAGAUUGAAGCCAGAAAUCUUAUCUCCCUGAGAUUACAGUGGAGCAGAUUGAAGCUAGAAAUCCUAUCUCCCUGAGAUUACAGUGGAGCAGAUUAAAAUAAAGGAUCUUAUCUCUCUGAAGUUAUAGUAGAGUAGAUCGCAUUAGAUUGAAGCCAGAAAUCUUAUCUCCCUGAGAUUACAGUGGAGCAGAUUGAAGCUAGUAAUCCUAUCUCCAUGAGAUUACAGUGGAGCGGAUUAAAACAAAGGAUCUUAUCUCUUUGAAGUUACAGCGGAGUAGAUCGCAUCAGAAUGAAGCUACAACAGCAAAUCUCACUACCCCGACCUCACAAUUAAGCAGAUUAAGGUUACGAGUUACAAAUCCUAUCUCCCUGAUGUUACAGUGGAGUGGAUCGAAGCACCAAUUCCUAUACCUCUGAAGAUGUAGUAGGUUGAAAUGAGUCAACUCGAAGAAGAAGAGCACCAAGGUCCAAACACGACUGGGCAAAAAGGGGCUUUAGUCUUUGCACCGUUCCCGUUACACGACAACAAGCAAAGAGGGGUAGCUGUAAUAGCCCAUUUUUGCCCGGGCCCGUAAUAAGUAAACCAAAAUUAAAAAUUAAAAAUUAAAGUCCAAAAAAUAAUAAUAGAGUCCAUUUUUUACAAUAGGCCUAAUAGCCCAAAUCCACUACCCAAACCUAAUUAGCCCAAAUCCACUACUUAAACCCAACUAGCCCAAAUGCCCAUGACCGAACACUAAAUCUGAUUAGCCCAAUUACAGUGGCCCGACACCUAACCCAAAACCCGAUUCAGCCCAAUUAGCCCAUUUUGAAAAAGCAUUCCAGAAAUCACUAGGGUUUCUAGAACCCUUCAGCCGCCAUUGCCACGCACGGGCUCCCCUUCGAGCCACUCCUCACGCGCGUGAUGCCUUCGUACGCCACGCAUGCCUCCGUACGGCCACCUCUGUACCUCUAGGCUGGCCGAGUACCUGCAAAUACAAGCGAACACACGGAAGCAGCAACAAAUAGAAAAACAACAGCAUUUUUAUUUUAUUUUUUUAUUUUCUGUAAAUGGGGCUAUAAAGAAGCCAUUCGAACACUGUAAACGAUUUACACGCAUUUUCAGAAUACAGAAAUCAAAAAAAGUUCCAAAAGGUGAUUUUCGGUUCUCUUUUCUUUUUCGCAGAUCGUUUUCCUUCUUUCCUUUUGUUUUUACAUACAUUAGUCAUCUGUUAAAGGAGAAAAGGGGAACCAAAAGGGAAGAGGGGCAUACCUGAGGGCCGGAUUUUUGCUCACUCCGCAGCCAUCGGAGUUGGGGCGAAUAUUGGGAGUCUUUGGAGGCAAUGAAUCCCCAGAGCGGCGACGAGCCUUUCUUUUUGUUUAGGUUUUGCUAAUGUAAACCCUAGGUUUUAGGAUUUAUUUAGUUUUUAAGUGCAUGAAUUAAAACGACGCCGUUCAGAGUCAAUGCAAUGGCACUGAAAUGACAUUGUUUUGGAGACUCAACCCAAACGAUGACCCGAUCCGGGAAGGAUCCGCACAAUAUGGGUCGAAUGGUUUAUUUGCUAAAUAGGUCCCUGUGUGUUUAUUGAGAUUACGUUUUGUUUUUUUAUUUAAUUGUAAUUUGUACGGCACAUUUAAUUUUGUUUCCAUUCAGAUCCGACUUGAUACGGUACCGUUCUGCGGUUGAUUGUUAUUGUUUAUAAUGCUUGCGUUUAAUUGUUGGUUUAGUCCUCCAAGGUUAAAAAGGAUUUCGAUUUGAUACAAAUUUAGAUUUUUUUACUCAAAAUGCCUUUAAUUAUAAUUAAUCCUACUUUUAUAAACGGAUUUCAUUAUUGUUUUAAUUUUAUCUAAGCUUCGAUUUUUAAAAGAAUUUGUUGAUUAUUAUUUUCAAUGUCAAAAAAUGCCUUUUAUGUUAAUUUUGAUUUAAAAAGUUUUUUUUAAAUAAAUCAAUUUUUAAUAUUACUUUAAUAGAUAUUUUUUUCAAAUUUAUUAUUAGCACAAAUUCUAUUUUUUAAAAAAAAUAUAAUAAUAAUAAUAUAUUUUUUAAUUGUUAUCAAUAUGUUUUAAAUGUAUCAAUAUUAUUUAAAAAUACAUAUAAUUUAAAUUAGACUAUUUUAGUAUAUAUGUACAUAGGGUAUAUCGUUAACUUCAAAUUAACCUUUUAUUCACAUAAUUUUUUAUACAUAAUUGUUUUAUUUCUUAAACCUUAUUUAUUUUAUUCGUUUUGGUGGGUUGUCAAAUUAUUAAUAUGGAUGUUUGUAUAAUAUGAUUAAGGUCAAUGUUAGUAUUUGCCUAUUAUUUGUUUAAUUGUUUCUAGUUUAAGUUUAAAUUGUUAUUUAUAUUUUGCAUUACAAGUUGUUAUUCAAUUAUGUUGGUUGUAAAAAUUUCAUUUCGUUAAAAUAUUAUAAUCGUUUCAUUUCAAAAGUUCAAAAAAGAGGCUUGGUGUUAAAUAAUUCUCGAGAGAAUUGUGCCCUAACUUACUGGGCCUCAAUUCUUCUCGAUGAAUUUAUAUCAUCAAGUAUCCCUUUCUUUAAGACAUUUAAAAAAAAAUUCUUUAGAUUUCAAAAUGUUGGAUCCUAACUUACUGGAUGUGACAUUUUGUUAUCUCGUUUUUAAAUAAAGGAAAUAUUUGGUGUUUAAGGAUUUUAAGAAAAUUGAACUCUAACUUACUGGGUUUUGAUUUUCUCGAUCGAUUUAAAUAACCAAAUAUCCUUCUCAAAAUGUAUGAAUUUGUUUUAAAUUUUAAAAAGGGACGAAUCUAACUUCGAAGAUUGAAUCGUUGCACUCUAACUUACUGAAUAUAACGAUUUAUUUCUUUAAAGUAGGUAAGUCUUAUUUCCCAAUCCGAUUACUCAAAUUUUCUUUUCAAAGGAUUGUAUUUUAAAAUCCUUUCAAAGUUUCGACAUUAAGACAUUAAAUAAUCGAUUCGGUACCAAUUUUGGGCAUUACGAGGGUGCUAACCCUUCCUCGUGCGUAACCGACUCUCGAACCUUAUUUUUUUCAAAAUUCGCAGACCUAAAAUUAUUUUCAAGGUGAUCUGAUUACACCACAAUAAAAUAUCAGUGGCGACUCCCAUUUCCGUUUUCAUUUUAAAAGUCGAUCCCCGUUUUUUUAAAUUUCAAAAAAAAUGGUUUCGACAAGAAACAAAUGAUUCAUUAUAUAUAUAAUAUAAUUAUGAAAUUCAAGCCAUAUAUUUUAUGUUUCAUACAUAAAAAUUUCAUGGGAGGCCCAAAGGUAAUUAAAUGACUUGUAGGCUUGCUGAAUUUCUUUGAAAGGCCCAAAGGCAAUUUAACAUUCACAAAAUAAUCUCUAAAUACUGUAAAGACAAAUCAAAUCCACAGUAGCAUAAGAGUUGAUUAAGCUAAGCAUUGGCAAAUAUUACUAUGAUUUUGCAUGCAAUAUUGGCAAAACCUCCUCUUACAUUAGAAAAACAACAUAAUCCAUGAAACAUUGAUAGCCCAAUACAAAUUUCAUCGACAUGAAAGUCUCUUUGUUUUGUAGAACAUGAUAGUAAAGAUGUGGAGUUUCAUUCUUCUUAUUGGCCUCCUUUAGUUUUCCUUGAUCAACAACCACUAGCCAAAAACACAAUUAGAUUACAUUAUCAAUGAUACUCUCAACUAUGACAAUAUUAAAUACAAAACACUCUAAAUAACUCUAAAUAAAUGGAAAGCAGCAAAAUUACCUGACGAGACAAGCUAGCUCAAUUAAGACCAUUGUGUUAUACUUGUCUCUGAAUUGAAAAUUUUAGAAGGAAAUAAAGAGAAAGACUUAGAAAAUACUUGAAAACAGGUAAAACUUAUAUGUCAUUUAAAAUAAAAAAUUUCUAUAUAAGCCAUUUAAAAUUUUUAAGAUUUUUAAAAUUUUAAAAUGAUAAAGGUAAAAUUGUACUUUGGCAUCCCAAAAAUGACAAAACUUUGAUUUAAUUCUUUAGAAAUUAUAAAAAUAUAGGCUAUUAAAAUGGUGAAAUUAUAUUUUUACUAUAGUAAAAAAUUACAAUUUAAUUUCACCCCUAAAAGGACUUUCUCACUUCGCCCCUAAUAAAAUCUUUUGCAAAAGAUUAAAAUAAAAUUAUACAUAAGAAAAUCCAAUCUAACAAAGAAAAUAACUUCUUGUCCAAAAGCUACCAUAAACCGUAAUUCAUGGGAAGGCUUGUUGCUUAUUUUAUUGGUUUCCAUUUCGAUUUUGCAAAAGAAGUUUGAAUUUUGAAGAGAGCCUACUACGUGAGAGCAAAAGAAAAAAAAAGUUUAUAUGAUUAAAUUCCAGAAUAGAUUAAAAAUGUUGAAUUAAAGAUAAAAUUAAGUGUGAAUUAAAAAAAUUUCUAUUUAGGCCCUUUAAAAUUUUAAAAUGAUAAAGAUAAAACUGUACUUUGGCACCCAAAAAAAAUAAAAUUUUAAUUUAAUCCUUUAAAAUUUAUAAAAAUAUAGGUUAUUAAGUGUGAAUUAAUAACCACAAGUGUAUUCAUUACUCACCAUCUCUGUUAAAAAUGUUGGAUGUUGUUUAGCAACCUUUGUUUGAUUUUCUUCAGCUCAACCACAACAUCUUUCAUAUCUUUUCUUUCUUCUGGUAACUCAGCUGAACAAUUCAAAGCCAACUCCAUGAUAGAUGAAAUACAAUUUGCUUUAACAACAAUGUACUCAUCCUCUCUUCUUAAUAAAUCAACAUCUGCAAUUUCUAUCGCUCCUUUAGGCAAUGAUCUUUCCAUCCAAUGCCUUAUACUCUCUUCUUCAACAAAAACAUUAUCAGUUGGCUUUUUCUUUGUGAAAGUUUCUAUAAGGACGAUCCCAUAACUAUAGAUGUCAGAUUUUAUAGAAACAAUUCCUACUGAUCCAAAUUCUGCAUUUCAAGUAUAAUUAGAACAUCAUCAAUCCUCAAUUAUUUCUAAAAUGCUUAUUCAAAUAUAUAUCCACAUCCACAUGAAACAAAAAUAUAAAAUGCAUAUUAGGAAAAUAAUCAUACAAAAAUAAAAAAGAAUUCACCUGGUGCUAUAUACCCGAUAGUUGCAAGAGUCAUGGUUUGCUUCAUUACUUCACCUUCCCCCAACAAUUUGGCAACGCCACAAUCUCCAACAUGUGCAACCAUGUCUUCAUCUAGUAAAAUAUUGCUUGGUUUUAUGUCACAGUGAAUUAUAGGUGUUGGAUGUCCAUUGUGGAGGUGUUCUAUGGCUACCGCAACAUCUAUCAUUAUGUCGACCCUUUGUAUGAUAUCAAGGAAACAAUUUUCAGAAUGUAACCAUUUCUCAAGGUUUCCAUUAGACAUGUAAGCAAGCACCAAGGCUUUGAAGUCAACACUUGAGCAGCAAGUAAUGACCUUCACAAUAUUACGAUGAACUAUAUUACGCAUAGCAUCACAUUCAAUGUCAAAACUGCUAAAUGCUCCCUCUGUUUGCAAAUUAAAAACUUUUAUUGCAACUUCCAUUCCAUCUGAAAGCCUCCCUUUAUAUACAUAUCCAAAACUCCCUGAACCAAGCAUAUUGCUUUCCUCAAAUCCAUUAGUUGCUCGUGAAAGCUCAGCAUGUGAAAUUCUUCUCGGUGUUAUCAAAGACAACAAAUCAUCUUUAAUUGGUAGACUUGUACUCCUUCUUCGGCAUCUUCUAUACAUAAUAGUUAAGACUAUUAGUACUACGACAAUACCAAUUGUUGGUAAACCAUACCUAAAAGCAUGCAAUAUAAUCAUUUGGGAGUUUUUGUGGAUGUCAUUUUUGCAAGGGGGGACUAGCAAUCUAGGUGGACCACAAAGUGCAUAAUUCUUCAUGAAUGAUGUGCUAGAAAAGUUUGAAAAACAUCCUUUGCUUGGAAUUUCCCCUUCAAGUCUAUUGAAAGACACAUUAAAAUACUUUAGAUAUAAAAGCUUUUCCAAAGAUUUGGGAAUGACUCCAGAGAGAUUGUUAUUGCAUAAAUCCAAGAAUUCCAAACUAAUCAACCCAUCAAAUGAUUUAGGGAUAUAACCAUGUAGUAUAUUAUUUGAUAAAUCUAAUGAAACCAAAGUUUGAAGACCCCCAAAUGAGGAUAGGAUAUCGCCCGAGAGAAGAUUCCUUGAUAAAUUUAGUUUCAGUAGACUCCUCAAAUUUCCAACAUCAAUAGCAUGUGAAUUCUGAAGAUGGUUUGAUGAUAAAUCUAUUUCUAAGAUAUCUUUAAGAUUCCACAAAGUUGAGGGUAUUGUAGAACUCAAUUUGUUGGAAUUUAAGUAAAGAUAUCCCAAAGAAGUAAUAUUACCCAAACAAGAGGGUAUGGAUCCAUGCAGCUUAUUCAACCCUAAAUACAUCUCGUAUAGUCUCUCCAAAUCACAAAGGCUUUCUAAGAUGUGCCCUCCUAAUUUAUUAGAGGAAAGAUCUAGAGCUUGGAGAUUUCGCAGUCCUCCUAUUGAUGCUGGAAUGAAUCCACUUAAUUUAUUAUGGCGAAGUUGUAAAAGCAAUAGGUUGGUUAUGUUACCUAUUUCCAUAGGAAUAAUGCCUUGAAGCUCACAAUUAGAGGCAUAAAAGUAUUGAAGGGAUUUUGAAAGGUUCCCGAUAUAAGUAGGAAGAACGCCACUCAAUGGAUUUCCUGAAACUCCUAUGGUUUUCAAAUUCUUACAAUUCGUCAAAGAAGAAAGAAAGCUCCACUCAUGAUCAGUAGCAGACCCUGUGAUCAAAUUAUUGUUCAUGAUUUGGAACCAUUCAAGGUGUCUUAAGUUGCCAAGCGUUUUAGGGAUUGGGCCAGAGAAUAAGUUAUCUUCCAAGUCUAGUAUCUUAAGCAUGGAAGCAUUGGAGAUAGAGUUGGGAAUGUUUCCUCUAAGUUUAUUUCCCCACAAUGCAAGAAUCUCAAGCUUUGGAGCAUUGGUGAUGGGUGGUAAAUUACCUGUAAAAUAGCAUCUUUUAGUAUACAUAUUCAUUGAAUACCAAAUUCACAAAAUAUAUAAUACAUUAAUAAUAUGAAGUUUCGAGUACUAAUUAGUCCUUGUGAUUUGUAUAGAAAAACAUAUAAUACGCUAAUAAAUUUUUAAAAUAUUGUAAAACUUGAAAUAAAAUAAAAAUAAAAUGUUGGUAUGAGAAUGUGGCAUCUAAUCAAUUUUAAAAAUGAGACUGACACUGAAUAAUAAAUAGUUAUGAUUUGGGAAACAAAAAUAUUAAAGCCAUUGUUUAUCUUUAUUAAAUUAUAGUGUAAAAUUUAAAGAUUACUAUUUGCUCAAAAUUUUUGUAUUUUUCGUAUAUUUGAAAUUUAAUCUUUAUAUUUUUAUUUUCUGUGAUUUAGUCUCUCUACUUUUUGAAUUGAAAAUUUUAAGUUUAUUUAUUAAAACUGUUAAGAAGUUUUUGGGUUAGUAUGGCAUUUUGAAAAAUAAAAUAAACUUGAUAUCUAUGUUUUUAAUUAUUUCAAAUAAUGUUUUACUAUUCCAAGAUAAAUUAUUUGUGUCUAGACCAAUAUCUUAAGAACUAUUGUUGCAUGUUUAAUUAUUCAAAAGAAUUGUUGAUUGAGUCUUAGCUUGAUUGACAUGUGUAUUGUUACCAAUGUAAGAGAAUGUGGGUUCAAGUAUGCUAAAGUGCAUUAUCUUCUUAUUUAUAAAUUGGGGAGUUGGUAAGGUAUUAAAUUUUGAUAUAUUUUAAAAUAUUAAAAUUUUAUUAAAAUAUUUUUUAUAAAAAUUGAUUGCACCACAAUAUACAAUUUUAAUAUCAAAUUUUUAAUUUUUUUAAAAAAUAUUAGCGACUAUAUACUUUAUUUCAAGUUACACAAAUUUUACUAGUUUUUAACUUUUUUUUAAAUAUUUACCGUCUUUUAUAAUUUUUUACAAUAUUUAAAAAUUUCUGCCAAUUUUUAAUAAUUUUAUUAUUUAUUACAAAUUUAAAAAUUAACAAAUUUAAAAAUUAACAAAUUUUUAUUUUUUAAACAAUUAUAUAUUUAUAAUGUAGUUAUUUUUUAUAUAAUUUCACUUUAAAUUUUAAAGAUUUUUUGGGUUUUUUUUUAGAUGAUGAUGCCGUUAUGAUGUCAUCAUAUACCACAUGGCAAUUUAUGAUUAGUUGGAUAUCUCAAUCUAUUUUUUAAUUUCCAAUGGACUAAACCAAGAACACCUGAUAAUGUUAGAGACUACACUAGCAAUGUUUGAUAAUAUUAGGUACUAAAGUGGGCAAAAAAAUAUUAAGAACCAAAGUAAAAAAAAAAAAAAGAAGAAGAAGCAAUAUGCUGUAGAGAAUAAACUAUGCAUUAAGCCAUUAAAAAUAUAUCUAUAAUAUAUAUAAAUGCAUGGAUUUUGAGAAACUUUUGAAGUGAUAAUUAUAUAGUCUUUGUUGUUUACUAUAUUAUUGAAUUUGUUAUUUUAAAUAUUUUUUUAUUACUUUUAAGAUUUAUUGGAUAAGAAUUUUGGUUUUUACUAAAAUAUUUGGUUAAAUAAAUUAACUUCAUAAGAAAAUUUAGCAUCCUUAUAAAUAACAAUUUUGAUUCUAUUAAAAAAUUAUUUUAAAAAGCAUAUAAUAAAAAUUUAAAAUUUAUAUUGAAUUACUUUAUACUUAAAUUAUUAUUAGAAAUUUUAUACUUAAAUUUAUGAGAACCACAAAUUUAGAACUUAAAUUUGUGUUUUAAAAUAACUUAUGAUAAAUAAUGAAAUGUAUAAUUUGAAACUAUUUAAUAAUAACACAUGGCAUAUCUACCAUAUUGAAAUAAAAAUAGAUUAAAUUGUAAGUAAAACAUAAUUUAAGCAUAGGUAUACAUCAAAUUAAGAAUACUAAAUGAAUACAGUUAUUUAUGAUGAUGUUGUUGUCAAUUCCUAAGUUGGUGUCGAGUUAAUUUGUGACAUCAUAAAUUUAAGUGAUAAAUUUAAGGUUUUACGUAUUGAUGUGGAUUGAAAUAUCACCAUACUUUUUUUAAAAUAAAAAACUAAAAUACCCUCAAAUAAUAUAACUUAUAUUAAAUAUGAAAGGGUAAUUUUGUAAUUUCUCUGACUGAGUUGGUGCCAGGUUGACUCAUGACACCAACUAAAUCGAAAGCUUCAAUAAUAAUAUAGAUAUUCACAUUAAAAAAAAGUACUUUAGUUCCAAAUAAUUAUAUAACAAGUAAAUUUAUAAUUGACGAAUAAAUUUAUAGAUAAUAUAUUUAUAUGAUCUAAUAUAUUAUAUUUAUAUUAAUUAUAUAUCAUCUACAAACUUUGAAAAUCAAUUUAUUAAGUAUCAGGAAAAGAAAAAAAUGAAAUUGAAUUAACACUAAAUCAAUUUUUGAAUUAACAAAAAAUUAGUGAUAUAUUUUAAUUAUAUUUAUUAUUUAUUUUUUUAAUAAUAUUUUUUUAAUUAUAUGAAGUAAAAUUAUAUUGUAUGAAGUAAAAAAAAUAUAUUUUCCGCAUUGGUUUCUUUUAUUCUACAGACAAAGGAUUUCUAAUGAUUUUUUAAAAAAAAAUUACUUAUAUAGAAUAGAUUAGUUUAUGCAAUAAAAAAUAAUUUCUUUUUUUAAAGUUUAAUGGAAAUUAAAAAAUUAAAAAUAAAUCAAUUCAUAUAAAUCUUAUUGUUUAUUAUCAUAUUAAAAUGAUAAAAAGUAUAUGACCAAAAUAGAAGAAACAAAUUCAACACAAUGUUUUUGGAGUUUAUUAUCAUAUUUCUAAUUUGUUGUUAAAUAGAUCUAUUUCUUCCAGCGUAGUUGAAUUAAAAAUAUUUGAUGGAAUCUGACCUGCACACAUAGUCGAAAAUUGAAGUGAAAAUUAUAUCUUCUAAACUGUUCAACUAAAAAUACUUUAAGCAUAUUUUUUAAGGUUAUUGCAUUUACCCAUGCCAAAUGGAAUGCUACCAAAUAACUCAUUGCUAUGCAAGUAAAGCCCUUCAAGCUUGGGAAGAUGUUGACACAUAUCAUUAGGAAAUUACCUGAUAGGCUAUUUUUGGAGAGAUCAAUGGUCUUCAGAGAAGAAAUGUUGAAGAUCAAAGUUGGAAUCUGACCUGUAAGGCCUUUAAUUGCUUGAAUAUUAAGCAAUUCCAAACCAUGAAGAUUACCAAUUUCCUCAGGAAUUUGACCUGCACACAUAGUCGAAAAAUCAAGGUGUCAAACUACCUAUUUUGUUAGCAUAAGUCAAAGAGGUUUUCUUUUCUGUUCUAUGGUAAUUUGGAGAUGUUAGAUUUUCAUAUAUUUCAGCAUAUGUUUUUCAUCAAAUGAAAUAAAAACUUUUUCCUUUUGUUAUCUAUUACAAAUCAAACUCUUUUAUAAAAAAAAUACUUAAAAUUCAAGAAAUCAAGGAAAUUGAUUACCUUCUAGAUUAUUAAAUCCCAAAUAUAAUUCUCUGAGUUGUGUCAGAUUUCCAAUACUUCUUGGAAUGAUCCCCGUCAAUUGAUUCAAGGACAAGGACAAAUUAUUAAGGUUGCUGCACUUGCCCAUACUUGACGAAAUGUUACCAGAUAACUCAUUGCUCUGCAAGUAAAGCCCUUCAAGCUUGGGAAGAUGUUGACACAUAUCAUUAGGUAAACUACCUGGUAGGCUAUUGCUGGAGAGAUCAAUGGUCUUCGAAGAAGAAAUGUUGGAGACCGAAGUUGGAAUCUGACCUGUAACGCCUUUAAUUGCUUCAAUAUUAAGCAAUUCCAAACCAAGAAGAUUACCGAUUUCCUCAGGAAUUUGGCCUGCACACAUAGUCGAAAAAUCAAGGUGUCAAACUACCUAUUUUGUUAGCAUAAGUCAAAGAGGUUUUCUUUUCUGUUCUAUAGUAAGUUGGAGAUGUUAGAUUUUCAUAUAUUUCAGCAUAUGUUUUUCAUCAAAUGAAAUAAAAACUUUUUUCUUUUGUUAUCUAUUACAAAUCAAACUCUUUUAUAAAAAAAUACUUAAAAUUCAAGAAAUCAAGGAAAUUGAUUACCUUCUAGAUUAUUAAAUCCCAAAUAUAAUUCUCUGAGUUGUGUCAGAUUUCCAAUACUUCUUGGAAUGAUCCCCGUCAAUUGAUUCAAGGACAAGGACAAAUUUUUAAGGUUGCUGCACUUGCCCAUACUUGACGGAAUGUUACCAGAUAACUCAUUGCUAUGCAAGUAAAGCACUUCAAGCUUGGGAAGAUGUUGACACAUAUCAUUAGGCAAACUACCUAAUAGGCUAUUGUUGGAGAGAACAAUGGUCUUCAGAGAAGAAAUGUUGAAGAUCGAAUUUGGAAUCUGACCUGUAACGCCUUUAAUUGCUUGAAUAUUAAGCAAUUCCAAACCAUGAAGAUUACCGAUUUCCUCAGGAAUUUGACCUGCACACAUAGUCGAAAAAUCAAGGUGUCAAACUACCUAUUUUGUUAGCAGAAGUCAAAGAGGUUUUCUUUUCUGUUCUAUAGUAAUUUGGAGAUGUUAGAUUUUCAUAUAUUUCAGCAUAUGUUUUUCAUCAAAUGAAAUAAAAACUUUUUCCUUUUGUUAUCUAUUACAAAUCAAACUCUUUUAUAAAAAAAAUACUUAAAAUUCAAGAAAUCAAGGAAAUUGAUUACCUUCUAGAUUAUUAAAUCCCAAAUAUAAUUCUCUGAGUUGUGUCAGAUUUCCAAUACUUCUUGGAAUGAUCCCCGUCAAUUGAUUCAAGGACAAGGACAAAUUAUUAAGGUUGCUGCACUUGCCCAUACUUGACGGAAUGUUACCAGAUAACUCAUUGCUAUGCAAGUAAAGCACUUCAAGCUUGGGAAGAUGUUGACACAUAUCAUUAGGCAAACUACCUAAUAGGCUAUUGUUGGAGAGAACAAUGGUCUUCAGAGAAGAAAUGUUGAAGAUCGAAUUUGGAAUCUGACCUGUAACGCCUUUAAUUGCUUGAAUAUUAAGCAAUUCCAAACCAUGAAGAUUACCGAUUUCCUCAGGAAUUUGACCUGCACACAUAGUCGAAAAAUCAAGGUGUCAAACUACCUAUUUUGUUAGCAUAAGUCAAAGAGGUUUUCUUUUCUGUUCUAUAGUAAUUUGGAGAUGUUAGAUUUUCAUAUAUUUCAGCAUAUGUUUUUCAUCAAAUGAAAUAAAAACUUUUUCCUUUUGUUAUCUAUUACAAAUCAAACUCUUUUAUAAAAAAAUACAUAAAAUUCAAGAAAUCAAAGGAAAUUGAUUACCUUCUAGAUUAUUAAAUCCCAAAUAUAAUUCUCUGAGUUGUGUCAGAUUUCCAAUACUUCUUGGAAUGAUCCCCGUCAAUUGAUUCAAGGACAAGGACAAAUUUUUAAGGUUGCUGCAUUUGCCCAUACUUGACGGAAUGUUACCAGAUAACUCAUUGCUAUGCAAGUAAAGCACUUCAAGCUUGGGAAGAUGUUGACACAUAUCAUUAGGCAAACUACCUGAUAGGCUAUUGCUGGAGAGAAUAAUAAUCUUUAGAGAAGAUAUGUUGAAGAUGGAAGAUGGAACCUGACCAGAUAAUUGAUUGAGUCCCAAGUUCAAAAUCUCUAGAUUAGAUAUGCUAACAAGUGUUUCAGGGAUUGUGCCUGUAAAGUAAUUAUUUUUCAUUUGUAGCCUUCGAACUCUCUGUAAGUUCCCAAGCCAUGAUGGAAUUUCCCCAUUCAGACGGUUGUAGCUUAAUUGAAGGAUCCUCAAACGAUGCAAUUGGCCCAAUUCUUUAGGGAGAUGGCCAUAGAAAUGGUUGCUACUCAAGUCGAGAGAGAGUAGAAAUGAAAGAUUUCCAAGGUGUGGAGGGAUAGUACCCCUAAGAUUCAUGCUUGUAAGAUUCAAAGCUAUAACUCUUUUAUGGAGGAUGCCACAAGAGACACCAAUCCAAUUGCAAACAGAGGUUGAGGCCGUCCAAUUGUCUGCCAAGACAAUUUGAGGACCGCCAAUACGAUCCUUAAACUCAAGAAGUGCAAACUGAUCGGAGUUGAGAUUCCUGACUGUCAUAGCCAUGCAAAGUACGAAACAUGGUAUGAAUAAAGCUAAGAGAAGAUGAAAGCAAGUUUUGUAGUUCAUGAUUGCAAGACAGAAUAAGGCAAGAAAAUAAAAAAAGUAGGAAAAGGGCAGUUGAGUUGAUAAAAUAGUUUGGAUGAUGAAGAAAAGCCCAGAGAGCAUGCUUUAAUAUGUUUCAACCCUCGCACACUUGAUAAACUUGAUAAAAAUAUUUUGAUCUAAUAAAUGUAAAAAAAAAUUAAACAAAAUAAGGUUGAAAUAAUCUAUUUGUCCUUAUAUUUUGAUAAAGGUUGAGAUUAGUCCUUAUACUUAAAAGGUUAAAAAUAAAGUUUUCUUGUUUUUAUUUAAAAAUCUUAGUCCUAUCGUUAAUUUUUUUUGGGCAAAAUUUGUCAACUGGACAUAUUAAUUUGGUUUCCCUUAUAUGUCGUUGUAUAUGACUAACACAAAAUAAGCAAGUUGACAAAUUAUGACAAAAAAAUAUCAAAGAUGAUAAUAAUUUGAUUAAAAUUUUUAAAUUGAAUUAAUAACCUUUAACAUAUAAGGAAUGGAUAUCAAAUAUUUAUAGGAAUAAAGGGACAAACAACAUAUUUUAACCACAAAAUAAUAUGAGUGAUUAGAAUGAAUCUAAAAGAGACUAACAACAUAUUGAUAACUUUGAAAUCUCCUACGAUCAUCCUUUUUCUACGUAGAAAAAGAAAAUUAAUUAGCAUCUAAAGUGUCAAUUAAUGAAACCUUCAAAAGAAAAUGUGAAAGUGAUUUACCAAACAAUAAUAUUCUAACUUAUAAUAUAUUUAAUUACAUUUAGUACUUUAUCAAUCAAAACUUAAUUAACAUCCAUCAAUACUUCAUACAUAAGUAAAUUUACCAUUUAACUCAGAUUUAACUUUGCAAGUAAACUUGAAAUUUUAUUUAAUUUUGUCACUAAAUUUAAUUUGCUCAAUAUAGAUUUUGGUGACUUAAAACAAAAUUAAUAAAAAAUUAUUCUUUCAGACAUCUUUUUAAUGUUUAAUAAUAAGUUAAUUUAUAAAAUAUACUUUCAUUGGACACAAGCCUCCAAGGCAGUGAACCACUAAUCAAAUUAAUUUGGAGAUAUCUUUUUUUUCCAAAUAAAAUGGAUAUCAAGAGAUACCAAAAAUUAUUUCACUAAGAAAUUUUAAUUCACUCGAAAAGUUAGUGUUUUAUUUCAAGGGGUCAUAAUUAUAAAUUUUGAACUUUUUGACAAUUGCGUAAAUAAUAAAUACCAAUUUUGAGUGCUGUAGGGCUAGGACAAUCUCCCUUACACAUAACCGACUCUUGAACCUACUCUUUUCUCUAGAAUUCAACUCAGACCUCAAAUUUAUCUUUUGAAAAGAAUUUUAAAAUCUUUGUAUAAAAGGUGUAAAAAUAUAUAUUUUAUUAAUUACUAUAUAUUCUUUUAUUUUCAGAAUAAUAAAUUGUUUAAAAUAUGCUACUAGUCCCUAUAAUUUAAAAGUUAAAAGUAAUUGGGAUCUUGAGUGCAUCAAAUUCCUCCUUUUAUUAUUAAAUGUUUUAUUUUAGUUACUCUAAUUAAAUAUAUCCAAAUUGUAAUAAACAUUUAUUAUAUAAAAAAUAUUUUAAAUUUAUUUCAAUUGCAAUUUAAUUUUAGUAGAAAUAUUUCAUUUAUAAAAUCAUAAAAUUUUAAAAUAUUAACUUUAUUAAAUAAAAAAUAAUUUUUUUUAAACAGUAAAUGUUGACUUUAUUAACACAAAUGGGUCUUUAGGGUUAAACUUCAGUAACUGACGAGCUCUUCCACAAACUGUGGAUGAUUUGGGGAUAAGAACUUCAAUAAUUCUAGAGUUAAAGUGUAAAUUUACUACUAUAUUAUAAGUAAAUAUUGAAAUUUAUCACUAAAUUUUAAUUGAUACUUGUCAUUACACUUUGAAAAUAUAAGUAAAUUUACCAUUUAACUCAUAUGUGAUUGAGCUUUGCAAAUAAACUUAAAAUUUUAUUUAAUUUUGUCACUAAAUUUGAUUUAUUUAAUUAAAUUUACAACUCAAUAUAGAUUUUGGUGACUUGAAUUAAAGUUAAAAAAAAAACUAUUCUUUCAAAUAACUUUUAAUGUUUACUAAUAAGUAGAUUUAUAAAAUAUACUUUCAUUGGACACAAGCAUCCAAGGCUGUGAACAAACCACUGGUCAAAUUAAUUUGGAGAUAUCCUUUUUGCGUUUUUCUUUUUUUUUAAAUAUUUUUAAUAUUUUUGUGGGUAUCAACAGACACCAAAAAUUAUUUCACUAAGGAAUUAAUUUGUAUUUUAUUUUAAGGGUUCACAAUUGAACAUUAGAUUUUUUAUUUUUAAAUUUUGAAUUUUUUGACAGUUGCGUAAUUAACAAGUACUAAUUUAGGGUGUUGUAGGGUUAUUACAACCUUCCCUACACGUAACAGACUCUUGAACCUACUUUUUUUUCUCUAGAACUCAACACAAACCUUAAAUUUAUCUUUUUAAAACAAUUUUAAAAUAUCUUUAUAAAAGGUUAUUUUUUUACCCAUCACACUUAACAAAAUUUUAAAAAUUAUUAAUUUCUUUUUGAAAUUUAAAGUGAUCUAAAAAUAUAUUUUUAAGUGCUUUAGACCCUGCGGUGCUGAUUUCUUUAUUGUAUUAAAUGCUUGCAAUCACUCCUGAUAUCUUAUACUUGAGUUGUAACAAAACCAAUUAUCAUGUUCCAUAAUGUUCUAUUGAUGCUGAAACUGAAGUUUUUGUUAUAUUAAUAGAGCUUGUCCUUCAACACGUAUAACGGGUGUUUGUUAUUUUUUUCUUCAAAUUGUAUGAUCUCAUUCAUUAAAUGAAUUAAUGAAUUUCCCUUUAAAAAAUAUAAUUUUAAAAAUUAAAUACUUUAUAAGAUAUUUAAAACUAUUUAAAAAUUGUAAGCGUUAAAACAAUCAACAAGAUAUAUUUUUCUUUAAAAAAUCAAUAAAAAUAUGUUUAAAAUUUUAUAUGAAAUUUACAAUUUUUUAACAAUAAUAUAUUUUAAAAUUAUUUACACCUUUUUUAUAUAUUUUUCCUAACAUAUAUUUUCAACACUAUCGUAAUCCUGUUUUGAUAACUCCCUUUCCAUACAUCCUUUUUCUACAUAGAAUUUCGAAAGAAAAUGUGAAUUAAUGCAGACGUGAGAAGACUUAGAGGUAAGUCACCCAAUGAAAGUGACCUACUUAUGGAAAAAUCAAACAAUAAUUUUGUAUCUUAUAAUAUAUUAAAUUACAUUUAUGAGGUUAUCAAUCAAAACUUAAUUAAAAUCCAUCAAUAAAGUUGUUGAUUGUAUAGCUAAGGCAGAUGGAGGCAUAAUUGAGCAGUUAGUUAUCUUGGAAAAUCCUCCGCAUUAUGUGAGAUGUUGGCUUGAAGAAAAUAUUAGACAGUCGUUGGUCACUGAUGAUAAUUUUUAUUUGGAUUGAAGCUGGCUUAAUUUUCUAAGUUUAUGUUCAACUAGAAAAAAAAUGUCUAAAUUGUAAUUGAAUUAACAUUUAGUGUAUAAAAAAUAUCUUAAAUUUUUUUUUUCAAUUGCAAUUCAAUUCCACAAAUACCGACGAUGAACCCUAAAACGGACAUGAAAAUUACAAAAAGAAAAAAAGCACAUCUAUUAUCAAACCAGCAAUACAUGCCUAAACUAAUAGAGAUGAACCCUAUGAUAGAUUGUGACCCCCCAAAGUCGACCGGGAUAGACCAGCCUGAAUUCAAAGCAUUACAUUAGCCACCUAAAUGACUCUCCAGCUAACGACCACCCAAGGCACACCCCAACCUUAUAACACCUCAAUUUUAUCUAAUUAUUAGUUAUUUAUUAAUGCCAAAGUAAAUUAUGAGCCAAUUUUAAACUUUUCCUAAGUAAUUUAAUCUAUGGGCAUUUACGUUAUUUUACCACCUAUGGUAAAACUAACUUGAUUUUAGAUCUAAGUGUUUACUCACCUUCUUUUAGUCAAAUUAUGCAAGUCUAAAAUUUCCAGGUGAAUUUGAGUUUGUUUACUAUGUCUAAUUCAAGUUUUAUUAUUUAGGAUUAAAUUGUAACUUAAACAAAUUCGAAUACCAAUUUAAAGAGGCAAAAAUUCAAAACCCAAAACAGACACAAGCAUGUGCGUAAAUGACACGGGCGUGUGAAAACUGGAACUAUCACAUACGGACGUGUGGGAUUGAAAAAUAUAAAAUAAAUUAAUCCACUCAAUUUUCCAAUAGCCAUGCUAUACUACCAAACCAAAAAAUGCUUGAAGCUUUGAAUAGGGGUGAAUCUAAAAAAAAAAUUAGAAGAAUUAGAAUUAAAUUAUAAUCUAAAAAAAAUUAGAAGAAUUAGAAUUAAAUUAUAAAACUUUGAGAAGUUAAAAUAUAAUUUUAUCAUGUAUUAAUUUAUUAUUUUUAAAAUGGUCUUAAUUGAAUUUUUUUUUCCAUUUUUGUUGGGCCAAUACCCCUGCUUGCCUCUUUGAAUUUGCUCCAACCCUAAACCCAAUAAUCAAUUUGGAUUAACAACAAUAUAUAGGUUAGUAUUUGUGGGAGUUUGACAAUAAAAUUUUUUUUAAAAGGUUUAAAUUAUAAAUUUUUGAAAGAUUAAAAUAAAUUUGUAUUUUUUAUUAACAAAAUAUAAAAGAAAAAAACAUGUUUAGACAAGCCAAGAGACCUUUGGGAUCAUACGGGUGAUUUUGAUGAUGUUAAUAGUUAUUUUGGUGGAGAGGCUGAGAAAGAAACAAAUGAUUCAUUAUAUAUAAUAUAAUUAUGAAAUUCAAGCCAUAUAUUGUAUGUUUCAUACAUAAAAAAAAUUGGAGCAAUUUAAUCCCUAUCAAUUUUGAAAGUGAGCAACUAAGAACAAUGAAUUAUGGUGUUUCCUUCUUAAUUUCACAAUUGCGCAAAUUAGUCCCUCUCAAAAAAAAUUGGAGCAAUUUAAUCCCUAUCGAUUUUGAAAGUGAGCAACUAAGAACAAUUAAUUAUGGUGUUAAAUUCUUCCAUCAAUUGUACAUAAUUUUGAUUGGUAUAGUAAUAAAUUUAGCCUUCAAUGUUUAAAUAUUUUGUCAUUUUGGCCUUAAUUUUUUUUUAAAAAAAAUUCAAGCAUUUCAACCUCAACAUUUAGAUAUUUACACAAACGUUGCGGGAAAUUUUUGUUAAAUUUAGACCAAAUUGCAAGUAUAAAUUUUGAAGGCUAAAUUUAUUAUUAUACCAACCAAAAUCAUGUACAUUUUAUGGAAAAUUAACAUCCUGAUUAAUUAUUCUUAGUUACUCACUUUCAAAAUUAAUAGGGACUAAAUUGCUCUGAUUUUUUAAGGGUGACCAAUUUCCUCAAUUUGGAAAUUGAGAGAGACUAUUCAGAUAUUUUACAUAUUUUUUUAUAAAUAUAUUUUUUUAAUAUAAAAUAUAUUUGUUCACACAUAUUGUGAGUAUGAUAAAAUAUUUUUAUUAUUGAUUGAGUUGGUGUCAAAAAUUAACUCGACACCAACUCAAGAUUAAUAAUAACAAUAUGAUAAAUAAUUUAUUUAUUUAAUAUUCUUAAUUUAACAUAUUGAUGUAAAUUUUAAGACAUGCAUGUCUUGUAGAAUUGAGAUUAUACUAUUUGAGUAUUGAGUCAGUUUUCCACAAUGGUGGGUCUCGAGCAACAGCACAAUUUCAACAUUUCUUCAUCUCGCUUAAUCCAAAUGCAUUUAGGAUUUUUUUUUUAUAUCAUUGUUUCAAAAACGAUAAAAAAAAACGUGGACAUUGAAUUUUCUGUUUCACAUUCAAUUUUUGGAGAAGUAGAAUUUUCUAACUUAUUUUCCAUCAACUUCACUUCAAUUUUCAAUCACAAUCUAUUGUAUUCAAGAGUACCACAUCUUUUUGGAUGAAACAAACCUCUCAAUCUUAAGAUAAACGGAAUCUAUUGCAUUCAAGAGCACCACAUCUUUUUGGAUGAAACAAAGCACUCAAUAUUAAGAUAAACGGGUCUUUAGGGUUAUUAACUGAGGGCAUUUUCCACAAAUGGCAUCGUUAUUUGAAGGUGAUUCGGGGAUAAUAACAUCAACAUUUCUGUAUCACAUUUAAUUCAAUUCCACAUUUAACUUUUAAUUUUUGGAGAGAUGAUUGGGCUACAACAAUGGUUUGAAGUGAAGAUAUUUCAAAAGAAGGCAAAUAUAUCAAUUUUUUUAAGGGGUCUUUGGAGUUAUAUGUGACUUUAGCAUUAUUGACCGAUUUUUUUAUGGUUAAUCUUUUAUAAUAAGGUAAAUAUAUCAAUUUUAAUAACAUCGGCAUGUUUUUUAGUAGGGUCGAGCAAAACCCAAUUAAAACCUUUCAUCACUGCAAAAAUGAAAAUAAUAGAAAUGAAAGACUAGCCAUUGUAUGAGAUUUAUAAUUGUAACUGUCAACGAAAUUGGGAGAAAUUUUUAAAUUUUAUGAAAUUUUAAAAUUUAACUGUCAAUAAUAGAAAAUUGCCUGAGUAACUUGAGAUAAGAGGUUGAACAUUUCUGGAUCACAUUACAUUUAAGAUGGGUCUUUAAGGUUAUACUUUAGUUAUUGAGAACAUUUUCCACAAGUUACCGUCGUUAUUUGUGGGGUAAGUGGUUGAACACUUCUGGAACACAUUGCAUUUAGGACGGGUAUCAUUCAUAGACUGACUUUUCUAUAAUUAGUCCUUGCUUUACUUUAGGUGGAUUCUUCCAACUAGUCCAAGAAUUAUUGUACAGUUACAAUUAAUCUUUUUAAAUGAGACAAACAUUUCAAAUUUGUCGUUACUAUUUGUGAGUGAUUUGGGGGUAAGAAGUUUAACACUUCUGGAUGUCUUAUAGAAUUGUGAUUAUACUUUUUGAGUAUUGACUCAGUUUUCCACAAUUGUGGGUCUCUAUUUGAGCAAAACAAUUUCAACAUUUCUUCAUCUCGUUUAAUCCAAAUGCAUUUAUGCAUUUCUUAUAUCAUUGAAUUUGCUGUUUCCCAUUCAAAUUUUGGACAAGUAGAAUUUUCUAACCUAUUUUCCAUCAAGAAUUUUCUAACCUAUUUUCCAUCAACUUCACUUGAAUUUUCAAUCACAAUCAAUUGCAUUCAAGAGCACCACAUCUUUUUCGAUGAAACAAAACUUUCAAUUUUAAGAUAAACGGGUCUUUAGGGUUAUUAUUCAUUUAUUGAGGGCCUUUUCAACAAUUGCCAUCAUUAUUUGUUGGUGAUUUGGGGAUAAUAACUUGAACAUUUCUGGAUCACAUUGAAUUCAAUAUUCUUAUACAAUAGUAUUUUAUAUAUAUACGUACAUAAUUUAUAUUAAACUAUUUUUAUUUUAUAUAUUAUUGAUUUCGUAUUAUUAUAACUAUUGACCUUAUGUUUAUAUGUUUUUUUAAAACCUAUUUUUUACAUAUACAAUUUACUUCUUUUAAAAAAACCCUACUUCAUAUACUUGGUUUAUUUCAAAUUUCUACAUAUAUUAUUAUGCAUAUAUAUAUAUAUUAUCAUUUGUAUUGUUAUUAAGCUUUUCAUUUCAUAUAUAUUAAUUAUUUAGGUUAAUACAUACAUUAUUUUGUACAUUACCUAUUUUGAUUUUAUUCUUAUGCAAAAUUUACUUUAAAAUUUGUUUACAUAUUAUUGUUUCACAUAGUAUUUAUUUUUAACUCUAUUUUUGGUCUAUUUCGAAUUUUCAUGUACAUUAUUUAUUUUUAUACUUUUUGGAUUUACAAUUUCCUUUCUUUCAUGCCAUUUUUUAAUUAUUUCAAAACUUAUACAUUGGAUUUGCAUUUGUGUUAAUUUGUUUGCUUUUUAGGUUUUACUAGCUUUUAAAUAUGGAUGUUAGUAGUUGCAUAAUGUGUAAUAUAAGAUUGUUGCCCUUAUGUAUGUUGUAUUGUUUAUUUGUAUUUUAUUGAUCCUUUGUUGCUCAUUAGCUUACAUUUAGCUUACAAAUUGUAAGUGUAACUUUUGAGGGCUAAAUUUAUUAUUAUACCAACCAAAAUCAUGUACAUUUUAUGAAAAAUUAACAUCUUGAUUAAUUAUUCUUAGUUGCUCACUUUCAAAAUUUCUCUGAUUUUUUUUGGGUGACCAAUUUCCUGAAAUUGGAAAGUGAGAGAGACUAUUGAGAUCUUUUACGUAUAUUUUUUUAUAAAUAUAUUUUUUAAAUAUAAAACAUAUUUGUUCACACACAUCAUGAGUGUCGAAACCAUUUUUUUAAUAAAUGGGGGUCGACUUUUAUUUUGAAAAUGAAAAUAAACAAAUGGGACUCGCCACUGAUCUUUUGUUUAGUGUGAUCAGAUCACCUUGAAAGCGAUUUUGGUCUACGAAAUUUGAGAAAACAGGUUGGGGAGUCGAUUACGCACGAGGAAGGGUUAGCACCCUCGUAACACCCAAAAUUGGUACCUAAUUGAUUAAUUAAUGUCUUAAUGUCGAAAUUUUAAAAAAAAAAUUUAAAAUACAAUCCUUCUAUUCAAAUGAACACUUGUAUGAAUCAGAUUGCGUACUAAGACCCUCUUGUUUUGGAGAAAUAGAAUGCCACACACAGUGAGUUAGGAUAUGACAUUUUCACAUCUUCCAAAAAUGAGCUGGCCUUUUGAUUUUUUUUUUUAAAAAAAAAACUCUUGCAGUGAAGUUUAAAAAAAGGAUACUCUAUUGUUUUGGUUAGAUGAAAAUAAAUGAAUAAAUGAAUAGCAUACAAGAAAGGAAAUUUAAAAUUAUCAAUACAUAAACAAUAAAUUAUAUGCAUUAACUUUUAAAAUAAACAAUAUAUAUACGAGUUUGAAAUAGAUCAAAAAUGAAGAUAAAAAAUAGAUACUAUAUGAAAUGAUAAUAUCAAAAUGAAUUUUAAAGUAAAUAUUGAAUAAAAAAAAUCAAAAUAUGUAAUAUACAAAAUAAUAUAUAUUAAUCUAAAUAAAUAAUAAAUAUGGAAUGAAAAAUUCGAAAUAGAUAAUACUAUAUAUAUAUAUAUAUAAAUAUAUGUGAAAAGUCGAAAUAGGUAGAAUAUAAUAAAAUAGGUUUUUUAAAGAAAUAAAUUAUAUAUAUAUGGAAAUAGGUAACAAAGAUAUAUAUAACAGCAUGAAAUCAAUAAUAUAUUAUAUAUGCAUAUAUGUAUAAUAAAAAUAGUUUAAUAACACUUGUAUAUAUAUGUAUAAAAUAGUAAUAUGAAAGAGCAUUAUCGUAUAAAUCUUUAAAACAAAGAAGUAUAUAUAAGUGCAUUUUAAAAAUGUAUUUAAAAUAAAACCAUUAAAAACGUAUAAAUUAUAUUGAAAUUGCAUAAAAAGUAUAUAAAAUAAUAGAUGGAAAUUAAAAUAAUAAUAUAUGAUAAAUUUUAAAAAAAAAGUAAUUAUACAUGAAAAACUUAGAAUAAUAAUACAUAAAAAACUUAAAAUAAUAAUACAUGAUGAAUUUAAAUAACAAAUACAUGAUAAAUUUAAAUAAUGUUAAUGAUAAAUUUAAAAUAAUAAUAUAUUACAAAUUGAAAUAAUAUUGAUGAUAAAUUUAAAAAUAAUGUUAAGCUUAAACAUAAAAAUAAUAUUAGAUUUAAAAUUAAAUAUAUAUUUUUUUAAAAAUAACAGGAUAAUAAAUAUUUAAAAAAAUUGAACACGUUAAAUUAAACAAAUACGGGUUAAAUUGUAUUUAAUACAAAAUUAAAAGAAAAAAUGAAAAUAAAAUAAAAUAGAGGGCCAAAAUGCAGCACACGAAUAACAUGGGGGACUAAAUGGGGAAUAUUCCCUGCCCACCAAAACGCUGUGUUGCAAUAUGGAUCAAAAUGAACAGUAUUCAAAUUAAACGAGGUAAAUUUAAAAAUAAAAAAUGAAAUUAAAAUAGUGAAAGAAAAUAAAAGGGUCAAUGGUGCAAAUAUCCCCUUUUAGACCCAAAACACGUGGAUCUGACCUUGCUCGAGUCGGGUCAUUAGAUCUCUUAAACCUAAACCAUUGAAGCAAGGCCCAAACGGUACCAUUUCAUGGUCUUCUUAAAACAAAAACCUAAACCACUAUUUGGUUGUUCUUAAAUCAGAUUAGCCAAAACCCUAGCCGCUCGAAUGCUUUGCCGAUAUUCAACCUUACAGUCCUCGCUUGAGCUCCGAUUACGACAAAGUGAAUGGGGAUACAAUGGCGCUAUCUUAUAGGUAAAUCCCUCUCCUCUCAUUCAUUUCUCUUUCACAAACAAGUAUAACAAACAAAGAUUGAGGAAACAGAAAAGAAAAAAGAAAUCUAAAGAUAAAGAAAUGGGAUUUUUUUUCAUAACGGCUAAAUCAUUCAACUCAUAGUUUUUGUUAAAUGAAGAGGUCAAUUGAUUUUUUUGGAAUCAUUGAGUACUCAAUUGGUGCACUUUUUUCAUAAAGGCUAAAUUAAUUUUUUAAUUUGUUACUGUUGAGGGCUAUAGCAAUAAAAAAAAUUGAGGUAAAAUGGAAAAAAUGUUAGAGCUAAAUUUAUCACUAUGCCUAAAACCAAAAUUUUUUGAAAAUAAAAAAAAAUGGAAAAUCACAAAUUUUGUCACUUAUGUUAGCUUAAAAUUAUAGUUUUGGUCACCAAUCUUUUGAAGUAAAUAUCUGGUCAACAAUAUUAUCCAUUUGUUACUUUGUAAUAACUCACCUUAAAGUUAUAUCCCUGCGCAAGAAAGGAUUAAAUGACAAACUUGUAUCUUUUUUUAUUCAUCCAAUGUCAUUUCAACAUUUUCAUUUAAAAAAAUUGACAUAUCAUUUUGAAUUCCAUCUUUUUCAUGAUGAAACUAUUGAAAUGAUGUUAAAUUACUGGAAAGAGAUACAAGUUUAAUCUUAUCUAUCUAAGAAAGCUGAUGUAACACAUUAAUGACAUCAUUCCAAACAAAGUUUUAGGUCCAAUUGUUCAUCUAGCCCUUGUAAUUGUUUUUAGGUGAAUUUCAUUAUUAAUCUUUUAUUUUCUUUGGCUUAAAUACACAUUUACCCUUAAUUUUAUCACAUUCUCCUUCACUGGUAUUUAUGGUUUAGAAAAUUUUACAAAUAUAUUAUUUUUUAAGAAAUUAUAAGAAGAUUACAAAAAUUCCAAAAUAAUAUAAAAAAGCUAAGGAAAACCUAGAAAUUCAAAAAAAAAAUCAUGUUUUUACAAAUUGGGAAAUACCUAAAUUUGUUUUCAUCAAUUAAGAAAUUAAAAAAAUUGUUGAGAAAUAUCUUUUUAGAAAUAUCAUAAUUGCAUUUAAGACCUCAUGAUUAUCUUUUAUAAUUUCAAGGUUAUCAACUAUUUUGAAAACAAAGACAAAAACAAAAACAAAAACGUCGACAUAUCACUUUAGCAUUGACUUACUUUUCUACAGUUAGUCUUCUCCAACAAGAUAAAUAUUUCAAUUUUAACAACAUUGACAGGUCUUUGGGGUAGGGUCGAGCAAAAGUCAAUAGAAACAGAUGAUAUAAGUUUAAAUCGGCCCGGUCAAGCCGAUGUCCUGGUAAAAUCAAUUUUAAAAUUAAUUAUAAUAGUUUAAGCGAAUUGAUUAUUAAGUAAUGAAAUACUUAAUUCAAACAAUUGAUGUAAUCAAAUUAUAAUAAAUAUAUAUUUACUUUUAUGGGAUCCUUCAUCUCCUUUUUAGAGUUUGUGGCAAUAUUUAUUUUAAGCUUCAAAUUUAUAUUUUUUAUUUAUGAGUACAAUGUGUUUUACAAUUACAUCUACAGUGUAUAUUUUUUAUUUUAAAACAUAUAUUAUAAUAUAUGAAAAACAUAUAUGUCGAAACCAUUUUUAAUAAUUUUGAAAAACGGGGAUCGACUUCGAAAAUAAAAUGGGAGUCACCAUCGAUCUUUUAUUGAGAUAUGAUCGGUUCACCAUUAGACGUAAUUUUGGUCUGCAAAUUUUGAGAAAACAAGUUCAGGAAUCUGUUAAGCACGAGGAAGGGUUAGCACCCUCGUAACGCCCAAAAUUGGUACCAAAUUGAUUGUUUAAUGUCUUAAGGUCGAAAUUUUGAAAAGAUUUUAAAAUACGAUCCUUUGAAGUUUAAAUUUGAAUAAACCAAAUUGAAUAAUAAGACACACUCAUUUCGAAUAAAUAAAUUGUCACACUCAGUGAGUUAGGAUGCAACAAUUCAAUCAUCAAAAUUAAGUAUGUCUUUUUUAAUUUUAAAAUUUUAAAAUUCAUGCAUUUUGAGAAUGUUGUUCGGUUAUUUAAGUCAAACGAGAAAUCAGAAUUCAGUAAGUUAGGUUUCGAUUUCUUGAAGUUCUUAAACAUCAAAUAUUGUCUUUAUUUUAAAAUCAGGAUAUCAGAAUGUCACAUCCGGUAAGUUAGGAUCCGACAUUUUGAAAUCCUAAAUGCUUAGUUUUAAAAUGGUAUGGUUUUAAUAAAAUAAGCAUAUAGCUAUUUAAAUUCAUCGAGAAAAAUUGGAACCCAAUAAGUUAGGGCACAAUUCUCUCGAAAAUUAUAAAUGCUAGACCUUUUUUAAUAUGAAAUAGAAUAAAAAAUUUAAAAGAAGUAUGAAAUGUAAAAGAUGAUUGAUAAUUCAAACUUAAACUAAGAAGUAGCAAAUAAGUGAUAAAUAAAUACAAAUAAGGAAUAGCAAUAAUAGUUUUAAUAAUAUUAUAUUAACGCUAACAUUGACAAUCAAACAUCAAAUUCUAAAGUAUAUCCAAGAUGAUAAAAGGGGAAUUUCACCUCACGAAACUUAUGCACACAAGUUCUAAAAGAUUUAUUCACAAAAUCAAAAUAGAUUCGAAAUAAAAUAAUAAUAACAUUGUAUAAUAGCAUUUCGAAAUGAGCUUGAAACAAAUAAAAUAUAUUUAUUAAUCCACCUUAAAUAAUACACAUAAAAUAACUAUGAAAGGGUCUCAAUGCAUGUAUGAUUUAAAAGAAAUAAGUAAUUACCCAAAUAGGUUUUCAAAGAAAUAAAUUAUAUAAAUGAAAUCGACUUAAAAUUCAUAUAUGCAUAUAAAAAUACUUUGAAAAUUUAUAAUCAUGAUGAUAUUAAACAUCAAAACAAUAAUAUAUAUAUUUUUUGAAAUAAUUUAAUAUCACAUAUAGUAGCAUUUAAAAACAUUAUAUUAAAAGAAAAUUAAGUUAUAACACAAAAUGAAUUACUAAAAUAUGUUCAAAGUAUGUCAAAUUGCUAUAAAACAUUUUUACAUAUAUAGAUGAUGAAACAUAUAAUGAUAUAGAGUUUUAAAAUAAAAAGGAUAAAUUUUAAAAAAAUGUUAAUAAACUCAAAACAUGUUAAUAAUAAUUUUAAAUAACAAUAUGUUGUACCUUAAAAUUAUAAUAAAAAUGUUUGAAAACAGUGUUAAUCCUAAUAUUUAAAACUUAUUAAAAAUAAACAUAUUAAAAAUACUAAGCUAACUUUACAUUAUGUUAUAUAUAUAAAAAAAAACUAAAUUUGAAUGAAAUUUGUAGAAGCCCAAAUUUGCCGGGCCCAUACCAACAAAAUAACCCAAACAAUAAACCCGAAGCCCAACUACCCCAGCCCAUUAACCUAAGCUCAGCAUUCAGAAACCCUAAUCCCACUAACCCUAGCCACCUACCCCCACUUGCCCACUUGCCCACUUGCGCCGAACACCACCAUGCCACUAUCGGCCAUGGCCACCUGCAAGAAGCCAAGUAGAAAUAAACAAAUAGAAAAUAAACAUUUGUAAUUGGUUAUAAAAACCGAAAAUCUCACCAUUGAUAAAGGGGAUUUUUUAUUUUUUGCUAUGAAAACAAAAGAUUUUCUUUCAAUAUUAACAGAUUCAAUACAAGAACCAUUCGAAAAUAUAUAUACUAUCAGGGGCUCUAACACCAAAUCGGAGAAUCAAAUCUAAAACCUAAGGUGAACCUAAGGUGACUCUUUCUUUUUUUUUUCUUUACUGUUUUGAGUUUAUUUUCUACAUAAAAAUACUAAAAAAUAUUAAAACAUAAAAAUAUAUGCAUUAUUAAGCAAAAAAAAAAAGAAAAAAAGAAAAAAAAUAUUUUUUUUACCUUUUCCGGCCACCGCCGGCGAGCCUCCGGUGGCCGUCCGGUGACCGGCCCCCUGGCCGGAUUCCCCUUUCCCCCUCCCUUCUCUCUCCCUUCUCUCUUCCCUCUCUCUCUUCUUUUUUUUCUUUCCCUCUCCCCAAAGGAUUUUUUUGGCUAUUUUAGGCCUUUAUAUAGCCCUCCAAAACGAUGUCGUUUUGGGGGCUACACUUAAGCCUCAAAACGACGUCGUUUUGACCAUUGCCCGACCCAUCCGACCCGACCCGCUAGAGGAUCCGCGUGUUUUCGUUUGAAUGGGAUAUUUAUGCGCGCAGUCCUUCCGCUUUUUCAAGGUUUUGCAGUUAAGUCAUUUUUCUUGUUUCCAAUUUGGCCCCAUAAUUUCUCGCGCUUUUCGAUUUAGUCCCCGCUAAUGUGCUGUGUUUUAAUGGAAUGGAAUAAUUGUUGUUUCGGUCCUCCUAUGUUUUGUGCGCGCUCAAAUAAGCCCAUUUCUCUUUAUUUCCUUUCACAUUUGCCCCACAACUUUGUUUUUAAUUCAAUUUUAGUCCUUUUUCGUUUAUUUUUAUAUCUUUAUUAAAUAUCAUUGUUAUUUUAUAUUAUUAGUAUUAUUAGUAUUACUAUUAUUAUUAUUAUGUAUUAGUAUAUAUUUUUAUUAUGUACGCGUAUACAUGUAUAUAUAUUUUCAUAUUUAAUAUUUUUAUUUCAUUUUUUUCUAAUAUUUUAUUAUAAUUUAUAUAUAUAUACAUAUACAUAUUCUUUAUUUAUUUUAAGUAUAUAUUUUUUAUAUUUCAUAUUUUCUACAGGCAUAUAUAUACUUAUAUAUUUACAUAUUUUAAUUCAUAUACUUAUAAAUGUAUGUACAUACUUACGUUAUUUUAUUUUUAUAAUAUACAUAUUUAUAUUUUUUUGUCUUUAUGUAAUAUAUAUACAUACAUGCGCAUGUUAUUUAUAUAUAUGUAAUUAUGUUUUCAUAUUUUAUAAUUCUUGUACAUACAUAUAUAUAUAUAUAUGUAUAGACAUACAUAUUUUCAUUAUAUAUAUAUACCUACAUAGUUUUUUUUUUGUAUUUUAAAUCUUUUAAAAUUCAUACAUGCAUUUUUAAAACUUUUAUAAUUUUAUUCAUUUCUUUAUUAUUAUUAUUGUUUUACUUUAUGUUUAUCUAUUUAUUUAUGUGUCCAUUAUUAUUUUUUUUAAAAAAUGUUUUAGUUUUUUUUAUUUUGUUUAUUUACUUGUUAUUGUAUAUAAUUGAUUUUUUAUAUAUUUAUUUUUGUUAUCUUCGCUCGUAUUAUUUUUACUCGCAUUAUCGUAAUUGUUAUUCCGUCACAUCAAUUUUUACCCAAAUUCGUAAAAAAGGGAAAAUUUUGGAAAUAAAGGCAAUACUCGAUACUUGGGAUCUUCGAGAGAAUUGGGCCCUAACGUGCUGGGUUCUAAUUUUCUGUUGAAUCUAAAUGCUCGAGAAUGCUCUUUAAUAUAAAACAUAAAUAAAAACUCAUUAUCGGGAUUUCAAUAUGUUGUGUCCUAACGCAUUGGAUAUGACACGUGGUUUUCUCGAUAUGAGGAUUUUUUUUUUCGAAAGUAAAGACAAUAUUCCGUAUUUAGAAAAUUCGAGAAAAUCAUGCCCUAACUUACUGAGCUUCGAUUUUUCUCGUUGAUUCUAAGUAAUCGGAUAUCCUUUUAAAAUUAAAAUAAAUGAGGUUUAAAUAAAAAAAUGAAAGGCAAGUUUACUCUCGAAAAUACGAGGUGUCGUGUCCUAACUUACUGGAUGUAACAUCUUGUUACUUCGAGAUAAAGAGGCAUUUUCCAUUUUGAUUUAUUCGAGUAUUUUUAAAAUAACACGAUAUAAGGAGGGAUCAUAUUUUUAAGAUUCUUUUCGAGUUUUUAAUUUUCGACACUAAGACACUAAUUAAUCAACUAGGUACCAAUUUUGGGUGUAUCGAGGGUGCUAAUCCUUCCUCGUGCAUAACCGACUCCCGAACUCAUUUUUCUGAAUUUCGUAGACCAAAAUCGUUGUUUUAAUAAAAUUAAAUCAUUUAUUAAAAACAACCACUUUUUGAGGUGACCCGAUCACACCUCAUCAAAAAAGGAUUGGUGGCGACUCCCAAUUUCGUUUCAUUUUCAAAAUCCAAGUCGACCCCGUUUUCAUCCAAAAAAUGGUGUCAACAGCUUGGCGACUCCACUGGGGACAAUAAGAGAGUCAAGCCACGUGUUGAUUAUUUCUUGUCUUUCUGUUGAAAGUGGAAAAUUCGAUUUAAAUUUACGAUCCUCUCAUUACAUCUCUUUUGUUUUGAGUUAUAUUUUUAUUGUGUUCUGUAUUUUAUUUUAUACCUCUGCACAUUGCAUUGCAUGACCGCUGGUCAUACCCUUUUUAAGUGGGAGUGAGAAGCUACGCCUUCGUGAGGUUUUCACCUCCGCAUGGGAUAGUGAAUCGCUUUCGGGAUAUAUCCGUACCUAUGUCUUCGUGAGAUUUUCAUCUCCGCAUGGCCAUAGGGAAAUGUAUCCCCCUGAAUCGAACUCGGUCCAUAUGAGCCUAUAAUGGGUGAGGAUCGAGGAAUCUGCUGGUUCAGGUACCCUUACUUUAGAACCAAACCUCAUGUAGUGAACCUUAGGAGCCCACCCUAGGUAGAACCACCUCCAAACCCCUAGUGGUCACCCGAAUUGCUUUAUUUGUUAUUUAUUCUGCACUAACGUGUUUUGUUUUUUUUUUGUUUAUAAUUGCAUUGUAUUACAUCAUCCUAGGAAGGAGGUGUUGAUUUAUAUUUGAUUGCUAAAUAGAACAGUUUGUCAUAAGAAAACAAAUUUUUUGAUAAAGUGGAUUAUAACACGGUUGUCUAAAUAUGGUCCAAGUGAAUACAUGAAAGAAGGCUGAUAGUCCGUGAAGAAAUACAAGACUUUGCUUCAUUGCCUGAAGACAGAAACUAACAAAGAUUAUUCGAGAGCUGUCAUGUCUUGACUUUCUUAAAGGAGCUGAAAAGUAUCAUAGAAAUAAGUGAGCAACGAGUCGCUGCCUGGAUCCAGCAAAAAAGCAGUUAAUAUAGACAUCUCUUGGAGAAUUCGUCAGACUCGACCAUAAGAUCCAGAUAUGAAGAGGAAGAAAGGUGUCUUCACUUGGAAUAUGAGAGAAAGACCGUGUAUGUAGUCCGUUUUAUGUAAAGGAAUUUGUUUUCUAGAAAAGUUGUUCCAAUGAAAUUAAAUUUAGAAUCAAUGUCUUCCUUUCUUUUUGCAUUCAUGCAUUUGCAUUACAUUACAUCAAAGAAAAGAAUGUGUUGAUUCGAAAUUCGAUUCCUAAAUAGAAUAGUUUGUCAUAAGGAAACGAAUUUCUUGAUAAAGUGGAUUAUAGUGCGGUCACCUGAAUAUAGUCUGAGUAAACACGAUGAGAGAAAGCUGGUAGUUCACGGAGGAAUACAUGAUGUAAUUUCUAGAGAUUCAAGCCAACGAAGGCAUGACGAGAGAAAGCCGGAAGUCCACGAAGGAAUACAUGACUUGAUUUAAUUGCCAACGAAGAUUAUCCAAGAGCCGGCACUUUUUGAUGAAUAUCAUGGAGAUAAGCGAGCAAGAGAUCGAGGCUCAGGUUAAGCAGUAAGGAGCUAGCAAAGGCAUCUUUUGGAGAAUUUACAGGGUUUAACCAUGAAGAAAAUAUCAGCGUUUACUUGGACUAUGAAGGGCAAUACCACAUAUGUAAACUAUUUUCAUGUAAAAAAAUUUGUCUUCUAGAAAAAUUAUUCUAAUAGAAUUAAAUUUAGAAUCAACGCAUUCUUUUUCUUUGCAUUCUUUUCAUGCAUUGCAUCACAUCAUAUGCAUUAAUGACCAUUUAAAAAGAACUUAAUCGAAUAAAAUCAUUUCAGUUAACCUGGAAAACCAACAAAGUUACGGCACCCGAGCUAAGGCAAAAGUUAUGGACCAAAGGUUGGAGAAGCUAGAGCGACUUCAAAAAGAAAUGCAAGACCAGUUGCAGGCGCAAAUGAAAGAGCAAAUGGAAAAGAUUCAGCGUGACAUGGUGCAAAAGAUGGAGGAGUCCCAAAAUGAUCUGGUGGCUAAGAUGACGCAAUUAUUGAAGGGAGUAGAUAAGGGUAAAGGUCCUGUGAUUGUUAGUGAAGAAGAAAACAAUGGUGAACCACUUUAUCCUCCAGGUUUCACGCCUCCGCAUGAGCAAGUACAGACUGAGCUGCAUCUGCGGAGACCCUCUGUGUCGGUUAGGCCCCAGCAGUUCCAAGGCGAUGCUUCAAUCCCAAUGAAUUUUCAACCCGGAGCGGGCUUUAAUCCCAGUGAUAGCCCGAAUAAUAUUGUUGUCCCAGAUCUUGAUGAGAUGGUUGAAAAGGACAAGGCGAAGGAGGAAUUUCCAAAACAAUUUGAGGAGAAAUGGAAAUGGAUAGAAGAAAAGUUUAGGGCAAUAGAAAGCAUCGAAAGCUACGGAAUAGAUGCAAAGGAUCUGAGCUUGGUUCCGGACUUGGUGCUCCCUUACAAAUUUAAGAUGCCGAAAUUCGAGAAAUACAACGGGACUAGUUGCCCAGGAUCCCAUAUUACUAUGUUUUGUAGAAGAAUGACGGGGCAUAUUAAUAAUGAUCAAUUAUUAAUACAUUGCUUUCAGGAAAGUCUUACGGGAGCGGCGUCAAAGUGGUACAAUCAGCUGAGCCGAGCUAAAAUUGCUACUUGGAGGGAUUUAGCACAGGCUUUCCUGAGACAAUACAAUCAUGUCUCAGAAAUAAUGCCUGACAGGAUAACUCUGCAAAAUUUAGAGAAGAAAUCAAACGAAAGCUUCAGACAAUAUGCGCAGAGGUGGCGAGAGGUGGCAGUUCAGGUGCAACCACCGCUUUUGGAAAAAGAGAUGACAACGCUUUUUAUUAAUACUUUGAAAGCCCCGUUCAUCACUCACAUGUUGGGAAGCGCUUCAAAAAAUUUCUCGGAUAUAAUCAUGAAUGGUGAAAUGAUUGAGCAUGCCAUUAAAAGUGGAAAAAUAGAUGGAGGAGAAAAUAAUAGGAGGGCACCCCUGAAGAAAAGAGAAAAUGAAGUGAAUAAUGUGAAUGCUUAUGGUAGGUCAAUUACCGUGAAUCAACCAAAGAAAGUGGUUGCUAAUCAACAGGGAUCAUCAAGACAAGAGUCGGGAGCUAGGCAAACUACUGAAAAGCCCUAAUUCACGCCAAUCCCGAUGUCAUACAAGGAGUUGUAUCAGACUUUAUUCGAUGCACAUGUUGUUGCUCCUCGUUACUUGAGUCCUCUACAACCCCCGUAUCCAAAAUGGUAUGAUAUGAACGCGCAAUGUGAUUAUCAUGCGGGAAUUUCUGGGCACUCGAUAGAAAAUUGUACUGCCUUCAAGAAGGUAGUAGAAGGACUUAUCAAUUUAGGUGUCGUCAAACUUGACGACUCACCUAACGCAAAGAAUCCGUUACCUAAUCACGCAGAUAAAGGGGUGAAUAUGGUUAGCGAAGAUACGGGAGAAGAAGCCAAGACUGACAUUGCUGAAGUAAAAACUCCAUUGAAACGGGUCUGGAAAGAAAUGGCGAAAAGAGGUUUGGUUAUUUCAGAUUCUGAGGAAGGGCAUGAGAUGGGAAAUUAUUGUGAAUUUCACCAUAAAACAGGGCACGAAAUCCAAGAAUGUGAAGGAUUUAAGGCUUUGGUUCAAAGCAUGAUGGAUAACAAGGAGAUGAGGUUUUACGAAGAUGCGAAAGAAAUGAGGAGCAUAUGCGCGACAGAGUUGGGAACAAAGGCUCCAAAUCAUCCUGUGGUCAUUAUCUCACGCCCUAAGGGUAAGGAGGUUAGGGCUCAGGUAACACCGAAAAUUGUAAUCCAGAAACCAUCAAAUUUCUCUUAUAGGGAUAACAAAAUGGUACCGUGGAAUUACGGGUGUAAUGUGACCAUUUUGGGAAAAGAAGCAGAAAGAAAUCAGGAAAUAGGUUCUUACACGCGCAAUAGAAAAAGAUAUGACGCUCAAGCAGAGUCGUCCAGGGAAGAGAAUUGGAAGAAAGAACAGAGGAAAGGGAAAGCAGUAGAAGUUGAGCCAUUGGUAAAUGAACCAAAAAAAGAAGAGGAGGCAAAGGAGUUUUUGAAGUUUUUGAAACACAGUGAAUACAGUGUUGUGGAGCAACUACACAAACAGCCAGCCCGCAUUUCUGUAUUAGCUUUACUCUUAAACUCGGAAGUACAUCGGAAUGCACUAUUAAAGGUGCUAAACGAAACAUAUGUGGCUGACGAUAUUUCGGUAAACAAGCUGGAUCGGCUGAUCAACAAUAUUGGUGCUGACAAUUUUAUCUUCUUCAGUGAUGAUGAAAUACCAUCCGGAGGAAGAGGUUCUACUAAAGCCCUGCAUGUUACUGUCCGAUGCAAAGGGUACACACUCCCGGGGGCCUUGGUUGAUAAUGGAUCUGCACUAAAUGUAUUGCCUUUGUCCACUCUUAGUCGAUUACCAAUAGACAGUUCGCACAUGAAAGCAUGCCAGAACAUAGUAAGGGCAUUUGAUGGAACAAAAAAGGAGGUUAUGGGGAGAAUUGAGGUACCAUUAAGGAUUGGCCCAGUCACUUAUGAGGUGGAUUUCUUGGUAAUGGAUAUUAAACCCUCCUACAACUGUCUAUUGGGGAGACCGUGGAUACACUCAGCAGGGGCAGUACCUUCAUCAUUACAUCAGAAGGUGAAGUUGGUAUCGGAGGAUCGGUUGGUAACAAUAGAUGCAGAGGAGGAUAUUAUCGCAAUGAUGACUAGCGAUGCACCUUAUGUGGACAUCAACGAUGAGGCACUAGAAUGUUCUUUUCGGUCGUUAGAAUUUGUGAACGCGAUGUUUAUUGCGGAGGGAAAUAGAAUUCCAGUACCAAAAAUAUCCAGGACCACUGAGAUGGGAUUGCGAUUGAUGGUAGGAAGAGGAGCCUUACCCGGGAAAGGAUUGGGAAAAUAUCUUCAGGGAAGGAUUGAGGCACCAAUGCCGAAGGAAAAGUUUGAUAGAUUUGGUUUAGGGUACAAGCCAGACAUGAAGCAGAAGAAGAAAGAAGUAGAGAAGAGACAAGAGAGAAGAAGGGCGCGUUUGAAUGGACAUGAAGCUAAGUGUGAGCCUUUAACCUUUCCCCACAUAUCUACAUCUUUUGUGUCGGGAGGAUUUAUUCAUUCUGAAUGUGGAGUGUCCGGUAGCGGCAUGGGAGGAAUGUUGGAAAACGUUUAUACCAACGCCAUAGAAGCAACGGAAAGGAGGGCCUUGUUGGAGAUCUGCCCUUAUGAGCCUGGAAGCGAGCUAAACAAUUGGACUGCUGAAGAAAUCCCUGUAGUCUUUAGGGCUUAUUCAGAGUAAUGCUCAAAACAUUCCUGUUGUUUGUUGGCCUAGAAACGAUAUGAAAUCUUUUGUGAAAUAGGCAUUGGGCCUAAAUAUCAUUAUUUUAAUGAAAUACGUGUCUACGUUCAUCUCGAUCAGUCACUUUUUUUUCCUUUCAUAUUUUUCAUUUGGUUGAUUGUCUUACAAAUAAUUCUUUCAUUUGUAAUUCUUUUGCACAAACAUAUUCAUAAAUUUAUAUUCUUGGUAUAUUCUUUGAUGCGCCCUCAUAGGUCUUCAGAUAUCAAUGACAUGAGUGACGCUGCCUCAAACACGGAGCCUAUUUUUGAGCAAAAAGUGUGUUCAGAGGGAUCCCACGACUUUGACGAAGAUUAUGAUGCAUCUCCGGACUUGUUAAGAAUGAUGGAACAAGAGGAUAAGCAUAUCCUACCUCAUAGGGAAUCGUUAGAAAUAGUGAGCCUAGAGGAUGGAAAGGAGGUGAAAAUUGGAUCUGAAAUCACCGCAAAGACAAGGCAAGACCUCAUUAAUUUGCUCCGAGAGUUCAAGGAUGUUUUCGCGUGGUCGUACCAAGAUAUGCCUGGGCUAAGUACUAACAUUGUGGUGUAUCGUCUGCCCAUAAAGGAGGAUUGUAAACCCGUUCAACAGAAGCUUAGGAGAAUGAGACCUGACAUUGUGUUGAAAAUAAGAGAAGAAGUCAAAAGACAAUUCGACGCUGGAUUCUUACAAGAAGUCAAGUAUUCGGAUUGGGUAGCCAACAUCGUCCCAGUUCCCAAAAAAGAUGGAAAGGUACGAAUGUGUGUGGAUUAUAGGGAUUUAAACAAGGCUAGUCCAAAGGACAACUUUCCACUGCCUCAUAUUGAUACUUUGGUAGAUAACACGGCGGGCUAUUCAUUGUUUUCUUUCAUGGACGGUUUUUCUGGAUACAAUCAAAUAAAGAUGCAUCCUGGAGACAUGAGGAAAACCACAUUCAUUACCUUAUGGGGAACAUUCUGUUACAAGGUAAUGCCCUUCGGAUUGAAGAAUGCGGGAGCAACAUAUCAAAGAGCUAUGGUGACUUUGUUUCACGACAUGAUGCACAAAGAGAUCGAAGUCUAUGUUGACGAUAUGAUCGCGAAGUCUAGAACGGAAGAAGAGCAUGUUCAGGUCUUGAAAAAGUUAUUUUUGAGAUUAAAGAAAUUUCAGCUCAAGCUUAACCCGGCCAAAUGCACGUUUGGAGCCAGAUCAGGGAAGUUAUUAGGCUUCAUAGUUAGCAAAAAGGGGAUCGAGGUUGACCCAGACAAAGUAAAGGCAAUACGAGAUUUACCUCCCCCGCGCACUCAGAAGGAGGUUCGAGGUUUCCUAGGGAGGCUGAAUUACCUUGCUCGGUUCAUCUCAUAACUGACAGAGAAAUGUGAUCCAGUAUUCCGGCUCUUAAAGAAACAUAAUCCGGGUGAAUGGGAUGAAGAGUGUCAGAGGGCUUUCGAUAAGAUAAAGCAGUACUUGGCUAAUACCCCAGUCUUAUCACCUCCAAGUCCAGAUAGGCCAUUGAUAUUGUAUCUAACAGUGUUGGAGAAUUCCAUGGGAUGCGUAUUGGGCCAACAUGAUGAGAUAGGAAAGAAAGAAAGGGCAAUAUACUACCUCAGUAAGAAAUUUACCGAUUGCGAAAUGAGGUACUCAUCAAUUGAGAAGUUGUGUUGCGCUCUAAUCUGUGCAACCCGAAGACUGAGGCAGUAUAUGUUGUAUCACACGACUUGGCUGAUUUCAAAGUUAGAUCCUUUAAAGUAUAUGAUGGAAUCGACUGCUUUGAACGGGAGAAUGGCUAGAUGGCAGAUCUUGCUCUCAGAAUUUGAUAUAGUAUAUGUCAGUCAGAAGGCCAUAAAGGGAAGUGCAAUAGCCGAUUUCCUAGCUAGUAGAGCCUUGGAGGACUAUGAAUCUUUGAAUUUCGAUUUUCCAAACGAGGACUUGAUGUAUGUGGCGAAUACUGAAGAAAAUCCUUAAAUGGAUCGCGUAUGGAAGUUAAAUUUUGAUGGAGCUUCAAAUGCUACGGGUAAUGGAGUUGGGGCAGUUUUGGUAUCCCCAAGUGGAGAUCAUUAUCCUGUUGCUAGCAAGUUGGACUUCGAUUGUACAAAUAACAUGGCAGAAUAUGAAGCAUGUAUUAUGGGCAUUCGUGCAGCCAUUGAACGGAACAUCAAAGUACUGAGAGUAUACGGGGAUUCAGCGUUGGUGAUAUACCAACUCAAAGGGGAGUGGGAGACUAGGGAUCCUAAGCUAAUCGGUUAUAGAAAACUAGUUCUUGAAUUGGCUGAGGAGUUUGACGAUAUCACCUUCUAUUACCUCCCACGGGAGGAAAACCAAAUGGCUGAUGCUUUAGCUACUCUAGCUUCGAUAAUUCAGGUGAAUAGACUUGAGGCAAUGAGGCCUGUUCAGAUGAGUAUCUCUGAGACCCCGGCUAAUUGCUGCAAUAUUGAGGAGGAGGGAAAAGAUGAUUGUCCUUGGUAUCAGAGUAUCCUACAAUAUGUGAAGAAUCGGGAAUACCCUGAUCAAGCGACAGAGAAUGACAAAAGAACUCUGAGAAAGAUAGCCAUUGAAUAUGUCUUAGAUGGAGAAGUGUUAUAUAAAAGAAGGAAGGAUCAAGUACUGUUAAGGUGUGUGGAUGCUGUGGAAGCCAAGAAAAUUUUGGAAGAAGUCCAUGAGGGUAUUUGUGGGACGCACGCCAGUGGUUUCACGAUGGCCAGACAGAUCAUGAGAUUUGGGUACUAUUGGCCCACCAUGGAAGGAGAUUGUAUUGAUUAUGCCAGGAAGUGCCACAAAUGCCAAAUUUACGGAGACAAAAUGCACGCGCCCCCUUCACCUCUUCACGUCAUGACCUCUCCUUGGCCGUUUUCCAUGUGGGGUAUGGAUGUUAUUGGGCCAAUAUCACCAAAGGCUUCUAAUGGGCAUCGCUUCAUCUUCGUAGUAAUUGAUUACUUUACUAAGUGGGUGGAGGCUGCUUCAUAUGCAAAUGUCACGAAAGCAGUAGUCAGCAAAUUCUUGAAGAAGGAGAUCAUUUGUCGAUAUGGAAUGCCUGAGAGGAUCAUAUCCGACAAUGCGAUGAACUUGAAUAAUAGCACAAUAGCUGAAGUUUGUAGCAAAUUUAAAAUUAAGCAUCAUAACUCAUCGCCGUAUCGUCCCAAAAUGAAUGGUGCAGUGGAGGCGGCCAAUAAGAACAUUAAAAGGAUUGUGGGGAAAAUGACUGAAACCUACAAGGAUUGGCAUGAGAAAUUAUCAUUUGCUCUCCUUGCCUAUCGAACAUCUGUUAGAACUUUUACUGGGGCAACGCCUUUUUCUCUGGUUUAUGGAAUGGAGGCAGUAUUACCUAUUGAAGUUGAAAUCCCUUCUCUACGGGUGUUAUCUGAGCUACAGUUGGAUGAAGCCGAUUGGAUCCAAUCUCGGUACGAUCAGUUGAACCUAAUAGAAGAAAAGAGGCUAAGAGCUAUUCACCAUGGGAAAAUGUACCAGAAACGAAUGAUGCGAGCCUAUAAUAAAAAGGUUCGCCCCCGAGAAUUUCGUGAAGGGGACUUGGUACUAAAAAAGAUUCUUUCUAUGCAAAAAGAUUUUAGAGGAAAAUGGAUGCCAAAUUGGGAAGGCCCUUAUGUUGUAAAGAAGGCCUUUUCUGGUGGAGCUUUGAUCCUAUGCGAGAUGGAUGGCAAAAGUUUACCAAAUCCUGUAAACGCAGACUCCGUCAAGAAAUACUUCACUUGAAAGAAAGGGGAACCAAAGUGAAAACCCGUGAAGGGCGCUUUGCUUCCUAAAAAAAAAAGAAAAAAAAAAACUUUGGGGAGGCUAAGGUGAAAACCCGUAAAAGGCACUUUGAGACCAAAGAGGGCUGGAGUCGAAAACCUGAAAAAGGUGACUCAAGUACUGGGCAGGAUUGGAACAUCAGGAUUUGAGCGGAUCAAAUUUUGAUCGGGGGCAUAUGAUUAUCUUGCUUUACUUGAACCAAUAAGAAAGGAUAUGCAACGUCUUGGAACAUGGACAGAGUAUUCCAGAUCUCCUGAACACAUGUCAAACUCAGAAGGGUCUUCGGAAAGUUUGUACAGAGAAACUCAAGCUGCGAUAACUGGGGCACCUAGUUCUUAUGUGUAUUCUUGAAAAUACAUUUUUUUAUUUUCUUUCUUUCUUCCUUUCUUUUGGUGAAAACGCACAUUCUCAAUCCAUUUCUUUGUUACCUUGCUUUCGCCAUCUUUGAUGUUUUAUUCGAGUUAUGAUCAGAACUAGCUUUAUUCUUAUCCAUUGUUAUGAUCUUUUUGCAAACAUGUUGCAUAGGAAUAAUGAUUAACGAACUAAUAAAACUUUCAGGAAAGAAGUUUUGCACAUUACUCUGGAAAAUUUCUAAAUAAUAUAGGGACCUGAAUCAUGACUAUUGUUUAGAAAAUACCAAGUUUAAAGGGUGAAAUAUCUAAGAAGGAAGAGUCUAAUUUAAAGACUAUCCUUUCAGAUUUUGUUGUCUAAACAUUGAUUGAACAAAAUGACAAGCUGUCGUGUUACAAAGCUUAAAUGAACAAGCAAGCAAUGAUCAUCAGGCAAUAGGAAGAGGUUACCUCGGAGAAGAGAGCCUUCACUUGCGCAUAAGACUUUGGUACGACACCUUGAGAAUGGUGUAGGAAACCAGAACGGUUCAGAUCCUAUAUCCCCGAAUUGUGAUAAAAGAGGACAGAGGAAAAGCCACAUAUUUCUACCCUUAGAUUACUGUGAGAGAAUGAUGGUACAAAUUUUGGCGUCCCAGUGGAUAUAACUUUGAGGUUUACAAUGGGGACAGUCUGGCUAAAUGUUUCUUCAGAAAAAAAAAUCAGUCAAGCGAGAAGGCGUUGCAGCACGUCAGUCACAAAGCCUUAGUAAACUUCGAGUAAUGACAACCUAAGCGAGAUCAUUCUCGGAAAAAUAAAAUUCUGCAUUCAUGCGAACACCAUUCACAUAUGUCUAGUUAGGAGCAUUUGUUUCAUUUUGAUCAUGUCAUCCUAAUCAUUAGGCAUAAUUAGGUUUAUUAUACAGGUCUUAUCUCCCUGAGAUUACAGUGGAACAGACCAAAGAAUUUCAGAUCCUAUCUCCCUGAGAUUACAGUGGAGCGGAUUAAAAUAAAGGAUCUUAUCUCUCUGAAGUUACAGCAGAGUAGAUCGCAUCAAGUCUUAUCACCCUGAGGUUACAGGGGAGUAGACCGAAGAAUUUCAGAUCUUAUCUCCCUGAGGUUACAGUGGAGCAGAUUGAAGCCAGAGAUCUUAUCUCUCUGAGAUUACAGCGGAGUAGAUUGAAGCUAGUAAUCCUAUCUCUCUGAAGUUACAGUGGAGCGGAUUAAAAUAAAGGAUCUUAUCUCUCUGAAGUUACAGUAGAGUAGAUCACAUCAGAUUGAAGCCAGAGAUCUUAUCUCCCUGAGAUUACAGUGGAACAGACCGAAAAAUUUCAGAUCUUAUCUCCCUGAGAUUACAGUGGAACAGACCGAAAAAUUUCAGAUCUUAUCUCCCUGAGAUUACAGCGGAGUAGAUUGAAGAUAGUAAUCCUAUCUGCCUGAGAUUACAGUGGAGUGGAUUAAAAUAAAGGAUCUUAUCUCUCUGAAGUUACAGUAGAGUAGAUCACAGCAGACAAAACCACAGAUCUUAUCUCCCUAAGCAGUUAGUGGAACAGAUCACAUCAAGUCUUAUCUCCCUAAGUAGUAGUGGAGCAGACUAAAAACACAAAUCUCAUCCCCAUGGAGUCGUAGCAAAGUAUAUUGAAGCUACAAGGCGUAUCUGAACUUGAAGUAGAGUGGAUCGAAGCAACAAGAUGUAGCAGGCUGGAAUAAGGCUACUUGAAGAAGAGAAGCACCCAAAGAAGUCAAGCCUCGGUGAGACCAGGCAAAUUUGGUCUUUUUUAGUCUUUGCUCUGUUCUUGUUACACAAAAACGAGCAAAGAGGGGCAGCUGUAGAAGCCCAAAUUUGCCGGGCCCAUACCAACAAAAUAACCCAAACAAUAAACCCGAAGCCCAACUACCCCAGCCCAUUAACCUAAGCUCAGCAUUCAGAAACCCUAAUCCCACUAACCCUAGCCACCUACCCCCCACUUGCCCACUUGCCCACUUGCGCCGAACACCACCAUGCCACUGUCGGCCAUGGCCACCUGCAAGAAGCCAAGUAGAAAUAAACAAAUAGAAAAUAAACAUUUGUAAUCGGUUAUAAAAACCGAAAAUCUCACCAUUGAUAAAGGGGAUUUUUUAUUUUUUGCUAUGAAAACAAAAGAUUUUCUUUCAAUAUUAACAGAUUCAAUACAAGAACCAUUCGAAAAUAUAUAUACUAUCAGGGGCUCUAACACCAAAUCGGAGAAUCAAAUCUAAAACCUAAGGUGACUCUUUCUUUUUUUUUUCUUUACUGUUUUGAGUUUAUUUUCUACAUAAAAAUACUAAAAAAUAUUAAAACAUAAAAAUAUAUGCAUUAUUAAGCAAAAAAAAAGAAAAAAAGAAAAAAAAUAUUUUUUUUACCUUUUCCGGCCACCGCGUGCGGUGGCCGGCGCCGGCGCCGGCGAGCCUCCGGUGGCCGUCCGGUGACCGGCCCCCUGGCCGGAUUCCCCUUUCCCCCUCCCUUCUCUCUCCCUUCUCUCUUCCCUCUCUCUCUUCUUUUUUUUUCUUUCCCUCUCCCCAAAUGAUUUUUUUUGGCUAUUUUAGGCCUUUAUAUAGCCCUCCAAAACGACGUCGUUUUGGGGGCUACACUUAAGCCUCAAAACGACGUCGUUUUGACCAUUGCCCGACCCAUCCGACCCGACCCGCUAGAGGAUCCGCGUGUUUUCGUUUGAAUGGGAUAUUUAUGCGCCCAGUCCUUCCGCUUUUUCAAGGUUUUGCAGUUAAGUCAUUUUUCUUGUUUCCAAUUUGGCCCCAUAAUUUCUCAUGCUUUUCGAUUUAGUCCCCGCUAAUGUGCUGUGUUUUAAUGGAAUGGAAUAAUUGUUGUUUCGGUCCCCCUAUGUUUUGUGCGCGCUCAAAUAAGCCCAUUUCUCUUUAUUUCCUUUCACAUUUGCCCCACAACUUUGUUUUUAAUUCAAUUUUAGUCCUUUUUCGUUUAUUUUUAUAUCUUUAUUAAAUAUCAUUGUUAUUUUAUAUUAUUAGUAUUAUUAGUAUUACUAUUAUUAUUAUUAUGUAUUAGUAUAUAUUUUUAUUAUGUACGCGUAUACAUGUAUAUAUAUUUUCAUAUUUAAUAUUUUUAUUUCAUUUUUUUCUAAUAUUUUAUUAUAAUUUAUAUAUAUAUACAUAUACAUAUUCUUUAUUAUUUAAGUAUAUAUUUUUUAUAUUUCAUAUUUUCUACAGGCAUAUAUAUACUUAUAUAUUUACAUAUUUUAAUUCAUAUACUUAUAAAUGUAUGUACAUACUUACGUUAUUUUAUUUUUAUAAUAUACAUAUUUAUAUUUUUUUGUCUUUAUGUAAUAUAUAUACAUACAUGCGCAUGUUAUUUUUAUAUAUGUAAUUAUGUUUUCAUAUUUUAUACUUCUUGUACAUACACAUAUAUAUAUGUAUAGACAUACAUAUUUUCAUUAUAUAUAUAUACCUACAUAGUUUUUUUUUUGUAUUUUAAAUCUUUUAAAAUUCAUACAUGCAUUUUUAAAACUUUUAUAAUUUUAUUCAUUUCUUUAUUAUUAUUAUUGUUUUACUUUAUGUUUAUCUAUUUAUUUAUGUGUCCAUUAUUAUUUUUUUUAAAAAAUGUUUUAGUUUUUUUUAUUUUGUUUAUUUACUUGUUAUUGUAUAUAAUUGAUUUUUUAUAUAUUUAUUUUUGUUAUCUUCGCUCGUAUUAUUUUUACUCGCAUUAUCGUAAUUGUUAUUCCGUCACAUCAAUUUUUACCCAAAUUCGUAAAAAAGGGAAAAUUUUGGAAAUAAAGGCAAUACUCGAUACUUGGGAUCUUCGAGAGAAUUGGGCCCUAACGUGCUGGGUUCUAAUUUUCUGUUGAAUCUAAAUGCUCGAGAAUGCUCUUUAAUAUAAAACAUAAAUAAAAACUCAUUAUCGGGAUUUCAAUAUGUUGUGUCCUAACGCAUUGGAUAUGACAUGUGGUUUUCUCGAUAUGAGGAUUUUUUUUUUUCGAAAGUAAAGACAAUAUUCCGUAUUUAGAAAAUUCGAGAAAAUCAUGCCCUAACUUACUGAGCUUCGAUUUUUCUCGUUGAUUCUAAGUAAUCGAAUAUCCUUUUAAAAUUAAAAUAAAUGAGGUUUAAAUAAAAAAAUGAAAGGCAAGUUUACUCUCGAAAAUACGAGGUGUCGUGUCCUAACUUACUGGAUGUAACAUCUUGUUACUUCGAGAUAAAGAGGCAUUUUCCAUUUUGAUUUAUUCGAGUAUUUUUAAAAUAACACGAUAUAAGGAGGGAUCAUAUUUUUAAGAUUCUUUUCGAGUUUUUAAUUUUCGACACUAAGACACUAAUUAAUCAACUAGGUACCAAUUUUGGGCGUAUCGAGGGUGCUAAUCCUUCCUCGUGCGUAACCGACUCCCGAACUCAUUUUUCUGAAUUUCGUAGACCAAAAUCGUUGUUUUAAUAAAAUUAAAUCAUUUAUUAAAAACAACCACUUUUUGAGGUGACCCGAUCACACCUCAUCAAAAAAGGAUUGGUGGCGACUCCCAAUUUCGUUUCAUUUUCAAAAUCCAAGUUGACCCCGUUUUCAUCCAAAAAAUGGUGUCAACAAAAUUUUCUUUAAUAUAUUCACUAUAAGAGCCAAUAAUAUUUAUGAAACUUAACAAAACAUUAUGACUAAUGAGAAAUAAAGAUAAAAUUAAAAAAAGAAGAAGCAAUAAUUGAAUCGAAAUUACAGCACUUGGAAGACUAAAUUUGCAAUCAAUCGAAAACAUGAGGACUAAAACCAUAAUUAAACACAAUGGUUCAAACAUUCAAAUUCAGAUAAUGGAAACGUCGCCGUUUAACUAUGAACCAAAUUGAAACCAGAUUAAAUCAUACGGUAUAAAUCGAAAAAUUGCAGAAAAUCGAAUUAGAACAAUACAAGAUAAAAGAGGACUGAUUGCGGAAAUAGUCCAAUGAACCAGAAUGCGCGGAUCCUGCCCCGGGUCGGGUCACCGCGUGGGUCCAAGGACGCUAAACGGCGUCGUUUCUUUCACACUAUAUAAGCUAAAAUAAACCUAAAACCUAAAGCUCUCAGUCAUUUUUUAAGAAAAAAAACCUAAAAGAAAACUAAACUCCUGGCGCCGCUUCAGCGUCGAAAACCCCCCUCGCCUAUUCAAUCUUGGCCUGAACGGGGGAGGGAUUCGGCGACUCACCGAUCCAGGUAAGGUUUCUGAACUGUCCUCCCUUUUUAUUUUAUAUAUAUGCUUAUAUAUGUGAUUACUAGCAAACAGAAAAAAAGAAAAAGCAAUCGGAAAAGGAACAGAACCGAAAAGAGGAAAAAAGAAAACCUUUUUUGUAUUGAUUUCGUUUUUUUUUUAUACAGUCUCCCCUUCCGGAGUACAUGAGAAAAUAAGGCUCUCAUAGCCCGAAAAAUAAAAAAUAAACCCUCUUUUCUCCUUUUUUCUUUUGUUGUUAUCGUUUUUUGCUUUUUUUCUUCUUCUUUUGCUGUUGUCUUGUUAUUUGCUGCAGGUACGGGUACGCGUGACGUGGCUCAACGCGUAUGGAGGCAGAGGCUGGCGUGGAGCGGCUCGGAGGCGUGGCUGCAGCGCUGGAGGCUGAAUGUUGCUAGGGUUUGCUGCUGUGCAUUCUGGUGUUGGGCCAUUUGGGCUGAGUUGGUUUGCUGGGCUUAGAAUCAGGUUUAGGUUUGGGCUAGGGUCUAGGCAAAUUGGGUUUGGUGAAUUUUUUUGUAAUUUGGACUGUUAUUUUAUUUGUUUUUUUAUUAUUUAUUUUAAUAGCGGGCUGGGCAAAUUGGGCCUAUUACAAUAUAUAUAACCAAAUUUUGUAACACCCAUUUUAUGUUAAAAAUAUUUUCUUUAAAAUUAAGUAUAGGUUGGGUGGUAAAGUACUUAUAUUUUAAUACUAGUAAAUACAUGUUCAAUCUUUAGAUUUAUAAUUUAUAAUUCUUUUAAUUAAAGAUGAUAUACAAGUAUGAAAAGACAAAAGUGACAUAGUAAUAAUAUUAAUUAUAAAUUUUAUAAUUUCAUAAUUGAGUUGAUGACGUGGUUGAAGGUGGCACUAACUCUAAAACACUUAAAUAUAAUAAUAGCUUAAAAAUAAGGGGCUUUUGGAAAAUACAUUUCUGAGUUGGUGACCUGAGGGUCACACCAACUCAAUAAAACUCUUAAAUAUUGAUUACAAAUCCUAUCACACACUUAUGUGUAUCAAUAUCACAAAUUUAGAAUAUAAAGAUGUGUUUAAAAUUAACAUACAAUAAAGAAUGAAAUUUAUGGUUUGAAACUAAUUAGUAAUAACACAUGAAAUAUGUAUGAUAUUAAAAUGAAAAAAGAGAGAUUAAAUUGUGCAUAAAACAAAAUUUUAUCCUAUUACAUCAAUAAAGUUAUAUUUAUUACCCUCGCCAAUUAUUUGUCAUUAAGAACAUUAAAGUAUCCUUGAAUGAUAUAACUUAUUCUAAAUAGAGUUGAUGUAUGGUUGGCUUGGGAUACCAACUCAGUCAGGAGCUUAAGAUUAUUAAAAUAUUCUUAUUUUAAAGAGAAAUUAAUAUUAUUAUAAGAGCACGUUUGGUUCGUUGUAUUGGAUUAGAGGCGUAAUGGAAUAGAGGUGUAAUGGAUUAGAGGUGUAAUGGAAUAGAGGUGUAAUAGCAAAUCAACUGUUUGGUUAAAUGUAAUGGAAUAGAGGCGUAAUAGUAAUCUUGUAUUUGGUUGAAUGAAAUAGAGGUGUAAUAGCAUAAUGGGAAAAACUAAAAUGACUAGAAUACCCUUAGCAUAAAUUUGUUAAUGAUUAUUGUUAUUGUUAUUUAAAUUUUAAUAAGAUUAUUAUUAUCAAUAAUAAAUAAUUUAAUCAUAUUUAAACAUAAUUAUUAUUAAAUAUAUUAUAAUUAAAAUAUAUAAUUUAAUAAAAUUCUUAAUAAUCAAUAUUCUUAUAUGAAUUUACUCAAAUCAUAAUAUAUGAUACUAUAAAAUUUAAAUUAACAUAAUUAUUAUUAAAUAUAUUAUAAUUAAAAUAUAUAAUUUAAUAAAAUUCUUAAUAAUCAAUAUUCUUAUAUGAAUUUACUCAAAUAAUAAUAUAUGCUACUAUAAAAUUUAAAUUAACAUAAUUAUUAUUAAAUAUAUUAUAAUUAAAAUAUAUAAUUUAAUAAAAUUCUUAAUAAUUAAUAUUCUUAUAUGAAUUUACUCAAAUCAUAAUAUAUGAUACUGUAAAAUAUAAAUUAAAAUAAUAAUUAUUACAUAUAAUUUAAUAAUAAUAUAUAAUUUAAUAAAAUUCUUAAUAAUUAAUAUUCUUAUAUGAAUUUACUCAAAUCAUAAUAUAUGAUACUAUAAAAGAUAAUUUGAAAUAAUUAUAACUAAUAAAUUAUAUUUUAUGAAUUUGUAUAAUUUAAAAUAAUAAUUAUUACAUAUAAUUUAAUAAUAAUAUAUAAUUUCAUAAAAUUCUUGAUAAUAAAUUUUCUUAUAUGAAUUUAUACAAUUUAAAAUAAUUAAUAUUAAAUAUAAUUUAAUAGUGAUAUAUAAUUUCAUAAAAUUCUUAAUAAUAAAAUGUUCUUAUAUGAAUUUACUAAAAUCAAUAUAUAACUUGAGAAUUAUAUUCUGCAUAAACAUAAUUAACUUAUAUUAAGAAAAGGUUAGAUGAAAAUGAAAUUCUACAUCAUAAUCCAUAUGUUAUAUAGUUUUACAACAUCAAAAAGUUUGAACAUUGAUAUUUAAUGGUGAGAAAGAAAUCUUCUGACCCAUUCCAAUCGGGCAACAGAAGGUAAACUAAAGAAAACGAUCAUUUGAGUUGGAUGAUCUGGAAUUUUACUCAAAGCAUCAUACCGCUGAUCGUCAGUUAAACCUUCAAUUGACCAUAGGGCUGAAUAUAAAUUUGAAGCUUUCUCUUCCAUCUUUUGAUAUUCUUCUGACUUCUGCUGAACUACCACCUCGAAGGCAAUACUCCUACUGAUUUGAUCGCCAACGGCCUGGAUUUUUUCCCCCAACAAAGUGGCAGCCUCAUCAAAUGAAGAAUACACAUUAUCACGAGCAUCAGAUUUCUUCUUUCUCUUGUUUGAAGAUGAGGAACCCCCUUGGUCUCUAUCUCCUCACGGAUCUGUACCAGAAACAUCCAUGUCGUCUAAAGAGACGUCAGCUUCGCAGUCAUAGAAUGUGUUUCUCUCUUCAUUCAUAUCUGUAGUACGUACAUCCUCAGCAUGUAUUUCUUCAAGAACAUCAGCAGCUGUUUGAGCGUCUUUCCCAGUUGCUCGAUCUCUUGCUUAUAUGGUAGUAAGCUGGUCAUAGUAAGAGAAAGUACGAUAUUUGAAUUGAGUGGCUUCUCUGUGACUCUAAAAAAAAUGAGGAAAUCAUAUUAGUCAUAAGUUUGGUAUAAAUAAGAUAAUAAAGACUUGAAAUAAUCUUACCUUUAAAUAGGACUCCCAAACCGUAUCUUCAGCAACAACGAGCUGCCUAUGCUCGUCCCAACCAAAACCGCUAUUGUUUUGGCCAUUAAGCAUGUCAUAAACGAUUGACCACUCCCUUUUUAGUAACCUAACCCUUGAUUCAAUAUUAGGUUUCGCCUUCAACAUUGCAUUUAGUAAAACCGUUUGUAGCAUUCUUUCCAACUCGUUCAAAUAACCGGCUUUGAACCCGGUAUCAGCAUUAAAUGUUCCAACAUUGUGCAGGUCCACCAUGCAGGAAACUAAUGCUGCAUCUUCUUCUGGAACCCAUUUUCUUUUGCUUCCUCGAGAAGCUUGAGAAGAAGCAUUUGAUUCUGGAACACCUGACAUAAUGAUCUUAAGAACAAAAAAAAAACAAAUUAUAUUAAUUACUAUUUUAAUAUCAUGAUUCAAAAGGUCAACACUAUAUAAAAUCUAAGGAAUUAAGUUGAAUAUCAUGAAUCAAAAGCUCCAUACCACAAAAAAUUUAAAAUUAUAACACAUGCUGAAUUAGAAGAAAUUAUAUUAUAAUUCAACAAGUUUAGUACAAUACAAAAAUCAAUACAAAAGUUUCACAAACUAAUUUCUAGAUGCUUGCCAUUCAUCGAACAUUUGGUUGGCUAGUUCCAUCCUCCAAGUAGCCCAAGCAUCUGAUGGAUGAAUAUUUGUGAUAUUCGGUUCAUCGUCAUCCACCACAUUAAUUGUAGGUAAUCCUUCUCCCACCUCCGCUUCAAUGGGAUCAAUACUCAUAUGGGUUCGAAUAAAAUUAUGGAGCAAACAACAUGCAAUAAUAAUUCUAUUGUGCACCCUUACAGGAUAGAACGAUGGACUCCUAAGUAUUCCCCAUCUAAGUUUUAAUAAGCCAAAGCAUCUUUCAAUAACAUUACGUGCUGAGGCAUGUUUCAUAUUAAAAAACUCUUGCGGAGAACUUGGCUGAUAACCCUGACGCCACUCGUUCAAAUGAUAUCGCUGUUCUCUAAAUGGUGCAAGAAAUCCCUCACAAUUUGUGUAUCCAGCAUCAACUAGAUAAUAACAACCUAUAAAAUAAAUUUUUUUUUAAAAUGAUUAAUUCAGCACACAAAGUUUACUAAAAAAAUAAUUCAAAGUCCUCUAACUAUACACUUUACCAUGAGGAACUUUUAAUCCAUGUCUUCUACUAAUGGCAUCUCGAAGAACCCGUCCAUCAGCAACUAAACCUUCCCAACCAGGAAGAACAUAAACAAAUUGCAUCUCAGGUGUACAAACACCUAGCAUAUUUGUUGCUAUGUCACCUUUUCACGUUCGAUAUCUAGGUUUAUCAACUGUUGGAACCCUAAUCUUGAUGUGGGUUCCAUCAAGAGCACCUAAGCAAUUCUAUAUCACAUGAUAUAAAACCUUGAGUUAGAAUACUAAUUUAAAUCUAAAUCAAGUAAAUGUUGUUGAAGAUAUAUAUAAAACUUAGUCCAAUACCUUAAACCAUUUCCACCUUGUGUCAGAAGAAUCAGCUGUAAUUAGCUCUGGCUUUUUAAAUAACACAUCUUGUAAGCGUAUGACAGCAUUUAAAACACUAUGAAAUGCUCUGCUAACAGUUUCCCCGGACCUUCUAAAGUGAUGCUUGAUAACUCGAUUUUUCAGGUGAUGGGAGAUGAUAAGUAAAAACAUUGCUACUUGCUCGUCAACAAGCAUGAACCUUGUCGACUUCAAUCCCCUAUCGAUUCUAACAUCUCACAUUGUUUAAAAAAGGCAGCUCUAUUCAUCCUAACUUGUUCAAUACAGGUCUCGUCACUAGCAUAUACAAGCCUCUUCACAUAAUCCCGUUUUGCAUAAAAAUCUACGGUAUAGGACCUAAUCCUUGGUCUAUGUAGCCUAAGGCUGGCACCCAUUCUAAAUAAGAACCAAAUCGCGAUUCUACAGAUUUCCAACCAUAUUGUCACAGCAAUACCAAUUCUUUUACGCCUCACACUUUGUGCAAUUAAAGGCAGACGAGCCAUUACUGCAACAUUUAGAACACACAUAGUUUAAACUCACGAAUUUAGAACACACGAUAGUUUGAACAUUAAUUAGUUUGAACAUUUCAUUUCGUAUAAAUAUAUUGAUUAGUUAAUUAAAGCAUGUUCAAUGUUUGAACAUUGAUAGUUUGGACAUUUAAAUUUAAAUUUAAAUAUAAUUUCGUAUAAUGAAAUUUAAGAUUUAAUAAAGGUGAGUAUCAAAGUUUGAUCAUUGAAUAAUCUUUUUUAUUGAUGAUUAGUUUAAUUAAGGUUUUCUAAUUUCAAAAUAAAUAAAAUGAAGAAUGAAGAUUUGGUUUAAUAAUGAAGAUUUGGUUUAAUAAAUAAAAUGAAGAAUGAAGAUUUGGUUUUCUAAUUUCAAAAUAAAUAAAAUGAAGAAUGAAGAUUUGGUUUAAUAAUGAAAAUGAAGUUUUAAAAUUUUUAUAACAUUUUAAAUGGUAAUUUUAUUUUGUAAAAAUAUAUAUAACUUUUAUCUCAUUUACAUGUACAAAUUAAUAUUAACAGUAUUGUAUUUGCAAUUAUGAUUGGAAAGAUUGAAAUCUAGUAUUGUAUUUACAUGUACAAAUUAAUAUUAUUUAAGCCCAUUAUUUGUAGGCAUAAUGCUCUUUAAGAUUGAACAUAAUUAAAGGUUGAACAUAAUUAUUAUUAUUUGAAUAAUAUCAAUUAAAGGUUGAACAUAAUUAUAUAUUAGUAUCAAAUUUGUAUGUACUCUUUAUAUGUACUCUUUCACUAAUAAAUUAUAUAUCAAAUUUGUAUCACAUUGAUUUUAUGUACGCUUUCAGUAAUAAGUUAUAUAUUAGUAAAAAGUUGGUGCAUUGGUACACCAAAUAAUUUGAAUACAUACUACUUUCUUUAAAAAAAAUGUUACCUAUUAGUAAAAACAUAUAACCUAUUUGGGAAACAACAAAAGCUGUAAUGACCAUAAUUAUGCAAAUUGGUGAUAAAAAAGAACAAUAAUUAUGCAGCAAUAACCAUAACCAUACAAACAAAAGCUGUAAUGAGCAAUACAAACAUACAAACAAAACCAUAUUCAUUUGGGAAACAACAGAAGCAGCUACAGCAAUACAAACAUAACCAUACAAGGAAAACAUACUAAUAAACCAUGAAUACCAAUGGAAAACUAACCUGUAAUGAGCAAAUCGGGGACGACUGCGAUGUAGAAGUGUUGGAACAAAGAACCUGUAACCAGUAAAGGGAAAUCAAUGUUACAAAAAUAAUCAGUUUAUAAAAUUGAUCAUACACUUUACCAAAGCAGCCUCUCAUUUAGUAACCAGUCCUUUAGAUUAUUAAAUAUACCAACUUGGCAGCUUUGAAUAUAUAUGCAAAGCCAUUUUACUUUAAAAUACAUCCCUCCAUUUAUCCUCUUUAAUGUGGUUCACUAGCACCAAGGAAGGCUUAGCAAUGAGGACUUUACAUUCCCUUUCGAAUUUUAAAAUCCCAGGGUUUACCAUCACAAGAAGAUACAUCCUUAUUCAAUCACACUCACCAACUAUUAUGUAAUUACUAAAAAAUGCAACCAAAAUGGGGUUGGCCUAACAUAAAUCAUACACCACACCAUCAAUUGAAGGUUAAUUCAUGGUAACAUUAGUAUUGAAAGGUUGCGUUGUGGGCAGCCUAAGAGGACUCGCAACACUAGGCUUAAUUGCUGUAACAUAUCACAUUCGGAGGCUGGUUCGGACAGCAUCAAUAAUACAAUAUUUAGACAUCAUUAACAACGCAAUAUUCGAACAACAUCAAUACCACAAUCGGACAGCAUAAACAGGGCAGCAAUUAACAAUACCAACAAGGUAAAAUUCGGACGGCAAUUUAACAGUUUCAACAAUUAUCAAACACAAGAAAAUAGAAGUUCAAGGAAAACUCGCCAAGGUUCCCAACACCAAUUUUACCUAUUUAAUUUACUUCUUCCCUUUUCCGCUACAGCCUUCUCCCACCUUGUUAGCUAAAUACAAUGAACCCAAAAGUUACAAAAAUGGUGUAUAACAACUCAAGCAUUCACUAAAUUCUUUUAACACAAGUGAGAAACUCCUCAUCUUCUAGACAUGCAACGUUUACAACUAGAAAAGAAACUCUUCUCUUCUCCCACACAUUCGGUCAAGCUCAAUUCAACAAUGCAACCAGAAUUUGUCAACGAAAAGCUAUGGGCAAGGGAGAGCUUAGAAGAGUUACAGUUCUACUUGAAAAUUUUAACUUCUAAGCAAGCAAAUUUCAUGGUUUUCCAGUACAUGUAGCCGGCCUCUCCUCUCUAGCUUCAUUUGAAAGAGACAAGGAAGCAAGAUAGAAAAAUAAAAAGUCGAAGUCUUUCUUUCUUACUUACCGUCCAUUUCUCCACCCUUUACCCAUCAUAAAAUGAAAUUUAGCCAAUCAACAAAUCUUAGCCGGCCACCAACCAAAAACCAAAAACCAAAAACCAUAAAAUGAAAAGAAUCAUGUAAAAGUUUAUUCAUACCUCAAAAACCAAACGCCGAGACCGAGAGAAGAAACGAUGAGGACUGAAUCAUCAACGAAAGCAGUGGGAAAUGGGAGGAGAAAUUAUGAGGACAGAAGAUGAGAGGGUCGGGUAGGGAGGGAGGGUAAAACAGAGAGUUGGGGAGGGAAGCCGGACGUAAUACCUAUUACUCGAUUUGGGAAGGGAUUAGAAAAGCAGGGAAUUUGGGGAUUAGGUCGGGAUUGUAUUACGCGCGUAAUACCUAUUACAGCGAACCAAACGCCAGAUUAGGGGCGUAAUGUAAUAGCCGCAUAAUCAGUCAGUAAUGGAUUACCUAAUACACUGAACCAAACAUAGUGUAAGUGUAUUUUCACCUUUUCAUACUUUGAUAUAAUCUUCAAGUAAAACGAUUGAAAAAUAUUAUUUGACGACACAAGACUAAAAAAAUUCAUAUAGAAAAUGCUUACCACUCCACUAGUAAUCAUUUGUCAAUGUAUUUUUGGUAAAAAGACCUCUCCAAUCCCUCUUAAUUUCACAAUUGCGCAAAUUAGUCCCUCUCAAAAAAUUAAAGCAAUUUAAUCCUUAUCAAUUUUGAAAGUGAGUAACUAAGGAUAAUUAAUUAUGGUGUUAAAUUCUUCCAUCAAUUGUACAUAAUUUUGAUUGGUAUAGUAAUAAAUUUAGCCUUCAAUGUUUAUAUAUUUUGUCAUUUUGGCCUUAAUUUUUAAAAAAAUUUUAAGAAAUUCAACCUCAACAUUUACAAUUUACACAAACGUUGCGGGAAAAUUUUGUUAAAGUAAGACCAGCUAAAUUUAUUAUUAUACCAACCAAAAUCAUGUACAUUUUAUGAAAAAUUAACAUCCUGAUUAAUUAUUCUUAAUUGCUCACUUUCAAAAUUAAUAGGGACUAAAUUGCUCUGAUUGUUUUAGGGUGACCAAUUUCCUCAAUUUGGAAAUUGAGAGAGACUAUUGAGAUCUUUUACAUUUUUUUUUAUAAAUAUAUUUUUUAAUAUAAAAUAUAUUUGUUCACACACAUCGUGUGUAUGAUAAAAUAUUUUUAUUGUUGAUUGAGUUGGUGUCAAAAAUUAACUUGACACCAACUCAAGAUUAAUGAUAACAAUAUGAUAAAUAAUUUAUUUAUUUAAUAUUUUUAAUUUAAGAUAUUGAUGUAAAUUUUAAGACAUGUAUGUCUUGUAGAAUUGUAAUUAUACUUUUUCAGUAUUGACUCAGUUUUCCACAAUUGUGGGUCUCUAUUUGAGCAAAACAAUUUCAACAUUUCUUCAUCUCGCUUAAUCCAAAUGCAUUUAGGAUUUUCUUAUAUCAUUGCUUCAAAAAGGGUAAAAAAAAACGUCGACAUUGAAUUUUCUGUUUCACAUUCAAUUUUUGGAUACGUAGAAUUUUCUAAUUUAUUUUCCAUCAACUUCACUUCAAUUUUCAGUCACAAUCAAUUGCAAUCAAGAGCACCACAUCUUUUUGGAUGAAACGAAGCUCUCAAUUUUAAGAUAAACGGGUCUUUAGGGUUAUUAAUUGAGGGCCUUUUCCACAAUUGCCAUCGUUAUUUGCGGGUGAUUGGGUUACGACAAUGGUUUGAAGUGAAGCUGUUUCAAAUGAAUAUGAAUACUCUACCAGUAAGUCAUAAUUUAAAAUUCAGGUUAUGUUUCAUUUCAACUAAGUUAAAUGUUAAGAUUGAAGUUAAACCUUUUAGAGGUUGCUCACAAAAGGAUCAAACCUUUAUAAAAGUGCUUAAAUGAAUGCCAAAUUUUUUAAAAUAGACAAAUAAGGCCCUAACCUUUUAAAAGGUGUUCAAAUAAGGGCUUCUCAAAUGUUGUAUAUCAGGUUAUGUGUUUUACUCUAAACAUAUCAGUAUUUACUAUUUUUUCUACAAAUUGGGUUGAAGUGCAUGAAAAAUUUUAUUUUAGCACUUUUGUAAAGGUUAAACUCUUAUUUGACAAUUUUGAAAGGUUUGAUCCUUAUGUGAGCAACCUUUAAAAGAUUGAGCACUAAUUUAACAAGUUGAGAAAUACCUAAAUUUGUUUUCAUGAACCAAGAAAUUAAAAAAAAAAAAAAAACAUGUUGAGAAAUAUUUUAGAGAUUCUUAGCCUUGACAAGUUCCCUCCACCAUCUCCCUGCCUCCAGUCCCACCUCUUCUCUUAUGCUCCUUCCAGGUUCUUGUUUUUUGUGUAUUGAAAAUUCGACGGAACAAAAUAUCAACCUACAUCAUAAGGCACGAAGGCCAGAACUUUACUUUCUAGCCCGUCCGAUCCAAUGAAAGAAGAACAAAGAGUAUUGAGAUCUGACAACUUUAUUUCAUUUUCAUUUUCUUUGUUAUUUUCUAUGUUUCAUGUCAAAUACAAUGGAAGAAGAACAUAGAAAAAUGUUGCCUAUUUAUUUCCCAAUCAUCAUGAAAUUACUUGCCAUAGUCUUAGAAUUUUCUCACCAAUUUUCAAGCAAUCUCACAUGAUUUCUCAAUCACAAUUAAUUGAAUUCAAGAUCUUUUUGGAUGACACAAACAUUUCAAUUUUAACACAAACCAAUAUUUAGGUUAU
rnacentral:lncRNA from 1 species